rnacentral:lncRNA from 1 species
GUUUGGUAACUGCAGAGGAAAUGAUAAUAUAUGUAAAGAAAAGAACAAUUUAUGUAGAUUUCAUAGGAUUGGUACAAUGAGUGGAAAAAAUGAAAUAAACUAAAGAGAAGCAAAUUUGAAAAAUCUAUAAACAAAAAGUAAAACUUAAAUGCAAUAAUACAUAGAGUUCCUGGUGAGAUUUAUUACAAAUCAAAUGAGGACUCCUUCCUUUCCAGUUUAUAAGUCUUGCACGUGUAUCUUGGCUGCUAAUUUACCAAGUUAAUUACACGUGCAAGACUAAUAAACACGUACGGACGGAAGGAGAUAGUAUCUCCGAAGUGGAAGUAAGUACAUUUAAGGGUAUACUUCGAUAAUUGAUCGAAUCCCAUUGGUUGGAGUGAUCUUGUAGUCGCUGAACCCGGCUUCGGAGAAAAUCAAGCUCCACUCGUUUUCCUCUCGCUCCAUUCCAUCGGAGCCCAUCAUGUAGAUAUCUAACAAAACCUGCGCCUCUUUGGAAUGCUUGGGCUGAGUCACCGGAUAUCCCACCACCAUGUCGAUGAUUAUCACCUUUCCUCCGGCUUCUUUCGCUGGGAUCGCUUCCUUGCACCGGCGCAUUAUCUUGACGCAAUCUUCGUGUUUCCAGUCAUGCAAAAUCCACUGGAACCAAACAUACAUAUUAUAUCCCAUUAGCAUAGUAGACCAGCAGAAAAAAGAAGAACAUAUCCAAAAAUAAAAAUAAAAAUAAAAAAUUACCUUGAGUAGAACAGCAUCCGCAGGUGGGACAUACUCGAACAUAUUUCCGGCGACGAAGGUCAAAAUGUCGCUGGCGGGAGCCGCGGCGACGACGUGUGGGAGGUCCAGAACGCUGCACUUGAGGUGCGGGAACGCUCUCGCCACGGCCGACGCGGUGGCGCCAUGGUUGCCGCCGAUGUCCACCAGCGAGCUUUUCACUUCCCCGAACGCUCCGCCGUGCUCCUUCAACAGGACCUUCAUGGCGAUGCGGCUGUCCGCGGCCAUGCCGUCGUUGAACAAGCCGCCAUCGACCUUGGUGGUGUCCCAGAACGUGCAGCCGUUGGCCAGCUGGACGAGCGAGUGCGACUGUGCCGACUCUCCCUCUUGGCCUUGGGUAAACCACUCGGGCAUUUUGAGGAGAGAGGUCCAGCAUAACGUGUUGACGAUGGUGCCCACCAUCGGGGACAGGUUGUGCGGUGAUCUCUCGACAAGGAGCCGGGAGACCCGCGUGAGCUUGUAAUACGCAGCGCCAUCACCGGCGUGGUCGUUGCUGCCUUUGCCUUGGACAAUGGAGAAUACCCCGGUGGUGGUGAGCACCCGCAUGACCCGCCGGAGGUUGGAGCGCUUCGUGGGGUGGAUCCCGGUGUCGGAGGCCAGCUCGGACAAGGUGGCGGCGCCGCCGCGGCGGUGGAUGGCGUCGGGGAUGCGCAGGUCCGUGGCGGCCUUGAGCGCCAGUGACUUGACGAAGGCGAGGCCGUGGUGGUAGAGCUCCAGCUGAGCUUGAAGUAACUCGGUCUUGGUCUCGUUCGAUGUGCUGCGCGGCCGGCAUGGUGUAUGUGUAUGAUCGAUCGAGUGUGGUAUGCUAGCUGCUACCUGCUUCUUGCUUCUUCCUUACGUAGAGAAAACGUAGUACCUUCUUAUAGAUAUAGAUGCAUGCGCAUGGUUUCCUAGUAGCUAGCUUCCUUUUGCGGGUUUUUUUUUGUUCAGGGAAGCUUCCUUUUGCGGCUUGGUUUGAGGUUACUACUUCUAGUUGUAGCCUCCUCCUAUCCUCGCUGUGUGGACGUAGUUUCCCAUUCACCUUAGUAAACAAUUUGGACCUCUCAUUGAGAAGAUUAUAUUUCCACAACAGUUUCUUUUCGUUAUUUCAUUUUUGGGGGGAUUCGUUAAAACCCACCCCUUGAUGCAUGUUCAAGACAAUAGCAUUUCUCAAGGGGCAAAACAAGAGAUGACCUACAAAAAAAAGAUCCUCGUUUGGACCCAUGGUUCUGAAGUCCGUGCACUUCGACCCUACCUAAUUGUUCACUCAAGCACCACAUCACCUUGUGGCCGGCGGGUUAGGAGUAGUAACUACCGUGUGUCCCCAGGGCGCUAGGUGUCCAGGUUUAGUACAAUAUUGAUGCCAUCUUUCCAAGUGACGGUAUCUUGACAAGUGUUGCUCAGCACUGGUUUGGCUUGGCAGUGGCCAGGCAGCCCGCCCCGGAUCGAUCCCCGUUGGGGACGAUUGCUGGUGUCUCACCAGGGAUUGGCACCCGAAUAGCAUCCCUACACUUUCGUGCCACGCAAAGCAACGAACGAACAAAAACGAAAAUACUAGAAACUUGAGACUCUAGAAGAAUAGAAGAAGCAACGAACGAACAAAAACGAAAAUACUAGAAACUUGACACUCUAGAAGAAUAGAAGAAGCAACGAACGAACAAAAACGAAAAUACUAGAAACUUGAGACUCUAGAAGAAUAGAAUAAGCAACGGAAGUAACCAGAUCUGGAUAAGUGGCGUAUGAAGAAACCUUGGAAUAGAAGAAGAAGAUAUUGGAGGCUGAGCUUGGAAGACAAGAAGGAAAAAAAAAGAUGGUUAGAAGAGUAGAAGAAGCAAGAUGGUAGAAGGGUAUAAGAAGAAAACAUGAGUGCCAAGUUAAAAAAGUCAGAGGAUAGAAGAGUAGAAGAAGCAACAGAAGUGACUGGAUCCGGACAAGUGGCAAGAAACCUUAGAAUUAGAAGAAAGAAGAUAUUGAAGGGCUAUAUGAGCUUGGAAGACACCAAGGAAAAAUAUGGUAGAUGAGUAGAAGAAGCAAUCAUUAGUGCCAAGUAAAGUCUAAGGAUAGUUGUUGGAAUAGCUCUAGUCUCUUAGAGAAAGUUAAGAAUAGUUGUAAUAACAUGGUAAGGAGUAGUAUUUUGUUAGAGGUAGUUUAGAAAGAGGUGGAAUUUAAGAUCUGUUCAAUAGUGUCUUGCUAGUGUGGUGGAUGAAAUAACUAAGUCUGUAAUCCUGUUUAUCUCUGGUUUCAUUCCAGUAAUGGAAUUGGGAGCUAUGCUCCUUAAUUCAAAAUAAGAAGUGACGGUAUCUUUUCACAGUUGAACUUUUAUAAUGCCUCCCGUUCAAUUUGUGUCGUCUCAUAAAAGCCAUCUUGGAGCAUCCAAGAUACUUCAAAUGAGAAGCCGUUCCUAUUACCGAGGUGUGCCAAAUUUGCGGAUCAACUUAGACUAGUCAUAAAAGUAGUAACGUAGGUAGUAACAUAAAACUCAAUGCAAUGCCAACAAGAUAUCUUGAGUACAUGGCAUGUCAACGAAUGAGGAAGAGAAUCUUGUGAUAACUAGCUAUGUUACCAUAUAACAUCACAAACUCCAAAACAAGAUUAGUAUACAACCUAAUAAAUGGAACUUUGCAUGAUACUCGCCAUUAGUUACUACCCACUAUCAAGAUGGUAACAUAGACUAGAAACAUAGGCAUGACACUAGUCUAUGUCACUCCCCACAAUAACUAGUCUUAAUGAUAUGGGCCUUCGUCUAUUGGUCUGGGCUUGGUCAAUGGUUGCCGAACUGAGCUACACCAAUGAUAAUAGCUUGGGUUUGCAGAAUAUGGAAAGUUACCUAUUUGUCAGAAGAAAUUAUGUGUUUGGCUAUUUUGCAGAAAAUGACGUAUUCUCCAGAAAAUGAUGUAUCUUGUAGAAAAUGGAAAGUUAACCCUGUAAUUUUUUUUGUUUACACAUGUACAAAAAAAGUAUGUACAAAUCUAAAAGAAAAGAAAACAUAAAAAGUCAAAUAAAGUUACAUGUCCAAUCGGAAAAAUUUACAUAAGCAUUCCGUUUAAUCCUAAAUAUUAUCCAUCUAAGAUCCUCUUUGAAGAAAGCCCUUGCUGUGAAAAGACUUGGUCUCUUAUAUUCUUAAAUAUGUCAACAUUUCUGGUUUGCCCAAUAACCCAUGCACCAAGCCUAAUGAUUUCUAUGAAAAAAGGUUCAUGAGCUUGCAGAAUGUCUUUUAGUUUACAUUCCCGUUUCCACAUAUAAAUUCCCGAUCCCAAAAAUUACAUUUUUGUUUCAUCCUUUACAUUUUUGUUUCAUCCUUUCUACGCUGUUAUCAUCCCUACACAAUAGAAAUACUUAUGAUAUACAUACAUAAUGCAUAAUGGAUCAUCUAUUAGACACAUAGGAACAUCUCAGGCACUAGCACUUGAUGGCCUUUUGUCAAAUACAGAAAAUCCAAAUCAUCACGUCGCAUCAAUCCAUGUCGCCUCUCCUCCUUGCCUCCAUGGCCAGCCAGGAGAACCUUCACCGCACCACCAGUAAGCUCGACGGUAGCUAGCAACCUCAAGGUUAUUCAAGGAGGUGUUGCCCCUUUCUUCCACUACUUUCUUUGGCCAGAAGAGCAUCAGCGCAAAGAAGAGACCUAGGACGCCGGGGAUUUGACCUAACGUGGUGUUCUCCAGGUAGUACAAGUUAAUGACAAGUACUCGUUCCGUUUCAAAAUAUAAGAUGCUUUAGCUUUGUGAAGUGAGUGUAUCUAGACUCUUUUGAUGUUUAGGUUCACUCUGAACUAUACACUAAAGAUAUCUAGAUACAUUUGCUUCACAAAGCUAAAACGUCUUAUAUUUUGAAACGGAGGGAGUAGGUGUUAAAGGGGACGGCCAGAAUUGAGAGUGUAGGAAAGGGGCAUGUCAUUUCGUGUAGGAUGCGGUUGUGGGGAGGCGUGACGAAAGGGGUCCAACGUUACGUUAUUUGAUUAACAUGGGUGGAGUUAAAGAAAGAAUGAUUAGUUUAAGGCUGAAGUAGUUUCUCGUAGUUGGUUUAUGAGGCGUAUGAAUUGAGCCGACGGUUCAGAUCAAACGACAAAGAUUAGUCCCAUAGAUCCAACAAGACAUAAUCAUUAGAAGAAAAUGUAAUAAAACUAAUAGUAUCAGUAUAGGCCUAGUCCCAUCAAUUGCCAAAGCAACGCACAAAAUCCCCACGCAACUAUCUCCUGCGAGCACACCGCCGCCUCCACAUCCACCAGCCACUACGCCGCCGCCUCCACAUCCAGUCAUCCACCAGCCACCACGCCCCCACCUCCAUCUAGCCCAGGGCGACCACCCAUUCCACUGUCGAGCACUCUGCCGCCAGCUUGACAGCGUUCGUUACCUCGGCAACAUCGGACGCCUCAUCUUUGGAAGGUUGUGUCACUCUAUUGAAACCCUUGCUAUAAACCUAGCCGCCUUUGAUGGCAGCCCAGACUAUGCCCUGCUCGAUUUAUGGUUUCACUUACAGGUACGUGAGUGGUACUACUAAUUCUAAUUUCCUAGCAGACAUGAGCACCUAAUUAGAUGAGCCCUUAUGCAGCAAGAGACCCAGGAAAGCAUUCGUGAUGGAGAUUGGUCGUGCAACAUGAUGUUCUGGCUCUGCUUUGAAUUUCCUGCAUAUUUACCUUACUGACAAGCAUCACUGAAAUGGAAAUUAGAAUCAUCAAAUUAUGUUAGUUAUGAAGCAGGUUGAUGUUUGAAUAAUUUGCCAAUGUCAGUGACACAACUAGUACACAUGAAAAGCCCAACAACCAUUGGUGUAUGUAGAUGAUAUGACCUUCAACCUUUUUAGUAUUUGUUCCAUUUUCUGAAGUGUUGUAUCACUUAAUUCUGCGAAUCAUUUAUCAACCAAACCCAGGUAUCCAUUCUAAUUAUUUGUGUCAGUACCAAAGUAAUUGCAUGAAAAUAAUUAUUUGUUUUCCAUGGAAAAUAAUUUUUCAGCUGUAUUGUUUUGCCAAUUGUAUUUCUAGUAUCCUAUGCAUAUUAUUUACUGUCUCUUUUUCUUUAUAUACCAUGCAGUUUGUGAUUUCAGAAAACAAUCAAUCAAGUCUAUGAUACUCAUCUAUAUUCUGGUGAGUUAAAGAUCCAUAUGAAGUUUGUUGGGCAUCAUCUGAUCUUAUUAUGUGCCUUAUCUAGACUUGAUUAGCUCUAGUGUUUAUAUUAGUAUUCUUAAUGCUCAAGUUUGUGUGUUCGAUUUGUUGGAAAACAGAUGAAUGCAACAACUGAUCAGGUUCAAGAAAGAUGAAGCAAGAAAUGUUGUUUCCCAGGCUCUAAAUCUAAAGCUUCCUUUUGAUGAGAAAGAUUUGAUGGAGGAGAACCUAGAGGUGGAGCUGAUCAGGAGGCAGCUGGGUCUUGAGCAUGUCAGGUCCUCAUGAUAAGUCAAUUUUGACGUUAAAUGUGAACCUAUUUCUAAGACGUGUCAAUCACAAUUUUUUCUCAAGGACCAAAUUAGUUGCUGAAAUCUGCUGUUUUCCCAAAUCAUCUACUCUUCUUGGAGCUCUUUGUGUUAUCAUCGGUACUAGUACUUCUCAAGCAGAGCGAUAAUACUGAUAUAAAAAGGUACUUCUGCUUUUCAUUUGCACGAUACAUGAAGAAUAAUAAGAGGGAAAAAGUGCAAGUAACAGUUGCAUGAUCAUGCAAGUCUUUGUGAGCACCUCCAUUUGUACUAGGAAUGUCAUAAUUUUCUGAAGAGUAUUGACUUCGGAAAGCAGGAGCUAAAAACCUAUUUUAGCCUGUUUAUGCUAUCAACAUUCUUGCUGAUGUCCAUGUUCUGCUCGAGGAUAUCAAAGAGAAGAAACAAAGAAUCAAGUAAAUUUUGAACCCCNNNNNNNNNNNNNNNNNNNNNNNNNNNNNNNNNNNNNNNNNNNNNNNNNNNNNNNNNNNNNNNNNNNNNNNNNNNNNNNNNNNNNNNNNNNNNNNNNNNNGGGGGGUGCUCGGCGGCGAUGGAGCGGGGGAGGGUGUGGUGGGUCGUCGGCGGCAGUGGAGCGAGGGAGGGUGCGGGGGGUGCUCGGCGGCGGUGGAGCGCGGGCCGGGGAGGGCGCCAUUAGUAGUUUUGUAAAAAAGUAAAAUAAAUAAAUAUAUAUACUAAUGGCGCACCCGGUCAUAGUGCGCCAUUACUAGUUUAAACUAGUAAUGGCGCACUGUGAAACGGUGCGCCAUUAGUAGUUUUGCAAAAAAAAGAAAUAAAAAAAUACAGUAAUAGCGCACUUUCUGGCUGGUGCGCCAUUACUAGUUAGAACUAGUAAUGGCGCACUUCAACCUGAUGCGCCAUUAGUAUGUAUGGAAAAAUGGAAAAAAAUAAUACUAGUGGCGCACCUUGUGUUUGGUGCGCCAUUAGUGUCUUCCACACUAAUGGCGCAUCACCAACCGGUGCGUCAUUAGUAUAUAGUAGUGGCGCACUACUUACCUGGUGCGCCAUUAGUAUCAAUCCUAUCUAUAGCCCUUUUCCUAGUAGUGGGAAACCAUGAUUAUCUGUUGAUCAAUGAGCUAGUCAACUAGAGGCUCACUAGGGACAUGUUGUGGUCUAUGUAUUCACACAUGUAUCACUGUUUCCGGUUAAUACAAUUAUAGCAUGAACAAUAGACAAUUAUCAUGAACAAGGAAAUAUAAUAAUAAUCAUUUUAUUAUUGCCUCUAGGGCAUAUUUCCAACAUCAAAUUCAUACGGGUGGAUCCUCCGUCAACUAUGUCGCCCGCGACAACAACUGCAACACCAACAACCGUGGCAAGGGCAACUACUGCGACAAGGGUCGCGGCAACUCUGGUGACCGUGGUGACUACAACAACAACAACCGUGGCGGGUACCGUGGUGACUGCGGUGGUGGUGGCAAUCGUCAGAACGGUAAUCGUGGUGGUGACCGCGGUCACCAUGGCAGUGGCGGGGAUGCACGUCUGCAGUGCCAGCUCUGUCGGGGCCCUGGGCACUAUGCCUCGGAGUGCGCUUAGCGCUACAACCACACCUUCCAACCUCAACACUCCUAGAUGGUGGGUCUCGCUGCCGCUUCACCACCAUCCAUCCUCGGCGACCCUACCUGGUCCACUGACACGGGGGCUACCGAUCAUAUCACGUCGGAUCUGGACCGUCUCACCGUGAGGGAAAAGUACCCUGGACGGGACCACAUCCACACUCCCGACGGAUCAGGUUUGCACAUAGCUCAUCGUGGUCAUGCCCUUCUUCCUACACCCUCUGUCAAUCUUAAACUUCGCAACAUAUUACAUGUUCCCAAUGCCGACAAGAACCUUCUUUCUGUUAAUCGUCUUGCCGUUGACAAUCAUGCUUAUCUAAAAUAUUAUCCUACUCACUUUCUUAUGAAGGAUUUGAUAACCAAGAUGGUUCAUCUUCACGGCAGAUGUGAAAAUGGGCUCUAUCCCAUUCGGCCUUCACGUUCUCAUGUCUUGUCUUCAGUUAGGCUCUCUGCUGAAGAUUGACAUGCUAGACUCAGCCACCCGUCCACACAAGUUGUUCAUCAUGUUUUGGCGUCCAAUAAAUUAGCAUCGUCGAGUCGGGCUUUGACCCAUGUGUGUAAUGCUUGUCAACAGGGCAAAGCACAUCAGCUACCUUUUCCUAGAUCUUCGAAUGUUUCCUCGUUUUCAUUGGAACUUAUUUUCUCAGAUGUGUGGGGACCUGCCAAAACCUCCUCUGGUGGGUCCCAGUACUAUGUUUCAUUUAUUGAUGAUUGUUGUAAUUUUUUGUGGAUUUAUCUUCUCAAACAAAAGUAUGAUGUGUUUGAUGUAUUUCGUGAUUUUCUUGCCCAUGUUGAACGCCUCCUAUCUCGCAAAAUCCUAUGUGUUCAAUCAGACUGGGGUGGGGAAUACGAAAAACUUAGCAACACAUUUUUUCGGCAACUUGGCAUUGCUCACCACGUCUCUUGUCCACACACACACCAACAAAAUGGCUCGGCCGAAAGGAAGCACCGUCACAUUAUUGACAUGGGUAUCUCCUUAUUAUCGCAUGCGUCUAUGCCCCUCCGUUUUUGGGAUGAGGCGUACUUGUACGCAUGCUACCUUAUCAACUGACUACCUAGCCGCGUCAUUGGCAAUAUGAGUCCCAUGGAAAAAUUGUUUUCCACCAAGCCUGACUACGCAUCUCUUCGCACGUUCGGGUGUGCAUGUUGGCCUAACUUGCGCNNNNNNNNNNNNNNNNNNNNNNNNNNNNNNNNNNNNNNNNNNNNNNNNNNNNNNNNNNNNNNNNNNNNNNNNNNNNNNNNNNNNNNNNNNNNNNNNNNNNNNNNNNNNNNNNNNNNNNNNNNNNNNNNNNNNNNNNNNNNNNNNNNNNNNNNNNNNNNNNNNNNNNNNNNNNNNNNNNNNNNNNNNNNNNNNNNNNNNNNNNNNNNNNNNNNNNNNNNNNNNNNNNNNNNNNNNNNNNNNNNNNNNNNNNNNNNNNNNNNNNNNNNNNNNNNNNNNNNNNNNNNNNNNNNNNNNNNNNNNNNNNNNNNNNNNNNNNNNNNNNNNNNNNNNNNNNNNNNNNNNNNNNNNNNNNNNNNNNNNNNNNNNNNNNNNNNNNNNNNNNNNNNNNNNNNNNNNNNNNNNNNNNNNNNNNNNNNNNNNNNNNNNNNNNNNNNNNNNNNNNNNNNNNNNNNNNNNNNNNNNNNNNNNNNNNNNNNNNNNNNNNNNNNNNNNNNNNNNNNNNNNNNNNNNNNNNNNNNNNNNNNNNNNNNNNNNNNNNNNNNNNNNNNNNNNNNNNNNNNNNNNNNNNNNNNNNNNNNNNNNNNNNNNNNNNNNNNNNNNNNNNNNNNNNNNNNNNNNNNNNNNNNNNNNNNNNNNNNNNNNNNNNNNNNNNNNNNNNNNNNNNNNNNNNNNNNNNNNNNNNNNNNNNNNNNNNNNNNNNNNNNNNNNNNNNNNNNNNNNNNNNNNNNNNNNNNNNNNNNNNNNNNNNNNNNNNNNNNNNNNNNNNNNNNNNNNNNNNNNNNNNNNNNNNNNNNNNNNNNNNNNNNNNNNNNNNNNNNNNNNNNNNNNNNNNNNNNNNNNNNNNNNNNNNNNNNNNNNNNNNNNNNNNNNNNNNNNNNNNNNNNNNNNNNNNNNNNNNNNNNNNNNNNNNNNNNNNNNNNNNNNNNNNNNNNNNNNNNNNNNNNNNNNNNNNNNNNNNNNNNNNNNNNNNNNNNNNNNNNNNNNNNNNNNNNNNNNNNNNNNNNNNNNNNNNNNNNNNNNNNNNNNNNNNNNNNNNNNNNNNNNNNNNNNNNNNNNNNNNNNNNNNNNNNNNNNNNNNNNNNNNNNNNNNNNNNNNNNNNNNNNNNNNNNNNNNNNNNNNNNNNNNNNNNNNNNNNNNNNNNNNNNNNNNNNNNNNNNNNNNNNNNNNNNNNNNNNNNNNNNNNNNNNNNNNNNNNNNNNNNNNNNNNNNNNNNNNNNNNNNNNNNNNNNNNNNNNNNNNNNNNNNNNNNNNNNNNNNNNNNNNNNNNNNNNNNNNNNNNNNNNNNNNNNNNNNNNNNNNNNNNNNNNNNNNNNNNNNNNNNNNNNNNNNNNNNNNNNNNNNNNNNNNNNNNNNNNNNNNNNNNNNNNNNNNNNNNNNNNNNNNNNNNNNNNNNNNNNNNNNNNNNNNNNNNNNNNNNNNNNNNNNNNNNNNNNNNNNNNNNNNNNNNNNNNNNNNNNNNNNNNNNNNNNNNNNNNNNNNNNNNNNNNNNNNNNNNNNNNNNNNNNNNNNNNNNNNNNNNNNNNNNNNNNNNNNNNNNNNNNNNNNNNNNNNNNNNNNNNNNNNNNNNNNNNNNNNNNNNNNNNNNNNNNNNNNNNNNNNNNNNNNNNNNNNNNNNNNNNNNNNNNNNNNNNNNNNNNNNNNNNNNNNNNNNNNNNNNNNNNNNNNNNNNNNNNNNNNNNNNNNNNNNNNNNNNNNNNNNNNNNNNNNNNNNNNNNNNNNNNNNNNNNNNNNNNNNNNNNNNNNNNNNNNNNNNNNNNNNNNNNNNNNNNNNNNNNNNNNNNNNNNNNNNNNNNNNNNNNNNNNNNNNNNNNNNNNNNNNNNNNNNNNNNNNNNNNNNNNNNNNNNNNNNNNNNNNNNNNNNNNNNNNNNNNNNNNNNNNNNNNNNNNNNNNNNNNNNNNNNNNNNNNNNNNNNNNNNNNNNNNNNNNNNNNNNNNNNNNNNNNNNNNNNNNNNNNNNNNNNNNNNNNNNNNNNNNNNNNNNNNNNNNNNNNNNNNNNNNNNNNNNNNNNNNNNNNNNNNNNNNNNNNNNNNNNNNNNNNNNNNNNNNNNNNNNNNNNNNNNNNNNNNNNNNNNNNNNNNNNNNNNNNNNNNNNNNNNNNNNNNNNNNNNNNNNNNNNNNNNNNNNNNNNNNNNNNNNNNNNNNNNNNNNNNNNNNNNNNNNNNNNNNNNNNNNNNNNNNNNNNNNNNNNNNNNNNNNNNNNNNNNNNNNNNNNNNNNNNNNNNNNNNNNNNNNNNNNNNNNNNNNNNNNNNNNNNNNNNNNNNNNNNNNNNNNNNNNNNNNNNNNNNNNNNNNNNNNNNNNNNNNNNNNNNNNNNNNNNNNNNNNNNNNNNNNNNNNNNNNNNNNNNNNNNNNNNNNNNNNNNNNNNNNNNNNNNNNNNNNNNNNNNNNNNNNNNNNNNNNNNNNNNNNNNNNNNNNNNNNNNNNNNNNNNNNNNNNNNNNNNNNNNNNNNNNNNNNNNNNNNNNNNNNNNNNNNNNNNNNNNNNNNNNNNNNNNNNNNNNNNNNNNNNNNNNNNNNNNNNNNNNNNNNNNNNNNNNNNNNNNNNNNNNNNNNNNNNNNNNNNNNNNNNNNNNNNNNNNNNNNNNNNNNNNNNNNNNNNNNNNNNNNNNNNNNNNNNNNNNNNNNNNNNNNNNNNNNNNNNNNNNNNNNNNNNNNNNNNNNNNNNNNNNNNNNNNNNNNNNNNNNNNNNNNNNNNNNNNNNNNNNNNNNNNNNNNNNNNNNNNNNNNNNNNNNNNNNNNNNNNNNNNNNNNNNNNNNNNNNNNNNNNNNNNNNNNNNNNNNNNNNNNNNNNNNNNNNNNNNNNNNNNNNNNNNNNNNNNNNNNNNNNNNNNNNNNNNNNNNNNNNNNNNNNNNNNNNNNNNNNNNNNNNNNNNNNNNNNNNNNNNNNNNNNNNNNNNNNNNNNNNNNNNNNNNNNNNNNNNNNNNNNNNNNNNNNNNNNNNNNNNNNNNNNNNNNNNNNNNNNNNNNNNNNNNNNNNNNNNNNNNNNNNNNNNNNNNNNNNNNNNNNNNNNNNNNNNNNNNNNNNNNNNNNNNNNNNNNNNNNNNNNNNNNNNNNNNNNNNNNNNNNNNNNNNNNNNNNNNNNNNNNNNNNNNNNNNNNNNNNNNNNNNNNNNNNNNNNNNNNNNNNNNNNNNNNNNNNNNNNNNNNNNNNNNNNNNNNNNNNNNNNNNNNNNNNNNNNNNNNNNNNNNNNNNNNNNNNNNNNNNNNNNNNNNNNNNNNNNNNNNNNNNNNNNNNNNNNNNNNNNNNNNNNNNNNNNNNNNNNNNNNNNNNNNNNNNNNNNNNNNNNNNNNNNNNNNNNNNNNNNNNNNNNNNNNNNNNNNNNNNNNNNNNNNNNNNNNNNNNNNNNNNNNNNNNNNNNNNNNNNNNNNNNNNNNNNNNNNNNNNNNNNNNNNNNNNNNNNNNNNNNNNNNNNNNNNNNNNNNNNNNNNNNNNNNNNNNNNNNNNNNNNNNNNNNNNNNNNNNNNNNNNNNNNNNNNNNNNNNNNNNNNNNNNNNNNNNNNNNNNNNNNNNNNNNNNNNNNNNNNNNNNNNNNNNNNNNNNNNNNNNNNNNNNNNNNNNNNNNNNNNNNNNNNNNNNNNNNNNNNNNNNNNNNNNNNNNNNNNNNNNNNNNNNNNNNNNNNNNNNNNNNNNNNNNNNNNNNNNNNNNNNNNNNNNNNNNNNNNNNNNNNNNNNNNNNNNNNNNNNNNNNNNNNNNNNNNNNNNNNNNNNNNNNNNNNNNNNNNNNNNNNNNNNNNNNNNNNNNNNNNNNNNNNNNNNNNNNNNNNNNNNNNNNNNNNNNNNNNNNNNNNNNNNNNNNNNNNNNNNNNNNNNNNNNNNNNNNNNNNNNNNNNNNNNNNNNNNNNNNNNNNNNNNNNNNNNNNNNNNNNNNNNNNNNNNNNNNNNNNNNNNNNNNNNNNNNNNNNNNNNNNNNNNNNNNNNNNNNNNNNNNNNNNNNNNNNNNNNNNNNNNNNNNNNNNNNNNNNNNNNNNNNNNNNNNNNNNNNNNNNNNNNNNNNNNNNNNNNNNNNNNNNNNNNNNNNNNNNNNNNNNNNNNNNNNNNNNNNNNNNNNNNNNNNNNNNNNNNNNNNNNNNNNNNNNNNNNNNNNNNNNNNNNNNNNNNNNNNNNNNNNNNNNNNNNNNNNNNNNNNNNNNNNNNNNNNNNNNNNNNNNNNNNNNNNNNNNNNNNNNNNNNNNNNNNNNNNNNNNNNNNNNNNNNNNNNNNNNNNNNNNNNNNNNNNNNNNNNNNNNNNNNNNNNNNNNNNNNNNNNNNNNNNNNNNNNNNNNNNNNNNNNNNNNNNNNNNNNNNNNNNNNNNNNNNNNNNNNNNNNNNNNNNNNNNNNNNNNNNNNNNNNNNNNNNNNNNNNNNNNNNNNNNNNNNNNNNNNNNNNNNNNNNNNNNNNNNNNNNNNNNNNNNNNNNNNNNNNNNNNNNNNNNNNNNNNNNNNNNNNNNNNNNNNNNNNNNNNNNNNNNNNNNNNNNNNNNNNNNNNNNNNNNNNNNNNNNNNNNNNNNNNNNNNNNNNNNNNNNNNNNNNNNNNNNNNNNNNNNNNNNNNNNNNNNNNNNNNNNNNNNNNNNNNNNNNNNNNNNNNNNNNNNNNNNNNNNNNNNNNNNNNNNNNNNNNNNNNNNNNNNNNNNNNNNNNNNNNNNNNNNNNNNNNNNNNNNNNNNNNNNNNNNNNNNNNNNNNNNNNNNNNNNNNNNNNNNNNNNNNNNNNNNNNNNNNNNNNNNNNNNNNNNNNNNNNNNNNNNNNNNNNNNNNNNNNNNNNNNNNNNNNNNNNNNNNNNNNNNNNNNNNNNNNNNNNNNNNNNNNNNNNNNNNNNNNNNNNNNNNNNNNNNNNNNNNNNNNNNNNNNNNNNNNNNNNNNNNNNNNNNNNNNNNNNNNNNNNNNNNNNNNNNNNNNNNNNNNNNNNNNNNNNNNNNNNNNNNNNNNNNNNNNNNNNNNNNNNNNNNNNNNNNNNNNNNNNNNNNNNNNNNNNNNNNNNNNNNNNNNNNNNNNNNNNNNNNNNNNNNNNNNNNNNNNNNNNNNNNNNNNNNNNNNNNNNNNNNNNNNNNNNNNNNNNNNNNNNNNNNNNNNNNNNNNNNNNNNNNNNNNNNNNNNNNNNNNNNNNNNNNNNNNNNNNNNNNNNNNNNNNNNNNNNNNNNNNNNNNNNNNNNNNNNNNNNNNNNNNNNNNNNNNNNNNNNNNNNNNNNNNNNNNNNNNNNNNNNNNNNNNNNNNNNNNNNNNNNNNNNNNNCUGGUGAGAUUUAUUACAAAUCAAAUGACGACUCCUUCCUUUCCAGUUUAUAAGUCUUGCACGUGUAUCUUGGCUGCUAAUUUACCAAGUUAAUUACACGUGCAAGACUAAUAAACACGUACGGACGGAAGGAGAUAGUAUCUCCGAAGUGGAAGUAAGUACAUUUAAGGGUAUACUUCGAUAAUUGAUCGAAUCCCAUUGGUUGGAGUGAUCUUGUAGUCGCUGAACCCGGCUUCGGAGAAAAUCAAGCUCCACUCGUUUUCCUCUCGCUCCAUUCCAUCGGAGCCCAUCAUGUAGAUAUCUAACAAAACCUGCGCCUCUUUGGAAUGGUUGGGCUGAGUCACCGGAUAUCCCACCACCAUGUCGAUGAUUAUCACCUUUCCUCCGGCUUCUUUCGCUGGGAUCGCUUCCUUGCACCGGCGCAUUAUCUUAACGCAAUCUUCGUGUUUCCAGUCAUGCAAAAUCCACUGGAACCAAACAUACAUAUUAUAUCCCAUUAGCAUAGUAGACCAGCAGAAAAAAGAAGAACAUAUCCAAAAAUAAAAAUAAAAAUAAAAAAUUACCUUGAGUAGAACAGCAUCCGCAGGUGGGACAUACUCGAACAUAUUUCCGGCGACGAAGGUCAAAAUGUCGCUGGCGGGAGCCGCGGCGACGACGUGUGGGAGGUCCAGGACGCUGCACUUGAGGUGCGGGAACGCUCUCGCCACGGCCGACGCGGUGGCGCCAUGGUUGCCGCCGAUGUCCACCAGCGAGCUUUUCACUUCCCCGAACGCUCCGCCGUGCUCCUUCAACAGGACCUUCAUGGCGAUGCGGCUGUCCGCGGCCAUGCCGUCGUUGAACAAGCCGCCAUCGACCUUGGUGGUGUCCCAGAACGUGCAGCCGUUGGCCAGCUGGACGAGCGAGUGCGACUGUGCCGACUCUCCCUCUUGGCCUUGGGUAAACCACUCGGGCAUUUUGAGGAGAGAGGUCCAGCAUAACGUGUUGACGAUGGUGCCCACCAUCGGGGACAGGUUGUGCGGUGAUCUCUCGAUAAGGAGCCGGGAGACCCGCGUGAGCUUGUAAUACGCAGCGCCAUCACCGGCGUGGUCGUUGCUGCCUUUGCCUUGGACAAUGGAGAAUACCCCGGUGGUGGUGAGCACCCGCAUGACCCGCCGGAGGUUGGAGCGCUUCGUGGGGUGGAUCCCGGUGUCGGAGGCCAGCUCGGACAAGGUGGCGGUGCCGCCGCGGCGGUGGAUGGCGUCGGGGAUGCGCAGGUCCGUGGCGGCCUUGAGCGCCAGUGACUUGACGAAGGCGAGGCCGUGGUGGUAGAGCUCCAGCUGAGCUUGAAGUAACUCGUCGCUGCUCAUGGCGAGGUCUUGGUCUCGUUCAAUGUGCUGCGCGGCCGGCAUGGUGUAUGUGUAUGAUCGAUCGAGUGUGGUAUGCUAGCUGCUACCUGCUUCUUGCUUCUUCCUUACGUAGAGAAAACGUAGUACCUUCUUAUAGAUAUAGAUGCAUGCGCAUGGUUUCCUAGUAGCUAGCUUCCUUUUGCGGGUUUUUUUUUGUUCAGGGAAGCUUCCUUUUGCGGCUUGGUUUGAGGUUACUACUUCUAGUUGUAGCCUCCUCCUAUCCUCGCUGUGUGGACGUAGUUUCCCAUUCACCUUAGUAAACAAUUUGGACCUCUCAUUGAGAAGAUUAUAUUUCCACAACAGUUUCUUUUUGUUAUUUCAUUUUUAUGGGAAUUCGUUAAAACCCACCCCUUGAUGCAUGUUCAAGACAAUAGCAUUUCUCAAGGGGCAAAACAAGAGAUGACCUACAAAAAAAAGAUCCUCGUUUGGACCCAUGGUUCUGAAGUCCGUGCACUUCGACCCUACCUAAUUGUUCACUCAAGCACCACAUCACCUUGUGGCCGGCGGGUUAGGAGUAGUAACUACCGUGUGUCCCCAGGGCGCUAGGUGUCCAGGUUUAGUACAAUAUUGAUGCCAUCUUUCCAAGUGACGGUAUCUUGACAAGUGUUGCUCAGCAGUGGUUUGGCUUGGCAGUGGCCAGGCAGCCCGCCCGGGAUCGAUCCCCGUUGGGGACGAUUGCUGGUGUCUCACCAGGGAUUGGCACCCGAAUAGCAUCCCUACACUUUCGUGCCACGCAAAGCAACGAACGAACAAAAACGAAAAUACUAGAAACUUGAGACUCUAGAAGAAUAGAAGAAGCAACGAACGAACAAAAACGAAAAUACUAGAAACUUGACACUCUAGAAGAAUAGAAGAAGCAACGAACGAACAAAAACGAAAAUACUAGAAACUUGAGACUCUAGAAGAAUAGAAUAAGCAACGGAAGUAACCAGAUCUGGAUAAGUGGCGUAUGAAGAAACCUUGGAAUAGAAGAAGAAGAUAUUGGAGGCUGAGCUUGGAAGACAAGAAGGAAAAAAAAGAUGGUUAGAAGAGUAGAAGAAGCAAGAUGGUAGAAGGGUAUAAGAAGCAAACAUGAGUGCCAAGUUAAAGAAGUCAGAGGAUAGAAGAGUAGAAGAAGCAACAGAAGUGACUGGAUCCGGACAAGUGGCAAGAAACCUUAGAAUUAGAAGAAAGAAGAUAUUGAAGGGCUAUAUGAGCUUGGAAGACACCAAGGAAAAAUAUGGUAGAUGAGUAGAAGAAGCAAUCAUUAGUGCCAAGUAAAGUCUAAGGAUAGUUGUUGGAAUAGCUCUAGUCUCUUAGAGAAAGUUAAGAAUAGUUGUAAUAACAUGGUAAGGAGUAGUAUUUUGUUAGAGGUAGUUUAGAAAGAGGUGGAAUUUAAGAUCUGUUCAAUAGUGUCUUGCUAGUGUGGUGGAUGAAAUAACUAAGUCUGUAAUCCUGUUUAUCUCUGGUUUCAUUCCAGUAAUGGAAUUGGGAGCUAUGCUCCUUAAUUCAAAAUAAGAAGUGACGGUAUCUUUUCACAGUUGAACUUUUAUAAUGCCUCCCGUUCAAUUUGUGUCGUCUCAUAAAAGCCAUCUUGGAGCAUCCAAGAUACUUCAAAUGAGAAGCCGUUCCUAUUACCGAGGUGUGCCAAAUUUGCGGAUCAACUUAGACUAGUCAUAAAAGUAGUAACGUAGGUAGUAACAUAAAACUCAAUGCAAUGCCAACAAGAUAUCUUGAGUACAUGGCAUGUCAACGAAUGAGGAAGAGAAUCUUGUGAUAACUAGCUAUGUUACCAUAUAACAUCACAAACUCCAAAACAAGAUUAGUAUACAACCUAAUAAAUGGAACUUUGCAUGAUACUAGCCAUUAGUUACUACCCACUAUCAAGGUGGUAACAUAGACUAGAAACAUAGGCAUGACACUAGUCUAUGUCACUCCCCACAAUAACUAGUCUUAAUGAUAUGGGCCUUCGUCUAUUGGUCUGGGCUUGGUCAAUGGUUGCCGAACUGAGCUACACCAAUGAUAAUAGCUUGGGUUUGCAGAAUAUGGAAAGUUACCUAUUUGACAAAAGAAAUUAUGUGUUUGGCUAUUUUGCAGAAAAUGAUGUAUUCUCCAGAAAAUGAUGUAUUUUGUAGAAAAUGGAAAGUUAACCCUGUAAUUUUUUUUGUUUACACAAGUACAAAAAAAGUAUGUACAAAUCUAAAAGAAAAGAAAACAUAAAAAGUCAAAUAAAGUUACAUGUCCAAUCGGAAAAAUUUACAUAAGCAUUCCGUUUAAUCCUAAAUAUUAUCCAUCUAAGAUCCUCUUUGAAGAAAGCCCUUGCUGUGAAAAGACUUGGUCUCUUAUAUUCUUAAAUAUGUCAACAUUUCUGGUUUGCCCAAUAACCCAUGCACCAAGCCUAAUGAUUUCUAUGAAAAAAGGUUCAUGAGCUUGCAGAAUGUCUUUUAGUUUACAUUCCCGUUUCCACAUAUAAAUUCCCGAUCCCAAAAAUUACAUUUUUGUUUCAUCCUUUACAUUUUUGUUUCAUCCUUUCUACGCUGUUAUCACCCCUACACAAUAGAAAUACUUAUGAUAUACAUACAUAAUGCAUAAUUGAUCAUCUAUUAGACACAUAGGAACUUCUCAGGCACUGGCACUUGAUGGCCUUUUGUCAAAUACAGAAAAUCCAAAUCAUCACGUCGCAUCAAUCCAUGUCGCCUCUCCUCCUUGCCUCCAUGGCCAGCCAGGAGAACCUUCACCGCACCACCAGUAAGCUCGACGGUAGCUAGCAACCUCAAGGUUAUUCAAGGAGGUGUUGCCCCUUUCUUCCACUACUUUCUUUGGCCAGAAGAGCAUCAGCGCAAAGAAGAGACCUAGGACGCCGGGGAUUUGACCUAACGUGGUGUUCUCCAGGUAGUAAAAGUUAAUGACAAGUACUCGUUCCGUUUCAAAAUAUAAGAUGUUUUAGCUUUGUGAAGUGAGUGUAUCUAGACUCUUUUGAUGUUUAGGUUCACUCUGAAAUAUACACUAAAGAUAUCUAGAUACAUUUGCUUCACAAAGCUAAAACGUCUUAUAUUUUGAAACGGAGGGAGUAGGUGUUAAAGGGGACGACCAGAAUUGAGAGUGUAGGAAAGGAGCAUGUCAUUUCGUGUAGGAUGCGGUUGUGUCCAGACCUGCUUCAAGAAUUGGAGUGUUUGUGGGGAGGCGUGACGAAAGGGGUCCAACGUUACGUUAUUUGAUUAACAUGGGUGGAGUUAAAGAAAGAAUGAUUAGUUUAAGGCUGAAGUAGUUUCUCCUAGUUGGUUUAUGAGGCGUAUGAAUUGAGCCGACGGUUCAGAUCAAACGACAAAGAUUAGUCCCAUAGAUCCAACAAGACAUAAUCAUUAGAAGAAAAUGUAAUAAAACUAAUAGUAUCAGGAUAGGCCUAGUCCCAUCAAUUGCCAAAGCAAUGCACAAAAUCCCCACGCAACUAUCUCCUGCGAGCACACCGCCGCCUCCACAUCCACCAGCCACUACGCCGCCGCCUCCACAUCCAGUCAUCCACCAGCCACCACGCCCCCACCUCCAUCUAUCCCAGGGCGACCACCCAUUCCACUGCCGAGCACUCUGCCGCCAGCUUGACAGCGUUCGUUACCUCGGCAACAUCGGACGCCUCAUCUUUGGAAGGUUGUGUCACUCUGUUGAAACCCUUGCUAUAAACCUAGCCUCCUUUGAUGGCAGCCCAGACUAUGCCCUGUUCGAUUUAUGGUUUCACUUACAGGUACGUGAGUGGUACUACUAAUUCUAAUUUCCUAGCAGACAUGAGCACCUAAUUAGAUGAGCCCUUAUGCAGCAAGAGACCCAGGAAAGCAUUCGUGAUGGAGAUUGGUCGUGCAACAUGAUGCUCUGGUUCUGCUUUGAAUUUCCUGCAUAUUUACCUUACUGACAAGCAUCACUGAAAUGGAAAUUAGAAUCAUCAAAUUAUGUUAGUUAUGAAGCAGGUUGAUGUUUGAACAAUUUGCCAAUGUCGGUGACACAACUAGUACACAUGAAAAGCCCAACAACCAUUGGUGUAUGUAGAUGAUAUGACCUUCAACCUUUUUAGUCUUUGUUCCAUUUACUGAAGUGUUGUAUCACUUAAUUCUGCGAAUCAUUUAUCAACCAAACCCAGGUAUCCAUUCUAAUUAUUUGUCUCAGUACCAAAGUAAUUGCAUGAAAAUAAUUAUUUGUUUUCCAUGGAAAAUAAUUUUUCAGCUGUAUUGUUUUGCCAAUUGUAUUUCUAGUAUCCUAUGCAUAUUAUUUACUGUUUCUUUUUCUUUAUAUACCAUGUAGUUUGUGAUUUCAGAAAACAAUCAAUCAAGUCUGUGAUACUCAUCUAUAUUCUGGUGAGUUAAAGAUCCAUAUGAAGUUUGUUGGGCAUCAUCUGAUCUUAUUCUAUGCCUUGUCUAGAGUUGAUUAGCUCUAGUGUUUAUAUUAGUAUUCUUAAUGCUCAAGUUUGUGUGUUCGAUUUGUUGGAAAACAGAUGAAUGCAACAACUGAUCAGGUUCAAGAAAGAUGAAGCAAGAAAUGUUGUUUCCCAGGCUCUAAAUCUAAAGCUUCCUUUUGAUGAGAAAGAUUUGAUGGAGGAGAACCUAGAGGUGGAGCUGAUCAGGAGGCAGCUGGGUCUUGAGCAUGUCAGGUCCUCAUGAUAAGUCAAUUUUGACGUUAAAUGUGAACCUAUUUCUAAGACGUGUCAAUCACAAUUUUUUCUCAAGGACCAAAUUAGUUGCUGAAAUCUGUUGUUUUCCCAAAUCAUCUAGUCUUCUUGGAGCUCUUUGUGUUAUCAUCAGUACUAGUACUUCUCAAGCAGAGCGAUAAUACUGAUAUAAAAAGGUACUUCUGCUUUUCAUUGGCAUAAUACAUGAAGAAUAAUAAGAGGGAAAAAGUGCAAGUAACAGUUGCAUGAUCAUGCAAGUCUUUGUGAGCACCUCCAUUUGUACUAGGAAUGUCAUAAUUUUCUGAAGAGUAUUGACUUUGGAAAGCAGGAGCUAAAAACCUAUUUUAGCCUGUUUAUGCUAUCAACAUUCUUGCUGAUGUCCAUGUUCUGCUCGAGGAUAUCAAAGAGAAGAAACAAAGAAUCAAGUAAAUUUUGAACCCCGUUGAAGAAUUGAUUGGAGGGAGCUAGCUCUUUAGCUCAGUAUGGGCUAUAGUGUUCACCAUUUAUUAUUGCAAAUGAACCAAGUGGUUCACCUGUAUGUAAGCUUCCGCGCACCUUUGGAAGGAGCGGCAGUCCCUCAUGGAGUGCGUAGACCUCUUGACCCCAUCCCUGUCGGUGAAGCUUGUUGGAAAUAUGAGCAAAUUACUAUGAGUUUUAAUCCAAAUAAACAGAUGAUAAAUCAUGACAGCACUAGCAGAGAUUAAACUAAUCAUGCGAACUAGCAUAGUAGAUGAACAAAUGACAUCUAGGGCACAUACUAGAAACAUGAAUUCUACCACGAUCUCGAAUAGGAAGGAUAGAAUCACAUACGAUGCAGCGGGUGCAGCACUGCCGGCGUUGACGUUGUCGCCCAUGUCGUCGAGGAUGAGGUUGCCGAGGUCGGGGAAGAAGUCGUCGUUUGCGAAGUCGUCGCUGCCAGCAGUCGCGCAAGUGCGCUCCCUAAAAACCUGAUCGCCCCUCUCCCAUACAGGAUCACGAGAGGCGGGGUUCCGGAGGCCUACUAUCCCUUCUCCCUGUGCACGCCGAAAGGAGGGAUGGAGAAGACUAGCUUGGCGGCGCAAUGAUCUGGAACGGUGGUGAGAAACCAUACGAAGCGGCGGCUACUAGAGUAGAUGUCUGCCUGACUAUAUAGUGCGGGCCGGGUAGGUCGUGGGAGUAAACCCCACGUCCGAGUCGUCACGAUCCAAAAGAAUCAGAAACGGUUCAGUAAUUAACUCGUCUGUUGAUUAUUAAUUAAUGACUCAUUAAUUUUUCCCGAGCAGCAAAAAUAUAGACAACGUACAUAGCUCUGUCCUUGGCUCGGCUCAACCCCGCAACCCGCGGCACGGUGCGGCAUGGGUUCCAAUCUUGAUGUGGACUCCUGUCGCCUCUGAUAACGGCAACGCACUAGAGACAUGGAGUGGAUGAGAUGUCGAUGAGGCGGGUGUCGACGAAAUCUUCGGCGCGAGGGGACGAGAUCCUCCGCGGUCCACCCGACGAUGGGGGUGAUGCUGGUGCAGGGGCUGGCAUGACCAGCGUAUCCAUACCCGACGUGAUCGGAGUACGAAGUUGAACGGACCCGAUGAUGUUGAUGUGGAAGCGGAGGCUCCUGAAAGUCAGAUCGAUACCCUCGUGGAGGGUGCUGAACACGGUGCAUUGCGCCAGGGUGUGUGGCAUGAACUCGAGGGAGCCGAAGAAGAUCUGCUCCGCAAGAGUCGACGAACCGCCAUUCGUCAAGAUGAGGAUCAGAGACUCCAUGGGUCAAGUAGACGAAAUUCCCACAGACGGCGCCAAUUGACGAGGGAGUACCUCGGCAAUGCCCACAGUUGUGGACUUAGGAUUUUGAUGAAUCAUGUCUACCGGUGGAAUCGACGAUCUAAACAUGAGGUGUGAAACACAAGACACAGAUUUACCCAGCUUCAGGCCUUUGUAAAGGAAACCCUACGUGCUGCUUGUUGGAUCUUUAUAUUGAUGGAGUGUACAAAGUCGUCGAGAUCGGAGACUAGGGUUAGCCCUUGCGCGUGGCCAAGGCUAGAUCAAUCAUGAGGGUGGUAGUGAGGUUUGUGUGCGUUAUUGUUGUGCCGACCUCGUACCCCUCUCCCAGCCUUUAUAGACUAGGUUGGGUCUCGAGUUCGUAUCAGGAUUGGUUUACAUCAUGGUAAGGGGCCCCUAUCUACUUACAAUAGCACUUCCUUACGGAUCACGUCAUGUCCGUGGACUUCCUGGGCUCCAAGCGUGCCGAUGACCUGGACCUCGAUUCCUUCCGGGCCGCGGGCCUCCUGAUAUCCGAUACCAGAUAUCCUUAUGGUGGGCAUCCGCACGGUCAUGCCCACAACAAUCAUCCAAAUUAUCAUGCCUAUCUUAAUGGCUACAAAGAAAGAGCUUUUGGGAGACAACCCAUUAUAUUUUUUCUUUCAGUUUAUUUUUGUUUCUUUGAGUCUUGGAAGUUAUUACCUCUAUAAUAACCUCUCCUUAUCCUUUUUGUUUCGUUUUUGUGCCAAGAAUAGCCUCUAAUGGGAGGAAAGUGAGAUUUGGGGAAGUUGUUGUCCCGAAACUGAUUUUGUACUGUCACCAAAAAAAAUAAUUCUCUUAGCCAGUACGUCAGAUUGAUCUGAAAUGUUUUAUGCCCAUGCCCCAGGUUGUUACCCAACUUUCAUUAGUUUUGCACUUCUCGAUUUCAGCAACAGAAGAUUUUUGAGAAAUCGGUAUUUACUUGCAGUUUUGUUUUGACAGAUUUUGCUGUUAUUUGCACUUGCCUCUUAAAACUUUUUUUUGGUUCUUCUUGAUCACUAGAGCUUUUAAAAGAAGUUGCUACAAUAGCUAAUGUUUUAAUGGAUGUUUUACUUCAGUUGAACUGAACCAAAGGAUUACUAUCUUGCAUACAUUAAUGUUGCUAAUGAAGAUUGUGUGAAGUUUUGUAUGAAGGAAGUUUUCAAGUGUAGGGAGAGAAUGAUGUGAUGAGAUGAAGUAUGGACAAAAUCUCGAGCUUGGGCAUGCCCCAUGUCACCCCAAGAAAUAUCCAAGAGGUACAAGCAUCCAAGCUUGGGGAUGACCAAGGCAUCCCCUUCUUCGUCAACCAAAUUUCAGGUCUUCUUUCAAGACGCUAUAUUUUUAUUGCUUCAUAUACUAUGUGUUGUUCUUGGAGCGUUAGUUGUUUUAGUUUUUGUUUAGUUUCGUUUUGGUUGCUGUAAUAAAUUCUUGGAUCCUAGUAUUCUUGUGUGGGAGAGAGACACGCUCCGUUUUCAUUGCCUAGAACAAUCUAGUUUUCACUCUUAUUGUUCUACGAGUGUUCUCUUCUACUAGUACUGCGUUUAGCUUUAGUUUUCCUUUCGUUUUUGUUCAGAACUUGCCAGUUCUUUUUAGUUAGGUGUGGUGAGCUCUCUGAUCUUUGUUUAUUAUUAGCUAUGAGAGUUGUUUCAAAUAAGUUUAUUGAUGUUGGAGAAGAGUAGAAUGUUUCAUGCUUAUAUUGGUACAAAAAAAAGCUUGUUUAGACUGUGGCUUAGACUUUAUCAUGUCAUGUUAGAUAUUUCGUUGAAUUUAUGCUUAGUGGUUAUUGUUUUAGCAUGACUUGUUUCUUGAGAUUGCUUAAUGUGCCAUUGAAAGAAUCAUGUGUUGUUUUUAUCAUACAAAAGCAUAAUAUUGUGGUAUUCUCCUUUGUUGCUUUAUUUGGGUUGACUUGGCACAUGCUUACACCAUGUUAUGACUAUGAACCAGGCACCUUGCGCUUAUUCCUAUUCAGUUGAGAUCAUGAUCUUUUGUUUAUGGAUGCCUAGUGAUACGUCUUCGUCGUAUCUAUAAUUUUUGAUUGUUCCAUGCUAAUAUUCUUCAACUUUCAUAUAUUUUUGGCAAGUUUUUAUACUAUUUUUGGGACUAACAUAUUGAUCCAGUGCCCAGUGCCAGUUCCUGUUUGUUUCAUGUUUUAUGUUUCGCAGAAAACCAAUAUCAAACGGAGUCCAAACAGGAUAAAAACGGAUGGAGAAUUAUUUUGGAAUAUUUGGGAUUUUCCAGAGGAAGAAUCAAUGUGAAACAGUGUCCGAGGUGGCCAGGAGAUAGGGGGGCGCGCCCUCCCCCCUAAGCGCUCCUGGCACUCUCCUAGGCCACCCAUAAGGCAGUUGACGCUCUUCUUUUGCCGCAAGAAAGCUAAUUUUAAGAGAAAAAUCUGGGCGAAAGAUUCACCCCAAUCGGAGUUAAGGAUCUCCAGAUAUAAAAGAAACGGUGAAGGGGCAGAAUCUGAGAACGCAGAAACAGAGAGAUAGAUCCAAUCUCGGAGGGGCUCUCGCCCCUCCCAAGCCAUGGGAGCCAAGGACCAGAGGGGAAACCCUUCUCCCAUCUAGGGAGGAGGUCAAGGAAGAAGAAGAAGAAGAAGGGGGGCUCUCCCCCCUUGCUCCCGGUGGCGCCGGAAUGCCGCCGGGGGCCAUCAUCAUCACCGCGAUCUUCACCAACACCUCUGGCAUCUUGAUCAACGUCGCCAUCACCUUCCCCCAUCUAUAUUCAGUGGUCCACUCUCCCGCAACCCGCUAUACCCUCUACUUGAACAUGGUGCGUUAUGCUUCAUAUUAUUACGCAAUGGUGUGUUGCCAUCCUAUGAUGUUUGAGUAGAUUUCCAUUGUCCUAUCGGUGAUUGAUGAAUUGCUAUGAUUGGUUUGAGUUGCAUGCUUUAUUAUUGGUGAUGUCCUAUGGCGCUCUCCGUGUCGCGCAAGCGUGAGGGAUCCCCGCUGUAGGGUUUGCAAUAUGUUUAUGAUUUUCUUAUGGUAGGUGGCGUGAGUGACAGAAGCACAUACCCGAGUAAGUAGGUUGUUCGCGUAUGGGAUAAAGAGGACUUGAUACUUUAAUGCUAUGGUUGGGUUUUACCUUAGUGAUCUUUAGUAGUUGUGGAUGCUUGCUAGAGUUCCAAUCAUAAGUGCAUAUGAUCCAAGUAGAUAAAGUAUGUUAGCUUAUGCCUCUCCCUCAAAUAGAAUUGCAAUAGUGAUUACCGGUCUAGUAAUGUAGUCAAUUGCUUAGGGACAAUUCCAAAACUCCUACCACCACUUUUCCACACUCGCUAUAUUUAUUUUAUUGCUUCUUUAUCUAAACAACCCCUACUUUUUAUUUACGUGUUCUUUAUUAUCUUGCAAACCUAUCCCAACAGCACCUACAAAGUACUUCUAGUUUCAUACUUGUUCUAGGUAAAGUGAACACUAGGCGUGCGUAGAGUCGUAUCAGUGGCAGAUAGGGCUUGAGAGAGUAUUUGUUCUACGUUUAUCUCCUCGUUGGGUUCGACACUCUUACUUAUCGAAAGAGGCUACAAUUAUCCCAUAUACUUGCGGGUCAUCAAGGCCUUUUUCUGGCGCCGUUGCCGGGGAGUCAUAGCGUGGGGUGAAUAUUCUUGUGUGUGCUUGUUUGAUUUAUCACUAAGUAAUUUUUAUUUACUGUUCUUAGUUGUUCUCUAUCUUUAGUUAUGGAUAUGGAACACGAAAUACCAAAACAAUUAGGUGUACUUCAUACUCAUGGAGAUGGGGAACCUCCUAAAACCCUCAAUGCUCGUUAUGUGAAAGACAUUAUGUACUACUUUAAUAAUCCUGAGAAAAACCCAUUCAAUUAUGUUAUGGGAGACACGUUGGAUCAACGUGAAUACUUUAGGGAUUAUCGCUUGACACAAAAAGGGAAACUAUUAUGGGAUCAAAAUAAUAUGUUGCGUUGGUAUGCUCGGGAUUUAUGCUUGAGAUAUGAUAUUACUUGUUGCUCUAGGAUGAAGGCUCCACACCUUCCCCUUUCAUGCAAACCUUAGCUUCUUAUGCUAGAGGUAUGUAUGAUUACUAUGAUGUUGAACAAAUUGAAGAAUUUGUUGCUUUUAAGGCUGCCUAUGAAAUUGAAUCUUUGUUUGAAAAGUAUGAAGCUUUAUAUGAUGAUGUUUAUAGGCCUAAAAAUUAUGCUAUAUUGAAAUAUUUCUACGAAAAUUAUGAAUACAAUUACAAUUUUAAUGCAUUUGUUGAGAAAGUCUCCGCUGUCCAAGAAGAGACUAAUAUUUUGCAGGAAGCUAUGGAAGAAGAAAUUGAUGAAACUGUGAGCCCAUUGGAUGAAAAAGAUGAUGAGGAGAGCGAAGAACAAAAGGAGGAAGAGCGGAUUGAUCACCCGUGCCCACCUUCUACUGAGAGUAACUCUUCAACUCAUACAUUGUUUAAUUCCCCUUCGUGCUUACCAAAGGAUGACUGCUAUGAUGAUUGCUAUGAUCCCGUUGAUUCUCUUGAAAUAUCCAUUUUUGAUGAUACUUGCUUGCUUGUGGCCCAGAUGCCAAUAUGAAUUAUGCUUAUGGAGAUGAACUUGCUAUAGUUCCUUAUGUUAAACAUGAAAUUGUUGCUAUUGCACCCACACAUGAUAGUGCUAUUAUCUUUUUGCAUUCUCCCGACUACACUAUAUUGGAGAAGUCUGUUCUUAUUAAGGAUUAUAUUGAUGGGCUGCCUUUUACCAUUACAUGAUAAUUUUGAUGAAUGUGAUAUUCAUGUGCUUGCUGCUCUACUUGCAAUUAUUAUGAGAGAGGAACUAUAUCUCCACCUCUCUAUGUUUCCAAUAUGAUAAAAUUGCAAGAAACUACUUAUACUAUGUGUCGGCCUUUACUAUGUGUGCAUCAAUUGUUCUUUUAUGACAUGCCGAUGCAUAGAAAGAUAGUUAGACUUCGUUUUUGCAUGAUAUAUGUUACUUUGUGCUCACUACUAAAUUACAAAUCAUUGUUAAUUAAAAUUGUCUUUGAUAUACAUUGGGAUCUGGGUGGAUUCAUUAUUUGAGCACUAUAUGCCUAGCUUAAUGGCUUUAAAGAAAGCGCUGCCAGGGAGACAACCUGGAAGUUUUAGAGAGUCAUUUAUUUCUGUUGAGUUCUUUUAUAUAGUUUAAAAAAAGAGGGGAACCUAAAAACUUUUCAAAAAGGAAAGUGAAAGUGAGAGAGACAAGCAUUGUUGAAGUGGGAGAGCUCCUUGAACUUUGUUCAUGCUCACGGAAACUUUGUGAAUCUUGAUUACAGAAACUUUUCAUCAAAAAUAAUUAUCCCCUUGUACAAUUCCAUUGUAUAUAAAAAUAAUGUGCCAAGGUUUGCCUUUAGGAUGUUUACAAUGCUUGUUGGUUUGUACGGUGCAGGACAGAAACUUUGGCUGUAGUGCUUGAUUUUACAUUUUUUGCUGGAACAUCAAAUGGUUCUGAUUCCUUUUGCACUGUCUUUCUGUACACCUUUGUUAUGUUUCCUAAUUUUGGUAGAUUUUUUGGGGUACCAGAAUUAUGGUGAAUGUUCAGAUUUCUACAGACUGUUCUGUUUUUGACAGAUUCUGUUUUUGAUGCAUAGUUUGCUUGUUUUGAUGAAUCUAUCAAUUUAUAUCAGUGGAUUAAGCCAUGGAAAAGUUAUAUUACAGUAGACACAAUGCAAAAACAAAAUAUGAAUUGGUUUGCAACAGUACUUAGAGUGGUGAUUUGCUUUAUUAUACUAACGGAUCUUACCGAGUUUUCUGUUGAAGUUUUGUGUGGAUGAAGUGUCUAAUCGAGGAGGUCUCGAUAUGAGGAAAAGGAAGAGAGGCAAGAACUCAAGCUUGGGGAUGCCCGAGGCACCCCAAGUAAAUAUUUAAGGAGACUCAAGCGUCUAAGAUUGGGGAUGCCCCGGAAGGCAUCCCCUCUUUCUUCAACAAGUAUUGGUGUGUUUUCGGAUUCGUUUCGUUCAUGCGAUAUGUGCAAGUCUUGGAGCGUCUUUUGCAUUUAGUUUUCAUUUUCCUUUAUGCACCAGGCUGGUAUGAGAUAGUCCUUGGUUGAUUUAUAUAAUUCUCAUUUCACUUCACUUAAAUCUUUUGAGUGUGGCUUUAUAGAAUGCUUCAUGUGCUUCACUUAUAUCAUUUGAAGUUUGGAUUGCCUGUUUCUCUUUACAUAGAAAACCGCCAUUUGUAGAAUGCUCUUUUUGCUUCACUUAUAUUUGUUAGAGCAUGGACAUAUCUUUUUUAGAAAGAAUUAAACUCUCUUGCUUCACUUAUAUCUAUUUAGAGAGAUGACAUGAAUUGAUCAUUCACAUGGUUAGUCAUAAAAUACUACAUAAACUUGUAGAUCGCUGAAUAUGAUAUGUUUGAUUCCUUGCAAUAGUUUUGUGAUAUAAAGGUGGUGAUAUUAGAGUCAUGCUAGUGGGUGGUUGUGGAUUGUAGAGACACUUGUGUUGAGGUUUGCAAGUCCCGUAGCAUGCACGUAUGGUAACCGUUGUGUGACAAAUUUGAAGCAUGGGGUGUUUCUUUGAUUGUCUUCCUUAUGAUUGGCGGUCGGGGACGAGCAAUGGUCUUUUCCUACCAAUCUAUCCCCCUACGGGCAUGCAUCGUAGUACUUUGCUUCGAGGGCUAAUAAACUUUUUUCAAUAAGUAUAUGAGUUCUUUAUGACUAAUGUGAGUCCAUGGAUUAUACGCACUUUUACAUUUCCAUCAUUGCUAGCCUCUUCAGUACCGUGCAUUGCCCUUUCUCACCUCAAGAGUUGGUGCAAACUUCGCCGGUGCAUCUAAACCCCGUGAUAUGAUACGCUCUAUCACACAUAAGCCUCAUUAUAUCUUCCUCAAAACAGCCACCAUACCUACCUAUCAUGGCAUUUCCAUAGCCAUUCCCAGAUAUAUUGCCAUGCAACUUCCAUCAUCAUCACAUACAUGACUUGAGCAUUUAUUGUCAUAUUGCUUUGCAUGAUCAUAAGAUAGCUAGCAUGAUGUUUUUAUGGCUUAUCUAUUUUUUGAUGUCAUUGCUACGCUAGAUCAUUGCACAUCCCGGUACACCGCCGGAGGCAUUCAUAUAGAGUCAUAUAUUUGUUCUAGUAUCGAGUUGUAAGUAAAUAAAAGUGUGAUGAUCAUCAUUAUAGAGCAUUGCCCCAUAAAAAAAGAAAAAGGAAAGGCCAAAGAAGCCUAAAUAAAAAAGGGGGCCAAAGAAGAACACCGAAAAAGAAAAAAAAAGAAAAAAAGAAAGAAAAAAGAAAAAGAAAAGGGGCAAUGUUACUAUCCUUUUACCACACUUGUGCUUCAGAGUAGCACCAUGUUCUUCAUAUAGAGAGUCUCAUAUGUUGUCACUUUCAUUUACUAGGGGGAAUUUUCAUUAUAGAACUUGGCUUGUAUAUUCCAAUGAUGGGCUUCCUCAAAUUCCCUAGGUCUUCAUGAGCAAGCAAGUUGGAUGCACACCCACUUAGCUUUCAGUUUGAGCUUUCAUACACUUAUAGAUCCUAGUGCAUCCGUUGCAUGGCAAUCCCUACUCCUCGCAUUGACAUCAAUUGAUGGGCAUCUCCAUAGCCCGUUGAUUAGCCGCGUCGAUGUGAGACUUUCUCCCUUUUUGUCUUCUCCAUAUAAACCUCCACCAUUAUAUUCUAUUCCACCUAUAGUGCUAUAUCCAUGGUCUGCGCUCAUGUAUUGAGUGAGGGUAGAAAAAGCUGAAGCGCGUUAAAAAGUAUGAACCAAUUGCUCGGCUUGUCAUUGGGGUUGUGCAUGAUGGGAGCAUUUUGUGUGACGAAAAUGAAGCAUGGCCAAACUAUAUGAUUUUGUAGGGAUAAGCUUGCUUUGGCCUUGUUGCUUUGAAAAGACAUGAUUGCUUUAUUAGUACGCUCAAAGUAUUAUUGUUUUUUAUGUCAAAUGAUAGACUAUUUCUUUGAAUCACUCGUAUCUUAAUAUUCAUGCCAUGAUUAGACAUAUGAUCAAGAUUAUGCUAGGUAGCAUUCCACAUCAAAAAUUAUCUUUUUUAUAAUUUACCUACUCGAGGACGAGCAGGAAUUAAGCUUGGGGAUGCUGAUACGUAUCCGUAGUAUCUAUAAUUUUUGAUUGUUCCAUGCCAAUAUUCUUCAACUUUCAUAUAUUGUUGGCAACUUUUUAUACUAUUUUUGGGACUAACAUAUUGAUCUAGUGCCCAGUGCCAGUUCCUGUUUGUUGCAUGUUUUAUGUUUCGCAGAAAACCAAUAUCAAACGGAGUCCUAAUGGGAUAAAAAUGGACGGAGAAUUAUUUUGGAAUAUUUGGGAUUUUUCGGAGGAAGAAUCAAUGCGAAACAGUGUCCGAGGUGGCCAGGAGAUAGGGGGGCCCGCCCUUCCCCCUGGGCACGCCUGGCACUCUCCUGGGCCACCUGUAAGGCGGUUGACGCUCUUAUUUUGCUCCAAGAAAGCUAAUUUUAUGAGAAAAAUCUGGGCAAAAGAUUCACCCCAACCGGAGUUACGAAUCUCCAGAUAUAAAAGAAACGGUGAAGGGGUAGAAUCUGAGAACGCAGAAACAGAGAGAUAGAUCCAAUCUCGGAGGGGCUCUCGCCUCUCCCAAGCCAUGGGAGCCAAGGAACAGAGGGGAAACCCUUCUCCCAUCUAGGGAGGAGGUCAAGGAAGAAGAAUAAGAAGGGGGCUAUCUCCCCCUUGCUUUCGGUGGCGCCGGAACGCCGCCGGGGGCGAUCAUCAUCACCGCGAUCUUCACCAACACCUCUGCCAUCUUCAUCAACAUCUCCAUCACCUUCCCCCAUCUAUAUUCAGUGGUCCACUCUCUCGCAACCCACUGUAUCCACUACUUGAACAUGGUGCUUUAUGCUUCAUACUAUUAACCAAUGAUGUGUUGCCAUCCUAUGAUGUCUGAGUAGAUUUCCGUUGUCCUAUCGGUGAUUGAUGAAUUGCUAUGAUUGGUUUGAGUUGCAUUCUUUAUUAUUGGUGUUGUCCUAUGGUGCUCUCCAUGUCGUGCAAGCGUGAGGGAUCCCCGCUGUAGGGUUUUCAAUAUGUUCAUGAUUUGCUUAUGGUGGGUGGCGUGAGUGACAGAAGCAUAGACCCGAGUAAGUAGGUUGUUUGCGUAUGGGAUAAAGGGGACUUGAUACUUUAAUGCUAUGGUUGGGUUUUACCUUAAUGAUCUUUACUAGUUGUGGAUGCUUGCUAGAGUUCCAAUCAUAAGUGCAUAUGAUCCAAGUAGAGAAAGUAUGUUAGCUUAUGCCUCUCCCUCAAAUAGAAUUGCAAUAGUGAUUACCGGUCUAGUAACGUAUUCAAUUGCUUAGGGACAAUUCCACAACUCCUACCACCACUUUUCCACACUCGCUAUAUUUAGUUUAUUGCUUCUUUAUCUAAACAGCCCCUACUUUUUAUUUACAUGUUCUUUAUUAUCUUGCAAACCUAUCCCAACAACACCUACAAAGUACUUCUAGUUUCAUACUUGUUCUAGGUAAAGCGAACACUAAGCGUGCGUAGAGUCGUAUCAGUGGAAGAUAGGGAUUGAGAGAGUAUUCGUUCUACCUUUAGCUCCUCGUUGGGUUCGACACUCUUACUUAUCGAAAGAGGCUACAAUUAUCACGUAUACUUGCGGGUGAUCACCUAGCGGUGUGAAAUAAAUGGGAAACUUGUAAGUUCAUGGAGUUUGUAUAUGAGUUAGAGAAACGCCUGGGCAUACAACCCAAGCCAUGCAUAAUUCAUGGUGGAAAUUUACAACAUAACCAUAGUGAGCAUUCUAUGGAGAAUCUUCAAUAAAAAAAACUAUGCCCAUGGUAAUAAAAGGAUUGCUGAGAUGCUCAUUGUCUGUUGCCUUGUCAUUUUGGUAUGGGAUAGCUCUUGUGUCAUGGGGCAAGGGGUACACCAUUGGCGGUUAUCUAUGAUACAUGUAUACUUACAAUGACAAGAACUUAUUUGGGACCUAAGUUGAGUAGCAUGAGGUUUAGGUACUCGUAUUCAAGGGGCAUGAGGCUUUCAACUUGUGAUUUGUCAAGCAUACAACUCAUAUUUGCCCUCACUUUAACCUUAACCAUUCAAGAUGCGUAUGAUAGGGGCGAUGAGAGCUCAAAUCUAAUGAGGACCAUAAUUUUUGGAAGCUUUAUAAAACUUAUUAAUCCCUACUUACCUCUACGAAUGGCCUUUCUUUUACUUUUUUGUUGAGUCUUCAUCUUCUAUCUUUAUGCACCAACUAAGAGAGCAUAGUUGUCAUUCUGAGUAUAAUGUGCAUUGUCCCAAAACUUGUUGAUUGAUUCAUGAUUAUGGUAUUGCUUAUUCUCAAAUUAUUUGUAUCUAGUCACCCUUUUGAACUUUGAAGGUGUCCUAUACAUUUAUGUUUUGCUACUCCAUGAAGGACAAGCUAAAUACCACUUUGCUAUGUUUUCUCUGUGUGCGAAACAAACAAAUGUCUUUCAAAGCAUUAUUCAUGAUCUUUUGUUUAUGUUGCCUUUCAUGUAGUAACAUAGUUGCUAUGUUCUAUUGUUAGAAAUAUAUCUUUCAUACAUAUGUUUAGAGUACUUUGAUCCCAGCUUAUAAUGUUUUACAAUGAUGAUGAUCAAGAAUGUAUUGGCUUCAUGUCACCUCAAAAAUUAUUUUUGUUAUCACUUACCUACUCGAGGACGAGCAGGAGUUAAGCUUGGGGAUGAUGAUACGUUGCAAACGUAUCUAUAAUUUUUGAUGCUCCAUGCUUGUUUUACACCAAUUACUUUAUGUUUUGUUUACACUUUGUGGCAUUUUUAUGUAUUUUCUGGAACUAACCUAUUGACAAGAUGCCACAAUGCCAGUUCCUUGUUUUCUGCUGUUUUUGUGUUUUAGAGAAAUUAGUAAAGAAAUAUUCUCACAAUUGGACAAAACAAACGCCAAAGUUACUAUUUUUCUCGAUACGACACAGAGUCCAAAGCAGAGACGAAGGAGGGCACUAAGGCGGCCACACCAUAGCCAGGCGAGGGCCCACCUCUAGCCGCACGGCCCUAGGGUGUGGGCCUGUCGGGCGUCCACCGACAUUUCCCUUCCGCCUAUACAAUGCCCCCGAGGCGAAAACUCUAAAUAAUUAAGCCUCCGUCCAUGAAAAGUUCCGCCGCGCCGCCACCAUCAAAGACGAGAUUCGGGGGAUAGAAGUCUCUGUUCCGGCACCCUACCGGGAUGGGGAAUUGCCUCCGGAGCCAUCUCCAUCAACUCCACCGCCAUCUUCAUUGCCGUUGCUAACUCCCAUGAUGAGGAGGGAGUAGUUCUCCCCCGAGGCUGAGGGCUCUACCGGUCGCUAUGUGGUUUAUCUCUCUCUCCCAUGGUGUGAUCUUUAUGUGAUCAUGAGCUUUGUAAUCUGGUUGAUUUAGUAGAUGUUACUCUCAUCUAUUAUGCUACUCAAGUGCUUUUAUUAAUGUGAUCUCCGGAGACACCUUGUCCCACGGUGUGAAGGUGACAGUGUGCGCACCGUGUGUGGCUCUUAGGCUAAAGAUUACAGAAAUACUUAUCAUGAGUUAUAAUUUGAGUUGGAUGUAUCUAUGAAAUUGUGGUGUUUGUUUGGAACCAUCUAGAGCUCAAGGUGACAGUGUGGAGUUACCUAGAUGGGGAAUGCGAACUUUAAGGUGUGCUUUUAUAGCCCUACGUGGUGAAUUGGUGUUCGUUAUCCAACCGGAGAGUAGUUCAGAGUAGCAUAGUGAAGAGAAGAUGUUUAUGUGUUCAAUUAUGAUAUCAUUGUUGAGAGUGUCCACUAGUAAAAGUAUGAUCCCUACGUUUUGUUUCUAAGCAUUGAAACACCGUUUACAACCAGUUCUGCUACAUGUUUGCUUGCUGCCAUUUUUAUUUCAGAUUGCAAUUACCACUUAUAAUAAUCCAUAUACUUGUAUUUCACUAUCUCUUCACCGAACUAGUGCACCUAUACACCUGACAAGUGUAUUGGGUGUGUUGGGGACACAAGAGAGUUCUUGUAUCUUAAUUGCAGGGUUGCUUGAGAGGGAUAUCUUUGACCUCUUCCUCCCUGAGUUCGAUAAACCUUGGGUGAUUCACUUAAGGGAAACUUGCUACUGUUCUACAAACCUCUGCACUUGGAGGCCCAACACUGUCUAUAAGAAUAGAAGCGUGCGUAGACAUUAAGCUUUUUUCUGGCGCCGUUGCCGGGAGGUAAGGUAAAAGGAACUCACAUCCUCUGGCUACUAAGCUAUCUUCUAGUACUGUUGCUGGUGUGUGAGUGUUCAAAGUUAUUUCCUUUAGAUUCUGCAAUUAUAUCUUUUUGUUUCUUGUUUUUAUUUUCACUAGUUAGGCUUAACGGAAAACAACAACAAAAUUAGAGAGCUUUAUAGUAUUUUUCCUGAGUUAGGACAUGAAGUGUUUGAAGAGAAAAUUAAAAAACCUAUGGAACUUGAUUUGCAAGCUAAUAGAAAUGUUAUUAGUAUGAAUUAUUUGAACACCAUUAUUGCUAAUGCUAUGGAAAAGUCUAAGCUUGGGGAAGCUGUUUUUUAUGAAAAUGGUCUCUUUAGUUCCCCAGCUUUAGAGGAGAAUUUUUUCUCUGAUGAUACUUUAUCUCCCAUAUGUGAUAAUUCUAAAGAAGAGGUACCUAUGAUUUGGGCCAUAAGGGAGCGGCACAUGAAGGAGGCUCUGGGGUAUUGCUGCAUGGAGCGAGCGGACCAUAGGUGCUCCCGUGCGUGGUGGUUUAGGCCACGUUUGAGCGGCACAUAGGUUUUGCCCACCGAUCACGAGCGACGAGGAGCCAGCGAGCGACCACGUCAGAUCUGAUUUUUAAAUCAGAACGUUUCUAAAUUACAAAUAAAUUUGAUAAUCUGAAUGCUUUUCCAAUUCGAAACAUUUUGAAAAAUAUGAAUACUAUUUUUCCUUUUCUUUUUCUAGUGUUUUCAAAAUCAGAACGGUUUUAAAAUUUGAAUGAUUUAAAAUUGAACAAGUUUAAAAUUUGAACAAAUUUCUACAUUAAUAUUGUUCAUAAUCUGAAAAUUUACGAAAUCUGGAUAAUUUGAGCAACUCUAAAAUUGAACGAUUUUAGAUUCUGAACGAUUUUUAAAUUUGAACGAUUUUCAAAUUUGAAAUUUUUUCAAAAUUUGAAACAUUUUCAUAAUCUGAACGUUUUGAACAAUCUGAACAUUUUUAAAAUUCGAACAUCUUUAGAAUCUAAACAGAAAAAGCAGGAAAAAGGGAAAAAUAAAAGAAACAUAGCGAAAACCAAUCGAAAAACCGCAGCAAAAAAGUGAAAGAACCGUGCAGAGAAACCCGAAAAAACCAGCCCCGGAUUUUCUGUUGAUUUACCUAUAUGGGUUGGCCAAAUAGCGCAAGGUUGCCUGUCGCAGCUAUAUAUCACAAUGAGCGAUGUAUAAGGAUCCCCGAUACUACCGUAGCGAAUCGAGCAUAUCAUCACCAUCGAGACGUUGACGCUCCAAAAAAUACAUUUUAUUUCCAUCAUUGCGUUUUAAUGUUGUUUCUACGUAGUACAGAAGAUAUCUUUUUUUAUAGACAAUACCAUGAUAUAUCAUAGUAGGAAAUAGUAUAUGGUACAGAUACAUAAGCUGUCUCCGGCGAUUAUAAAAUAAGCAAGCACACAUCAACAAACAAGAUAACUCUUUUAUACGUGAUAAGCAACCUCAAACCAAUAAACAGUACAUCUAUUUCAUUCAGUACAACGGCAUAAGAUUUUUUAUUCUUAACAGGUUUUACGAAUUUAGUGCUCAUAUGCAGGAGUAAUUGUUCCGGGGAGCCAAACCGCAAUGUCAUGCAACCUCCACAAUGCAUGAAAUUUCUAUCUUCUUGUGGUGACGUAAUUUACUCCACCCAAGAUUCUUCUUAACAAUCGAUACUACAUAUAUUUAAAAUAGUUCAUGGACACUACAGGAAACGGGCAAUAGGCCGACGGCCCGACGCCGUCGGCAUAGGCCAAAUAACCCGCGCCACAGGCUAUAGUCGAGGGCGGCCGUGGGCGUAUCGCCCUCGGGUCCUUCAGGUAUCUGCGUACAGGUAUUUGUCGUUGGCGUAGAGGAUGCCCUCGAUGUAGACUUGGCAGGCCCAUCGCUAACAGAUGACGGCCGUUAGACGUCGAACAGGCUACACCGACGGCUUUGCCCUCGGGCUAGAUUUUCGAUUUUUUUCCAACUUUUUUCCAAAAAAAAAUUCAAUUUUUUUUUCAGACUUGUUAAUUUCACAACGGACAUUUUUAACUCUCAGCACGUUUAAUGUAAAAUCAAAUUGCACUUGUGGUCAAACUUCCCGCUCGGCCACCCAUCCUCACACUACUCCAACCCCAACACGCUUAACUUCUCCAUUCCUUCCGGAUGACCUAUCAAGAAAGAAAUCAUAUCUUAGUGAUAAUAGUACCAUAUCAAUCAUAUUAACCCUUGGACUGUGGUGUCACACCUUUUUAUUUUUGAAUUCCAUACAAAUACUUAAAUACACAAUAAUGAAUAAGUAAUAAUAAUAAUAUUUUUCAAUUCAAAUAAAAUAAAAUAAUUAAUAUUUUUCUUUUUCUAUUUAAUAUGGAAUAUUUAAUAUCUUUAAAUCCUUAAAUCUGAAUUUGACAAAUAAUAUGUCUAAACCUAUCAAAAAAUGAGGAGAAUCCAAAUAUAACAUCCAUAUCGUCUUGUGAAUCUAAAAAAAUGAUAUUUCCAAAAAAAAAUCAUGAGCAUAAGAUCAUGUAUGUGUAGUUCAAAUUGACCAUAGUUCAAAUCGAGCAUUAGGUACAUGUAUUUUUUUAAAUAUAUGUAGACCAUGUAUAUCGACUUGAAUCAUUAGUAUGUGACAUAAGAAGAUUAUGUGGGCAGGUUUUUCAUAUUUUUUGAAUUUUUUAUGCUGAUUUCAUUUUUUUCUGAAAUGUGUAAUAUUUAAGUGUAUAUAGAGAGAUCUUAUUCUUCUGCAAAUUUGAUAUAUUAUUUGUAUUUAUCUUAAUUAUAAUGAUUCAGUUAUGAUUUUUCUAAAAUUAAUAUGAUAAAAUGGAAAAUAGCUAUGCCGGCGGCAUUGCCGUCGGCAUUGCCGGCGGCGUAGCUUCAAAACCUAUGCCGAGGGCUUUGCCCUCGGCGUGGACCGUCCGCCUUGACGCGGUCGUAACACUGUUAGCCUGGGUUGGCCUACACCGAGGCUGGCAUAUACCCCGAGGGCAGCUGUCGGCCCAGACAUGGGUACACCGAGGGCCUAUCCUAUGCCAAGGCCGGGCGGGCGGGCGGGCUGGAUUGCCAGCCCUCUACGCCGACGGCCCCGAUGUUUUCCGUCGGCGUAGAGGCUGGCCGUCGGCUCCAGACAUCAGUCCUGUAGUGGGUGAAGAUACACAAGCUGUUUUCAGCGAUUAUAAAAUAAAGUACAUAUAAGAAUAUGAGCAAAUCUACGAGGUCUUUAAACUCUUCUUUUACAUCACAGGCAGCCAAAUUGACAUGCCAUAAAUACCAAACGAUAGGCUCGUAAAUACCGACGAUGGUUCUCCCAUAUUUUUAAAUCUAAGCCGCAAUGCCAUGGCUACGUGCAUGCGCGCAACCAUUAAACUAAUCACCCGACAUCAGCGAGAGCAACAACACCAGUAUUCCAGGGAAAAAGAGACCGAACAGCCUGGUCGACAUCGCUAGAGUGCCGAAAGUACGAAUCACCAUUGUCGAUGGUGUAGCAUCUGGGAUAAAUAUUACAAGGACUAGUUCAAUGCCCGUGCGUUGCAACGGCCUCUAAAAUAUUUUAUUUCUGCACAUGUAAGCAUAAUACAUCUCAAUAUUUUGUCGCAUAUAGAAAGAUAGAGAAAUAUAGUAUUCAAGAAACUAUAGAAUUAUACAUUUUGAUGUGAUUGGACAAAAAGUUAUAGUUUGAUUUCUAUGCAUAGUAAUAGAAAACCCAUAUACUCAUCUUAUUCUUAGUUAGGUGUGUUAAACUAUAUAGUUAUCACAUACGGUUAGUAUCUUGGAUUGUAGUUAUCUUGUAUAACAACCUGUACUUAUCCUCCUGUAAACCCUAGCGGCAGCCCUAGAGGCGCCCUAUAUAAUGAUCCUGAGACCACCGCAUUAGGUGUGUCGAUCCAAUCUCUUCUCUCUUUGUUUCACAAGGUAUCAGGCCAUCUCGCAUAACUGCUCGAUGGGUUCUCCUUCCUCCGGCGCCAUGACUUCCUCGACCCUGGCUUCUCUGCCCAUGCCCUCUGGGCUCUCGGCGGCGACAUCUUCCGCUGUUCCCCAACCCUCUGCUAGCCUCAUUACUGCCAAGCUUACCCCCUCCAACUUCCUCCUCUGGAAAGCACAGAUCCUUCCUCCCCUUUGCAUCGCCGGUAUCACUUGGCUAUGUCGACAGCACCACCCCUACUCCUCCUUGCAUCCUCCCAGCUCAUGACAAGGGGGGGGGGGCGCUCCUAACCCGGAGUAUGCUGCCUGGUUCCGUCAGGAUCAGAUCAUCCUGAGCUAUCUUCUUGCCUCGCUCACCGAUGAUGUGCUUCAGCAGGUCCAUCUGGGCGCACCUCGGGGAGAUGUAUGUUACCCACUGCCGUGCCAGUGUGGUGCAGAUCAAGAUGGACAUGAUGAACUUCCGCAAGGGCAACCUCUCCAUGGUGGACUAUAUCGCCAAGAUCCGCUCCAAUGCAGAUCAGCUCGCCGCCGCGGGCCGUCCCAUGUGCCAGGAGGACAUCAUCACCGCCUUCAUCACCGGGCUCGACAACGAGUACGAGCCCCUCAUCACUGCCAUCAUGACUCGCAUCAACGUCAUGACCUUGGGAGAACUCUACUCCCAUGCCAUCUCCUUCGAAAGCCGCCGCGAGUACCACGCGGCUCGUCUUCAACUGUUGGGGAUCGUAGCAGAAAUUUAAAAUUUUCUACGCAUCACCAAGAUCAAUCUAUGGAGUCAUCUAGAAACGAGAGAGAGAGAGAGAGGAGUGCAUCUACAUACCCUUGUAGAUCGUGAGCGGAAGCGCUCAAGAGAACGGGGUUGAUGGAGUCGUACUCGUCGUGAUCCAAAUCACCGAUGAUCCUAGCGCCGAACGGACGGCACCUCCGCGUUCAACACACGUACGGAGCGGAGACGUCUCCCGCGCCUUGAUCCAGCAAGGAGGAGGGAGAGGUUGAGUAAGAGGGCUCCAGCAGCAGCACGACGGCGUGGUGGUGAUGGAGAGGCAGUACUCCGGCAGGGCUUCGCCAAGCUAUGACGGAGGAGGAGAGGUGUUGGGGAGGGGAGGGGCUGCGCCUUGGAGGUGUGUGUGCAGCCCUCCCCUCGCCCCUCUAUUUAUAGGGGGAGGAGGAAGGGGGCCGGCCCCCUCUAGAUGAGAUCUAGAGGAGGGGGCGACGGCCAAGGGGGGAGGNNNNNNNNNNNNNNNNNNNNNNNNNNNNNNNNNNNNNNNNNNNNNNNNNNNNNNNNNNNNNNNNNNNNNNNNNNNNNNNNNNNNNNNNNNNNNNNNNNNNNNNNNNNNNNNNNNNNNNNNNNNNNNNNNNNNNNNNNNNNNNNNNNNNNNNNNNNNNNNNNNNNNNNNNNNNNNNCCCUCUAAGGGCUGGUUCCCUUCCCUCUACGGCCCAUGAGGCCCUCCGGGAGAGGUGGCCCCUCCCGGUGGACCCCUGGAACCCUUCCGGUGGCCCCUAUACAAUACCGGUAUGCCUCCGAACUUUUCCGGUGACAGUAUUAAAACUUCCCAUAUAUAAAUCUUCACCUCCAGACCAUUUCGGAACUCCUCAUGACGUCCGGGAUCUCAUCCGGGACUCCGAUCAACAUUCGGUAAUCACAUACAAGUCUUCCUAAUAACCCUGGCGUCACCGAACCUUAAGUGUGUAUACCCUACGGGUUCGGGAAUCACGCAGACAUGACCGAGACAGCUCUCCGGCCAAUAACCAACAGCGGAAUCUGGAUACCCAUGUUGUCCCCCACAUGUUCCUCGAUGAUCUCAUCGGAUGAACCACGAUGUCGAUGAUUCAAGUAAUCCCGUAUAUAAUUCCCUUUGUCACACGGUACGUUACUUGCCCGAGAUUCGAUCAUCGGUAUCACAAUACCUCGUUCAAUCUCGUUUCCGGCAAGUCACUUUACUCAUUCCAUAAUGCAUGAUCCCGUGACCAACCACUUGGUCACACUGAGCUCAUUAUGAUGAUGCAUUACCGAGUGGGCCCGGAGAUACCUCUCCGUCAUACGGAGUGACAAAUCCCAGUCUUGAUUCGUGCUAACCCAACAGACACUUUUGGAGAUACCUGUAGUGCACCUUUGUAGUCACCCAGUUAUGUUCUGACGUUUGGUACACCCAAAGCACUCCUACGGUAUCCGGGAGUUACACAAUCUCAUGGUCUAAGAAACCGAUACUCGACAUUAGAAAAGCUUUAGCAAACGAACUACACGAUCUUGUGCGAUGCUUAGGAUUGGGUCUUGUCCAUCACAUCAUUCUCCUAAUGUUGUGAUCACGUUAUCACUGACAUCCAAUGUCCAUAGUCAGGAAACCAUGACUAUCUAUUGAUCAACGAGCUAGUCAACUAGAGGCUCACUAGGGACAUGUUGUGGUCUAUGUAUUCACACAUGUAUCACUGUUUCCGGUUAAUACAAUUAUAGCAUGAACAAUAGACAAUUAUCAUGAACAAGGAAAUAUAAUAAUAAUCAUUUUAUUAUUGCCUCUAGGGCAUAUUUCCAAUAGUCUCCCACUUGCACUAGAGUCAAUAAUCUAGUUACACUGUGAUGAAUCGAACACCCAUGGAGUUGUUGUGUUGAUCAUGUUUUGCUUGCGGAAGAGGUUUAGUCAACGGAUCUACGACAUUCAGAUCCGUAUGCACUUUGCAAAUAUCUAUGUCUCCAUCUUGAACAUUUUCACGAAUGGAGUUGAAGCGACGCUUGAUGUGCCUGGUCUUCUUGUGAAACCUAGGCUCCUUGGCAAGGGCAAUAGCUCCAGUGUUGUCACAGAAGCGAGUGAUCGGCCCCGAUGCAUUGGGAAUAACUCCUAGGUCAGUGAUGAACUCCUUCAUCCAGAUUGCUCCAUGCGCUGCCUCUGAGGCUACCAUGUACUCCGCUUCACAUGUAGAUCCCGCCACGACGCUCUGCUUGCUGCUGCACCAGCUUACUGCCCCACCAUUCAAAAUAUACACGUAUCCGGUCUGUGACUUGGAGUCAUCCAGAUCUGUGUCGAAGCUAGCAUCGACGUAAUCCUUUACGACGAGCUCUUCGUGACCUCCAUAAAUGAGAAACAUAUCCUUAGUCCUUUUCAGGUACUUCAGGAUAUUCUUGACUGUUGUCCAGUGUUCCAUGCCGGGAUUACUUUGGUGUCUUGCAACCAAACUUACGACAAGGUUUACAUCAGGUCUGGUCCACAGCAUGGCAUACAUAAUAGACCCUAUAGCCGAGCAUAGGGGAUGACACUCAUCUUUUCUCUAUCUUCUGCCGUGGUCGGGCAUUGAGCCGAGCUCAAUUUCACACCUUGCAACACAGGUAAGAACCCCUUCUUGGACUGAUCCAUAUUGAACUUCUUCAAUAUCUUAUCAAGGUAUGUGCUUUGUGAAAGACCCAUGAGGCGUCUCGAUCUAUCUCUAUAGAUCUUGAUGCCUAAUAUGUAAGCAGCUUCUCCAAGGUCCUUCAUUGAAAAACACUUGUUCAACUAGGCCUUUAUGCUGUCCAAAAGUUCUAUAUCAUUUCCCAUCAAAAGUAUGUCAUCCACAUAUAAUAUGAGAAAUGCUACAGAGCUCCCACUCACUUUCUUGUAAACGCAGGCUUCUCCAUAAGUCUGCAUAAACCCAAACGCUUUAAUCAUUUCAUCAAAGCAAAUGUUCCAACUCCGAGAUGCUUGCACCAACCCAUAAAUGGAUCGCUGGAGCUUGCAUACCUUGUUAGUAUUCUUAGGAUCGACAAAACCUUGCGGCUGCAUCAUAUACUAUUCUUCCUUGAGAUAGCCAUUAAGGAAUGCCGUUUUAACGUCCAUUUGCCAUAUCGCAUAAUCAUAGUAUGCGGCAAUUGCUAACAUGAUUCGGACGGACUUCAGCUUUGCUACGGGAACUUGUCGUAGUCAACUCCUUGAACUUGUCUCAUCGUAGUCAACUCCUUGAACUUGUCGAUAACCUUAGCGACAAGUCGAGCCUUAUAGAUGGUAAUAUUACCAUCCGCGUCCGUCUUCUUCUUAAAGAUCCAUUUAUUUUCUAUCGCUCGCCGAUCAUCGGGCAAGUCUGUCAAAGUCCAUAAUUUGUUUUCAUACAUGGAUCCUAUCUCGGAUUGCCAUCGCUUCUUCAUAGUUCGAAGGUUCACCGUUAUCUAGCAACAUGAUUUCUAGGACAGGGUUGCCAUACCAUUCCGGGGUGGAACGUGUCCUUGUGGACCUAGGAAGUUCAGUAGAAACUUGAUCCGAAGUACCUUGAUCAUCAUCAUUAACUUCCUCUCUAGUCGGUGCAGGCACAACAGGAACAUCUUCCUGAGCUGCGCUACUUACCGGUUCAAGAGGCAGUACUUCAUCGAGUUCUACUUUCCUCCCACUUAUUUCUUUCGAGAGAAACUCUUUCUCCAGAAAGGACCCGUUCUUGGCAACAAAGAUCUUGCCUUCGGAUCUAAGGUAGAAGGUAUACCCAAUGGUUUCCUUAGGGUAUCCUAUGAAGACGCAUUUUUUCGACUUGGGUUCGAGCUUUUCAGGUUGAAGUUUCUUGACAUAAGCAUCACAUCCCCAAACUUUUAGAAACGACAGCUUAGGUUUCUUUACAAACCAUAAUUCAUACGGUGUCGUCUCAACGGAUUUAGACGGUGACCUAUUUAAAGUGAAUGUAGCUUUCUCUAAAGCGUAUCCCCAAAAUGAUAGUGGUAAAUCGGUAAGAGACAUCAUAGACCGCACCAUAGCCAAUAGAGUGCAAUUACGAUGUUCGGACACACCGUUACGCUGAGGUGUUCCAAGCGGCGUGAGUUGUGAAACAAUUCCACAUUUCCUUAAGUGUGUACCAAACUCGUGACUUAAAUAUUCUCCCCCACGAUCUGAUCGUAAGAACUUUAUUUUUCUAUCACGUUGAUUCUCUACCUCAUUCUGAAAUUCCUUGAACUUUUCAAAGGUCUCAGACUUGUGUUUCAUCAAUUAACACAUACCCAUAUCUGUUGGGGAACGUAACAGAAAUUCAAAAUUUUUCUACGUCUCACCAAGAUCUAUCUAUGGAGAGACCAGCAACGAGUAGAAAGAGAGUGCAUCUACAUACCCUUGUAGAUCGCUAAGCGGAAGCGUUCAAGUGAACGGGGUUGAUGGAGUCGUACUCGUCGUGAUUCAGAUCACCGAUGAUCCUAGUGCCGAACGGACGGCACCUCCGCGUUCAACACACGUACAGCUCGACGAUGUCUCCCACGGCUUGAUCCAGCAAGGAGAGAGGGAGAGGUUGAGGAAGACUCCAUCCAGCAGAAGCACAACGGCGUGGUGGUGAAGGAGGAGCGUGGCAAUCCUGCAGGGCUUCGCCAUGCACCUACGGGAGAGGAGGAGGUGUCACGGGAGGGAGGGAGGCGCCAAGGGCUCAGGUAUGGAUGCCCUCCCUCCCCUCCACUAUAUAAAGGGGCAGGGGAGAGGGGGGAGGCGCAGCCUUGCCCCUUCCUCCAAGGAAGGGGUGCGGCUAAGAGGGGGGGAGGAGUCCAUCCUCCCCAAGGCACCUCGGAGGUGCCUUCCCCCUUUAGGACUCUCCCCUUUUUUCUAUAUCUUGGCGCAUGGGCCUCUAGGGGCUGGUGCCCUUGGCCCAUGUAGGCCAAGGCGCACCCCCUACAGCCCAUGUGCCCCCCCGGGGCAGGUGGCCCCACCCGGUGGGCCCCCGGGACCCUUCCGGUGGUCCCGGUACAAUACCGAUGACCCCGAAACUUGUCCCGAUGGCCGAAACAGGACUUCCUAUAUAUAAAUCUUUACCUCCGGACCAUUCCGGAACUCCUCGUGACGUCCGGGAUCUCAUCCGGGACUCCGAAACAACAUUCGGUAACCACAUACAAACUUCCUUUAUAACCCUAGCGUCAUCGAACCUUAAGUGUGUAGACCCUACGGGUUCGGGAGACAUGUAGUCAUCACCGAGAUGUUCUCCGGUCAAUAACCAACAGCGGGAUCUGGAUACCCAUGUUGGCUCCCACAUGUUCCACGAUGAUCUCAUCGGAUGAACCACGAUGUCAAGGACUCAAUCAAUCCCGUAUACAAUUCCCUUUGUCUAGCGGUAUGGUACUUGCCCGAGAUUCGAUCGUCGGUAUACCGAUACCUUGUUCAAUCUCGUUACUGGCAAGUCUCUUUACUCGUUCCGUAACACAUCAUCCCGUGAUCAACCCCUUGGUCACAUUGUGCACAUUAUGAUGAUGUCCUACCGAGUGGGCCCAGAGAUACCUCUCCGUUUACACGGAGUGACAAAAUCCCAAUCUCGAUUCAUGCCAACCCAACAGACACUUUCAGAGAUACCCGUAGUGUACCUUUAUAGCCACCCAGUUAUGUUGUGACGUUUGGCACACCCAAAGCACUCCUACGGUAUCCGGGAGUUGCACAAUCUCAUGGUCUAAGGAAAUGAUACUUGACAUUAGAAAAGCUUUAGCAUACGAACUACAUGAUCUUGUGCUAGGCUUAGGAUUGGGUCUUGUCCAUCACAUCAUUCUCCUAAUGAUGUGAUCCCGUUAUCAACGACAUCCAAUGUCCAUGGUCAGGAAACCGUAACCAUCUAUUGAUUAACGAGCUAGUCAACUAGAGGCUUACUAGGGACAUGGUGUUGUCUAUGUAUCCACACAUGUAUCUGAGUUUCCUAUCAAUACAAUUCUAGCAUGGAUAAUAAACGAUUAUCAUGAACAAGGAAAUAUAAUAAUAAUCAAUUUAUUAUUGCCUCUAGGGCAUAUUUCCAACAGUCUCCCAGUUGCACUAGAGUCAAUAAUCUAGUUCACAUCGAUAUAUGAUUAACACUCAAGGUCACAUCCCCAUGUGACUAACACCCAAAGAGUUUACUAGAGUCAAUAAUCUAGUUCACAUUUACCAUGUGAUUAACACUCGAUGAGUUCUGGGUUUGAUCAUGUUAUGCUUGUGAGAGAGGUUAUAGUCAACGGGUCUGAACCUUUCAGAUCCGUGUGUGCUUUACAAAUCUCUAUGUCAUCUCCUAGAUGCAGCUACCACGUUCUAUUUGGAGCUAUUCCAAAUAACUGUUCUACUUGGAGCUAUUCUAAAUUGUUUCUCCAUUAUACGUAUCCGGUAUCUCUACUCAGAGCUAUCCGGAUAGGUGUUAAGCUUGCAUCGACGUAACCCUUUACGACGAACUCUUUUACCACCUCCAUAAUUGAGAAAAUUCCUUAGUCCACUAGUUACUAAGGAUAACUUUGUCCGCUGUCCUGUGAUCCAUUCUUGGAUCACUCUUGUACCCAUUGACCGACUCAUGGUAAAGCACACUUCAGGUGCGGUACACAGCAUAGCAUACUGUAGAGCCUAUGUCUUAAGCAUAGGGGACGACCUUCGUUCCUUUCUCUCUAUUCUGCCAUGGUCGAGCUUUAAGUCUUAACUUCAUACCUUACAACUCAGGCAAGAACUCCUUCUUUGACUGAUCCAUCUUGAACACCUUCAAGAUCACGUCAAGGCAUGUGCUCAUUUGAAAGUACUAUUAAGCGUUUUGAUCUAUCCUUAUAGAUCUUGAUGCUCAAUGUUCAAGUAGCUUAAUCCAGGUUUUCCAUUGAAAACACUUUCCAAAUAACCCUAUAUGCUUUCCAGAAAUUCUACAUCAUUUCUGAUCAACAAUAUGUCAACAACAUAUACUCAUCAGAAAUUCCAUAGUGCUCCCACUCACUUCUUUGGAAAUACAAGUUUCUCAUAAACUUUGUAUGCACCCAAAAUAUUUGAUCAUCAUCAAAGCAUACAUUCCAACUCCGAGAUGCUCACUCCAGUCCUCAGAAGGAUUGCUGGAGCUUUGCAUACUUAUUAGCAUAUUUCAGGAUAGACAAAACCUUCCAGUUGUAUCACAUACAACCUUUCCUCAAGAAUCGUCGAGGAAACAAUGUUUUGACAUCCUAUCUGCAAGAUUUUAUAAAUAAUGCAGUAAUUGCUAAUAUAAUUCCAACAGACUCUUAGCAUCGCUACGAGUGAGAAAGUCUCAUCGUAGUCAACUCCUUGAACUUGUCGAAAAACAUCUUAACGACAAGUCGAGCUUUCUCAAUGGUGACACUUACCAUCAUUGUCUGUCUUCCUUUCAAAAUCCAUAUGUACCUAACAGCCUUACGACCAUUAAGUAGUUCUUCCAAAGUCUACACUUUGUUUUCAUACAUGGAUCCUCUCUCGGGUUUUAUGGCCUUGAGCCAUUUAUCGGAAUCCGGGCCCACCAUCGCUUCUCCAUAGCUCGUAGUUCAUUGUUGUCUAGCAACAUGACUUCCAAGACAGGAUUACGUACCACUGUGAAGUAGUACGCAUCCUUGUCAUCCCACGAGGUUUGGUAGUGACUCGAUCCGAAGUUUCAUGAUCACUAUCAUAAGCUUCCACUUCAGUUGGUGUACGUGCCACAGGAACAACUUCCUGUGCCCUGCUACACACUUGUUGAAGUGACGGUUCAAUAACCUCAUCAAGUCUCCACCAUCCUCCCACUCAACUUUUCGAGAGAAACCUUUCCUCGAAAAAGGACCCGAUUCAAGAAACAAUCCCUAUUGCUUUCGGAUCUGAAUUAGGAGGUAUACUCAACUGUUUUGGGUGUCCUAUGAAGAUGCAUUUUAUCUGCUUUGGGUUCGAGCUUAUCAACCUGAAACCUUUUCACAUAAGCGUCGCAGCCCCAAACUUUCAAGAAACGGCAACUCAGGUUUCUCCAAACCAUAGUUCAUACGGUGUCGUCUCACCGAAAUUAUGUGGUGCCCUAUUUAAAGUGAAUGUGGUUGUCUCUAAUGCCUAACCCAUGAACGAUAGUGGUAAUUCAAUAAGAGACAUCAUGGUACGCACCAUAUCCAAUAGGGUGCAACUAUGACGUUUGGACACACCAUCACACUAUGGUGUUCCAGGCUGUAUCAGUUGUGAAACAAUUUCCACAAUGUCUUAAUUCUGUGCCAAACUCGUGAUUCAGAUAUUCAUCUCUAUGAUCAUAUCAUAGAUCUUUUAUCCUCUUGUCACGACGAUCUUUCAACUUCACACUAAAAUUACUUGAAUCUUUCAAUAAUUCAGACUCGUGAUUCAUCAAGUAAAUAUACUCAACAUCUACUCGAAUCAUCUUUGAAGUAAGAACAUAACGAUAUUCACUGCAUGCCUCAGCACUCAUUGGACUGCACACAUCAAAAUGUGUUACUUCCAACAAGUUGCUAUCUUGUUCCAUCUUACUGAAAACGAGGCUUUUCAGUCAUCUUGCCCAUGUGGUAUGAUUUGCAUGUCCCAAGUGAUUCAAAAUCAAGUGAGUCAAAACGGUCCAUUUGCAUGGAGUUUCUUCAUGCAUAUACACCAAUAGACAUGGUUCGCAUGUCUCAAACUUUUCAAAAACGAGUGAGUCCAAAGAUCCAUCAAUAUGGAGCUUCUUCAUGCGUUUUAUACCGAUAUGACUUACGUGGCAGUGCCACAAGUAGGUGGUACUAUCAUUACUAUCUUUUGGCAUGAACAUGUGUAUCACUACGAUCGAGAUUUAAUAAACCAUUCAUUUUAGGUGUAAGACCAUUGAAGGUAUUAUUCAAAUAAACAGAGUAACCAUUAUUCUCCUUAAAUGAAUAAUUCGUAUUGCGAUAGACGUAAUCCAAUCAUGUCUGUGCUCAACGCAAACACCAAAUAACAAUUAUUUAGGUUUAACACCAAUCUCUUUGGUAGAGGGAGUGUGAGAUGCUUGAUCAUAUCAAGCUUGGAAAAACUUCCAACACAUAUCGUCAGCUCACCUUUAGCUAGUCUCCGUUUAUUCCGUAGCCUUUUGUUUCGAGUUACUAACACUUAGCAACCGAACCGGUAUCUAAUACCCUGGUGCUACUAGGAGUACUAGCAAAGUACACAUUAACACAAUGUAUAUCCAAUAUACUUCUAUCGACCUUGCCAGCCUUCUUAUCUACCAAGUAUCUAGGGUAAUUCUGCUCUAGUGGUUGUUCCCCUUAUUACAGAAGCACUUAGUCUCGGGUUUGGGUUUUACCUUGGGUUUCUUCACUAGAGCAGCAGCUGAUUUGCCGUUUCAUGAAGUAUCCCUUCUUGCCCUUGCCCUUCUUGAAACUAGUGGUUUCACCAACCAUCAACAAUUGAUGCUCCUUCUUGAUUUCUACUUUCGCGGUGUCAAACAUCGCGAAUACCUCAAGGAUCAUCAUAUAUAUCCCUGAUAUGUUAUAGUUCAUCACGAAGCUCUAACAGCUUGGUGGCAAUGACUUUGGAGAACCAUCACUGUCUUAUCUGGAAGAUCAACUCCCACUCGAUUCAAAUGAUUGUUGUACUCAGACAAUCUGAGCACAAGCUCAACAAUUAAGCUUUUCUCCUUAGUUUGCAGGUUAAGAAAGUCAUCGGAGGUCUUAUACCUCUUGACAUGGGCACGAGCCCGAAAUCCCAAUUUCAGCCCUCAAAACAUCUCAUAUGUUUCGCGAUGUUUCAAAAACGUCUUUGGUGCCUCAACUCUAAACCGUUUAACUGAACUAUCACGUAGUUAUCAAAACGUGUAUGUCAGAUGUUCGCAACAACCACAGACAACGUUCGAGGUUCAGCACACUGAGCGGUGCAUUAAGGACAUAAGCCUUCUAUGAAGCAAUGAGGACAAUCCUCAGUUUACGGACCUAGUCCGCAUAAUUGCUACUAUCAACUUUCAACUAAUUUUUCUCUAGGAACAUAUCUAAACAGUAGAACUAUAGCGUGAGCUACGACAUAAUUUGCAAAAACCUUUUGACUAUGUUCAGGAUAAUUAAGUUCAUCUUAUGAACUCCCACUCAGAUAGACAUCCCUCUAGUCAUCUAAGUGAUUACAUGAUCCGAGUCAAACUAGGCCGUGUCCGAUCAUCACGUGAGACGGACUAGUCAUCAUCGGUGAACAUCUUCAUGUUGAUCGUAUCUUCUAUAGGACUCAUGUUCGACCUUUCGGUCUCCGUGUUCCGAGGCCAUGUCUGUACAUGCUAGGCUCGUCAAGUUAACCCUAAGUGUUUCGCGUGUGUAAAUCUGUCUUACACCCGUUGUAUGUGAACGUUAGAAUCUAACACCCGAUCAUCACAUGGUGCUUCGAAACACGAACUGUCGCAACGGUGCACAGUUAGGGGAGAACACUUCUUGAAAUUGUUGUAAGGGAUCAUCUUAUUUACUACCGUCGUUCUAAGCAAAUAAGAUGUAUAAACAUGAUAAACAUCACAUGCAAUCAAAUAGUGACAUGAUAUGGCCAUCAUCACUUUGCUCCUUUUGAUCUCCAUCUUCGGGGCUCCAUGAUCAUCAUCGUCACCGGCAUGACACCAUGAUCUCCAUCAUCAUGAUCUCCAUCAUCGUGUCUUCAUGAAGUUGUCACGCCAACGACUACUUCUACUUCUAUGACUAACGCGUUUAGCAAUAAAGUAAAGUAGUUUACAUGGCGUUCUUCAAUGACACGCAGGUCAUACAAAAAAUAAAGACAACUCCUAUGGCUCCUGCCGGUUGUCAUACUCAUCGACAUGCAAGUCGUGAAUCCUAUUACAAGAACAUGAUCAAUCUCAUACAUUACAUAUAUCAUUCAUCACAUCCUUUUGGCCAUAUCACAUCACAUAGCAUACCCUGCAAAAACAAGUUAGACGUCCUCUAAUUGUUGUUUGCAUGUUUUACGUGGCUGCUAUGGGUUUCUAGCAAGAACGUUUCUUACCUACGCAUGAACCACAACGUGAUAUGCCAAUUGCUAUUUACCCUUCAUAAGGACCCUUUUCAUCGAAUCCGAUCCGACUAAAGUGGGAGAGACAGACACCCGCCAGCCACCUUAUGCAACUAGUGCAUGUUUGUCGGUGGAACCGGUCUCACGUAAGCGUACGUGUAAGGUUGGUCCGGGCCGCUUCAUCCCACGAUGCCGCCGAAUCAAGAUAAGACUAGUAACGGCAAGCAUAUUGAACAAUAUCGACGCCCACAACUACUUUGUGUUCUACUCGUGCAAAGAAUCUACGCAAUAGACCUAGCUCAUGAUGCCACUGUUGGGGAACGUAGCAGAAAUUCAAAAUUUUCCUACGUCUCACCAAGAUCUAUCUAUGGAGAGACCAGCAACGAGUAGAAAGAGAGUGCAUCUACAUACCCUUGUAGAUCGCUAAGCGGAAGCGUUGAAGUGAACGGGGUUGAUGGAGUCGUACUCGUCGUGAUUCAGAUCACCGAUGAUCGUAGUGCCGAACGGACGGCACCUCCGCGUUCAACACACGUACAGCUCGACGAUGUCUCCCACGCCUUGAUCCAGCAAGGAGAGAGGGAGAGGUUGAGGAAGACUCCAUCCAGCAGCAGCACAACGGCAUGGUGGUGAAGGAGGAGCGUGGCAAUCCUGCAGGGCUUCGCCAAGCACCUACGGGAGAGGAGGAGGUGUCACGGGAGGGAGGGAGGCGCCAAGGGCUCAGGUAUGGAUGCCCUCCCUCCCCUCCACCAUAUAUAGGGGCAGGGGAGAGGGGGGAGGCGCAGCCUUGCCCCUUCCUCCAAGGAAGGGGUGCGGCUAAGAGGGGGGGAGGAGUCCAUCCUCCCCAAGGCACCUCGGAGGUGCCUUCCCCCUUUAGGACUCUCCCCUUUUUUCUAUAUCUUGGCGCAUGGGCCUCUAGGGGCUGGUGCCCUUGGCCCUGUAGGCCAAGGCGCACCCCCUACAGCCCAUGUGGCCCCCCGGGGCAGGUGGCCCCACCCGGUGGGCCCCUGGGACCCUUCCGGUGGUCCCGGUACAAUACCGAUGACCCCGAAACUUGUCCCGAUGGCCGAAACAGGACUUCCUAUAUAUAAAUCUUUACCUCCGGACCAUUUCGGAACUCCUCGUGACGUCCGGGAUCUCAUCCGGGACUCCGAAACAACAUUCGGUAACCACAUACAAACUUCCUUUAUAACCCUAGCGUCAUCGAACCUUAAGUGUGUAGACCCUACGGGUUCGGGAGACAUGUAGUCAUGACCGAGAUGUUCUCCGGUCAAUAACCAACAGCGGGAUCUGGAUACCAUGUUGGCUCCCACAUGUUCCACGAUGAUAUCAUCGGAUGAACCACGAUGUCAAGGACUCAAUCAAUCCCGUAUACAAUUCCCUUUGUCUAGCGGUAUGGUACUUGCCCGAGAUUCGAUCGUCGGUAUACCGAUACCUUGUUCAAUCUCGUUACCGGCAAGUCUCUUUACUCGUUCCGUAACACAUCAUCCCGUGAUCAACCCCUUGGUCACAUUGUGCACAUUAUGAUGAUGUCCUACCGAGUGGGCCCAGAGAUACCUCUCCGUUUACACGGAGUGACAAAAUCCCAAUCUCGAUUCGUGCCAACCCAACAGACACUUUCAGAGAUACCCGUAGUGUACCUUUAUAGCCACCCAGUUACGUUGUGACGUUUGGCACACCCAAAGCGCUCCUACGGUAUCCGGGAGUUGCACAAUCUCAUGGUCUAAGGAAAUGAUACUUGACAUUAGAAAAGCUUUAGCAUACGAACUACAUGAUCUUGUGCUAGGCUUAGGAUUGGGUCUUGUCCAUCACAUCAUUCUCCUAAUGAUGUGAUCCCGUUAUCAACGACAUCCAAUGUCCAUGGUCAGGAAACCGUAACCAUCUAUUGAUUAACGAGCUAGUCAACUAGAGGCUUACUAGGGACAUGGUGUUGUCUAUGUAUCCACACAUGUAUCUGAGUUUCCUAUCAAUACAAUUCUAGCAUGGAUAAUAAACGAUUAUCAUGAACAAGGAAAUAUAAUAAUAAUCAAUUUAUUAUUGCCUCUAGGGCAUAUUUCCAACAAUAUCUACUCAAGUCAUCAGUGAGGGUGAGAACAUAACGAUAGCCUCCGCGAGCCUCAACGCUCAUUGGACCGCACACAUCAGUAUGUAUGAUUUCCAAUAAGCUGGUUGCUCGCUCCAUUGUUUCGGAGAAUGGAGUCUUGGUCAUUUUACCCAUGAGGCAUGGUUCGCACGUGUCAAAUGAUUCGAAAUCAAGAGACUCCAAAAGUCCAUCUGUAUGGAGCUUCUUCAUGCGUUUGACACCAAUGUGACCAAGGCGGCAGUGCCACAAGUAUGUGGGACUAUCGUUAUCAAUCUUACAUCUUUUGGUAUUCACACUAUGAAUGUGUGUAACAUCACGUUCGAGAUUCAUUAAGAAUAAACCAUUGACCAGUGGGGCAUGUCCAUAAAACAUGUCUCUCAUAUAAGUAGAACAACCAUUAUUCUCGGAUUUAAAUGUGUAGCCAUCUCGUAUUAAACGAGAUCCAGAUACAAUGUUCAUGCUCAAAGCUGGCACUAAAUAAAAAUUAUUGAGGUUUAAAACUAAUCCCGUAGGUAAAUGUAGAGGUAGUGUGCCGACGGCGAUCACAUCGACCUUGGAACCAUUCCCGACGCGCAUCGUCACCUCGUCCUUCGCCAGUCUCCGCUUAUUCCACAGCUCUUGUUUUGAGUUACAAAUAUGAGCAACCGCACCGGUAUCAAAUACCCAGGAGCUACUACGAGUACUGGUAAGGUACACAUUGAUAACAUGUAUAUCACAUAUACCUUUGGUGUUGCCGGCCUUCUUAUCCGCUAAGUACUUGGGGCAGUUCCGCUUCCAGUGUCCGCUUCCCUUGCAAUAAAAGCACUUAGUCUCAGGUUUGGGUCCAUGCUUUGGCUUCUUCCCGGCAACUGGCUUACCGGGUGCGGCAACUCUCUUGCCGUCCUUCUUGAAGUUCUUCUUACCCUUGCCUUUCUUGAAACUAGUGGUUUUAUUGACCGUCAACACUUGAUGUUGCUUUUUGAUUUCUACCUCCGCUAAUUUUAGCAUUGAAAUUACCUCAGGAAUAGUUUUCACCAUCCUCUGCAUAUUGUAGUUCAUCACAAAGCUCUUGUAGCUUGGUGGGAGCGACUGAAGGAUUCUGUCAAUGACCGCGUCAUCCGGGAGGUUAACUCCUAGCUGAGACAAUCGGUUGUGCAACCCAGACAUUUUGAGUAUGUGCUCGCUGACGGAACUAUUCUCCUCCAUCGUACAACUGUAGAACUUGUCCGAGACUUCAUAUCUCUCGACCCGGGCACGAGCUUGGAAAACCAUUUUCAGCUCUUGGAACAUCUCAUAUGCUCCGUGUUGCUCAAAACGCUUUUGGAGCCCAUGUUCUUAGCUGUAAAGCAUGCCGCACUGAACCAGGGAGUAAUCAUCACUAUGCGACUGCCAGGCGUUCAUAACGUCUUGAGUUGCUGGGAAAACGGGUGCUUCACCUAGCGGUGCAUCUAGGACAUAUGCUCUUUUGGCAGCUAUGAGGAUGAUCCUCAAGUUCCGGACCCAGUCCGUGUAGUUGCUGCCAUAGUCUUUCAGCUUGGUUUUCUCUAGGAACGCGUUGAAGUUGAGGACAACAUUAGCGUGGGCCAUUUGAUCUACAAGACAUAUUGCAAAAGUUUUAGACUAAGUUCAUGAUAAUUAAGUUCAUCUAUUCAAAUUAUUUAAUGAACUCCCACUUAGAUAGACAUCCCUCUAGUCAUCUAAGUGAUCCAUGAUCCGAGUCAACUAGGCCGUGUCCGAUCAUCACGUGAGACGGACUAGUCAUCAUCGGUGAACAUCUUCAUGUUGAUCAUAUCUUCUAUAUGACUCAUGUUCGACCUUUCGGUCUCUUGUGUUCCGAGGCCAUGUCUGUACAUGCUAGGCUCGUCAAGUCAACCUAAGUGUUUUUGCAUGUGUAAAUCUGUCUUACACCCGUUGUAUGUGAACGUUAGAAUCUAUCACACCCGAUCAUCAUGUGGUGCUUCGAAACAACGAACUUUCGCAACGGCACACAGUUAGGGGGAACACUUUCUUGAAAUAAUUAUGAGGGAUCAUCUUAUUUAGUACCAUCGUUCUAAGCAAAUAAGAUGCAAAAACAUGAUAAACAUCACAUGCAAUCAAAUAGUGACAUGAUAUGGCCAAUAUCAUUUUGCUCCUUUUGAUCUCCAUCUUCGGGGCGCCAUGAUCAUCAUCGUCACCGGCAUGACACCAUGAUCUCCAUCAUCGUGAUCUCCAUCAUCGUGUCUUCAUGAAAUUGUCACGCCAACGAUUACUUCUACUACUAUGGUAAAGUAAAGUAAUUACAUGGCGUUAUUCAAUGACACGCAGGUCAAAAAAUAAUUAAGACAACUCCUAUGGCUCCUGCUAGUUGUCAUACUCAUCAACAUGCAAGUCGUGAUUCCUAUUACAAGAACAUGAUCAAUCUCAUACAUCACAUAUAUAUCAUUCAUCACAUCCUUUUGGCCAUAUCACAUCACAAGGCAUAUGAUGCAAAAACAAGUUAGACGUCCUCUAAUUGUUGUUGCAUGUUUUUACGUGCCUGUAAUAGGGUUCUAGCAAGAACGUUUCUUACCUAUGUCAAAACCACAACGUGAUAUGCCAAUUUCUAUUUACCCUUCAUAAGGACCUUUUUCAUCGAAUCCAAUCCGACUAAGGUGGGAGAGAUAGACACCCGCUAGCCACGUUAUGCAACUAGUGCAUGUCAGUCGGUGGAACCUCUCUCACGUAAGCGUACGUGUAAGGUUGGUCCGGGCCGCUUCAUCCCACGAUGCCGCCGAAAUAAGAUAAGACUAGUAGUGGCAAGUAAAUUGACAAAAUCUACGCCCACAACAAAAUUGUGUUCUACUCGUGCAUAGAAACUACGCAUAAACGUGGCUCUGAUACCACUGUUGGGGAUCAUAGCAGAAAUUUAAAAUUUUCUACGCAUCACCAAGAUCAAUCUAUGGAGUCAUCUAGCAACGAGAGAGAGAGAGAGGAGUGCAUCUACAUACCCUUCUAGAUCGUGAGCGGAAGCGUUCAAGAGAACGGGGUUGAUGGAGUCGUACUCGUCAUGAUCCAAAUCACCGAUGAUCCUAGCGCCGAACGAACAACACCUCCGCGUUCAACACACGUACGGAGCGGAGAUGUCUCCCGCGCCUUGAUGCAGCAAGGAGGAGAGAGAGGUUGAGGAAGAGGGCUCCAGCAGCAGCACGACAGCGUGGUGGUGAUGGAGAGGCAGUACUCCGGCAGGGCUUCGCCAAGCUAUGAUGGAGGAGGAGAGGUGUUGGGGACGGGAGGGGCUGCGCCUUGGAGGUGUGUGUGCAGCCCUCCCCUCGCCCCUCUAUUUAUCGGGGGAGGAGGAAGGGCGGCAGCCCCCUCUAGAUGAGAUCUAGAGGGGGGAGGGGGCGACGNNNNNNNNNNNNNNNNNNNNNNNNNNNNNNNNNNNNNNNNNNNNNNNNNNNNNNNNNNNNNNNNNNNNNNNNNNNNNNNNNNNNNNNNNNNNNNNNNNNNNNNNNNNNNNNNNNNNNNNNNNNNNNNNNNNNNNNNNNNNNNNNNNNNNNNNNNNNNNNNNNNNNNNNNNNNNNNNNNNNNNNNNNNNNNNNNNNNNNNNNNNNNNNNNNNNNGGGGGGGGGGGACUUGCCCCCCAAGCAAGGGGGGGCGCCCGCUUUAGGGUUUCCCCCCAACCCUAGGCGCAUGGUCACAAGGGGGGAUGCGUCGAGCCCUCUAAGGGCUGGUUCCCUUCCCUCUACGACCCAUGAGGCCCUCCGGGAGACGUGACCCUCCCGGUGGACCCCCGGAAUCCUUCCGGUGGCCCCGGUACAAUACCGGUAUGCCCCCGAACUUUUCCGGUGACCGUAUUACAACUUCCCAUAUAUAAAUCUUCACCUCCGGACCAUUCCAGAACUCCUCAUGACGUCCGGGAUCUCAUCCGGGACUCCUAACAACAUUAGGUAAUCACAUACAAGUCUUCCUAAUAACCCUAGCGCCACCGAACCUUAAGUGUGUAGACCCUACGGGUUCGGGAAUCACGCAGACAUGACCGAGACAGCUCUCCGACCAAUAUCAACAGCGGGAUCUGGAUACCCAUGUUGGCUCCCACAUGUUCCACGAUGAUCUCAUCGGAUGAACCACGAUGUCGAGUAUUCAAGUAAUCCUGUAUACAAUUCCCUUUGUCACACGGUACAUUACUUGCCCGAGAUUCAAUCAUCGGUAUCCCAAUACCUUGUUCAAUCUUGUUUCCAGCAAGUCACUUUACUCGCUCCAUAAUGCAUGAUCCCGUGACCAACCACUUGGUCACAUUGAGCUCAUUAUGAUGAUGCAUUACCGACUGGUCCCAGAGAUACCUCUCCGUCAUACGGAGUGACAAAUCGCAGUCUUGAUUCGUGCCAACCCAACAGACACUUCCGGAGAUACCUGUAGUGCACCUUUAUAGUUACCUAGUUACGUUGCGACGUUUGGUACACCCAAAGCACUCCUAUGGUAUCCGGGAGUUACACAAUCUCAUGGUCUAAGAAACUGAUACUUGACAUUAGAAAAGCUUUAGCAAACGAACUACACGAUCUUGUGCUAUGCUUAGGAUUGGGUCUUGUCCAUCACAUCAUUCUCCUAAUGAUUUGAUCCCGUUAUCAAUGACAUCCAAUGUCCAUAGUAAGGACACUACUAGGAAAAGGCCUACUAAUCGCGCACCGGUUUUGCCUACUAAUGGCGCACUACCGGUGCGCCAUUAGUAUCACGCCACUAGUAUUUUUUACUAAUGGUGCACCACUGGUGCGCCAUUAGUAUCUGGUAUACUAAUGGCGCACCAUGCAGUGCGCCAUUAGUUUUGCCCACAGUGCGCCACUAGUGUCUUCUAUACUAAUGGCGCACCACAUGGUAGUGCGCCAUUAGUAACAAUUUUUUUAUUUUUUUUCUUACUCUCAGGUCACUAUUUCACCUAUGAGAUAUCCAACACAUAUAUAUACAACAAGCAUCCAUAUAACAAUCAUAGCCAACACACAAGUUCCAUCAUAUAUACAUACAUAGCCAACACACAAGUUCCAUCAUAUAUACAUACAUAGCCAACACAUAAUUCCAUCGUUACAUAUUACAAAAGUUUCACAUUGUUCAUCCAACACCGUUAUCAAUUCACAAAAGUUUCACAUUGAUACAAAAUAAAAACACAAAUGGAAAAGAAGCACUCCAUCCAGGCAGUGGAGGCAGUGGGAUGUAGUCUUCUACCACAAUUGGCGUGGUCAUGUCGCCCAGCUGUGGGAUCGCCGGCGCCACCACCGGUGCGUGGUCAUUGUCAGGCACCACCACCAUCGCGAGGCCACCUUCAGGCACGACCAUCGCUAGGUCAUCCUCAGCCAGCUCCAUCUCUUGCCCAUGGUCAUCCACCACCAUCUCUUGCCCAUGGUCAGCCAACACCAUCUCUUGCCCUUGGUCAGCCACCACCAGUGCUAGGUCAUCCUCAGCCUGAUGCCCAUCGUCAUCCUGCAGCUCCUCAUCCCCACUCUGCUCCUCUUCUCCCGCACUCCAGUCCGGAUCAUCCUUCUUGUUGUCUAUGCUGCUACCAGAAUCGCUGCUGCUUUCGCUACAGCUAGAAUCGCUGCUGCUUUCGCUACAGCCAGAAUCAAUAUUUUGUCUCGAGGCAGAAAGAUACCAUGUUUACUAAAUGCAUAUUGCUUAAUCCCUGUAACCCAUGACCAUUGUAGGAGUAAGCUUGUCGGUAAGCUUUUCUAAUACAGUUUGGGCCCAAGCAAAGUCACUGUCGCUAAGCCAACACUCAAAAGAUAAUAACAACCAUAAGGAUAUGUCAUGCGUGAAUACAUUGAAAAGUGAUGUCAAAAGGCAGGCAUAAGGGUCUGGUUAGUUGAGUCAUCAAAUGAUGAAGCUCCAAUAGAACAAUUGAAUAAGAAAAGGGGAGAUGCCUUAUGGCAGCACGUUUUCCAAAUUACUACAUCCACUUGCAGAGCAAUAUGCAGUGACAGGCAGGCAUAAGCAUGACAUGGCUUGAGCCAAAAAUAAUUAAAUAUUUCAAGCUAAAAGAGAGUAGACAAUGUGAAAUGACAGUAUCCUUGCUUACAACUAGUCCCUGGAAGUUGGUAUAGUAUGGUACCGGGCAAUCAACGCAGACAUAUUAACAAACAAGCAACAUAAGAAGAACAAACACUAAAAUACACGGGACAUAGCUUGAACAAUUAAUUAUUUGUCAACCUAGAAAAGCAAUACUGUCAAAUGACAGCAUCAUCUCAUACAGCUAGCCCUGUAAGUUACAACAAAAUGGUACUAGAUAGAUUAACCAAUGUGCAACUUAAGACAGACCAUCACUAAAAUGUAAAAUCAAUGUAUGCAAUCAAACUCUAUUCUUCCUUUAAAGUCAAAUGGUACUAGACAGAUUAACCAAUGUGUAACUUAAGACUUUAGGAUUCUCACAAUCUGUCAAUGUAGUACAUGCCAACAGGUGUACAAGGUGGCGACGAGGCGGACGGUGGGGAGGCGGGGAGCUUCGGACUUGCGGGCGGGGCUGACGGCGGGGAGGAGGGCGGAGGGGAGGUGNNNNNNNNNNNNNNNNNNNNNNNNNNNNNNNNNNNNNNNNNNNNNNNNNNNNNNNNNNNNNNNNNNNNNNNNNNNNNNNNNNNNNNNNNNNNNNNNNNNNNNNNNNNNNNNNNNNNNNNNNNNNNNNNNNNNNNNNNNNNNNNNNNNNNNNNNNNNNNNNNNNNNNNNNNNNNNNNNNNNNNNNNNNNNNNNNNNNNNNNNNNNNNNNNNNNNNNNNNNNNNNNNNNNNNNNNNNNNNNNNNNNNNNNNNNNNNNNNNNNNNNNNNNNNNNNNNNNNNNNNNNNNNNNNNNNNNNNNNNNNNNNNNNNNNNNNNNNNNNNNNNNNNNNNNNNNNNNNNNNNNNNNNNNNNNNNNNNNNNNNNNNNNNNNNNNNNNNNNNNNNNNNNNNNNNNNNNNNNNNNNNNNNNNNNNNNNNNNNNNNNNNNNNNNNNNNNNNNNNNNNNNNNNNNNNNNNNNNNNNNNNNNNNNNNNNNNNNNNNNNNNNNNNNNNNNNNNNNNNNNNNNNNNNNNNNNNNNNNNNNNNNNNNNNNNNNNNNNNNNNNNNNNNNNNNNNNNNNNNNNNNNNNNNNNNNNNNNNNNNNNNNNNNNNNNNNNNNNNNNNNNNNNNNNNNNNNNNNNNNNNNNNNNNNNNNNNNNNNNNNNNNNNNNNNNNNNNNNNNNNNNNNNNNNNNNNNNNNNNNNNNNNNNNNNNNNNNNNNNNNNNNNNNNNNNNNNNNNNNNNNNNNNNNNNNNNNNNNNNNNNNNNNNNNNNNNNNNNNNNNNNNNNNNNNNNNNNNNNNNNNNNNNNNNNNNNNNNNNNNNNNNNNNNNNNNNNNNNNNNNNNNNNNNNNNNNNNNNNNNNNNNNNNNNNNNNNNNNNNNNNNNNNNNNNNNNNNNNNNNNNNNNNNNNNNNNNNNNNNNNNNNNNNNNNNNNNNNNNNNNNNNNNNNNNNNNNNNNNNNNNNNNNNNNNNNNNNNNNNNNNNNNNNNNNNNNNNNNNNNNNNNNNNNNNNNNNNNNNNNNNNNNNNNNNNNNNNNNNNNNNNNNNNNNNNNNNNNNNNNNNNNNNNNNNNNNNNNNNNNNNNNNNNNNNNNNNNNNNNNNNNNNNNNNNNNNNNNNNNNNNNNNNNNNNNNNNNGUCGUCGGUGGCAGUGGAGCGAGGGAGGGUGCGGGGGGUGCUCGGCGGCGGUGGAGCGCGGGCCGGGGAGGGCGCCAUUAGUAGUUUUGUAAAAAAGUAAAAUAAAUAAAUAUAUAUACUAAUGGCGCACCCGGUCAUAGUGCGCCAUUACUAGUUUAAACUAGUAAUGACACACUGUGAAACGGUGCGCCAUUAGUAUUUUUGCAAAAAAAAGAAAUAAAAAAAUACAGUAAUAGCGCACUUUCUGGCUGGUGCGCCAUUACUAGUUAGAACUAGUAAUGGCGCACUUCAACCUGAUGCGCCAUUAGUAUGUAUGGAAAAAUGGAAAAAAAAUAAUACUAGUGGCGCACCUUGUGUUUGGUGCGCCAUUAGUGUCUUCCACACUAAUGGCGCAUCACCAACCGGUGCGCCAUUAGUAUAUAGUAGUGGCGCACUACUUACCUGGUGCGCCAUUAGUAUCAAUCCUAUCUAUAGCCCUUUUCCUAGUAGUGGGAAACCAUGACUAUCUGUUGAUCAAUGAGCUAGUCAACUAGAGGCUCACUAGGGACAUGUUGUGGUCUAUGUAUUCACACAUGUAUCACUGUUUUCAGUUAAUACAAUUAUAGCAUGAACAAUAGACAAUUAUCAUGAACAAGGAAAUAUAAUAAUAAUCAUUUUAUUAUUGCCUCUAGGGCAUAUUUCCAACAUCAACUUCAUACGGGUGGAUCCUCCGUCAACUAUGUCGCCCGCGACAACAACUGCAACACCAACAACCGUGGCAAGGGCAACUACCGCGACAAGGGUCGCGACAACUCUAGUGACCGUGGUGACUACAACAACAACAACCGUGGAGGGUACCGUGGUGACUGCGGUGGUGGUGGCAAUCGUCAGAACGGUAAUCGUGGUGGUGACCGCGGUCACCAUGGCGGUGGCGGGGAUGCACGUCUGCAGUGCCAGCUCUGUCGGGGCCCUGGGCACUAUGCCUCGGAGUGCGCUUAGCGCUACAACCACGCCUUCCAACCUCAACACUCCUAGAUGGUGGGUCUCGCUGCCGCUUCACCACCAUCCAUCCUCGGCGACCCUACCUGGUCCACUGACACGGGGGCUACCGAUCAUAUCACGUCGGAUCUGGACCGUAUCACCGUGAGGGAAAAGUACCCUGGACGGGACCACAUCCACACUCCCGACGGAUCAGGUUUGCACAUAGCUCAUCGUGGUCAUGCCCUUCUUCCUACACCCUCUGUCAAUCUUAAACUUCGCAACAUAUUACAUGUUCCCAAUGCCGACAAGAACCUUCUUUCUGUUAAUCGUCUUGCCGUUGACAAUCAUGCUUAUCUAAAAUAUUAUCCUGCUCAUUUUCUUAUGAAGGAUUUGACAACCAAGAUGGUUCAUCUUCACGGCAGAUGUGAAAAUGGGCUCUAUCCCAUUCGGCCUUCACGUUCUCAUGUCUUGUCUUCAGUUAGGCUCUCUGCUGAAGAUUGACAUGCUAGACUCAGCCACCCGUCCACACAAGUUGUUCAUCAUGUUUUGGCGUCCAAUAAAUUAGCAUCGUCGAGUCGGGCUUUGACCCAUGUGUGUAAUGCUUGUUAACAGGGCAAAGCACAUCAGCUACCUUUUCCUAGAUCUUCGAAUGUUUCCUCGUUUUCAUUGGAACUUAUUUUCUCAGAUGUGUGGGGACCUGCCAAAACCUCCUCUGGUGGGUCCCAGUACUAUGUUUCAUUUAUUGAUGAUUAUUGUAAAUUUUUGUGGAUUUAUCUUCUCAAACAAAAGUAUGAUGUGUUUGAUGUCUUUCGUGAUUUUCUUGCCCAUGUUGAACGCCUCCUAUCUCGCAAAAUCCUAUGUGUUCAAUCAGACUGGGGUGGGGAAUACGAAAAACUUAGCAACACAUUUUUUCGGCAACUUGGCAUUGCUCACCACGUCUCUUGUCCACACACACACCAACAAAAUGGCUCGGCCGAAAGGAAGCACCGUCACAUUAUUGACAUGGGUAUCUCCUUAUUAUCGCAUGCGUCUAUGCCCCUCCGUUUUUGGGAUGAGGCGUACUUGUACGCAUGCUACCUUAUCAACUGACUACCUAGCCGCGUCAUUGGCAAUAUGAGUCCCAUGGAAAAAUUGUUUUCCACCAAGCCUGACUACGCAUCUCUUCGCACGUUCGGGUGUGCAUGUUGGCCUAACUUGCGCCCGUAUAACACUCAGAAACUUGCGUUUAGAUCACAAUAGUGUGUGUUUGUCGGGUACAUCAUUCAUCACAAAAGAUAUAAAUGUCUUCACGUACCUACCGCUCGUNNNNNNNNNNNNNNNNNNNNNNNNNNNNNNNNNNNNNNNNNNNNNNNNNNNNNNNNNNNNNNNNNNNNNNNNNNNNNNNNNNNNNNNNNNNNNNNNNNNNNNNNNNNNNNNNNNNNNNNNNNNNNNNNNNNNNNNNNNNNNNNNNNNNNNNNNNNNNNNNNNNNNNNNNNNNNNNNNNNNNNNNNNNNNNNNNNNNNNNNNNNNNNNNNNNNNNNNNNNNNNNNNNNNNNNNNNNNNNNNNNNNNNNNNNNNNNNNNNNNNNNNNNNNNNNNNNNNNNNNNNNNNNNNNNNNNNNNNAAACCUCCUCUGGUGGGUCCCAGUACUAUGUUUCAUUUAUUGAUGAUUGUUGUAAUUUUUUGUGGAUUUAUCUUCUCAAACAAAAGUAUGAUGUGUUUGAUGUAUUUCGUGAUUUUCUUGCCCAUGUUGAACGCCUCCUAUCUCGCAAAAUCCUAUGUGUUCAAUCAGACUGGGGUGGGGAAUACGAAAAACUUAGCAACACAUUUUUUCGGCAACUUGGCAUUGCUCACCACGUCUCUUGUCCACACACACACCAACAAAAUGGCUCGGCCGAAAGGAAGCACCGUCACAUUAUUGACAUGGGUAUCUCCUUAUUAUCGCAUGCGUCUAUGCCCCUCCGUUUUUGGGAUGAGGCGUACUUGUACGCAUGCUACCUUAUCAACUGACUACCUAGCCGCGUCAUUGGCAAUAUGAGUCCCAUGGAAAAAUUGUUUUCCACCAAGCCUGACUACGCAUCUCUUCGCACGUUCGGGUGUGCAUGUUGGCCUAACUUGCGCGCGUAUAACACUCAGAAACUUGCGUUUAGAUCACAAUAGUGUGUGUUUGUCGGGUACAUCAUUCAUCACAAAAGAUAUAAAUGUCUUCACGUACCUACCGCUCGUGUGUAUAUAUAUAUAUAUAUAUAUAUAUAUAUAUAUAUAUAUAUAUAUAUAUAUAUAUAUAUAUAUCACGAGAUGUUAUCUUUGAUGAACAAAAUUUUCCUUUUACCAAUGACCAACCCUCUCCAAUACCGCCUCGCGUUGCUGAACAUGCAAUCCUUUUAUUUCCACAUGACCACAUGAACUAUGGUGCAUCUGUUUCUCGAACUAAUCUGGAUGCAGGUACCGAUUCGGUGCAGCAAAACCCAUCUCCGGACUCCCAGGCAGAUCCUGUCUCCCAAUCCGCCGCCGCAUCAGCCUAGGAUCACAAGGUGUGUCGAUCCAAUCUCUUCUCUCUUUGGUUCACAAGGUGUCCGUGGGAUGUAUGAAAUAAAACCAUAAAUUUACACACUAUUGUAUCGAUUGAGAACUCAAGAGCAAAGCCCGUUUCCAACCUCGACUCGGCAAACGUGGUUUCUUACCCAUCAUGCUUCUCUCACCAACGACCACCAUGAAGCCAUUGCUUUUCUCUCCAUGAUCUUUGGUCCUUCUCCACCAGCAAUGUGAAACAAAGGCAAUAUGACAGCUUCAUACUCCAUGGUCUUUCUUUUGAGCUUCAAGGUAGUAUGAUAGUAUAAUCAGUGUACAGUACUGUCCAAGACCGAACCAAACUGGUUCAUAUAGCUGUAAAAAUCUCUUGUGAUCAACAACAAAACUAAUGCUAAUAUUCAGGAUUUCAAACUUGAAGCAUUUGGAGAUCAACAAAGAAAAAAGUCAAAUUGACGGCAUGCUUUUAAAUAAAGAUCAUGCAACUUUACAAGACUUUCAUCUCAAUAAAACCAUAUCAGUUGCACAUGCAGAUGAGAGAAAUGGGAAAUACUCUAUUUCAUUCAAGGGUUGUAGUAUGUCAAUUAUUAAAAUGCAAGCACAUUAUAAGUCACAAACCUCCAACGCGCAGAUAAUUUCGGAAAUGCCUAAACCUUAGAUAAUUUGGGAAAGGAGGGUGGCUACAGUCCCCUUGGCUGAUAUACAUAGGUCUAGCUGUAACAUCUUUGGGCAAAGCAUCAUUUGCAACUGGUAACCACAGAAUAUGUAUUUGGCGCUCCUACCGAAGAAAAGAAAAGAAAAGGAUUUAAAAGUGAAUGCCGCCUUCAUAGGUCACAAACCUCGGAUUGUCAACAUCUUCUUGUGAAUGUACACAUAUUUGAAAUACUUGAAGCGGCUGGGAUAAUGUUCUUAAAAAUGGGUUGCUUCAGAGAUAAGAAACUAGUACUGCAGUCAGACCAAAAGGAAAUUCAAGGGCACAAAAUACUUCCAGCAGGCCUUUGCAAAUUGGCAAUUAAUUAAAAAAAGGUGAUGUAUUGGCACAAACACAUGAUGCAGAAGUUUAAUUCAAGGACGGGGAAGUAAGAAUAAGGCCACGUACGUACUAACGAAAGAGGGGAUCAAGGACGAGCUGUAAAAUCCAAAUGAAAAUAUCAAUACAUAAUGAACAGCACCAUUGCGUUGAAAUACCACAAGUCGCUGCUAGUAAGAUUACAUAUGCCGGCUCUCUUGGACAACAAAGCCUAACUCAGGAUUCGACUACGCACGAUUAAUUUGUUGUGUUUGACGUUCCUCUUCCUCUCUUUUUUUUUUGCGAUUAAGUUGCUGCUACACUAAUGUCAAAAAAUGUCUUACAUUAUGGGACUGAGGGACCAAGACAGCUUAAUAAUUAAUUAAUGGUCACACUCCAACUGCUGGACCGGCUAGCUAAACGGACACGCUGGAUGAUAUGUUAUCACGUUCCCCCAUGAACUCCAAAUCUGGCGAAACCACCUACCGUCGCACGAGGGAAGGCGCCGCCGGUCGUGGAACACGCGGUCUGCAGGUCACAUCGGUCCACGCCUUGUUGGGUUCACGCGGUCCAGACGCCAUGCACGCCAAGUAAUUGAGAAAGAGAGAGCCAUGCACGCACGCGAAGCACGCUGCCCUGUGACUAAACAACGAAUAAUGGGCUCGUCCUUGUCCAUAGCCAGGCUUCGAAUGGGUUUGUUAUAGAGCUACUGCUGCUGGAGAUGAUCAAAGAAAGACAAGUCUUCGUAGUAGGCACGUGCCGUUGUUGGUCUAGUCCCGGCCACACCGUCAAUGUAUCAGCUAGCGUGAAGCAUCGAUACUUUAUACGUCCAAACAAAUGCACUAGUAGUAUGGUCUUUGCAUGCUUGGUGCUGCUGCAUGUGGGCUGUGGAGGUUUUUGAGCAUACUGUCUGCAUGCAUGCAUCUUGAUAAUAACAAUCCAAUCCAAUCCAAUCCUAUGGUCUUUGCAUGCUUGGUACAGUGCCUACCAAUCCAAUCCUACUGUCUGCAUGCAUGCAUGCAUCUAAAUGCGGCGGGCGUCCUGUGGGUCACGAGGAGCGUGACCAGACCGCGUGUUCCACCAAAAAAAAAACAAAAAAAAAAUGAUACGGGCCCUCGUCGAACACGGUGCCCUGUCCACCUCCGUACCAAAAGAUAAAUCCGCACUCGUUUUUACUGUUUUUUUACCAAGAUUUAUUUUAAAUCUCUACUUUUAAUGGACGAGUUGGUGAAUCGUCUCUGCGGUUUAUUUUCGCUGGGUUUUUUUCGUCUCUCUUCCCACCACCCCCUCCCAACACCCACUAAUCCACUGAAUAGUCAUCACAUUUUAUCAUGCAAUCAGAAAGCCGUGGUGUUCACAACAUUUUGGACAAGUGGGAUAGUUAUUUCAUGCUAACAACUCAUUGAGACCGGACUAUGCACUUGCAGAGUAAAGACUCUAUAGCUACGACAAAUAAUUUGGAUCGGCGGGAGUAGAACAAAUACACGUGUAAAUGUUUGGUAACUGCAGAGGAAAUGAUAAUAUAUGUAAAGAAAAGAACAAUUUAUGUAGAUUUCAUAGGAUUGGUACACUGAGUGGAAAAAAUGAAAUAAACUAAAGAGAAGCAAAUUUGAAAAAUCUAUAAACAAAAAGUAAAACUUAAAUGCAAUAAUACAGAGAGUUCCUGGUGAGAUUUAUUACAAAUCAAAUGACGACUCCUUCCUUUCCAGUUUAUAAGUCUUGCACGUGUAUCUUGGCUGCUAAUUUACCAAGUUAAUUACACGUGCAAGACUAAUAAACACGUACGGACGGAAGGAGAUAGUAUCUCCGAAGUGGAAGUAAGUACAUUUAAGGGUAUACUUCGAUAAUUGAUCGAAUCCCAUUGGUUCGAGUGAUCUUGUAGUCGCUGAACCCGGCUUCGGAGAAAAUCAAGCUCCACUCGUUUUCCUCUCGCUCCAUUCCAUCGGAGCCCAUCAUGUAGAUAUCUAACAAAACCUGCGCCUCUUUGGAAUGGUUGGGCUGAGUCACCGGAUAUCCCACCACCAUGUCGAUGAUUAUCACCUUUCCUCCGGCUUCUUUCGCUGGGAUCGCUUCCUUGCACCGGCGCAUUAUCUUGACGCAGUCUUCGUGUUUCCAGUCAUGCAAAAUCCACUGGAACCAAACAUACAUAUUAUAUCCCAUUAGCAUAGUAGACCAGCAGAAAAAAGAAGAACAUAUCCAAAAAUAAAAAUAAAAAUAAAAAAUUACCUUGAGUAGAACAGCAUCCGCAGGUGGGACAUACUCAAACAUAUUUCCGGCGACGAAGGUCAAAAUGUCGCUGGCGGGAGCCGCGGCGACGACGUGUGGGAGGUCCAGAACGCUGCACUUGAGGUGCGGGAACGCUCUCGCCACGGCCGACGCGGUGGCGCCAUGGUUGCCGCCGAUGUCCACCAGCGAGCUUUUCACUUCCCUGAACGCUCCGCCGUGCUCCUUCAACAGGACCUUCAUGGCGAUGCGGCUGUCCGCGGCCAUGCCGUCGUUGAACAAGCCGCCAUCGACCUUGGUGGUGUCCCAGAACGUGCAGCCGUUGGCCAGCUGGACGAGCGAGUGCGACUGUGCCGACUCUCCCUCUUGGCCUUGGGUAAACCACUCGGGCAUUUUGAGGAGAGAGGUCCAGCAUAACGUGUUGACGAUGGUGCCCACCAUCGGGGACAGGUUGUGCGGUGAUCUCUCGACAAGGAGCCGGGAGACCCGCGUGAGCUUGUAAUACGCAGCGCCAUCACCGGCGUGGUCGUUGCUGCCUUUGCCUUGGACAAUGGAGAAUACCCCGGUGGUGGUGAGCACCCGCAUGACCCGCCGGAGGUUGGAGCGCUUCGUGGGGUGGAUCCCGGUGUCGGAGGCCAGCUCGGACAAGGUGGCGGCGCCGCCGCGGCGGUGGAUGGCGUCGGGGAUGCGCAGGUCCGUGGCGGCCUUGAGCGCCAGUGACUUGACGAAGGCGAGGCCGUGGUGGUAGAGCUCCAGCUGAGCUUGAAGUAACUCGUCGCUGCUCAUGGCGAGGUCUUGGUCUCGUUCGAUGUGCUGCGCGGCCGGCAUGGUGUAUGUGUAUGAUCGAUCGAGUGUGGUAUGCUAGCUGCUACCUGCUUCUUGCUUCUUCCUUACGUAGAGAAAACGUAGUACCUUCUUAUAGAUAUAGAUGCAUGCGCAUGGUUUCCUAGUAGCUAGCUUCCUUUUGCGGGUUUUUUCUUGUUCAGGGAAGCUUCCUUUUGCGGCUUGGUUUGAGGUUACUGCUUCUAGUUGUAGCCUCCUCCUAUCCUCGCUGUGUGGACGUAGUCUCCCAUUCACCUUAGUAAACAAUUUGGACCUCUCAUUGAGAAGAUUAUAUUUCCACAACAGUUUCUUUUCGUUAUUUCAUUUUUAUGGGGAUUCGUUAAAACCCACCCCUUGAUGCAUGUUCAAGACAAUAGCAUUUCUCAAGGGGCAAAACAAGAGAUGACCUACAAAAAAAAGAUCCUCGUUUGGACCCAUGGUUCUGAAGUCCGUGCACUUCGACCCUACCUAAUUGUUCACUCAAGCACCACAUCACCUUGUGGUCGGCGGGUUAGGAGUAGUAACUACCAUGUGUCCCCAGGGCGCUAGGUGUCCAGGUUUAGUAUAAUAUUGAUGCCAUCUUUCCAAGUGACGGUAUCUUGACAAGUGUUGCUCAGCACUGGUUUGGCUUGGCAGUGGCCAGGCAGCCCGCCCGGGAUCGAUCCCCGUUGGGGACGAUUGCUGGUGUCUCACCAGGGAUUGGCACCCGAAUAGCAUCCCUACACUUUCGUGCCACGCAAAGCAACGAACAAACAAAAACGAAAAUACUAGAAACUUGAGACUCUAGAAGAAUAGAAGAAGCAACGAACCAACAAAAACGAAAAUACUAGAAACUUGAGACUCUAGAAGAAUAGAAGAAGCAACGGAAGUAACCAGAUCUGGAUAAGUGGCGUAUGAAGAAACCUUGGAAUAGAAGAAGAACACUAGUGCAGAACCGGCCUUUAGUGCCGGUUCGUAACGGCCUUUAGUGCCGGUUCUACAACCGGCACUAAAGAGUGGGGACUAAAGGUCCCUCCUCCUUUAGUAUCGGUUUGUCAUGAACCGGCGCUAAAGUGCGAACACGUGGCACGAGCCAGGCCCGGGUGCGCGUAGGGGCUUUAGUACCGGUUGGUAAUACCAACCGGUACUAAAUGUUUGUGUUUUUUUUUAUUUUCCAUUACUUUUUUUGUUUGCUGGUAUUUCACGAUACUACAAAUUGUACACGUUAUGCAUAUAUAUAAAUAGAUUUUCUUGUACGUAUAGAACCGCAUAUAUAGGGUCGAGUGAACAAUUUGGUGAAGCCAUCGCACCAUCACUUGCUCACGCAACCGGGCCUCCUCUCGCAGCCGCUCCCGCUCAUAGCAGCCCGUCCUCAGUCUCAGGNNNNNNNNNNNNNNNNNNNNNNNNNNNNNNNNNNNNNNNNNNNNNNNNNNNNNNNNNNNNNNNNNNNNNNNNNNNNNNNNNNNNNNNNNNNNNNNNNNNNNNNNNNNNNNNNNNNNNNNNNNNNNNNNNNNNNNNNNNNNNNNNNNNNNNNNNNNNNNNNNNNNNNNNNNNNNNNNNNNNNNNNNNNNNNNNNNNNNNNNNNNNNNNNNNNNNNNNNNNNNNNNNNNNNNNNNNNNNNNNNNNNNNNNNNNNNNNNNNNNNNNNNNNNNNNNNNNNNNNNNNNNNNNNNNNNNNNNNNNNNNNNNNNNNNNNNNNNNNNNNNNNNNNNNNNNNNNNNNNNNNNNNNNNNNNNNNNNNNNNNNNNNNNNNNNNNNNNNNNNNNNNNNNNNNNNNNNNNNNNNNNNNNNNNNNNNNNNNNNNNNNNNNNNNNNNNNNNNNNNNNNNNNNNNNNNNNNNNNNNNNNNNNNNNNNNNNNNNNNNNNNNNNNNNNNNNNNNNNNNNNNNNNNNNNNNNNNNNNNNNNNNNNNNNNNNNNNNNNNNNNNNNNNNNNNNNNNNNNNNNNNNNNNNNNNNNNNNNNNNNNNNNNNNNNNNNNNNNNNNNNNNNNNNNNNNNNNNNNNNNNNNNNNNNNNNNNNNNNNNNNNNNNNNNNNNNNNNNNNAUAUAUAUAUAUAUAUAUAUAUAUAUAUAUAUAUAUAUCAUCGAAUGUCUCACAACCAACACCAUUAUUCACACAUACACAUGUAUACAUAUACAAUUUCUCCUACAUAUGUUGCCUUGGUGCCUCCGGAGCACGAUGACAAGUGGUUCAUGGGGGCGGUAGCGGGUAAUAGUAUUCUCCUUCGGGAUUUAUGACCUGGUCGAGCAAAAAUCCGGCUAUUUCCUCUUGAAGUGCUAGUAUGCGGUCCGAUGGUAGGAGCUUAUCCCGUCUCUGAACUGUUAAGAAGGAGAUCAAUAUGCAUGUGUGUUAGUUGUGUGACUAGAUAUCGAUAAUGGUGUGAAUAGUGUUCUGACAAACGUACCCAGUCCUGUCUAUCAGAUUUGCUCCUUUCGGACGUCAUCAUGCGAAUGUUCUCGCAAACGUAGAAUGCACACAAAUUAUUCCCCGACGCCUGCUUCAGGGCCUUUACGAGAAUGAAAUUGAAUCAGAUAAUGAUUAAUUAAUCAAGCAUGAUAAUUAAUUAAUGAUAUUGAAACAAGAAUUAAAGACAUGGUAGCUAGCUAGUACUACUUAAUUACUUACCUUUGGUCGAUGCCAAAACAACUUUUGUUUCCAUUCGCCUGGAGUCACCGCGAUGAACUUUGCCCAUGCCCUGCCCGCCAGGAAAGAAAAUUAAUAAAGGGGUUAUUAAAUAGUUCAUAUCAGAAAAUGACAAACUAAUAAUAGGCCGAGAUAUAUAUAGUUAAUAAUGAUUGAAAUUACCUGUUGACUAUCCCCUUCACGAUGGUGAAGUCACUUUCUUCUUUAGUUAGCGAGUCCGGUAAUUCAACUUUUCCUUCCUCAACUUUAAUGUCUAUCAAGACCCAGUGCCAACUGCAUGCGCACACAUUUGCAUGUCUUAAAUAAGCGGGCAUGUGCAUAAAAUUAAUCAACUACCGUAAACCGUAUACACUUAAUUAUUAAUAUCUAGCUAGAUAGUAAGCAAAAACAGAAUUUGUAGUACAAAACAGUGUGACUCACGGGAAAUUGUAAGGAAGUAGUAUAUCUUCAUUGCUAUUGAGGCGCUUCAAGAACUCUACCAUGCUUUCCUCUACACCUGCUUGAUAAAAUGGAUACUUCCAUAUGUCCUCAUUAAUGGUAUUUGGGUCAAUGAACCCAAUGCCAUAGCAUCCAAAUUUUUUCAUUUCAUACUUCUUCAUCCUGCAUAUAAUACCACAGAAAAGAAUAUAGUGAGGAUAAUUACAUGUAAUGAUUGAUCAAAAUUAUCACUACAUAAUUAGCUUGAGACUUAAAUUACAAAAAGAAAUCACUUACAGACAAUAGCAACUGACAUAGACUUGUCGAGUGCGUCUUGAUUGAAUAACUGAUAUAGUUCUGAAUACUCAAUGGACAGAGCUUUCUCAUGGUAAUAAUGCUCCUUCUUGACAUUCACCAUGAGGGACACUUGAUUGGAAAUCUUGGUCAUGUUCAUGUACCAUUGAUGCAAUUCAUACAUUCUCGUUGGGAGGUCCUUGACCUUGUCUGGAUGGACCAAAGGUUGGCCCCAGGCAUAUUUCCAUUUUAUUUCCGAUUCUUUAAGCGGAGACAUGGGCUCGAUUUCGAGGAGUUGUCCAACAGAGAUCUUGAGCAUUUCAGCCUGCAUUAUAUGCUCCUCCGUUAUUACCACAUCGCCCUGCUAGGGAACGCUAACGGUUUGCCCGCAAUAAUAUUUGGCGUGCAUACUCCUCUCAUGUGUUGUUGGCACAACAAGCGGGGGGAUCUCUUGCGCCGCCUGUUCUCCCAGCUGGGGAACAGUUUUCCCGCAUUUUUUGCCAGCUGCUUGUUGGCUCAAGUUCGAGCUCGCUUCCUUCCGUAGCCGUGCUCGAUGUAGCUUUCUGAUUUGACGCUGAUAGUUUGAGUCAACAGGCUUGGGAGCUGGUGCUCUAGCCAUAUGAAUGAAGUGGUCAAUCAUUUUCUCAGGCACUUUCUCCUUUGGCGGCGGUGCCGGUUUCGGUCCAAAAUGGGCAUCCACUUGGGCCUGCACUAUGGCUGCGUUUUGCUCCUCGGUCAUGUCGUAAGGCCUCUGAGGAAGAGGAGUGAGGCUUGGACCAUAUUUAUAUCGCUUGUCUCCGCCUGUACUUCCUGAACAACCUCGACUCGUACCGCUACGCACCAAAGCUGUGGCAUGUCUCUUCUGUGAUUGCUGAGACGGCGGAGACGGCUGACGUGGAGUUGGACCAGGAGAAGUGGGCUGACGAUGUGCCGGACUUGAAGCAGGAGGUGUGGCCUGACACGGUGCCGGACUUGAAACCGGAGAAGUGGCAUGACGUUGUGCCGGACUUGAAACCGGAGGAGUCAUCUCACGCGUUCGGGGACUUGGAGGUCGUGGCGGACUUCGAGGAGGAGUCGUCUCACGCGUUCGUGGACUUGGAGGAGCGGGAGUCUGUUGACUCGGUGGCGGACUUCGAGGACUCGGCAGACGACGCGGUGUCGGUGGACUUCGAAAGAUGAUGCAAUCAUUUCUCCAUAGGAUGAUACGAUGCAUGGCCUGUCCUAGUGUGCGCUCGUCUUCACCUCCAGGAAUGUCAAGCGUUAGCCCCGAAUAUGGGUCCACCACUUCAUCAACCAUGACACGAGCAUAGCCCUCUGGAAUCGGGAUGCAAUGGUAGGUUGCUUCGGGGGUAACUGGAAAAGCGACGCCGUCCGCCACCUUCAUGGAUAUGUUCUUCAUUUUGGAGUGUAGCUCACAGUUAGUGUUCUCUAUGAUGUCAUCCAUAGGGUAUGUAUCCAGCAGUGUGUCGCCCGGGGCAGAACCAACGCUGCUUCUCGGCAUGGAUGGGAUGGUGCUAUCCAAUGCUGGACGAUCAUCCGCUUGCUGCUGCCGCUGCUGAGACCCCCUUUCCUGGCUAAGUGAGUCGAUCUGCUGCUGCUGCUGAUGGAAUUUUAGUGCCAGGUCCGCGUGCCUUGCUUCUAGGCCUUGAAGACGUUCUGCGUCCUGCUUCCUCUGCUCCUCCUCCAGCUUCCUCUUCUUCUCCUCCUCCAUCUUCUUUCUUGCACGGGACCUGUAGUCGUCAUUCCAGUCCGAAAAGCCCUCAUACCAGGGAAUAACACCCAUGCCUCGUGUUCUUCCCGGGUGUUCAGGAUUUCCCAGGGCACACAUAAGCUCGUCGUUCUCUCUGUUGCGCGUGAACACCCCCGCUCGAGCUUCUUCUAUUGCGUCAAGUAUCUUUUGUUCGGCUCCUUUUAGACUUGCCUUCUUUGAAACGAGGCCUGUCUUUGGGUCCAACGCCCCCCCAUGCGCAUAGAACCAAGUUCUGCACCUGGGGGGCCAGCUCCUAGUAAUCGGAGUGACCCCUGCACCCUCCAUCUCUUGCUCAGACUUAUCCCACUUAGGCAAUCCCACUGCGUAGCCACCUGGACCCAGCCUAUGGAACUGCGUCUUUCUUGCGGCAUUUGCCUUGUUUUUCAUCGACCAUUCCUUAGAUAAUUCUGAAUCCUUGAAGGUCACGAAAUCGUCCCAGUGUUCUCUUUGCUUCUCUAGUGUUCCCUUGAAAUCUGGAGUCUUCCUUUCAUUAGCGAGGUAGUUGGCCCAUACAGUUUUCUUGUGGGUGUUGAAUGCAAUUGCCAUCUUCUUAAGAGCAGCGGCCUUGACUUUCUCCACAUCUGCUUUAGUGAAAUGAUCUGGUAGGGUGAAAUGUUCCAUUAGAGAUUUCACCAAGUCUUCUUUGGCUCUGCCAUCGACCCAAGUAACACCUAGACGUUUAGUUUUUGGCUCUUUCCAUUCUUGAAUGGAGAUCGGGAGUUUGUCCUUCACAAGAACUCCGCACUAAUGAGUCCACUUAUCCGCAACGUUCUUAGGCGUGAGGGGUUCGCCACUAAUUUUGGUGGAUUCGAUGUGGUCCUUUACACCAUCCUUCAACAAUCUGCCCGGGCCUCGCUUUGUCUUGCUGUAUGUAGAAGCAGAUUUGCUCGAUCCGGAGGGCUGAAAGAAGAAAGAUCGAUUCGUUAAUAUAUCUUCAAUAAAAAAACAUGUGAUGAUCACCAGGAUGCAUGCUUAUAUAAAUAUAUACCUCGCCGGAAGUCUUUGUUAUUUGAAGAUCAGCAUUGUCUGUGUCAUCACUAACAUUGUCUGUGUCAUCAUAAUCAUAGUUCAUGACUUCAUCAGCUCUGUCGUCGAGAUCGAAUAUCUUUCCGUCACCCUCUCCGGUAUUGUUCAAAUAUUGGGAGCCGUCAUCAUUCAAAUCAUCUAGCCUCUGAGGGCUGCGUAUGAUGUCGAACAAUUCCUCUUCUCUCUCUCUGCCGGUAUUGUCCGCCAUAGCUUUUACUUUACUAAUUAAUACAGAAGAAAUAUAAAACAAUUUAGUAUUCAAAUUACAAUGCAUGGCUGCAAUUAAUCAAUAAGGAAAAACUGAAUCUCGAAUACAUUGUCUCGAAUAUAUAAUCUCGAAUACAUCAUCGCCUUAACAUAUAUAAUCUCGAAUACAUCGUCUCGAAUAUCAUAUAUCGAAUACAUCACUGGCUAGGUACCUAAUAAAGAUCGAGUACUAUAGAAGAAUCUAGGGCGCCACUCGCGGUUCCUGGGGCGCGGGCGGUGCACACCCAAAGAGAAGGAACCAUCACAGGAUCAUAUCUCCGGUCAUCUGCCCAAAGAACCCGCCAAGUAGUGGAGAACCUGACGUCGUCCAUAGCAGCCAUGUACCGAUGGACCUGCUCAUCUUCCUCCCUGACACGGCGACGCACCACCUCCGGCGGGGCCGACUACCUCUGCACCGAAUGUGGCCCACGCGAACGCCACCAAAGAAGAUCAGGGUCGACGACGGGACCCGAGGUCGGGUUCCUCACCAAGCGGCGCGCCCCUCCAGGUAGCACCUCCCAGUGCCAGCCCGGCGGAGCCCAGUCCCGGACAUGGGUCCUCUGAAGCAUGACGUCGUCGCGAACGGGUCGACGGCGAGGAUGCGGGCCGGGCAUAUCGUCGAGAACAAAUACUAUAUGCCCGCAAAAAGUAACAUUUUUUAAAUGAUUGGAUUGUGAUAACUAAAAUUCUAUAUAUAUGCAAAUUCUAACAAUUUGACAUUAAUCUAAUUCAUCUAACUAAAACUAAUUCUAAAAUUUCCUGAUUAUAUAACUAACAUUUCUAUAACAUUUCUAAUUUUUAUAUAACUAAAAAAUAGAUAAAUUGCUAACAUUUUUAUAAAUAUUUCUAUAACUAAAAACAGAAAACAUUUAUAACAUUUCUAUAUAACUAACAUUUCUAAUAUUUAUAUAACUAAAAAACAGAAUAAUUUCCUAACAUUUCUAUAACUAAAAAACAGAAUUUUUUUAACAAAACAAACUAAUAAUGUGUGUGUGUGUAGUGUGUGUGUGUGUGUGUAGUGUGUGUGUGUGNNNNNNNNNNNNNNNNNNNNNNNNNNNNNNNNNNNNNNNNNNNNNNNNNNNNNNNNNNNNNNNNNNNNNNNNNNNNNNNNNNNNNNNNNNNNNNNNNNNNNNNNNNNNNNNNNNNNNNNNNNNNNNNNNNNNNNNNNNNNNNNNNNNNNNNNNNNNNNNNNNNNNNNNNNNNNNNNNNNNNNNNNNNNNNNNNNNNNNNNNNNNNNNNNNNNNNNNNNNNNNNNNNNNNNNNNNNNNNNNNNNNNNNNNNNNNNNNNNNNNNNNNNNNNNNNNNNNNNNNNNNNNNNNNNNNNNNNNNNNNNNNNNNNNNNNNNNNNNNNNNNNNNNNNNNNNNNNNNNNNNNNNNNNNNNNNNNNNNNNNNNNNNNNNNNNNNNNNNNNNNNNNNNNNNNNNNNNNNNNNNNNNNNNNNNNNNNNNNNNNNNNNNNNNNNNNNNNNNNNNNNNNNNNNNNNNNNNNNNNNNNNNNNNNNNNNNNNNNNNNNNNNNNNNNNNNNNNNNNNNNNNNNNNNNNNNNNNNNNNNNNNNNNNNNNNNNNNNNNNNNNNNNNNNNNNNNNNNNNNNNNNNNNNNNNNNNNNNNNNNNNNNNNNNNNNNGGGGACGGCGUCGAUCGGGGCAGGGCGGCGCGACGGAGAGAGGAAACAGAGGGAAGAAACAGAGGGAAACUGAAUUUUUUGAAGUGUUGUAUAUAUAUAGGAUGGACCUUUAGUAUCGGUUGGAGCCACCAACCGGUACUAAAGGUCUGUUUUGACCAGGCCAAGCGGCGGGAAGCGCACCCCCUUUAGUACCGGGUGGUGGCUCCAACCGGUACUAAAGACCCCCCCCCCCUUUAGUACCAGUUGGUGCCACGACCCGGUACUAAAGGGGUGCGCUGGCGCAGUGCGGUGCGGCAAGUUUAGUCCCACCUCGCUAGUCGAAGGGCUACCGCACUGGUUUAUAAGCCCAGUGCGGUAGCUCUCUCGAGCUCCUCUCCUAAGCAGGCCUACUAGGCCUACCAAUUCAUUGCUGCCAUGUGGGCCUACUGGGCCUUUGCGGGCCUGCAUCCUGGCCCAACAAAAGGUUGAGUUUCUAGUCGUAUGCAGGCUGCUUUGGCUCAGUAGGCGGGCUUUUUUAUUUUCUUAAUUUUUUUGCUUUUUUGUUUUAUUUAUUUUUGAGUUAUUUUUUGCUGUAUUUAGAGUUUCUUUGUGAAUAUUUUUGCUUUAGGUACAAAAAUUUAUAAACUUUGAUCUGUUAGUGCCGGUAGUUUUCAAAUUUGAAUAGUUUAAAUUUUGAAUUAUUUGAAAUUUGUGUGAACCACUAGUUUGUGAAUAACAUAACUUUGAAAAAAGAUUUUUUAGUGAUUCUUUUUUUCUUAUGUUUAAUAUUAGUGUGUUUUAUCAUUAUAUUCAAUUUGGUAAUGCUUAGGUUAUUUAAAAAAUGAAAUGCCUUUGUAACAUUUCAGUUUUCGUCGGAAACCCUGAUACUUCGAAAAAGAUUGUCCAUUUUGUACACGAAGUGUAUCCAGUUUUUGUCGUAACCCUCUCUACUUUUUUGCAUAUGCUAUUUGUAUGAAAUUAUGAUACCAUGCCAACUUUCAACCUUUUCUGAGUUCAUUUCAAAUGCUUUUCAAUUUCAGGGUCAUUUAGCUGGAAAAAAAAUCAGUAAAUGCAUGAAAAGAAUUUGUUUGCACAUAAAAUUUCUUCGCGUUUCAAAUGCCAAAACACAUAAUUAACUAACUAUUAUAGACAUUGCCUCCUGGGUGUGAAACAGAGAAGAAAGUGAUGAUAGUGAAGCCGAUCACAUCCCAGAUCUUUGGGUGUGAAACUUUUUCUUCUCGUUUGUCCCUUUGUGCCGUAGCCAUGGAAAAUCUUCAUCAUUUAACUGGAUGCUCGGGUCAAUAUUCACUGUGAGUGGAGCAAUUUCAUCAAACUUUUCAUAAUCUUCUGACAUGUCUGUCUUGUCAUCCACUCCCACGAUGUUUCUUUUUCCUGAAAGAACUAUGUGGCACUUUGGCUCGUUGUAUGAUCCAUUCGCUUCCUUAUCUUUUCUUUUUCUCGGCCUGGUAGACAUGUCUUUCACAUAGAAAACCUGUGCCACAUCAUUGGCUAGGACGAAUGGUUCGUCUGCAUACGCAAGAUUGUUGAGAUCCACUGUUGUCAUUCCGUACUGCGGGUCUUCCGUUACCCCGCCUCGUGUCAUAUUGACCCAUUUGCACCGAAACAAAGGGACCUUCAAAUCACCUGAUCCAUAGUUAAGUUCCCAUAUGUCCUCUAUGUAACCAUAAUAUGUUUCCUUUCCCGUGUUGGUUGUUGCAUCGAAGCGGACACCACUGUUUUGGUUGGUGCUCUUCUUAUCUUGGGCGAUCGUGUAAAAUGUAUUCCCAUUUAUCUGGUACCCUUUGAAAGUCAUUAUAUUCGAAGAUGGUAACUGGGACAGCGAGUACAGGUUAUUUUGAAUAUCACCAUCAUUCAGGGCACGUUUCUGCAACCAACCGGCGAAAGUCCUCGUUUGUUCACGUGUAAUCCAGUCCUCAAAAUUCUCCGGGUGUUUGGACUGUAGAAAAUUCUUGUGUUCCUCCAUAUACGGAGCCACCAAGGCGGAAUUCUGUAGAACUAUGUAUUGUGCUUCAGUGAGAGAAUGCCCGUCCAUACAUAUUAUUUGAUGCCCUCCUAGUGUGCCUUUUCCUUCCAGUCUGCCCUUAUGCCGCGAUUCAAGAACACCAAUCGGCUUAAGGUUAGGAAUAAAGUCAAUACAAAACUCAAUGACCUUCUCGUUUUCAUGGCCCUUCGAGAUGCUUCCUUCUGGCCUAGCACGGUUAUGAACAUAUUUCUUCAAGACUCCCAUGAACCUUUCAAAGGGGAACAUAUUGUGUAGAAAUACAGGACCCAAAACGUUAAUCUCUUCGCAAAGGUGAACUAGGACGUGCGUCAUGAUGUUGAAGAAGGAUGGUGGGAACACCAACUCGAAACUGAUAAGACAUUGCACCAAAUCAUUCUGUAACCUUGGUAUGAUUUCUGGAUUGAUUACCUUCUGAGAGAUUGCAUUGAGGAAUGCACAUAGCUUCACAAUGGCCAAUCGAACGUUUUCCGGUAGAAGCCCCCUCAAUGCAACCGGAAGGAGUUGCGUCAUAAUCACAUGGCAGUCAUGAGACUUUAGGUUCUGGAACUUUUUGUCUGCCAUAUUUAUUAUUCCCUUUAUAUUCGACGAGAAGCCAGACGGUACCUUCAUGCUGAGCAGGCAUUCGAAGAAGAUUUCCUUCUCUUCUUUGGUAAGAGCGUAGCUGGCCUGACCCUGAUGUAUGUCGUCUUUUCCGUGCAUAUGUUGCUGGUCCUCCCGUGCCUCUGGUGUAUCUUUUGUCUUCCCAUACACGCCCAAAAAGCCAAGCAGGGUCACGCAAAGAUUCUUCGUCUCAUGCAUCACGUUGAUUGCGGAGCGGACCUCUAGGUCUUUCCAAUAUGGCAGCUCCCAAAAUAUAGAUUUCUUCUUCCACAUGGGUGCGCGUCCGUCAGCGUCCUUUGGAACAGGUUGUCCGCCAGGACCCUUUCCAAAGAUUACCUUCAAAUCCUUGACCAUAUCAUGUACAUCAUCACCAGUACGGUGGCGAGGCUUCGUCCGGUGAUCCGCCUGACCUUUGAAAUGCUUGCCUUUCUUUCUUACGGGAUGCCUGCUCGGAAGAAAUCGAUGAUGUCCCAGGUACACAUUCUUCUUACAACUAUUCAAAUAUAUACUGUCGGUAUCAUCCAAACAGUGCGUGCAUCCGCGGUAUCCCUUGUUUGUCUGUCCUGAAAGGUUACUGAGAGCAGGCCAAUCAUUAAUGGUCACGAACAAUAACACCUUUAGGUCAAAUUCUUCCCCCAUGUGCUCAUCCCACGCACGUACAACUGUUCCAUUCCACAGUUGUAAGAGUUCUUCAACUAAUGGCCUUAGGUACACAUCAAUGUCGUUGCCGGGUUGCUUAGGGCCUUGGAUGAGCACUGGCAUCAUAAUGAACUUCCGCUUCAUGCACAACCAAGGAGGAAGGUUAUACAAACAUAGAGUCACAGGCCACGUGCUAUGGUUGCUGCUCUGCUCCCCAAAAGGAUUAAUGCCAUCUGCGCUUAGACCAAACCAUACGUUCCUUGGGUCACCUGCAAACUCCUCCCAGUACUUUCUCUCGAUUUUUCUCCACUGCGAACCGUCAGCGGGUACUCUCAACUUUCCAUCUUUCUUACGGUCUUCUGCGUGCCACCGCAUCGCCUUCGCAUGCUCUUUGUUUUGGAACAAACGUUUCAACCGUGGUAUUAUAGGAGCAUACCACAUCACCUUGGCAGGAAUCUUCUUACUGGGGUGCUCACCUUCGACAUCACCAGGGUCAACGCGACUGAUCUUAUAACACAAUGCACCGCAUACCGGGUAAGCAUUCAAAUCCUCGUACUCACCGCGGUAGAGGAUGCAAUCAUUAGGGCAUGCAUGUAUCUUUUGCACCUCUAACCCUAGAGGGCAGACAGCCUUCUUUGCUUCAUACGUACUCUCGGGCAAUUCGUUGUCCUUUGGAAGCAUAUUCUUUAUCAUUACCAACAACUUUCCAAAUCCCUUGUCAGAUACACCAUUCUUUGCCUUCCAUUGCAGCAAUUCAAGUGUGGUGACCAACUUUUUUUUGUCAGCUUCGCAAUUCGGGUACAACAAUUUCUUGUGAUCCUCUCACAUGCACUGCAACUUCGUCCUCUCCAGAUCACUUGCACAGUUUCUCUUUGCAUCGGCAAUGGCCCGACCUAGAUCAUCAGUGGGCUCAUCUGAUGCCUCUUCUUCAACUUCUUGCUACAUUGCCGGCUCAGCUUCUUCCCCCAUUGUUGUAUCAUUGUAUUCAGGGAACCCAUGGCCAGGAUAGCCGUCGUCGUCCUCUUCUUUUUCAUUGUCUUCCAUUAUAACCCCUAUUUCUCCGUGCUUGGUCCAAACAUUACAGUGGGGCAUGAAACCGGACUCAAAUAGGUGGACGUGAAUGGUUCUUGACGUAGAGUAACUGUGACCAUUCUUACAGCCAGCACAUGGACAAGGCAUAAAACCAUCCGCCUGCUUGUUUGCCUCAGCGGUAAGCAGAAAAGUAUGCACACCAUUAAUGAACUCGGGAGAGCAUCUGUCAUCAUAUAUCCAUUGUCGGCUCAUCUUCAUUACACAACACCGAAUAGACCAAAUUAAUACAAGUUCAUACAUAAAGUUCAUAUACAACACUUAAUUAAAUGCAACAUACAAAUUACUCUCUAGCUAAAGAAUUUAAAUGCAACAACAAAUGUGAUGAAGAUCGCAAUUAAGGUAACAAUUGAUCCAACAUCAUAAUGAUACCAAGCCACACUAUCAAUGGCAUAUUUUCUAAUCUUUCUAAUCUUCAACCUCAUUCGACGACAUCGGCAACAUGCAACUCCAAUUCCAUCUUCUCCACCUCAAUUCUUUUCAAUUUUUCUUUCAAAUACUCGUUUUCUCUUUCAACUAAAUUUAACCUCUCGACAAUAGGGUUGGUUGGAAUUUCCGAUUCACAUACCUCCUAGAUAAAAAUAUCUAUGUCAACUUGAUGGGCAUAAUUGGUCAUAAACAAGAAAUGCAACAACUAGUUUUAAAUGAGAAUAUACCACAUCCGAAUCAUAACAAGGACGAGGGCCGACGGGGACGGAUAUCAAAACCAUGGCACUAUGUAUAACAAACAACGUCUGGGUAAGAUAAUUAUACGAGUAACUAUAUAUCUAAAUCACACAAACAUCAAUUUGGUAAUGUAAAACAUUCAUGAACAAGAGCCUCACCACAAGGUGGUGCCGGCGACGGGACGGUGCAGGCGAUCGACGGUGGUUACGACGGAGAUUUAGCAGGCACUAAGUAAACCACACCUACAUAUGCAAACUAAGUGUUAUUUUUGACCUCAAAUUGCAUAUAAAUCAAAUACUAGCAAAUAUAAUUCCUCCCAAAUUAAUCACUAUACAAAGCAUUGCAAGAGCUAAUCUAGCAAUGAGAGUUGAAAGGACAAAGUUGCUAACCUUUGUGAUCAUUUGAAUGGAUGGGGGCCUUCAAAUCUUGACAAAUUUUGGGCAAAAUUUGUGAGGAGCUCGAGGAAGAGAGGGGAAGAACAGAGGAAGUGAGGGGAAAGGGGAAGAACAGAGUGGCUCGGGUGGACGAAGGGUUUAUGUAGGUCGACCUUUAGUACCGGUUCGUGCCACGAACCGGUACUAAAGGUGCUAGAGGGGCCCCAGACUGACAACACCCUGCCAACACUCUCUUUAGUACCGGUUCGUGGCACGAACCGGUACUAAAGGUUCGCCAUGAACCGGUACUAAUGAGAACGGCUGGCUAGCCGUUGGAACCGGCACUAUUGGACACAUUAGUGCCGGCUCAAAAUCAAACCGGCACUAAUGUGUCUCAUAUUAGGUCCGUUUUCUACUAGUGGAAGAUAUAGGAGGCUGAGCUUGGAAGACAAGAAGGAAACAAAAAGAUGGUUAGAAGAGUAGAAGAAGCAAGAUGGUAGAAGAGUAUAAGAAGCAAACAUGAGUGCCAAGUUAAAAAAGUUUGAGGAUAGAAGAGUAGAAGAAACAACGGAAGUGACUGGACCCGGACAAGUGGCAAGAAACCUUAGAAUUAGAAGAAAGAAAAUAUUGACGGGCUAUAUGAGCUUGGAAGACACCAAGGAAAAAUAUGGUACAUGAGUAGAAGAAGCAAUCAUUAGUGCCAAGUAAAGUCUAAGGAUAGUUGUUGGAAUAGCUCUAGUCUCUUAGAGAAAGUUAAGAAUAGUUGUGAUAAUAGUUGUAAUAACAUGGUAAGGAGUAGUAUUUUGUUAGAGGUAGUUUAGAAAGAGGUGGAAUUUAAGAUCUGUUCAAUAUGUCUUGCUGGUGUGGUGGAUGAAAAUACUAAGUCCGUAAUCCUGUUUAUCUCUGGUUUCAUUCCAGUAAUGGAAUUGGGAGCUAUGCUCCGUAAUUCAAAAAAUGAAGUGAUGGUAUCUUUUCAUAGUUGAACUUUUAUAAUGCCUUCCUUUCAAUUUGUGUCGUCUCAUAAAAGCCAUCUAGGAGCAUCCAAGAUACUUCAAAUGAGAAGCCGUUCCUAUUACCGAGGUGUGCCAAAUUUGCUGAUCAACUUAGACUAGCCAUAAAAGUAGUAACGUAGGUAAUAACAUAAAACUCAAUGCAAUGCCAACAAGAUAUCUUGAGUACAUGGCAUGUCAACGAAUGAGGAAGAGAAUCUUGUGAUAACUAGCUAUGUUACCAUAUAACAUCACAAACUCCAAAACAAGAUUAGUAUACAACCUAAUAAAUGGAACUUUGCAUGAUACUAGCCAUUAGUUACUACCCACUAUGAAGGUGGUAACAUAGACUAGAAACAUAGGCAUGACACUAGUCUAUGUCACUCCCCACAAUAACUAGUCUUAAUGAUAUGGGCCUUCGUCUAUUGGUCUGGGCUUGGUCAACGGAUGCCGAACUGCUCUACACCAAUGAUAAUAGCUUCGGUUGCAGAAUAUGGAAAGUUACCUAUUUGACAGAAGAAAUUAUGUGUUUGGCUAUUUUGUAGAAAGUGAUGUAUUCUCCAAAAAAUGAUGUAUUUUGUAGAAAAUGGAAAGUUAACCCGGUAAAUUUUUUAUUAAUUUUUUGUUUACACACGUACAAAAAAAGUAUGUGCAAAUCUAAAAGAAAAUAAAACAUAAAAAAGUCAAAUAAAGUUACAUGUCCAAUCAGAAAAAUUUACAUAAGCAUUCCGUUUAAUCCUAAAUAUUAUCCAUCUAAGAUCCUCUUUGAAGAAAGCCCUUGCUAUGAAAAGACUUGGUCUCUUAUAUUGUUACAUAUGUCAACAUUUCUGGUUUGCCCAAUAACCCAUGCACCAAGCCUGAUGAUUUCUAUGAAAAAACGUUCUUGAGUUUGCAGAAUGUCUUUUAGUUUACAUUCCUGUUUCCACAUAUAAGUUCCCGAUCCCAAAAAUUACAUUUUUUUCAUCCUUUCUAGCUGUUAUCACCCCUACAACAAUAGAAUACUUAUCAUAUACAUACAUAAUGCAUAUUUGAUCAUCUAUUAGACACAUAGGAACAUCUCAGGCACUAGCACUUGAUGGCCUUUUGUCAAAUACAGAAAAUCCAAAUCAUCACGUCGCAUCAAUCCAUGUCGCCUCUCCUCCUUGCCUCCAUGGCCAGCCAGGAGAGCCUUCACCGCACCACCAGUAAGCUCGACGGUAGCUAGCAAUCUCAAGGUUAUUCAAGGAGGUGUUGCCCCUUUCUUCCACUACUUUCUUUGGCUAGAAGAGCAUCAGCGCGAAGAAGAGACCUAGGACGCCGGGGAUUUGACCUAACAUGGUGUUCUCCAGGUAGUACAAGUUAAUGACAAGUACUCGCUCCGUUUCAAAAUAUAAGAUGUUUUAGCUUUGUGAAGUGAGUGUAUCUAGACUCUUUUGAUCUUUAGGUUCACUCUGAACUAUAAACUAAAGAUAUCUAGAUACAUUUGCUUCACAAAGCUAAAACAUCUUAUAUUUUGAAACGGAGGGAGUAGGUGUUGAAGGGGACGGCCAGAAUUGGGAGUGUAGGAAAGGAGCAUGUCGUUUCGUGUAGGAUGCGGUUGUGUCCAAGCCUGCUUCAAGAAUUGAAGUGUUCGUGGGGAGGCGUGACGAAAGGGAUCCAACGUUAUGUUAUUUGAUUAACACGUGUGGAGUUAAAUAAAGAAUGAUUAGUUUAAGGUUGAAGUAGUUUCUCCUAGUUGGUUUAUGAGGCGUAUGAAUUCAGCCGACGGUUCAGAUUAAACGACAAAGAUUAGUCCCAUAGAUCCAACAAGACAUAAUCAUUAGAAGAAACUGUAAUAAAACUAAUAGUAUCAGGAUAGGCCUAGGCCCAUCAAUUGCCAAAGCAACGCACAAAAUCCCGACGCAACUAUCUCCUGCGAGCACACCGCCGCCUCCACACCCACCAGCUACCACGCCGCCGCCUCCACAUCCAGUCAUCCACCAGCCACCACGCCCCCACCUCCAUCUAGCCCACGGCGACCGCCCAUUCCACUGUCGAGCACUCUGCCGCCAGCUUGACAGCGUUCGUUACCUCAUCAACAUCGGACGCCUCAUCUUUGGAAGGUUGUGUCACUCUGCUGAACCCCCUACUGUAAACCUAGCCUCCUUUGACGGCAGCCCAGACUAUGCCCUGUUCGAUUUAUGGUUUCACUUACAGGUACAUGAGUGGUACUACUAAUUCUAAUUUCCUAGACGACAUGAGCACCUAAUUAGAUGAGCCCUUAUCCAGCAGGAGACCCAGGAAAGCAUUCGUGAUGGAGAUUGGUCGUGCAACAUGAUGCUCUGGCUAUGCUUUGAAUUUCCUGCAUAUUUACCUUACUAACAAGCAUCACUGAAUGGAAAUUAGAAUCAUCAAAUUAUGUUAGUUAUGAAGCAUGUUGAUGUUUGAACAAUUUACCAAUGUCGGUGACACAACUAGUACACAUGAAAAGCCCAACAACCAUUGGUGUAUGUAGAUGAUAUGACCUUCAACCUUUUUAGUCUUUGUUCCAUUUACUGAAGUGUUGUAUCACUUAAUUCUGCGAAUCAUUUAUCAACCACACCAAGGUAUCCAUUUUAAUUAUUUGUGUCAGUACCAAAGUAAUUGUAUGAGAAUAAUUAUUUGUUUUCCAUGGAAAAUAAUUUUUCAUCUGUAUUGUUCUGCCAAUUGUAUUUCUAGUAUCCUAUGCAUAUUAUUUACUGUCUCUUUUUCUUUAUAUACCAUGCAGUUUGUGAUUUCAGAAAACAACCAAUCAAGUCUGUGAUACUCAUCUAUAUUCUGGUGAGUUAAAGAUCCAUAUGAAGUUUGUUGGGCAUCAUCUAAUCUUAUUAUGUGCCUUGUCUAGAGUUGAUUAGCUCUAGUUUUUAUAUUAGUAUUCUUAAUGCUGAAGUUUGUGUGUUCGAUUUGUUGGAAAACAGAUGAAUGCAACAACUGAUCAGGUUCAAGAAAGAUGAAGCAAGAAAUGUUGUUUCCCAGGCUCUAAAUCUGAAGCUUCCUUUUGAUGAGAUAGAUUUGAUGGAGGAGAACCUAGAGGUGGAGCUGAUCAGGAGGCAACUGGGUCUUCAGCAUGUUAGGUCCUGAUGAUAAGUCAAUUUUGACGUUAAAUGUGAACCUAUUUCUAAGACUUGUCAAUCACAAUUUUUUCUCAAGGACCAAAUUAGUUGCUGAAAUCUGCUGUUUUCCCAAAUCAUCUACUCUUCUGGGAGCUCUUUGUGAUAUCAUCGAUACUAGUACUUCUCAAGCAGAGCAAUAAUACUGAUAUAAAAAGGUACUUCUGCUUUCCAUUUGCACGAUACAUGAAGAAUAAUAAGAGGUAGAAAGUGCAAGUAACACUUGCAUGAUCAUGCAAGUCUUUGUGAGCACCUCCAUUUGUCCUAGGAAUGUCAUAAUUUUCUGAAGAGUAUUCACUUCGGAAAGCAGGAGCUAAAAACCUAUUUUAGCCUGUUUAUGCUAUCAGCAUUCUUGCUGAUGUCCAUGUUCUGCUCGAGGAUAUCAAAGAGCAGAAACAAAGAAUCAGGUAAAUUUUGAACCCCGUUGAAGAAUUGAUUGGAGGGAGCUAGCUCUUUAGCUCAGUAUGGGAUAUAGUGUUCACCAUUUGUUACUGCAAAUGAACCAAGUGGUUCACCUAUAUGUAAGCUUACGCGCACCUUUGGAAGGAGCGGCAGUCCCUCAUGGAGUGCGUAGACCUCUUGACCCCGUCCCUGUCGGUAAAGCUUAUUGGAAAUAUGAGCAAACUACUAUGAGUUUUAAUCCAAAUAAACAGAUGAUAAAUCAUGACAGCACUAGCAAAGAUUAAACUAAUCAUGUGAAAUAGCAUAGUAGAUGAACAAAUGACAUCUAGGGCACAUACUAGAAACAUGAAUUCUACCACGAUCUCGAAUAGGAAGGAUAGAAUCACAUACGGUGCAGCGGGUGCAGCACCGCCGGCGUUGACGUUGUCGCCCAUGUCAUUGAGGAUGAGGUUGCCGAGGUUGGGGAAGAAGUCGUCGUUCGCGAAGUCGUCGCUGCGAGCAGUCGCGCAAGUGCGCUCCCCAAAAACCUGAUCGCCCCUCUCCCAUACACGAUCAUGAGAGGCGGGGUUCCAGAGGCCUGCUGUCCCUUCUCCCGGUGCACGCCGAAAGGAGGGAUGGAGAAGACUAGCUUGGCGGCUCAAUGAUCUGGAACGGUGGUGAGAAACCAUACGAAGCGGCAACUACUACGGUAGACGUCUUCCUGACUAUAUAGUGCGGGCCGGGUAGGUCGUGGGAGUUAACCCCACGUCCGAGUUGUCACGAUCCAAAAGAAUCGGAAAUGGUUCAGUAAUUAACUCGUCCAUUGCUUAUUAAUUAAUGACUCAUUAAUUUUUCCCGAGCAGCAAAAAUAUAGACAACAUGCAUAGCUCUGUCCUCGGCUCGCCUCAAUCCUGCAACCCGCGGCGCGGUGCGGCGUCGGCUUCGAUCUCGACGUGGACUCCUGUCACCUCCGAUAACGGUAGCGCACUUGAGACAUGGAGUGGAUGAGAUGUCGAUGAGGCGGGUGUCGACGAAAUCUUUGGCACAAGGGGACGAGAUCCUCCGCGGUCCACCCGACGAUGGGGGUGAUGCUGGUGCAGGGGCUGGCGUGACCAGCAUAUCCGUACCCAACGUGAUCGGAGUACGGAGUCGAACGGACCCGACGAUGUUGAUGUGGAAGCGGAGGCUCCCAAAAGUCAAAUCGAUACCCUUGUGGAGGGUGCUGAACACGGCGCGUUGCGCCAGGGUGUGUGGCACGAACUCGAGGGAGCCGAAGAAGAUCUGCUCCGCAAGAGUCGACGAACUGCCAUUCGUUGAGAUGAGGAUCGGAGACUCCAUGGGUCCAGUAGACGAAAUUCCCACAUACGGCGCCAAUCAACGAGGGAGUACCUCGGCAAUGCCCAUGGUUGUGGACUUAGGGUUUUGAUGAAUCAUGUCUACCGGUGGAAUCGACGAUCUAAACGUGAGGUGUGAAACACAAGACACAGAUUUACCCAGCUUCAGGCCCUUUUAAAGGAAACCCUACGUGUUGCUUGUCGGAUCUUUAUAUUGAUGGAGUGUACAAAGUCGUUGAGAUCGGAGACUAGGGUUAGCCCUUGCGCAUGGCCAAGGCUAGAUCAAUCGUGAUGGUGGUUGUGAGGUUUGUGUGCGUUAUUGUUGUGUCGACCCCGUACCCCUCUCCCAGCCUUUAUAGACUAGGCUGGGUCCCGAGUUCGUAUCAGGAUCAGUUUACAUCAUGGUAAGGGGGUUUCCCUAUCUACUUACAAUAGCACUUCCUUACGGAUCACGUCAUGUCCGUGGGCUUCCUGGGCUCCAAGCGUGGCGAUGACCUGGACCUCGAGUCCUUCCAGCCCGCAGGCCUCCUGUUAUGCGAUACCAGGUAUCCUUAUGGUGGGCACCCGCAAUGUCAUGCCCACAACAAUCAUCCAAAUUAUCAUGCCUAUCUUAAUGGCUAUAAAGACAGAGCUUUUGGGAGACAACCCAUUAUAUUUUUUUCUUUCAGUUUAUUUUUGUUUCUUUGAGUCUUGGAAGUUAUUACCUCUAUAAUAACCUCUCCUUAUCCUUCUUGUUUCAUUUUUGUGCCAAGAAUAGCCACUAAUGGGAGGAAAGUGAGAUUUGGGGAAGUUGCUGUCCCGAAACUGAUUUUGUGCUGUCACCAAAAAAAUUAAUUCUCUCAGCCAGAACGUCGGAUUGAUAUGAAAUGUUUUAUGCUCAUGCCCCAGGUUGUUACCCAACUUGUUCUAUGGUGCUCUCCGUGUCGCGCAAGCGUGAGGGAUCCCCGCUGUAGGGUUUGCAAUAUGUUCAUGAUUUGCUUAUGGUGGAUGGCGUUAGUGACAUAAGCACAGACCUGAGUAAGUAGGUUGUUUGCGUAUGGGAUAAAGGGGACUUAAUACUUUAAUGCUAUGGUUGGGUUUUACCUUAAUGAUCUUUAGUAGUUGCGGAUGCUUGCUAGAGUUCCAAUCAUAAGUGCAUAUGAUCCAAGUAGAGAAAGUAUGUUAGCUUAUGCCUCUCCCUCAAAUAGAAUUGCAAUAGUGAUUACCGGUCUAGUAACGUAGUCAAUUGCUUAGGGACAAUUCCACAACUCCUACCACCACUUUUCCACACUCGCUAUAUUUACUUUAUUGCUUCUUUAUCUAAACAGCCCCUACUUUUUAUUUACGUGCUCUUUAUUAUCUUGCAAACCUAUCCCAACAACACCUACAAAGUGCUUCUAGUUUCAUACUUGUUCUAGGUAAAGCGAACACUAAGCGUGCGUAGAGUCGUAUCAGUGGCAGAUAGGGCUUGAGAGAGUAUUGGUUCUACCUUUAGCUUCUCGUUGGGUUCGACACUCUUACUUAUCAAAAGAGGCUACAAUUAUCCCGUAUACUUGCGGGUCAUCAAGAUCUUUUUCUGGCGCCGUUGCCGGGGAGUCAUAGCGUGGGGUGAAUAUUCUCGUGUGUGCUUGUUUGCUUUAUCACUAAGUAAUUUUUAUUUGCUGUUCUUAGUUGCUCUAUAUCUUUAGUUAUGGAUAUGGAACACGAAAUACCAAAAACAUUAGGUGUACUUCAUACUCAUGGAGAUGGGGAACCUCCUAAAACCCUCGAUGCUCGUUAUGUGAAAGACAUUAUGUACUACUUUAAUAAUCCUGAGAAACCCCCAUUCAAUUAUGUUAUGGGUGACACGUUGGAUCAACGUAAAUACUUUAGGGAUUAUCGCUUGACACAAAAAGGGAAACUAUUAUGGGAUAAAAUUAAUAUGUUGCCUUGGUAUGCUCUGGAUUUAUGCUUGAGAUAUGAUAUUACUUUUUGCUCUAGGAUGAAGGCUCCACACCUUCCCUUUUCAUGCAAAUUUAAUGAUAAUGAAACCUUAGCUUCUUAUGCUAGAAGUAUAUAUGAUUACUAUGAUGUUGAACAAAUUGAAGAAUUUGUUGCUUUUAAGGCUACUUAUGAAAUUGAAUCUUUGUUUGAAAAGUAUGAAGCUUUAGAUGAUGAUGUUUAUAGGCUUGAAAAUUAUGCUAUAUUGAAAUAUUGCUAUGAAAAUUAUGAAUACAAUUACAAUAUUAAUGCAUUUGUUGAGAAAGUCUCCGCUGUCCAAGAAGAGACUAAUAUUUUGCAGGAAGUUAUGGAAGAAGAAAUUGAUGAAACUGUGAGCCCAUUGGAUGAAAAAGAUGAUGAGGAGAGCGAAGAACAAAAGGAGGAAGAGCGGAUUGAUCAGCCGUGCCCACCUUCUACGGAGAGUAACUCUUCAACUCAUACAUUGUUUAAUUCCCCUUCGUGCUUACCGAAGGAUGACUGCUAUGAUGAUUGCUAUGAUCCCAUUGAUUCUCUUGAAAUAUCCAUUUUUGAUGAUACUUGCUAUGCUUGUGGCCAAGAUGCCAAUAUGAAUUAUUCUUAUGGAGAUGAACUUGCUAUAGUUCCUUAUGUUAAACAUGAAAUUGUUGCUAUUCCACCCACACAUGAUAGUCCUAUUAUCUUUUUGAAUUCUCCCGACUACACUAUAUCGAAGAAGUUUGUUCUUAUUAAGGAUUAUAUUGAUGGGCUUCCUUUUACCAUUACACAUGAUAAUUUUUAUGAAUGUGAUAUGCAUGUGCUUGCUGCUCCUACUUGCAAUUAUUAUGAGAGAGGAACUAUAUCUCCACCUCUCUAUGUUUCCAAUAUGAUAAAAUUGCAAGAAACUGCUUAUACUAUGUGUUGGCCUUUACUAUGUGUGCAUGAAUUGUUUUUUAUGACAUGCCUAUGCAUAGAAAGAGAGGUAGACUUUGUUUUUGCAUGAUAUAUGUUACUUUGUGCUCACUAAUAAAUUACAAAUCAUUGUUAAUUAAAAUUGGCUUUGAUAUACCUUGGGAUCCGGGUGGAUUCAUUACUUGAGCACUAUAUGCCUAGCUUAAUGGCUUUAAAGAAAGUGCUGCCAGGGAGACAACUCGGAAGUUUUAGAGAGUCAUUUAUUUCUGUUGAGUGCUUUUAUAUAGUUUAAAAACAAACAAUAAAUAAAGAGGGGAACCUAAAAACUUUUCAAAAAGGAAAGUGAAAGUGAGAGAGACAAGCAUUGUUGAAGUGGGAGAGCUCCUUGAACUUUGUUCAUGCUCACAGAAACUUUGUGAAUCUUGAUUACAGAAACUUUUCAUCAAAAAUAAUUAUCCCCUUGUACAAUUCCAUUGUAUUAUAAAAAUAAUGUGACAAGGUUUGCCUUUAGGAUGUUUACAAUGCUUGUUGGUUUGUACGGUGCAGGACAGAAACUUUGGCUGUAGUGCUCGAUUUUACAUUUUUUGCCGAAAUGGUUCUUAUUCCUUUUGCACUGUCUUUCUGUACAACUUGUUUAUUUUUCCUAAUUUUGGUAGAAUUUUUGGGUACAGAAGUAUGGUGAAUGUUCAGAUUGCUACAGACUGUUCUAUUUUUGACAGAUUCUGUUUUUGAUGCAUAGUUUGCUUGUUUUGAUGAAUCUAUCAAUUUAUAUCAGUGGAUUAAGCCAUGGAAAAGGUAUAUUAUAGUAGACACAAUGAAAAAACAAAAUAUGAAUUGGUUUGCAACAGUACUUAGAGUGGUGAUUUUCUUUAUUAUACUAACGGAUCUUACCGAGUUUUCUGUUGAAGUGUUGUGUGGAUGAAGUGUCUAAUCGAGGAGGUCUCAAUAUGAGGAAAAGGAAGAGAGGCACGAGCUCAAGCUUGGGUAUGCCCGAGGCACACCAAGUAAAUAUUCAAGGAGACUCAAGCGUCUAAGCUUGGGGAUGCCCCGGAAGAUAUUCCCUCUUUCUUCAACAAGUAUCGGUAUGUUUUCGGAUUCGUUUCGUUCAUGCGAUAUGUGCAAGUCUUGGAGCGUCUUUUGCAUUUAGUUUUCAUUUUUAUUUUAUGCACCAUGCUGGUAUGAGAUAGUCCUUGGUUGAUUUAUAAAAUUCUCAUUGCACUUCACUUAAAUCUUUUGAGUGUGGCUUUAUAGAAUGCUUCAUGUGCUUCACUUAUAUCAUUUGAAGUUUGGAUUGCCUGUUUCUCUUUACAUAGAAAACCGCCAUUUGUAGAAUGCUCUUUUUGCUUCACUUAUAUUUGUUAGAGCGUGGACAUAUCUUUUGUAGAAAGAAUUAAACUCUCUUGCUUCACUUUAUCUAUUUAGAGAGAUGACAGGAAUUGGUCAUUCACAUGGUUAGUCAUAAAAUCCUACAUAAACUUGUAGAUCGCUGAAUAUGAUAUGUUCGAUUCCUUGCAAUAGUUUUGCGAUAUAAAGGUGGUGAUAUUAGAGUCAUGCUAGCGGGUGGUUGUGGAUUGUAGAGAAACUUGUGUUGAGGUUUGCAAGUCCCGUAGCAUGCACGUAUGGUAACCGUUGUGUGACAAAUUUGAAGCAUGGGGUGUUUCUUUGAUUGUCUUCCUUAUGAGUGGCAGUCGGGGACAAGCGAUGGUCUUUUCCUACCAAUCUAUCCCCCUAGGGGCAUGCAUAGUAGUACUUUGCUUCGAGGGCUAAUAAAUUUUUUGCAAUAAGUAUAUGAGUUCUUUAUGACUAAUGUGAGUCCAUGGAUUAUACGCACUUUUACCUUUCCAUCAUUGCUAGCUUGUUCGGUACCGUGCAUUGCCCUUUCUCACCUCGAGAGUUGGUGCAAACUUCGCCGGUGCAUCCAAACCCCGUGAUAUGAUACGCUCUAUCACACAUAAGCCUCAUUAUAUCUUCCUCAAAACAGCCACCAUACCUACCUAUCAUGGCAUUUCCAUAGCCAUUCCGAGAUAUAUUGCCAUGCAACUUCCAUCAUCAUCACAUACAUGACUUGAGCAUUUAUUGUCAUAUUGCUUUGCAUGAUCGUAAGAUAGCUAGCAUGAUGUUUUUAUGGCUUGUCCGCUUUUUGAUGUCAUUGCUACGCUAGAUCAUUGCACAUCCCGGUACACCGCCGGAGGCAUUCAUAUAGAGUCAUAUCUUUGUUAUAGUAUCGAGUUGUAAUAUCGAGUUGUAAGUAAAUAAAAGUGUGAUGAUCAUCAUUAUAGAGCAUUUCCCCAUAAAAAAGAAAAAUGAAAGGCCAAAGAAGCCUAAAUAAGAAAGGGGGCCAAAGAAGCCCACCCAAAAAGAAAAAAAAAGAAAAAAAAGAAAGAAAAAAGAAAAAGAAAAGGGGCAAUGUUAUUAUUCUUUUACCACACUUGUGCUUCAGAUUAGCAGCAUGUUCUUCAUAUAGAGAGUCUCAUAUGUUGUCACUUUUAUUUACUAGUGGGAAUUUUCAUUAUAGAACUUGGCUUGUAUAUUCCAAUGAUGGGCUUCCUCAAAUACCCUAGGUCUUCAUGAGCAAGCAAGUUGGAUGCACACCCACUUAGUUUUCAGUUUGAGCUUUCAUACACUUAUAGCUCCUAGUGCAUCUGUUGCAUGGCAAUCCCUACUCCUCGCAUUGACAUCAAUUGAUGGGCAUCUCCAUAGCCCGUUGAUUAGCCACGUCGAUGUGAGACUUUCCCUUUUUGUCUUCUGCAUAUAAACCUCCACCAUUAUAUUCUAUUCCACCUAUAGUGCUAUAUCCAUGGCUUGCGCUCAUGUAUUGCGUGAGGGUUGAAAAAGCUGAAGCGCAUUAAAAAGUAUGAACCAAUUGCUUAGCUUUUGAUCGGGGUUGUGCAUGAUGGGAGCAUUUCGUGUGACGAAAAUGAAGCAUGGCCAAACUAUAUGAUUUUGUAGGGAUAAGCUUGCUUUGGCCUUGUUGUUUUGAAAAGACAUGAUUGCUUUAUUAGUACGCUCGAAGAAUUAUUGUUUUUAUGUCAAUUGAUAGACUAUUGCUUUGAAUCACUCGUAUCUAAAUAUUCAUGCCAUGAUUAGACAUAUGAUCAAGAUUAUGCUAGGUAGCAUUCCACAUCAAAAAUUAUCUCUUUUAUCAUUUACCUACUCGAGGACAAGAGGAAUUAAGCUUGGGGAUGCUGAUACGUCUCCGUCGUAUCUAUAAUUUUUGAUUAUUCCAUGCCAAUAUUCUUGAACUUUCAUAUACUUUUGGCAACUUUUUAUACUAUUUUUGGGACUAACAUAUUGAUCCAGUGCCCAGUUCCAGUUCCUGUUUGUUGCAUGUUUUAUGUUUUGCAGAAGACCAAUAUCAAACGGAGUCCAAACGGGAUAAAAAUGGACAGAGAAUUAUUUUGGAAUAUUUGGGAUUUUCCGGAGGAAGAAUCAACGCGAAACAGUGUCUGAGGUGGCCAGGAGAUAGGGGGGCGCCCUCCCCCAUGGGCGCACCUGGCACUCUCCUGGGCCACCCGUAAGGCGGUUGACGCUCUUCUUUUGCUGCAAUAAAUCUAAUUUUAUGAGAAAAAUCUGGGCGAAAGAUUCACCCCAAUCGGAGUUACGGAUCUUAAGAUAUAAAACAAACGGUGAAGGGGCAGAAUCUGAGAACGCAGAAACAGAGAGAUAAAUCCAAUCUCGGAGGGGCUCUCGCCCCUCCCAAGCCAUGGGAGCCAAGGACCAGAGGGGAAACCCUUCUCCCAUCUAGGGAGGAGGUCAAGGAAGAAGAAGAAGAAGAAGAAGAAGGGGGGCUCUCACCCCUUGCUUCCGGUGGCGCCGGAACGCCCCGGGGGCCAUCAUCAUCACUGUGAUCUUCUCCAACGCCUCCGCCAUCUUCAUCAACAUCUCCAUCACCUUCCCCCAUCUAUAUUCAGCGGUCCACUCUCCCGCAACCCACUGUACGCUCUACUUGAACAUGGUGCUUUAUGCUUCAUAUUAUUAUCCAAUGAUGUGUUGCCAUCCUAUUAUGUCUAAGUAGAUUUCCAAUGUCCUAUCGGUGAUUGAUGAAUUGCUAUGAUUGGUUUGAGUUGCAUGCUUUAUUAUUGGUGUUGUCCUAUGGUGCUCUCUAUGUCGUGCAAGCGUGAGGGAUCCCUGCUGUAGGGUUUGCAAUAUGUUCAUGAUUUGCUUAUGGUGGGUGGCGUGAGUGACAGAAGCACAGCCCCGAGUAAGUAGGUUGUUUGCAUAUGGGAUAAAGGGGACUUGAUACUUUAAUGCUAUGGUUGGGUUUUACCUUAAUGAUAUUUAGUAGUUGCGGAUGCUUGCUAGAGUUCCAAUCAUAAGUGCAUAUGAUCCAAGUAGAGAAAGUAUGUUAGCUUAUGCCUCUCCCUCAAAUAGAAUUGCAAUAGUGAUUACCGGUCUAGUAACGUAGUCAAUUGCUUAGGGACAAUUCCACAACUCCUACCACCACUUUUCCACACUCGCUAUAUUUACUUUAUUGCUUCUUUAUCUAAACAGCCCCUACUUUUUAUUUACGUGUUCUUUAUUAUCUUGCAAACCUAUCCCAACAACACCUGCAAAGUGCUUCUAGUUUCAUACUUGUUCUAGGUAAAGUGAACACUAAGCAUGCGUAGAGUCGUAUCAGUGGCAGAUAGGGCUUGAGAGAGUAUUUAUUCUACCUUUAGCUCCUCGUUGGGUUCGACACUCUUACUUAUCGAAAGAGGCUACAAUUAUCCCGUAUACUUGCGGGUCAUCACCUAGCGGUGUGAAAUAAAUGGGAAACUUGUAAGUUCAUGGAGUUUGUAUAUGAGUUAGAGAAACGCCUGGGCGGCCAACCCAAGCCAUGCAUAAUUCAUGGUGGAAAUUUACAACAUAACCAUAGUGAGCAUUCUAUGGAGCAUCUUCAAUAAAAAAAACUACGCCCAUGGUAAUAAAAGGAUUGCUGAGAUGCUCAUUGUCUGUUGCCUUGUCAUUUUGGUAUGGGAUAGCUCUUGUGUCAUGGGGCAAGGGGUACACCGUUGGCAUGAACUUACAAUGACAAGAACUUAUUUGGGACCUAAGUUGAGUAGCAUGAGGUUUAGGUAAUCGUAUUCAAGGGGCAUGAGGCUUUCAAUUUGUGAUAUUUCAAGCAUACAACUCAUAUUUUCCCUCACUUUAACCUUAACCAUUCAAGAUGCGUAUGAUAGGGGCAAUGAGAGCUCAAAUCUAAUGAGGACCAUAAUUUUUGGAUGCUUUAUAAAACUUAUUAAUCCCUACUUACCUCUAUGAAGGGCCUUUCUUUUACUUUUUUGUUGAGUCUUCAUCUUCUAUCUUUAUGCUCCAACUAAGAGAGCAUAGUUGUCAUUCUGAGUAUAAUGUGCAUUGUCCCAAAACUUGUUGAUUGAUUCAUGAUUAUGGUAUUGCUUAUUUUCAAAUUAUUUGUAUCUAGUCACCCUUUUGAACUUUGAAGGUGUCCUAUGCAUUUAUGUUUUGCUACUCCAUGAAGGACAGGCUGAAUACCACUUUGCUAUGUUUUCUCUAUGUGCGAAACAAACAAAUGUCUUUCAAAGCAUUAUUCAUGAUCUUUUGUUUAUGUUGCCUUUCAUGUUGUAACAUAGUUGCUAUGUUCUAUUGUUAGAAAUAUAUCUUUCAUACCUAUGUUUAGAGUACUUUGAUCCCAUCUUAGAAUGUUUUACAAUGAUCAUGAUCAAGAUUCUAUUGGCUGCAUGUCACCUCAAAAACUCUUUUUGUUAUCACUUACCUACUCGAGGACGAGCAGGAGUUAAGCUUGGGGAUGAUGAUAUGUUGCAAACAUAUCUAUAAUUUUUGAUGCUCCAUGCUUGUUUUACACCAAUUACUUUAUGUUUUUUUUACACUUUGUGGCAUUUUUAUGUAUUUUCUGGAACUAACCUAUUGACAAGAUGCCACAAUGCCAGUUCCCUAUUUUCUGCUGUUUUUGUGUUUUGGAGAAAUUAGUAAAGAAAUAUUCCCGGAAUUGGACGAAACAAACGCCAAAGUUCCUAUUUUUCUCGACAUGACACGGAGUCCAAAGCAGAGACGGAGGAGGGCACUGAAAGUGCAUUAUAUCGACUAGAGGAGGGGGGUGAAUAGGCGAUUUUUAUGAAUUCUUCACUGAGGAAUUUGUCGGUGAGGAAAUUCUUUGGCGAAGAACUACUUGCAGCGGAAUCAGUACUCAGAAGUAAGCGUAACAGAAUACAGGCAUGGUCAUCAUGAUGAAAUGAAGACACGCACAGAGUACAGAAAGCUUAAACACAGGAUAACACAAGAUGAAGACAAACAGACUGAAGAAAUUGAACUGAGGAAAUUGAGAAAGUCUUCAGUCAAAGUCUUCAAACACGGAUAUGAACAAUCACUCAACACAGUAAUGAGUAAAUGAAAGAGUUGAGGGAAUAGAACCAGGAAGGUUGGUGAAGACAAUGAUUUGGUAGACUAUUUCCAACUGCUGUCUCAGUUGUACGUCUGGUUGGAGCGGCUGAGUAUUUAAACUCGAGGGCACACAGUCCCGGACACCCAGUCGCUGAGCACGCAGCUCAGGACACCAAGUCCUCACCGUAUUCUCCUUGAACUAAGGUCACAUAGACCUUGUCCAAUCACUGGUGGUAAGUCUUCAGGCGAAAUCCAAACCUUCACAAACUCGGUCAAUCGGCGAUCCACAAUUCCUCCUUAUGCUCUAGACCAUGACGCCUAACCAUCUGGAAGAAGCACAGUCUUCAAAGAUAACAAGCGUCGGAUCCACGCAGGAUCAAUCUCUUCAGUGAUGCUCAAUCACUUUGGGUUUGUAGGUGUUUGGGUUUGGGUUUUUUCCUCGAUGAUUUUCGCUCAAAGUCUUCGGAUGAUGGGAUGCUCUCAAGUGUCAGUUUCUCUCGGAGCAGCCGACCAGCUAGUGGUUGUAGGGGGCGGCUAUUUAUAGACUAGGGAGCAGCCCGACAUGAUAAGACAUAAAUGCCCUUGUCCGAUAUGACCGUUAGGUGGAUAAGAUAUUUUGGGAGAGCUGGCGCGCAGCACAACACUGGUCGGAAAUUUGAAUCUCAAAUUCUUCAGGGCUAUCAUGUUCCUCACUUUGUAGGCAAUCCGCACUGGCGAAUUCCUAACUCCUCAGUCAGAAAAAAUUCCUCAGCGACUAGAAGAACUGCGUCUCUGUCACUAAAGAAAUGACUGAACUGUAUGAGAUUUCCAAAGGCUUCACUCGAAGGGAUUGGUACGUGUAGGAUUUUGAGUUGAGCAUCACAUGGAAAUUUUUCCUUAGUAUUUCCUAGACCCCCUUUAACAGUACGGUGUUUCCUAUGACUCAAGAAAGAGAAAAACAAAACUAUGAAAAUGAAAGUCUUCAAGCUUCAUAUUCCUCGCAUGAAUAUCAAUUCUUCACGGACACACCAAUUUCUUCAAUUUCGAAGUCUUCAUGAAAGUCUUCAGGAAUACCAAAAUCUUCAGUCAAAGAUAUUCAUUUUUAGGGGUCGACUUUCUCUGUAAAUAUCAAACCCCUCAUAGACUUAUAGACCUGUGUAUACUCAUAAACACAUUAGUCCCUUAACCUAUAAGUCUUCAAUACACCAAAAUCACUAAGGGGUACUAGAUGCACUUACAAUCUCCCACUUUUUGGUGAUUGAUGACAAUAUAGGUUAAGUUUUCAAUGGGGAUAAACAUAUGAACUAUAAGUACUGAUAUUGAGGAAUUUGAUGGCAAGAUAUAGAAGAACUCCCCCUGAAGAUGUGCAUAGUGAGGAAUUUUCUUUUGAAGCAAUGCACACUUGAAGAGUUUAAUCAUGGAGAUCUCCCCCUAUAUCUUGUAAUUCAUACACGCAUUUGGCAUAUAAUAUGAAGAAUUUGAAAUGCAUGAUGAAAUAUGGUGCCUGAUGAAAUUCAGCAUGCGUGCAAUAAUAUUAAUGAGGAACAAGCAUGCAGAAUAACGCAUCAAGAGUAUCAGAGCACAAUGCAUCAAAAGUAUCAGAGCACCAUCGGGUUUAAGAUUACAACUCGAUCCAAUAAAGUUUCAGAAGAACGAGAGUUGUAACUUAGCAAAAACGCCCAUAUAAUACACCUGCUUGAAGACUAACUCAAAUUUCUCCCCCUUUGUCAUCGAAUGACCAAAAGGUUUGAAACUGAGGACUAACGCCCCUGAAGAAUAUCAAGUUGAUGGAGGAGCGUCAGCAUUGUCAGGGUCGGUUGUCGUAGUAGGGCCUACCGAAGUGUCGUCCAAGUCUUCAUUUUCAUCAGUGUCACGCGAUGAAGAAUAGGAGCUGGCCACCAAGGAAGGAACCUUGACCUUCUUGAAUUUCUUCGGUGGAGGUGCAGACCAGUCAAAUUCGUCCUUGAGACCCAUUCUCUUCAGAUCCUCUGCGCUAUAGACAUGAGAUAGAACAGCCCAGGUACGGUUGAAGGUUCCAUGGAGGUAGUAGUGGUUUUUCUUCACUACAUUGUGUGUUGAGGUCAUGUUGUGAAGAAUUGAACCAAACUGACGCUUGACCCAUUUAUGAUUGCGAUCAACUUUCUGAUGAAGACUGAGGAGUAAUUCACGAUCAGUCAUCACCCUGGGUGCUGUGGCUUGAGGAAUUUGCUUGGCAGAGGUGUUGGCGGCAGAGUCAUGUGUGGCAGAGUCAUCAUUGGUGGAGUAGGAUGCAGCCUUGCGAAAUUGACCAUCCAAUGGACGAAUGCCUUCAUCUAUCACAACAGUUGCCUUGCCUUUGUCAUCAGCUAAGGAAAAUGUUCGUGUGAGGACCUCAAUUGGAGGCAAGUAGCUGUCGUGGUUUAGAGUAUCAUCCUUGUAAUUGAGUGAAGACCUUGUCCUGAUGAACCUCAUAAUCCAUGGUGCAUAAGGCUUCAGCUCAAAUGCUCACAUAGCAAUAUUCACCAGAGUCAUCAUGAAGAAAUCAUGGAAGUUGACGGGAACGCCAUUAAUGAUAUUGAAAAGCAUAUUCUUCAUGAUGCCAACGACUUCUUCAUCAUUUGAGUCGUGGCCUUUGAUAGGACUCAUUGUCUUCGUCAGAAUGCGAUAGAAAGUCCGUGGCACAUACAGUCAUUCCUUGACGAGGAAUUUGGUUAGAGGGGCCUGCCCUGGCUUCAAAGGCUUCAUCAGCACUUGCAUGUAAUGAUUUUUAAGCUCAGGUUUGUUGUAGAUGCAACGAGCACCUUCAAGGGGAGGACUGAGUGGGAGGGCACGAAGCAAUUCAGUUGCUGGUGCCUUGUAGUGAGUAUUGUCUGACAUCCAGUCCAACACCCAUGAGUUCACAUCUUUAGAAUUUCCUAUGAUGUGCAGCGUUGCAUAGAAUUGAAGAAUGAGUUCUUCAUUCCAAACACAGAUGUCAGUGCAGAAAUUCAGCAAUCCAGCAUCGUGAAGAACACUAAGGACUGGCUCGAAGCACGGCAGAGACUCCAUGUCCACAUGAGGAAUAUGUUCAUGAUCGAAGACUUUGUCUUUGUUGAAUAGUACCAAGGAAUAGAAAUUUUCUUGACUAGCAGUCCAGAAACGCCUCUUCCUUAUGCGAGUAGAAUCAUAGGGGUUGUAGUCUGUGAAGAACACAUGCUCGCUGAAGAAAUCUUCAGCCUUGAACUUUUGCUUCUUUGAGAAUGGAUCCAUUGGCUUGGGCACUAGAGUGUCAGUGAGUUGCAUCACAACCUCAGGAAUCGCAAUCUCAGGUUCUUCAGGCUAAGGAAUUUCUGGUUCCUUUUCAGUGGCAGUCUGUGUGUUCAAAGGAUCAGCAACAGCAGUUUCUUCAGCACUAGCGGCUGGAAUUUCUUCAUGCACACAUGAGGUGGGAUGAGUUUCUUCAGAGCCCAUUUGAACGUUUGGUGCAGGGGACUAAGGUAUUUGUUGUAUUGGGGUGAAGAGUGGAGAAUUGGGGUGCUAACUUUCCCAAAAGUCAUCAUUCAUCACCGGCGUUGUGCAGCCAAUGCCCACGUCUUCAUCUUCAAUUUCUUCAACGCCAGCCUCUUCAGCUGUGAACUAAGGCAUUGGCAAGGAAGAAACAGGAGUUGAAGGGAUCGUAUCCACUUCAAUUUCUUCAUAAACCUGCUCUGACAAAGCAGCAAAUUGAGGUUCUUCAUCAGAUCCGCUUGGGAUCACAUAUUCUUCACCAAAAGGAACAAGGUCCUUUGAUGGCAUGGUGGAAAUUGGAACAACAUCAAUUGGAUUUUCAAGUGAGCUAGUCAUAGGCUUCAUCUUUUUUGGAGCUGAAGAUUCUGAAGCACUUGAUGAUUUCCUUUUCUUCACUGCAGCUCGCUCUGCAGCCUUGGUCUUCUUCACAUAUAAUGCAGAUGGAAGGAUUGGAGUUGGUCUAGGCGCAGGAGGAGCUGGGGAAUCUGGUUGAUUUUCUUCAGGCGCAACUGAUGCAAUUGCCCUGACCUCUUCAGUUUCUUCAGGCGCACCACUAGUGGAUGCCCUGGCAAUUUCUUCAGCGGCUGGAAUGGAUUCAUCAGCCCUGGAACAAGCAAGCAGCCUGAAAGUCAUCAGCGGUGCUGGCAUGUUCUUCAGUUGGCUGAGCAGAAGCUUCAGCUUCAGGAAUUUCUUGUUGCGAUGGGGCUGCAACAUUGGUGAACUUUUCAGUCAGUUUAACAAACCUGACUUUGGCUCCUUGCCAAUCAGCAUAGUAAGCAUUGAAAUCAUCACUGGGGGCUUUGAUUUCAGACUGGAUCUUGAGGAGUUCAUCAGUUGUCAUAUUGACAACGUUUAUCUUCAGGAACUUCUCUUUCCUGAACUGAGCCUUCUUGAUCUGCCUGGCCUUCUCAAAUUUCCAUUUCUCUUCAGUGAUGAAAUGGGUCAGCAUGUGACUGUGACCAGGAGUCAAAUUGAAAUCAGGCAUAGGAGUAUUUGGAUCCUUGUGCCAGAGAUCAAUGUAAUCGAGGAUCGCCCUUGGAUCCAAAAGCAGUGGCACAUUUGUGCCUUUGGCUCUAGCGGCCCUUUCUUGUCUGUCUCUGAUGAUUUCUGCAAGUUCAUCAUCAUCAGCUUCAUCGUCAGAUGGCACUUGGAAGGCAACCUGUUUCUUCUUUGGACUUGGCCGAGGACCUCGACCAGCCAUUGCCUUUGUCUUCAGCAGGGUGGGGCCUGAUGAAGAUUUUGGUGCAGCUGAGGAACUCGCUGAGGCACCAGAGGCAAUAGAGAUGCAUGUAGUCCUUUGGCACGUGGCCAGAUGUACAGGUGUUGAGGACUUUGCCGGAGCAGCGGAGGACAUUGGGGGAGGAGCUGAGGAUUUUGGAGGAGCAGGAGCAGCAUGAGGAACUGGCCGUGAGGGCUUUGAAGAAUCUGGCUGUGAGGGCUUUGAAGAUUCUGGCCGUGAGGGCAUUGCUGAGGAAAUUGGCCGUGAGGGCAUAGUUGGUGAAGCACUUGGCUUGUGAGCGGGCUUCUUUGCCAUUGAUUUUCUAGGCUUGACAGAGGCCUCAGUGGCAACAGCAGCAGUAGAGUCUUCAUUGAAUUUCCUCACUGCUUCUUUGGCUUGUCUCGCCAACUUGGCUUGGCGUUUGGCCCAUUCUUCAGGAAAAUCCUCACCACGCUUGAUGCUGGUGGGGUCAGCUUCUUGGCCAGGUGCCAAUGGAGGUCUUGGGCAUGGAGGAUUUAGUGUGAAUUUCUUCAUAUAUACUUCGGAGUUACAUAUCUGUACUCCCUCCAUUCUCUUGCCCAUCUCCUUUCAAUCUUCUGUAUGCGCACCUUGCACUGAUUUUUGUUUUCCUUUCCGAACUUAGCCUCAUCAGGUGUGCAAUAACCAGCAUAGAUGUCCUCAGGUAUUUCAAAAGCAGUCAUGACCUCAGGCUUCUUUCCUCCUUUUUGCGGCUUCUUACCGUCUGCCAUAUUCUUCAGAUGAGGAAUUUGAGCAAUCGAAUUCUCUGAAGAAGUAUGCAACUUUUCUUCGAGGAACGCUGCAAAUGAGUUAAGUUGAUGAGAACCUAGUGAUUCAGCAGCGGACAUGAGUACCUGUGAACAGAGUAUAGUUGCGAGGAAUUUGGAGAGGUCAUAUGCAUUCUCAAAAGUUUUUUUUAAAAGAACAAGUUUGAGGAAUUUGACCAGAUGAACCUUGAAGAAUUUCACUAAGCGUUCUUUGUCUUAGGUUCCAGAGUUGUAUAGAUCGAGGAUCCACACAAUUGAGGAAUCUUGAAGAAAAAUGAUGCUUAGAGAAACGAAUCAAGAACAGAUGACUAGUGAGGUGUUUUGUGUGUGAGGAUUUGAAGAAUAAAACACCUUUGAAGAUUUUGUAGAGAAAAUUUGAAUCAAAGAGGGCAGUAAAAGUAACUUUUAAUUACCCUUGAUGAAGAACACGACGAACUGUGAAGAAGAACAGUGAAGUUCGUCGGUGUAGAUCUUCCACGCCCGAACUCGGUGGAGGAAGACAGCUACGGCGGCGGCGGAGUGAAGAUUUCCACGGCCGGCGCGAGUACGACGGCGACGAGGUUGAGGCAGUGAAGUUCUUCCUCACCGGCGACGAUGGAGUAGCGGGGGCGCUAGGGUUUGAGAAGCUCGAGCGAGAGAGAGCGAUCGAGCGGAGUAAAGGAAGUGAGGAAGGGGUGAGGGGGUAUUUAUAGUCGCAGUUAAAAACUGUUCACCCGAAGAUUUAGGACGAAUGUGCCCCUGACCCUUCUCAUCCGUUUGACAUGUGUCACCCACGUACUGAAAAGUGGGGAUCGUGUUAGAUCGUGGGUGAAUAGAUAAGUCUAUCGUGGGAUGCGGAACGGUUUGAGCGGUAAAACCGAAAAAUUUGGAUAAGAUUAGUUAAAAGUUCCGUUCGCAAAUUCUUCAGCUGACAAGGACACAGUGAAGAUUUUGAACGAGUUUCCAAUAAAACGCACAUGAAGAAUUUGUGAAUAGAUUGGGUUGAGUAUAGCAUAGAGAGGGAAGGGUCCGAUCACAUUCACUUAGCAGAAAAUGCAGCUUGAAGAAAUAGCCAUAAGUGAAUGUUGUAGAGGACAUAAACCCAUAUAUAUAUCCAAUGAAGAAAAACGACGGAAACAGUGAAGAUUUUGCAAAGUUGAAGAAUUUGAAAAACUAAAGAAUUUCAAAACUGAGGAAUUUCAAAAAUGAAGAUUUUCAACUUUGGUGGUGGCGUGACCCACCAUAUAAGAACGAUGAUUUCAGACACCGCGUACAAUUGUCGUAGGGUUCUGAGAAUCAAAUUCUUCAUUAAUUUCUUCACACUUAGAGUGUUAUUCUUCAUUGAUUGAAGAAAAACGUUUCUUCAUGUGUUGCACAUCUAAGUCAUCAAUUUUGCACAAGUGUUAGGAUGAGUGUCCUUUUUCAAAGAACAUUCGAAGAUUCUAGGAUAUUUAGCUCACACCGCAACUUGCUAGGCUUUGUGAAGAUAUCAGCCAGCUGUUCUUCAGUCUUCACGUGCUCGAUGGAGAUGUCACCCUUCAACACAUGAUCACGAAGAAAAUGAUGACGGAUCUGAAUGUGCUUUGUCUUCGAGUGCUGAACUGGGUUGUGAGCAAUCUUGAUGGCACUCUCAUUGUCACAGAGGAGAGGCACAUUCUUCAGGUUGACGCCAUAGUCCUUGAGGGUUUGCUUCAUCCAUAGCAGUUGAGCACAGCAAGAACCAGCAGCAAUGUACUCAGCUUCUAAAGUAGACAGUGAUACGCAGUUCUGUUUCUUCGAGGACCAACAGACCAAAGAUCGUCCGAGGAAAUGACAAGUACCAGAUGUUGACUUGCGGUCCACCCGAUCACCAGCAUAGUCAGAGUCGGAAUAUCCAAUGAGAUCAAAAGUAGAGCCCUUGGGGUACCAUAAUCCUAGUGUUGGUGUGUGAGCUAGAUAUCGAAGAAUAUGCUUCACAGCCUUAUGGUGUGAUUCCUUCGGUGCAGCUUGAAAUCGGGCACACAUGCAAAAACUAAGCAUUAUAUCUGGCCUAGAUGCACAUAGGUACAAUAAAGAACCAAUCAUGGAGCGGUAUACCUUGUGAUCGAAGUCAAUACCAUUUUCAUCAGUGCAUAGAUGGCCAUUUGUGGGGAUAGGAAUUUUGACGCCUUUGCAAUCUUGCAUGCCGAAUUUCCUCAUAACAUCUUUGAGGUAUUUCUCCUGAGAUAUGAAUAUGCCAUUGUGCUGUUGAUGAAUUUGAAGACCUAAGAAGAAUUUUAGCUCUCCGAUCAUAGACAUUUGAUAUUCUUCACUCAUCAUAUAGGCAAAUUCAUCACUAUAACGUUGGUCAGUACAGCCAAAGAUAAUAUCAUCAACGUAUAUUUGGCACACAAACAGUUCACCAUCAUAAGAUUUAGUAAAGAGAGUAGGGUCGAGUGAACCGGGUGUGAAGCCAUUCUUCAUGAAGAAUUCCUUCAGAGUAUCAUACCACGCCCGAGGGGCCUGCUUGAGGCCAUAGAGGGCCUUGUUGAAUCUGAAGACUUUGUCAGGAUUCUUUGGAUCUUCAAAACCUGGGGGUUGAGCAACAUAUACUUCUUCCUCAAGCUUACCAUUGAGGAAUGCACUUUUCACAUCCAUUUGAUAUAAAGUGCUAUUAUGAUGGUUAGCAUAAGCAAGUAAUAUGCGAAUAGCCUCAAGUCUAGAAACAGGUACAAAAGUUUCAUUGGAAUCAAUUCCUUCAACCUGUGUGUAGCCUUGAGCUACAAGUCGUGCCUUAUUCCUCACCACAAGGCCAUUUUCAUCUUGCUUGUUGCGAUAGAUCCACUUUGUGCCAAUGAUAUUAUGCUUGCGAGGGUCUGGACGUUUGACCAGUUCCCAGACAUUGUUGAGCUCGAACUGAUGUAAUUCUUCUUGCAUGGCCUGAAUCCACUCAGGCUCUAGAAAUGCUUCAUCUACCUUAGUGGGCUCUGCGAUGGAGACAAAAGCAUAGUGCCCACAAAAGUUAGAUAAAUGUGAAGCUUUUGAGCGUGUGAGAGGACCUGGUGCUCGAAUGUCAUCGAUGAUCUUCUCCACUUGCACUUCUUUUGCAAUGCGAGGAUGAGCUGGUUGUCGUCGAGGAAUUUGAUCAGCAUUUUCUUCAUCACCAUUUUCUUCAGCAUUUUCAUCAGGUGCAUCAGCUCGAUUUUCUUCGCGUUCUGGAAUGAAUUCAUCAGUAGAUUCUUCGGUAGGAAUGACAUCCUCAGUAGCCUUGAACUUGAUAGAAUCCUCAGGUGCUGGUUCAUCUAUCACAGAAGGUAGGUGCUAUCUUUGUGAGCCAUUAGUUUCAUCGAACCGCACAUCUACAGUUUCAACAACCUUGUGAAGAACAUUGUUGAAGACUCUGUAGGUGUGCGAGUCCUUUCCGUAACCAAGCAUAAAACCUUCAUGUGCUUUUGGUGCAAAUUUAGCAUUGUGAUGAGGAUCUCUAAUCCAACAUUUAGCACCGAAGACUUUGAAAUAACUCACAUUGGGUUUCUUGUCAGUGAGGAGUUCAUAGGCAGUCUUCUUGAAGAAUUUGUGAAGAUAUACCCAAUUGAUGAGAUGGCACGCAGUAUCAAUUGCCUCAAUCCAGAAACGACGAGGCGUCUUGUAUUCAUCAAGCAUAGUACGAGCCAUUUCAGCGAGGGUUCUGUUCUUGCGCUCCACGACGCCAUUCUGCUGAGGAGUAUAAGGAGCAGAUAACUCAUGCGUAAUACCAAGUUCAUCAAGAUAGCCAUCAAGACCGGAAUCCUUGAACUCGGUCCCAUUGUCAGUUCUAAUGUGCUUGAUCUUCACACCAAAGUUGGUUGAAGCCCUCGAGGAAAAUCGUUAGAAGAUUUCCUGCACUUCAUGUUUGUAAGUGACAAUGUGUACCCAUGUGUAACGAGAAUAGCCAUCAACAAUAACAAAGCCAUAUAGAGAUGCAUCAUUUGAAACAGCAGAAUAAUGAUUAGGACCAAAGAGAUCCAUGUGAAGCAAUUCAAAUGGACGAGUAGUGGUCAUGAUAUUCUUCGCUGGAUGCUUGGCCUUUGUCAUCUUUCCAGCUUCACAAGAUCCGCAUAAGGGAUCCUUGAGGAAUUUGACAUUCUCAAUGCCAAUGACAUGCUUCUGCUUCGCAAGUGUGUUCAAAUUCCUCAUGCUAGCAUGACCAAGUCGUCGAUGCCAUAGCCAGCCUUCUGAAGCUUUUGCCGGUAAGCACACGGCUGGUUGUGGUCCUAUAGAGAAAUCAAAAAUAUGCAGAUCUCCUCUUCUAAAGCCUUCGAAGACUUUGGAAUGGUCAGCUUCCAUGAUCAGAACACAACGAUACUUGCCAAAGACAACAACCAUAUCAAGAUCACAAAGCAUUGAGACUGACAUGAGGUUGUACCCUAAGGACUCGACAAGCAUGACUUUGUCCAUGUGUCGAUCCUUUGAGAUCACAACGUUACCUAGACCCAAUACCUGACUUUUGCCUUUGUCGGCGAAGAUGAUAUGCUUCAGAUGUGACGGCGAUAAGGGAGCAUCCAUCAAUAGACUCUUGUCACCCGUCAUUUGAUUUGUACAUCCACUAUCGAGAACCCACUCGUUUGAUUUGUGCUGAUCAUCCUGCAGAUGAAUUAGUGCAUCUUACGAACUCAUAUACUUCAUCCGUGAAGAAUAUCAUAUCAAAUUCAUCAGAUGAAUUUCAUCAAAGAGUAAAAACAGAUAUAGCAGUAUGAGGACGUGUGAAAUGAAAGUUCAUUUCAUCAUGAUUUGCCUGCGUCCUUUCAGGCACUUUAGUCAGGUCCCCAGCAAAUUCUUCGGACGUUAAGGCACGUCUGGAGACCCGACCCUGCGGAAGAAAUUAGUUCUUUUUCUUCACCACCCACAUCUGAAGGGGUGGCAAAGAGUUCAUCACUCUACGAGCUCCAUAUGAGAAUGGUGGCAUAGAAGCCAAACCAUUUUGUUUCACAUAAGAGGGGUUAGGUUAAGCAUAUGAAUAAGCAGAGAAAUUCUUCGAGGACUUAUGAACAUAUUGGUUUGAAAAAUAAUGCACAUAUUCAUAGCCCUUAGCUCUACCCUGUGAAACAGAGUUGUUAGCACGAUGAUAAUCAUAUGAGGACUUUGAUCCUUUUGAGGAAUUUGAUCCACGUGAGGAAUUUGGUCCGUAUGAGGACUUGGAUCCAUAUGAAGAAUUUGGUCCAUAUGAAGAGUUUGAUCUGGGGUUCCUAUUCUUCAAUGGUGGUGUCAUGAGGACAUUCACCUGAAGACUUUCAAGGCACUUAUUGGGAACCCAGAUUUUCUUCAUAGGAGAACCGUUCCUGCAGUUAGUGCCAACAUACCUAGCAAAUACUUCACCAUUCUGAUUUUUGAACAGUCUAUAGUUGGAGUCAAAUGACUCAUCAGAAGAAUGAGGAGAUUCACAUGUAAAGCCAGAUAAGUUAGAUGGAUCAACUGGAGGUCCCUUUGUAGCAACCCAUGAGGUUUCGUGGUACUGCUCAGACUUCCAAUAUGUUCCGUCAGAAUUGAGUUUCCUUUCAAAGGCAAUACCCUCUUUCCUAGGGUUUCUGUUGAGGAUCUGCUUUUUGAGCACAUCACAGAGAAUCUGAUGCCCUUUGAGGCUUUUGUACAUGCCUGUCGUGUACAAUUCCUUCAGCCCUGCAUCAUUAGUAGUACUAGCAAUGUCCUCAGAUGAGGAAUUAGUGAUAGCAGAGAAAGGUGAAGAAUUUGUAACAGUUGAAGCAUUUGAACAUUCAGGUGAAGAAUUAGCAGAUUCACGUUCAAUGCACUUUAAGCAUGGAGGAACAAAUUCUUCCUGAGAAGCGCUGAUUUGUUGAGCUAGCAAUGAAUUGCGCUCCUUCUGAAGAUCUUCAUAACUCACUCUUAGCUUAUCAAGAUCUUGCUUUCUUUGAAGAAAUUCAUAAGAAAGCUUCUCAUGAUCAGAUAAGAGACACUACUGGAAUCAGCUUAUUUGCCGUCUGCCAGUUCUUUGUCGUCAGCUGGCAGACGGCAAAGAGGCACUUUGCCGUCUGCUUGCAAAAAACAGACGGCAAAGAACUGACAAACGGCAAAGACGCCAGUUACCAUCAGCCAAUUAUUUGUUGUCUGCCAGCAGAUGGCAAAGAAUCUUUACCAUGUGCUGGAGGACGGCAAAGAGGUGGGGCUAUCUCUUUUUUACGGGUACAAAGAAAAUCGUUGACCCCCACCUCCUCUCUCUGUCUCCCCUCUCUCCGCACGCCCCCCACCUCCUCUCUCUCUCUACCCUCUCUCUCUCUCCCGCUCGUCUCUCCCUCUCCCUCGCGCGAGCACCUACGGCGGCCGAUUUUGGCGAGCUCCGACGGGAUUCGACGCCGCCCAGCACACCCAUGUGACCCCCUCGCCCCGCUCCUCCAUCCCCUCCGACCAGAUCUGACUCAUGCGUCCUCCAGCAACCACGCGUGACCCUCCCCUGCGGCUAGGGUUUCGGCCACCACAUCGCCGGCGUGGCUCCGGUGUUGCUCCGGUGACACGGGUGAGUCUCUUCACUCCUCCUCGUCACAUCCAUCCCUCUCUUUCUCACCGCGUCGCGUCGCGUAUCCUCUCCCUCACAGAACCAUCACGCCGGGAAGCCAUGGACGGGAAGGACGCCAUGGACGGGAAGGAAGCCGUGGAGGACGCAGCUCCACCACUGCCCCAACGCCAUCCAGGUCCGCCCCUUCUCCUCUCCUCCCCUCUUGGAUUUCUUCUUUUCCUGCCUUGCACCCGUCCACUCAAGUUCUAAACCAAACAAGAAAAAUUAUCAAUCUUGUUUUGGCUGCAUAAGCAAUAAUGGUUGAGGAGGACUCAGUUGUUCACUUCUAUAAUUGUGCCAUAAAUCGGUUUACUCUGCUUGAGGGCUGCCGUGGUUAGCUCGAUUUGAUAGGGUCCUUACUACAUAUGUUGUAGGGAUUUAACUUGACUUGCUAAUAAUGAGUGUCAAUCAAUCAAACACAAGGAAACUAUAAAUGCUUACUAUUUCGUAUAGUGAUCGUUGUGUUGUGUAUAGGUAAAACUUGUGUUGUCCUUAUCUACUUCGGAGGCAUCAUCAUGUGUUGUCAAUUUAGUUUCUGCCAUGGUUUUGGUUUGGUCCUGCUUAUGCCAAAUCGAUCAUUCAUUGCUUCUGAACACUCUACCUUUAAUCUUUGCUUCUGUAAAACCGGCCUUUCUUCUAUUGAAUGGAGUGUUUGCUUGCUAUGCGGGAAAAGUAGCUCAUUCAUCGAUGAUUUGGCAUGUGCAACCAAAGUGGACGGACCGCAUUUAGGUCUGGUCGCCGUGAGGAUCCUCUGGCGGUGCUGGAUGUGCCGUGGCGCGGUGGUGCCCCCGGGUGGCGCCUUCGUGCUGCGGUGCCCCUGGUUGGCGCCUUCGUGCCCGUGCUCUCACUGGCACCGCCAUUGUGGUGCUCUCCGGCAAGCUCCGGCUUGUUGUGGUGGUGUUGGUUGUGAUGCUGGUCACACCAUAGUGAUGGUGUGGCUGCAUCCUACUUCGGCUACAACUCCUUUUGGUGAGCUUCUCCUUGCUCCCCUCCUGAUCUAUCUAAUGCAUAGCUCUUGAUCUUGUUGGAUGUGAGGCUCUAUUAGCUGUGGUUAGCUGCUGUAGAUGAGCAUCAACUUGUAUUGGAGCUCUCUGUGAUGGAUUCUUGCUGUGUGAGGGUUUUGGUUAGUGACCAUCUAUGUGUAUUUGGGAAGUAUAUAUACUCCUGUACUGCUCUGUUCUGUGUAGUUGAUCCUGGAGUUGUUACUUUGGUCAGUUACUUUACUCAUGAACGGAUACUCACUUGUUCUUAGUUAUUUUACUUCUAAUACUGAUAUGAACAGAUACCACUUGGUUUGGCUAUUCCUAUUUGUCUCUUUCUAGUAGCCUAUGAACAGAUACUAUACUUGGUUUAGGCUGUUACUUUCCUAGUUUUCUACUGAUAAGACAGAUACUACAUCUGAUUUGGGCAGUGAUGCUGGUCUGAGCCCCCCUCUCUUAGGCUUAAUUUACAUGUGACUAUCCCUGUGCUGUGAUGAACUAGCCCUGGCACUUCCAGGCUGUCUGAGCACAUAAUCCCUCAAGUAUACCUUGAGGUCUUCUGUAGCUCUCCUUAAUAGUUAUCUCUUCUAAGCUGCUGGUGGUUGGAUGUGUUGGGACUUGGUCUGGUUGGCUGGUUGUGAUGUAUAUCUCCUCCUGGAGCUUUUUUUUUGGCGUUGCAUAGUGACAUGUACCUAUUGUCACUAGUCAAAACUGAUUGUGGUGAUGAAGUCUAAUCUUUGGCUUUAAUCACUAGUUUUUAGUUGGCUUAAUUCCUGGAGCUAGUACUGAUAGUGGUCUUUGUGUUGGCAUUUAACUUACUGCUAAUUGUGGUGGCUUCUUGAUUAGGUCCUUGGCUGGUUCUCUUCUUUGGCUCUUUGGUAUUGGUUUACUCUAUUUGGCUUUCUAAUUAAGAUCACUUUGAAAAUCAGGAUCUUAACUAAGAUUAUCUUGAUCUCAAGUACUGGCUCCUAUAGCAUUGCAUUUCACCAAGUGAAAUGCUACAUUUCUACUCCUAACCCAUUCUCUCUUUCUUAGUGUUUUUGUUAUGCAGGUUGGAAGAAAAGAAGAAGAUCCAGAGAAGAUCUUAGUAAUAAGAUAGUUUUUAGGAAAAUAGAUAUUUAGUUUUAGAUUAUUCCUUGUAAUACUUGUUGGAUAUGUGUUCAUGGAUAUGUGUUGGAUAUAUAUGUGUUCAUGACUAUAUAUUGGUAACAUGUGUUGGAUAUGUGUUCAUGGAUAUGUGUUGGAUAUAUAUGUGUUCAUGAGUAUUGGUAAUAUGUGUUGGAUAUGCUAUAUUGGUCAUACAUAUAGUCUGUGUUUGAUUGUGUUUGAUUUUCUGUAAAAAUGAAUUGAUAUAAGAAGAAACAGAAUUAAUGCCUAUUUGGUCUCUUUGCCAUCUGCCAACAGAUGGCAAAGAGCCUGCAGCCUUUGUCGUCUGCCAGCAGAUGGUAAAGAGUCGUGCCCUUUGCCGUCCGCCACUGACAGCAAAGGCCUCUUUGCCGUACGCUACAAAAAACAUACGGCAAAGAAGGCCUUUGCCGACCCUGUCUUUGCCGUCACUGUUUGCCGUCCGCGGCGGACGGCAAAGGCCUUUGCCGUUCGCCAUCCUAGCCUUUGCCGUCCGCCAUGGCUGAUGGCAAAGUACCAGAUUCCUGUAGUGAGAGUGACGGUGUCCUGGACUAGGGGGUACUCAACGCGUCGUCUCCCGAUCAGUUGGAUUGGGCCGAGGACCCCCAUGGCCGUAUACUCAUGGGCCAGUCCGGACAACUGCCGCAUACAAGGAAGAAUCAACAAGACUUGGCGAUCAAGAGAAGGACUCCUCCCCGACCGGCGUAUUCGGCUAGGACUCUUGUUAUCCUAGGCCUCUGGUGCAUUAUAUAAACCGGGGCCAGGCUAGUCGAUAGACAUAUACAACAACAAUCAUACCAUAGGCUAGCUUCUAGGGUUUAGCCUCCUUGAUCUUGUGGUAGAUCUACUCUUGUAACACACAUCAUCAAUAUUAAUCAAGCAGGACGUAGGGUUUCACCUCCAUCAAGAGGGCCCGAACCUGGGUAAAACAUCGUGUCCCUUGCCUCCUAUUAUCAUUGAUCCCAAGACGCAUAGUUCGGGACCCCCUACCCGAGAUCCCCCGGUUUUGACACCGACAUUGGUGCUUUCAUUGAGAGUUCCGCUGUGUGAUCAGCGAAAGGAUCAAUGGCUCGACUGCAGGUCAACUGCGAUGUCGGCUUCUUCGUCACCAGCUCGGCUGGUCACCUUGGCUUGACCGAGGACUGCGCCCUACUUCCGAUCGUCAUGUUCAGAUGAAGGCCUUCAUCAAACACCAACUCCGAUCUCUAUCAAGAUAGUGGAGGAGUCAUCCAUGGAGCUCGGGGGCUGAACGUCAACAUUACCCUCAGGCGACCGUGCUGUUUUCCUGGACAGCAAAUUUGUAUCCGCCGCCACCGCCUCCUCGAGUGUCGCUUAAGAGAUUACUUCGGUGAAAUUAUGCGGAAUUAAGUCUACAACAACCCUGCAAAAAUUUCAUUGAGUUCCGAUGGAGGAAUCUCCGGCAAUCUCCGAUAUACCGGAGCCCGGUUGAAUCUGGACGAGAAUCCGGAUGAGUUUAGGGCGUGGUAUCUAGAAUCUAGCUCGGAUGUCCUUUGGAGGAUCCAACCGUUGAUUUGCUGCGGAAUUCCCAUAUCUACCACCUGCCCAAAAUUCAGCUUGAUCUGACCGUCCAAACUCCGGGAAACUUCCGAUUAGUGCAUCACUUUUUGGACUUGUUUUCUGCGCGAGAACGAGUCCGACCCGAAUUCAUCUUCUUUAUGAACGGGAUUUCGGACAUCCUUUUUGAAGGAUGUUUUGUAUGGGGUAUUGUAUUUUGUUCCCGAACACAUCCCACUAACUUUAAGAUCUUUUGAACAUGAUUUUCGGCAUCAUGCUGGUGUCAAACCAGUCCGACAAUAUAGCUCCAUGGCUGCCGACCUGUGCUAGACACAUCGUCACUUUGUUGAGCCAAGGUCAACUUCUUCGGAUCAUCAUCUUGGCAAGCCGGACAAGAGUCCGGCAUCGCGAAGGAUAAAUCAUCAUCAACGUCGCCUCCCCACGGAUUACACGGAGCGGGCAUACCGGCAUCGCCGCACGAUCGCUUCAUUAAGCCGGCAUCGACCACGUCACGACCUUCAUCGGCAAGGCCGCACUAUUGCUUCUUCAAGCUGGUGUCCAUCACGCCGACCUACUUCGACAUCUCGGCUGGACCGGGGGCUUCGCCAUCUCUUCAUCAACCUACUCCGGACACUUCGGCGUCACUAGCCGGCCAGGCAUGGGUGCACGGAUUGAGUCCCAAUUUUGGGAAUCACCUUCCUUCGGAUUGCUACAACAAAUAAACUAGGUGCUAUUAAUCCUAGUAUUUCUUUUUGCUUGUUUGGGUUAAAUUUUACCCAAGGAAUUAUUACUCUGGUUAGUCCAGCAUAUGUACACAGGUCUAUCAAAUGGUGUCCGCAUUAUCGACGGUCGCAUGAUGGUUCGGUCAGUUUCCGUACACAGGUCGGCAAACGCCGCAUCCGGAACUCGGGCCGACCUGUGAAUCCAGGCUUUGCCACGCCUUUAUUGCAUUACGCCGAUGACCUGCAUCGACAUCGACUUCGGCGCCAGGACAUAUUUCUUUUACUACUCACUUUGCAUAAAUUAUUUAUUAUGCAACAUUUUUUUAAUUCCUAUUAUUACUAUUACCCCCGGUCUGCACUAUUUUUUGUGCACAGGAAAAUGAUCCAGCCGGACUAUAUCCUUUGACGUCACAUCGGCCAGACGGGGGCUUCGUCAACACUUCAUUACCCCAUGCCGGGGACUUCGGCAUCACUCUGCCGUCCUGCAUUGACCGUGCUAUGUCACCACUUCGGAGUGCCGAGCUCUUUGCUCCGCCACCUCGGGACCGGCUUGGGGGAUGGAACCUUGUCCCGCAUCAAGCUCGGACCGUGUCGUCAAUACCGAACACAUUAACCAGCUAAGUUGCCUUCACGCUCAAAGUUUUUAAUUUCUAACUUGUGUUCGGUUCGACCAAGAAUUAUACUUUUUUGUAAAAAAGUUGCUUGUAAAAAUUUUCCUUGUCGAAACUUUGUUUGCACACGCUUGACGCGCUACUCGCGGUCAUUAUACCUGGGGGCUUCUUUAACAGAAGCUUAUUAAUACGGGGUUUAUGCCCAACACAUGUGUCACACUUCCGCAUGUACCUUUUAUUCACCAUUAUAUGCAUCGAUAUGACUUAAGUUUUGGCCAAGCUGGGUUGCCUGGCUCCUGUGCUUACCCCUACGUUCCCGAUUAUUCGGCUAGGUGGUAAAGGGAGCACCUCUGCGAUUGUUACUGCCGGGUCAGCCGGAUGUGUACCUCAGACUGGGUGAAGCCGAAAGCUAGCGUUCUUAAGGGAAUACUCGGUCGGUGAACUAAAAGAUGAUUUCUUACCUAUUUAUUUACCUGCCCCCAGAUGUUUUUCUGCUCUUUUCGCAGUCCGGACAUGCACUUUAGGGCAUGCCUCCCAGGGAAAGGAACCCCUAACGGAACUAUUCUCCCUGGAAGAUGUUUCUUACUAACUAUGUAAUAUAACAUAACUAGUUGGGCACUUGUCUGAUAAAGCACUAAUGACCCAUACGCCUGGUCUCCACGCAUGCCCCGGUUUUUAUAACCGCGAGGGUAUUCGGACACACUCUGGACAAUUGGGUCCAGAGGUUGAAGCGAAAAGGUCCGCUACGACAAACGAUCUACAAUCCGGCUAGAAGGCAUUCUACAUGUCACCUUACAUUUUAUAAUCAACUUUUACCCAAGUCGCUUGGGGGCUCUUAUGUUUAUUUGAGCCGUUUCAUACUAAGUGUUUUUCUUCUUAGUCGUUGCAAAGUUAAAGCACGGCAGAAGCACUUUUUUUUCUAAAGUCCAAUUUUCGGAUUGGCACCGAACACUUGAUCUUGUUUGGACGUCAUGUUUUUACUGACGUUUUUUGGUUUUCCAAGCUUUUGGCACUUUUAACAAUUUGUGUGUUUUCAGCACAAGUCUCGCAGUGCAACGCCGGACACCUUUAGAGAUUCGGCAAAAACAUUCUCGGAUAUUGCUAUAUAUGCAUCAGCUUCGAAUUGUGUCUUCGGUCAAUAGUUGGGUUGCCCGGCUCCCGUGCUUGCCUCCUACAUUCCGCUUUGUUCGGCUAGGUGUGCAAAGGGAGAACCACUGCGAUUGUGCUUCCAGCUCACAUGGUCAAGCACCUCAGUGGAGAAAGCCGAAAACUGACUGUCACAAUAGGUGUAAACUGGUUAGCGAUCCGAUGACUAUAAUAAAUGACGGGCCAUUCAUAACAUUGGCUGAAGUGUUUCCGGCUUGACCUCGACUAUCGCCAAACACUACCGGGGGCUAUUAACUGGCCUCCCAAACUAAAUCCUUGAUCUUUUGCUCUUACAUUGGAGCUGAGGUUUCAUGAUCAUGCUUAGCAUGACAACCCAAAGAAAGGAACCGAUAGCGGGACUAUUUUCUUUGGAAGACAUUUCUUCUGUUAAACAGCAAUAUAACAUAUCUCUCUCCGUACCUUUGUUUAGAAAGCCGUAUGACCAGAUUGCCUUGUUUGCCGUAAAUCUUUGCCCUCAUAAAGGCUUAAUAAAGUAGGACAAACACUCCUCGGCUACUGGCCGAGGAGGUUGAAGCCCAUGGUCGGUCAACAAAGUUUUGUACAAUGCGGAUCCGAGCAUUAAUGACGUAAAGUACUUGGAUACAUAGAGUCAUUACACAUAAUUUGUGAUUUUACUAUGGAUAUCGAUCCUUAAUUCGGCCUCCCGUGUCCGCAUUAACGCUCGGGGGCUAUUGAGCUUCGGGCUUAUUAUUUACAAAUAUUAAAGGGGCACAUCGAUCCCCUGAUCUGGUGUUGCCACCCGACCAGUGUCUCGGGGGCUACUGCAUUGCCUGUUCUAUGCAGAAAAUUUUAAGUGCAAUACAGUUUCCGAGGAGAUUUUGAUCCUCAGGUUGGUCGGCCGCACCCAACCUGAGUCUCGAGGACCGAGCACGCCGCUUUUUCUGUCCCGAAGUAUUCUGCCGAGCUAGGACUUGAUCCUCAGACCGAUUUUGCAAAUCAACCUGAGUCUCAGCGGCUACGGGGAUCAGCGGUCUUAUGUCAUCCUUCAUGUGCAUCUCAGGUUUUAGACCGAUACCCACCUUGAGGGCUACUGGCAUCAAUAAAAAACAUUGACCAAAAAUCAGCCCAUGACCGAGGUGCUUAACCACCUCGGAAGCAGUUCGACAUAUAGCUCGGAUGCAAGUGGCUGGCUCCAUAGAGGGCAUUUCCGGCAUUAAGCUCGGUUAAACUCCUUCAAACUUCUUUGAACCAAGGUGAUUUAUGACACCUCGGAUAAAGUCUGGCAUUGGAGCUCGGAUACAUAGUCCGGCGUUGGAGCUCGGAUACAGUCCGGCGUUGGAGCUCAGAUACAUAGUCCGACGUUAGUGCUGGGAAGCAGUCCGACAUUGGUGCUCGGCUGCAAAAGAUACCUCGAAUGCAGUCCGGCGUUGGAGCUCGGACGCAAGAGGACGUUGCCACCCGGGAACAACUUCAAAUCCGAGGCAUGGCAUAAAAAUAACAAGGCAUUGAUAAAGGCCGUAAACUUAAAGGGGCUCCUCGGAUACCCAACGCGUAAACUCGUCGAAUGCAUUUUGGCGAUCCUCAAGAUAGAAGAUGAGAAGAUUUGUUGAACCAGUUUUCAAGACCAGCAACCGAAGAUGAAGAACAGUUCGGAAGAAUCGAGGAGCGUCCCUAACUUGAAGACCGGUUCAGGGGGCUACUGACGGUGUCCUGGACUAGGGGGUACUCAACGCGUCGUCUCCCGAUCAGUUGGAUUGGGCCGAGAACCCCCAUGGCCGUAUACUCAUGGGCCAAUCCGGACAACUGCCGCAUACAAGGAAGAAUCAACAAGACUUGGCGAUCAAGAGAAGGACUCCUCCCCCACCGGCGUAUUCGGCUAGGAGUCUUGUUAUCCUAGGCCUCUGGUGCAUUAUAUAAACCGGGGCCAGGCUAGUCGAUAGACAUAUACGACAACAAUCAUACCAUAGGCUAGCUUCUAGGGUUUAGCCUCCUUGAUCUCGUGGUAGAUCUACUCUUGUAACACACAUCAUCAAUAUUAAUCUAGCAGGACGUAGGGUUUCACCUCCAUCAAGAGGGCCCGAACCUGGGUAAACCAUCGUGUCCCUUGCCUCCUGUUACCAUUGAUCCCAAGACGCACAGUUCGGGACCCCCUACCCGAGAUCCGCCGGUUUUGACACCGACAGAGAGUUUUAUGAUGACUUUGAAGGUUGUCAAACUUAGACUGAAGUCUCUAAAGAUUUUCAGUUAAGUCUUUAGUGCGGUCCAUUUCAUCACCCAACAUAUCAUCACUUUUGUCUAGCAUGUUCUGAAGUUUUUCAAUAGCCUUUUGUUGUUUCACAGCAAUCUUAGCAAUUUUAGAGUAGCUAGGCUUAAGAUUUUCAUCAGAUUCAUCCUCACUAGAUUCAGAAGAGGGGUAUUUUGUUACCUUGGCACCCUUUUCCAUGAAGCAAUAGGUGGGAGCGUAGUCAUCAUUAUCUUCGUCAGCCUUGUUGGUAAGGUCAAUUUCAUCAGAGUUGAAGAUGGACUUGCUGACGAAUGCAGUAGUGAGAGCCAGACUUGCCACACCAGACUCGGACUCCUCAGAUGCCUCCUCUUCCUCAUGUUCCUCAGAUUCAGCUUCAGAGUCCAUUUCCUUGCCAAUGAAUGCCCAAGCCUUUAUGGAGCUGCUCUUCUUGUGAGAUGAAGAUUUCAAGGAUUUUGAUGAUGAAGAUUUUGAAGAUUUCUUCUUCUUCUUAGCGUCAUCAGAACUGUAAUCCUUGUAUUUCUUCUUCUUUAAUUCCUUUUCCCACUGAGGACAAUCUUGAAUAUAGUGACCAGGUUUCUUGCAUUUGUGGCAAAGUCUUCUCUUAUAGUCACUUGACGAGGAAUCGCUGCUCCUUGAGGAUUUUCCAAAGCGACCACGUCUUGAGAACUUCUGGAACUUCUUCACGAGCAGUGCUAGCUCCUGGAUCAAUUCUUCAGGAUCACCAAGGCUACUACCAGAAUCUUCACAUUCAGAUUCAGACACAGCCUUGGCCUUGAGGGCACGUGUUUUGCCAUAGCUUGAACCAUAGAGAUCUCUCUUUUCAGCAAGCAGGAACUCAUGAGUAUUUAGCCUCUCGAGGAUAUCAGCGGGAUCCAGUGACCUGUAGUCAGCAGGUUCUUGUAUCAUCAGUACCAGAGUAUCAAAUGAAGAAUCUAGCAAUCUCAGCAAUUUCUUCACCACCUCAUGGUCGGUGAUUUCAGUGGCGCCAAGCGCUUGAAGCUCAUUUGAGAUGUCAGUGAGGCGAUCGAAGGUUUGCUGAACAUUUUCAUUGUCGAGUCGUUUGAAGCGGUUGAAGAGAUUGCGAAGAACGUCAACACGAGAGUCACGUUGAGUUGAGACUCCUUCGUUUAUUUUGGAGAGCUUAUCCCAGAUAAGCUUAGCAGUUUCUAAAGCACUCACUAUUCCAUACUGUCCUUUGCUUAGAUGGCCACAUAUGAUAUUCUUCGCUUGAGAAUCGAGUUGCUUGAAUCUCUUCACAUCAGCAACAUUCAGGGAAGGUGUGACUGAGGGAACACCAUUUUCCACAAUGUACCAAAGAUCGUUGUCAAUUGCUUCAAGAUGCAUUCGCAUCUUAUUCUUCUAGUAAGGGUAGUCCAUGCCAUCGAAGGUAGCACACCCACCGGAGACCUUGAUCAUACCUGUGGUCGACAUAACUAGAACUCCAGGUGGUUAAACCAAAAUCACACGGAACAAGGGAGUACCUUUCUCUGAUACCAAUUGAAAGUGCGUUAUAUCGACUAGAGGGGGGCGAAUAGGCGUUUUUUAUGAAUUCUUCACUGAGGAAUUUCCCGGUGAGGAAAUUCCUUGGCGAAGAACUACUUGCAGCGGAAUAAGUACUCAGAAGUAAGCAUAACAGAAUACAGGCAUGGUCAUCAUGAUGAAAUGAAGACACGCAUAGAGUACAGAAAGCGUAAACACAUGAUAACACAAGAUGAAGACAAACAGACUGAAGAAAUUGAACUGAGGAAAUUGAGAAAGUCUUCAGUCAAAGUCUUCAUACACGGAUAUGAACAAUCACUCAACACAGUAAUGAGUAAAUGAAAGAGUUGAGGGAAUAGAACCAGGAAGGUUGGUGAAGACAAUGAUUUGGUAGACCAGUUCCAACUGCUGUCUCAGUUGUACAUCUGGUUGGAGCGGCUGAGUAUUUAAACUCGAGGACACACAGUCCCGGACACCCAGUCGCUGAGCACGCAGCUCAGGACACCAAGUCCUCACCGUAUUCUCCUUGAACUAAGGUCACACAAACCUCGUCCAAUCACUCGUGGUAAGUCUUCAGGCGACUUCCAAACCUUCACAGACUCAGUCACUCGGCGAUCCACAAUUCCUCUUGGAUGCUCUAGACCAUGACGCCUAACCAUCUGGAAGAAGCACAGUCUUCAAAGGUAACAAGCGUCAGAUCCACGUAGGAUCAAUCUCUUCAGUGAGGCUCAAUAACUUUGGGUUUGUAGGUGUUUGGGUUUGGGUUUUUUCCUCACUUGAUGAUUUUCGCUCAAAGUCCUCGGAGGAUGGGAUGCUCUCAAAUGACAAGUGUUAGUUUCUCUCAGAGCAGCCAACCAGCUAGUGGUUGUAGGGGGCGGCUAUUUAUAGCCUAGGGAGCAGCCUGACAUGAUAAGACAUAAAUGCCCUUGUCUGAUAUGACCGUUAGGUGGAUAAGAUAUUUUGUGACAGCUGGCGCGCAGCACAGCAACGGUCGGAAAUUUGACUCUCAAAUUCCUCAGGGCUAUCAUGUUCCUCACUUCCUAGGCAAUCCGCAUUGGUGAAUUCCUAACUCCUCAGUCAGAACAAAUUCCUCAGCGACUUAAAGAACUUCGUCUCUGUCACUGAAGAAAUGACUGAACUGUAUGAGAUUUCCAAAGGCUUCACUCGAAGCGAUUGGUAGGUGUAGGAUUUUGAGUUGAGCAUCACAUGGAAAUUUUUCCUUAGUAUUUCCUCGACCCCCUUUAACAGUACGGUGUUUCCUAUGACUCAAGAAAGAGAAAAACAAAACUAUGAAAACGAAAGUCUUCAAGCUUCAUAUUCCUCGCAUGAAUAUCAAGAAUUCACGGACACACCAAUUUCUUCACUUUCAAAGUCUUCAUGAAAGUCUUCAGGAAUACCAAAAUCUUCAGUCGAAGAUAUUCAUUUUUAGGGGUCGACUUUCUCUGUAAAUAUCAAACUCCUCAUAGACUUAUAGACCUGUGUACACUCAUAAACACAUUAGUCCCUUAACCUAUAAGUCUCCAAUACACCAAAAUCACUAAGGGGCACUAGAUGCACUUACAGGCACUGAGGCGACCACACCAUAGCCAGGUGCGGGCCCAACUCUGGCUGCACGGCCCUAGGGUGUGGGCCCCUCGGGCGUCCACCGACAUUGCCCUUCCGCCUAUAUAAUGCCCCCGAGGCGAAAACUCUAAAUAAUGAAGCCUCCGUCCAUGAAAAAUUCCGCAGCGCCGCCACCAUCAACGACGAGAUUCGGGGGAUAGAGGUGUCCGUUUCGGCACCCUAUCGGGAUGGGGAAUUGCCCCCGGAGCCAUCUCCAUCGACUCCACCGCCAUCUUCAUCACCGUUGCUAACUCCCAUGAUGAGGAGGGAGUAGUUCUCCUCCGAGGCUGUGGGCUCUACCGGUCGCUAUGUGGUUUAUCUCUCUCUCCCAAGGUGUGAUCUUUAUGUGAUCAUGAGCUUUGCAAUCUGGUUAAUUUAGUAGAUGUUACUCUCAUCUAUUAUGCUACUCAAGUGCUUUUAUUAAUGUGAUCUCCGGAGACACCUUGUCCCACGGUGUGAAGGUGACAGUGUGCACACCGUGUGUGGCUCUUAGGCUAAAGAUUACAGAAAUACUUAUCAUGAGUUAUAAUUUGAGUUGGAUGUCUCUAUGAAAUUGUGGUGUUUGUUUGGAACCAUCUAGCGCUCAAGGUGACAGUGUGGAGUUACCUAGAUGGGGAAUGCGAACUUUAAGGUGUGCUUUUAUAGCCCUACGUGGUGAAUUGGUGUUCGUUAUCCAACCGGAGAGUAGUUCAGAGUAGCAUAGUGAUGAGAAGAUGUUUAUGUGUUCAAUUAUGAUAUCAUUGUUGAGAGUGUCCACUAGUAAAAGUAUAAUCCCUACGUUUUGUUUCUAAGCAUUGAAACAUCGUUUACAACCAGUUAUGCUACAUGUUUGCUUGCUGACAUUUUUAUUUCAGAUUGCAAUUACCACUUGUAAUCAUCCAUAUUACUUGUAUUUCACUAUCUCUUCACCGAACUAGUGCACCUAUACACCUGACAAGUGUAUUGGGUGUGUUGGGGACACAAGAGACUUCUUGUAUCUUAAUUGCAGGGUUGCUUGAGAGGGAUAUCUUUGACCUCUUCCUCCCUGAGUUCGAUAAACCUUGGGUGAUUCACUUAAGGGAAACUUGCUACUGUUCUACAAAUCUCUACACUUGGAGGCCCAACACUGUCUAUAAGAAUAGAAGCGUGCCUAGACAUCAAGCUUUUUUCUGGCGCCGUUGCCGGGAGGUAAGGUAAAAGGUACUCACAUCCUCUAGCUACUAAGCUAUCUUCUAGUACUGUUGCUAGUGUGUGAGUGGUCAAAGUUAUUUCCUUUAGAUUCUGCAAUUAUAUCUUUUUGUUUCUUGUUUUUAUUUUCACUAGUUAGGCUUAAUGGAAAACAACAACAAAAUUAGAGAGCUUUAUAGUAUGUUUCCUGAGUUAGGACAUGAAGUGUUUGAAGAGAAAAUUAAAAAACCUAUGGAACUUUAUUUGCAUGCUAAUAGAAAUGUUAUUAGUGUGAACUAUUUGAACAGCAUUAUUGCUAAUGUUAUGGAAAAGUCUAAGCUUGGGGAAGCUGUUUUUUAUGAAAAUGGUCUUUUUAGUUCCCCAGCUUUAGAGGAGAAAUUUUUCAUGAAAAUGGUCUUUUUACGAAAAUGUUAUUUUUACUUCCCCAGCUUUAGAGGAGAAAUUGAACGAUUUUAGAUUCUAAACGAUUUUUAAAUUUGAACAAUUUUCAAAUUUGAACAAUUUUCAAAAUUUGAAACAUUUUCAUAAUCUGAACGUUUUCAACAAUCUGAACAUUUUUAAAAUUCGAACAUCUUUAGAAUCUAAACAGAAAAGGCAGGAAAAAAGGACCAGCUCCGAGGUAGUCGCCAAACUCCUCCUCCUCUCCGGCAGAGAUGUUCUCCCUCGCCUGCUGCCUUUGACUCUGCACUCCAUCUUCCUUUUAUAUUGAUAUUACUCCCCUUCUCACCCGAUCCCUCCGGUACUUCUGAUCUGUUCUUCUCCAUCUUCCCUAACCCUAAUUCUGCCACCCUCUCAUCCCCCUUCCCCCCGAUCUCCUUGUGAGUUGGAUCUGCCAUGCACGAAGAUGCGCGUGACGGGUAGUGGUAGAUCCCAUCGGCAGCCAGAAAGAUCCGGCGAUCGGUGAGAUUUUACGUGGGCGCUAGCAUGAACGCCAGAGGAAAGUUGGAACCCUAGCGGCGGAGCCAGGGGGAGACACGAGAAUUCCUAGGGUCCACCCAACGCGUGCACUAAUAGAGCAUGCUCACGCGGGCACUCUCGGUGGCCCGGUCCAUAAGCGGGAAGAGUUUUUCUUUCAAUUUUUCUUAAUUUCUUUUUCUUCUUUUUAUUUUCUGCUUCUUUUUUCUUCUUUUUUAAAUUUUGGUUUCCCUUUUUCUCGUUUCUGUUGCUUUUUUAUUUUUCAAUGUUUGCAUUUUUUCAAUUUUGUUUUUUUAUUUGAAAUUUUUUUAAUUUGAACUUUUCCAAUGAGGGACGUUUUUUAAUAUGAACAAAUUUAAACAUUUCUCAAAUUUGAACAACUUUCCAAUUGGAACAAAUUUUAAGUUUUAACAAAUUUCAAAUUUGAACAUUUUCUAUUUUUAAACUUUUUCAAAUUUGAACUUUUUUAGAUCUCGUAUUUUCUUAAUAAUUUAUUAAUUACCAAAACAAUAAAACAAAAAAUAAAAUGACUGGAAAAAGAAAUUAAAUUUAUAACUUUUUAUUUGGCCGCGUUCGAGGCGGCCCAUCAGGAGGCUCUGCGUUCGUGGUGGUUUAGGCCAUGUUUGAGCAGCACAUAUGGUUUGCCCCACUGAUCACGAGCGACGAGGAGCCAGCCAGCGACCAGGUCAGAUCUGAUUCUUAAAUAAGAUUGUUUCUAAAUUACAAAUAAAUUUGAUAAUCUGAACGCUUUUCAAAUUCGAAACAUUUUGAAAAAUCCGAAUACUAUUUUUCCUUUUCUUUUUUCCAGUGUUUUCAAAAUCAGAACGGUUUUAAAAUUUGAAUGAUUUAAAAUUGAACAAGUUUAAAAUUUGAACAAAUUUCUAUAUUCAUAUUGUUAAUAAUCUGAAAAUUUACGAAAUCUGGAUAAUUUGAGCAACUCUAAAAUUGAACGAUUUUUAAAUUUGAACCAUUUUCAAAUUUGAACGAUUUUCAUAUUUGAACAAUUUUCAUAAUUUGAAACAUUUUCAUAAUCUGAACGUUUUCAACAAUCUGAACAUUUUUAAAAUUCGAACGUCUUUAGAAUCUAAACAGAAAAAGCAGGAAAAAAGGAAAAAUAAAAGAAACAUAGCGAAAACCAAUCGAAUAACCGCAGCAAAAAAGUGAAAGAACCGUGCAAAGAAACCUGAAAAAACCAGCCCCGGAUUUUCUGUUGAUUUACCUAUAUGGGUUGGCCAACUAGCGCAAGGUUGCAUGUCGCAGCUAUAUAUCACAACGAGCGAUGUAUAAGGAUCUCCGAUACUACCGUAGCGAAUCGAGCAUAUCAUCACCAUCGAGACGUUGACGCUCCAAAAAAUACAUUUUAUUUCCAUCAUUGCCUUUUAAUGUUGUUUCUACGUAGUACAGAAGAUAUCUUUUUUUAUAGACAAUACCAUGAUAUAUUAUAGUAGGAAAUAGUAUAUGGUACAGAUACAUAAGCUGUCUCCAGCGAUUAUAAAAUAAGAAAGCUCACAUCAACAAACAAGAUAACUCUUUUAUACGUGAUAAGCAACCUCAAACCAAUAAACACUACAUCUAUUUCAUUCAGUACAACGGCAUAAGAUUUUUUAUUCUUAACAGGUUUUACGAAUUUAGUGCUCAUAUGCAGGAGUAAUUAUUCCUGGGAGCCAAAACACAAUGUCAUGCAACCUCCACAAUGCAUGAAAUUUCUAUCUUCUUGUCGUGACGUAAUUUACUCCACCCAAGAUUCUUCUUAACAAUCGAUACCACAUAUAUUUAAAAUAGUUCAUGGUCACUACAGGAAACGGGCGAUAGGCCGACGGCCCGACACUGUUGGCAUAGGCCAAAUAACCCUCGGCACAGGCUAUAGCCGAGGGCGGCCCUGGGCGUAUCGCCCUCGGGUAUCUGCGUACAGGUAUUUGUCGUCGGCGUAGAGGAUUCCCUCGAUGUAGACUUGGCGGGCCCAUCGCUAACAGAUGAUGGCCGUUAGACGUCGAACAGGCUACACCGACGGCUUUGCCCUCGGGCUAGAUAAUCGAUUUUGUUUCCAACCUUUUUUCCAAAAAAAAUCCAAUUUUUUUCACACUUGUUAAUUUCACAACAGACAUUUUUAACUCUCAGCACAUUUAAUGUAAAAUCAAAUUGCACUUGUGGUCAAACUUCCCGCUCGACCACCCAUCCUCACACUACUCCAACCCCAGCAUGCUUAACUUCUCCGUUCCUUCCGGAUGAGCUAUCAAGAAAGAAAUCAUAUCUUAGUGAUAAUAGUACCAUAUCAAUCAUAUUAACUCUUGGACUAUGGUGUCACACCUUUUUAUUUUUGAAUUCCAUACAAAUACUUAAAUACACAACAAUUAAUAAGUAAUAAUAAUAAUAAUUUUCAAUUCAAAUAAAUAUUUUUUCUUUUUUCUAUUUAAUAUGGAAUAUUUAAUAUCUUUAAAUCCUUAAAUCUGAAUUUGACAAACAAUAUGUCUAAACCUAUCAAAAAAUGAGGAGAAUCCAAAUAUAACAUCCAUAUCGUCUUGUGAACCUAAAAAAAUGAUAUUUCCAAAAAAAAUCAUGAGCAUUAGAUCAUGUAUGUGUAGUUCAAAUUGACCAUAGUUCAGAUCGAGCAAUAGGUACAUGUAUUUUUUUAAAAAUAUAUGUACACCAUGUAUAUCGACUUGAAUCGUUAGUAUGUGACAUAAGAAGAUUAUGUGGGCAGGUUUUUCAUAUUUUUCAUAUUUUUUGAAUUUUUUAUGCUCAUUUCAAAAAAAUUUGAAAUGUGUAAUAUUUAAGUGUAUAUAGAGAGAUCUUAUUCUUCUGCAAAUUUGAUAUAUUAUUUGUAUUUAUCUGAAUUAUAAUGAUUCAGUUAUGAUUUUUCUAAAAUUAAUAUGAUAAAAUGGAAAAUAGCUAUGCCGACGGCGUAGCUUCAGAACCUAUGCCGAGGGCUUUGCCCUCGACGUAGACCCUCCGUCGUGACGCGGUCGUAACACUGUUAGCCUGGGCUGGCCUACACCGAGGCUGGCAUAUACCCCGAGGGCAGCUGUUGGCCCAGACAUGGGUUCACCGAGGGCCGAUCCUACGCUAAGGGCCGGGCGGGCAGGCGGGCUAGAUUGCCAGCCCUCUACACCGACGGCCCCGAUGUUUUGCCGUCGGUGUAGAGGCUGGCCGUCGGCUCCAGACAUCAGUCCUGUGGUGGGUGAAGAUACACAAGUUGUUUUCAGCGAUUAUAAAAUAAAGUACAUAUAAGAAAAUGAGCAAAUCUCCAAGGUCUUUAAACUCUUAUUUUCCAUCACAGGCAGCCAAAUUGUCACGACAUAAAUGCCAAACUAUAGGCUCGUAAAUACCGACGAUGGUUCUCCCGUAUUUUUAAAUCUGAGCCGCAAUGCCAAGGCUACGUGCAUGCGCGCAACCGUUAAACUAAUCACCCGACAUCAGCGAGAGCAACAACACCAGUAUUCCAGGGAAAAAGAUACCGAACAGCCUGGUCGACAUCGCUAGAGAUCCGAAAGUACGAAUCACCUUUGUCGAUGGUGUAGCAUCCGGGAUAAAUAUUACGAGGACUAGUUGAAUGCCUGUUCGUUGCAACGGCCUCUAAAAUAUUUUAUUUCUGCACAUGUAAGCAUAAUACAUCUUAAUAUUUUGUCGCAUAUAGAAAGGUAGAGAAAUAUAGUAUUCAAGAAACUAUAGAAUUAUACAUUUUGAUGUGAUUGGACAAAAAGUUAUAGUUUGAUUUCUAUGCAUAGUAAUAGAAAACCCAUCUACUCAUCUUAUUCUUAGUUAGGUGUGUUAAACUGUAUAGUUAUCAGAUACGGUUAGUAUCUAGGAUUGUAGGUAUCUUAUAUAACAACCUGUACUUAUCCUCCUGUAAACCCUAGCGGCAGCCCUAGAGGCGCCCUAUAUAAUGAUCCAAUCUCUUCUCUCUUUGUUUCACAUGGUAUCAGGCCAUCGCAUAACUGCUCGAUGGGUUCUCCUUCCUCCGGCGGCAUGACUUCCUCGACCCUGGCUUCUCUGCCCAUGCCCUCUGGGCUCUCAGCGCCGACAUCUUCCGCUGUUCCCCAACCCUCUGCUAGCCUCAUUACCGCCAAGCUUACCUCCUCCAACUUCCUCCUCUGGAAAGCACAGAUCCUUCCUCCCCUUCGAAUCAUCGGUGUCACUUGGCUAUGUCGAUGGCACCACCCCUACUCCUCCUCGUAUCCUCCCAACUGAUGACAAGGGGGGCGCGCUCCUAACCCGGAGUAUGCUGCCUGGUCCCGUCAGGAUCAGAUCAUCCUGAGCUAUCUUCGUGCUCGCUCACCGAUGAUGUGCUUCAGUAGGUCCAUCUCUUCGACACCGCCCAUGUGCCAGGAGGACAUCAUCACCGCCUUCAUCACCGGGCUCGACAGCGAGUACGGGCCCCUCAUCACUGCCAUCUCCUUCGAACGCCGCCGCGACAACAAAUGCAACACCAACAACCAUGGCAAGGGAAACUACCGCGACAAGGGUCGCGGCAACUCUGGUGACCGUGGUGACUACAACAACAACAACAACAACCGCGACGGGUUCCGUGGUGACUGUGGUGGUGGUGGCAAUCGUCAGAACGGUAACCGUGGUGGUGACCGCGGUGACCAUGGCGGUGGCGGGGAUGCACGUCUGCAUUGCCAGCUCUGUCGGGGCCCUGGGCACUAUGCCUGGGAGUGCGCUUAGUGCUAGAACCACGCCUUCCAACCUCAACAGUCCAAGAUGGCGGGUCUCGCUGCCGCUUCACCACCAUCCAUCCUCGGUGACCCUAACUGGUCCACUGACACGAGGGCUACCGAUCAUAUCAUGUCGGAUCUGGACCGUCUCACCGUGAGGGAAAAGUACCCUGGACAGGACCACAUCCACACUGCCGAUGGAUCAGGUUUGCACAUAGCUCAUCAUGGUCAUGCCGUUCUUCCUACACCCUAUGUCAAUCUUAAACUUCACAACAUAUUACAUGUUCCCAAUGCCGACAAGAACCUUCUUUCUGUUAGUCGUCUUGCCGUUGACAAUCAUGCUUAUCUAAAAUAUUAUCCUACUCAUUUUCUUAUGAAGGAUUUGACAACCAAGAAGGUUCUUCUUCGCGGCAGAUGUGCAAAUGGGCUCUAUCCCAUUCGGCCUUCACGUUCUCAUGUCUUGUCUUCAGUUAGGCUCUCUGCUGAAGAUUGACAUGCUAGACUCGGCCACCCGUCCACACAAGUUGUUCAGCAUGUUUUGGUGUGCAAUAAAUUAGCAUCAUCGAGUCGGGCUUUGGCCCAUGUGUGUAAUGCUUGUCAACAUGGCAAAGUACAUCAGCUACCUUUUCCUAGAUCUUUGAAUGUUUCCUCGUUUUCGUUGGAACUUAUUUUCUCAGAUGUGUGGGGACCUGCCGAAACCUCCUCUCGUGGGUUCCAGUACUAUGUUUCAUUUAUUGAUGAUUAUAGUAAAUUUGUGUGGAUUUAUCUUCUCAAACAAAAGUGUGAUGUGUUUGAUGUCUUUCGUGAUUUUCUUGCCCAUGUUGAGCGCCUCCUAUCUCAUAAAAUCCUGUGUGUUCAAUCAGACUGGGGUGGGGAAUACGAAAAACUUAGCAACACAUUUUUUCGGCAACUUGGCAUUGCUCACCACGUCUCUUGUCCACACACACACCAACAUAAUGGCUCGGCCGAAAGGAAGCACCGUCACAUUGUUGACAUGGGCCUCUCCUUAUUAUCGCAUGCGUCUAUGCCCCUCCAUUUUUGGGACGAGGCGUACUUGUCCGCAUGCUACCUUAUCAACCGACUACCUAGCCGCGUCAUUGGCAAUAUGAGUCCCAUGGAAAAACUGUUUUCACCAAGCCUGACUACGUAUCUCUUCGCACGUUCGGGAGUGCAUGUUGGCCUAACUUGCGCCCGUAUUGUUGGGGAACGUUGCAGAAAAUUACAAUUUUUCCUACGGUUUCACCAAGAUCCAUCUAUGAGUUCAUCUAGAAACGAGUCAUGGGAGAGUGAUUGCAUCUACAUACCACUUGUAGAUCGCGUGCGGAAGCGUUCAAGUGAACAGGGUUGAUGGAGUCGUACUCGUCAUGAUUCAAAUCACCGAUGACCUAGUGCUGAACGGACAGCACCUCCGCAUUCAACACACGUACGGAGUGGAUGACGUCUCCUCCUUCUUGAUCCAGCAAGGGGGAAGGAGAGGUUGAUGAUGAUCCAGCAGCACGACGGCGUGGUGGUGGAUGCAGCAGAACUCCGGUAGGGCUUCGCUAAGCGACUACGGGAGGAGGAGGAGGUGUAGCAGGAAGGGGAGGCGCCAAGGGCUUCAGGGUGCGGCCACCCCUCCCUCCCCUCCCUUUAUAUAGGUGCAAGAGAGGGGGGAGGGCGCAGCCUUGCCCCUUCCUCCAAGGAAGGGGUGCGGCCAAGAGGGGGGGAGGAGUCCAUCCUCCCCAAGGCACCUCUGAGGUGCCUUCCCCUCUUAGGACUCUCCCCUCCCCAAGUCUCCUUGGCGCAUGGGCCUCUUGGGGCUGGUGCCCUUGGCCCAUAUAGGCCAAGGCGCACCCCCACAGCCCAUGUGGCCCCCCCGGGGCAGGUGGACCCCCCCCCCCGGUGGACCCCCGGACCCCUUUCGGCACUCCCGGUACAAUACCGAUAAAGUGCGAAACUUCUCCGGCGACCAAAAUAAGACUUCCUAUAUAUAAAUCUUUACCUUAGGACCAUUUCGGAACUCCUCGUGACAUCCGGGAUCUCAUCCGGGACUCCGAACAACAUUCGGUUUGCUGCAUACUCAUAUUCAUACAACCCUAGUGUCACCGAACCUUAAGUGUGUAGACCCUACGGGUUCGGGAGGCAUGCAGACAUGACCGAGACGUUCUCCGGUCAAUAACCAACAGCGGGAUCUGGAUACCCAUGUUGGCUCCCACAUGUUCCACGAUGAUCUCACCGGAUGAACCACGAUGUCAAGGACUCAAUCAAUCCCGUGUACAAUUCCCUUUGUCUAACGGUAUUGUACUUGCCCGAGAUUCGAUCGUCGGUAUACCGAUACCUUGUUCAAUCUCGUUACCGGCAAGUCUCUUUACUCGUUCCAUAACACAUCAUCCCGUGAUCAACCCCUUGGUCACAUUGUGCACAUUAUGAUGAUGUCCUACCGAGUGGGCCCAGAGAUACUUCUCCGUUUACACGGAGUGACAAAUCCCAGUCUCGCUUCGUGCCAACCCAACAGACACUUUCGGAGAUACCUGUAAUGCACCUUUAUAGCCACCCAGUUACGUUGUGACGUUUGGUACACCCAAAGCAUUCCUACGGUAUCCGGGAGUUGCACAAUCUCGUGGUCUAAGAAAAAGAUACUUGACAUUAGAAAAGCUUUAGCAUACGAACUACGAUCUUUGUGCUAGGCUUAGGAUUGGGUCUUGUCCAUCACAUCAUUCUGCUAAUGAUGUGAUCCCGUUAUCAACGACAUCCAAUGUCCAUGGUUAGGAAACCGUAACCAUCUAUUGAUCAACGAGCUAGUCAACAGAGGCUUACUAGGGACAUGGUGUUGUCUAUAUAUCCACACAUGUAUCUGAGUUUCCUAUCAAUACAAUUAUAGCAUGGAUAAUAAACGAUUAUCAUGAACAAGGAAAUAUAAUAAUAACAACCAAUUUAUUAUUGCCUCUAGGGCAUAUUUCCAACAUGUAUAACACUUAGAAACUUGCGUUUAGAUCACAAUAGUGUGUGUUUGUCGGGUACAUCAUUCGUCACAAAGGAUAUAAAUGUCUUCACGUACCUACCGCUCGUGUAUAUAUAUAUCACGAGAUCUAAUCUUUGAUGAACAAUUUUUUCCUUUUACCAAUGGCCAACCCUCUCCAAUACCACCUCACGUUGCUGAACAUGCAAUCCUUUUAUUUCCACAUGACCACAUGAACUAUGGCGCAUCUAUUUCUCGAACUAAUCUGGAUGCAGGUACCGAUUCAGUGCAGAAAAUCCCAUCUCCGGACUCCCUGACAGAUCCUGUGUCCCAAUCCGCCGCCGCAUUAGCCUAGUAUCACGCGCCGCCUGGAGACAACGACGUGGAGGCAGCUGACCACGUGACGAUAGGUGACAGCGUGCAAGGUGACCGCGCUGGGCCCGGGUCUCCGCCACCCACCAAUCCCGUAUCCCCUGAGGGCGAGCGGACCGGGGCGUCUCUCGCGUCGGCUCCUGCAUGUGCGCGUCCGACCCACAUUGUGGCGGGGCCCACCCCUGCGCGGGCCGCUGUGUCUCCCGAUUUGCCCCAGGCCAUUGUCCACCUGGCGCCCGCGGAGCGGGCCGUUGCUGCUGGCGGCGCAGGAUCCCAGAUGGAUCUGGCGGCCGCGCCGUCUUCCUCGCCCGACACGGGAUCCCACGGGGAUUCGCCGGCGCGCUUGUCUGCAUGCGUCCCGCCCGGAUCCUCUAUGGCCACCGGAUCUUCUGCUCUGCCUGUGCAUACAAUGACAACGCGCACACGUGAUCACACUCACAAACCGCUGUAGCGCACUGAUGGUACUGUCACGUACGAUCCGUCCUGUCGUGCAUUCUUGGCACUGCGGGAAUCGUGAAGCGGUCUCAUCUCCAGAGUGGCGUCUGGCAAUGCAACUUGAGCUCGAUGCUCUCCGACAGAAUGGUACCUGGACUUUGGUACCUCGUCCUCCUUGUGUCAACGUCAUUGAUUGCAAAUCAGUGUUCAAGAUCAAACACAAACCGAAUGGAACUGUUGAUCGUUACAAGGCACGUCUGGUCGCAAAGGGGUUCAAAUAACACUAUGGCUUGGACUAUGACGAUAUGUUCAGUCCGGUCGUUAAACCUGUCACUGUGCGACUGGUUCUCUCCAUUACAGUUUCUCGUGGAUGGUGUUUGCGACAGUUGGAUGUUCAAAAUGCUUUCCUUCAUGGCAUUCUCCAAGAAGAAGUAUACAUGCGCCAACCUCCUGGUUUUGUGAACCCCUCGGUGCCUCAUCAUUUGUGCAAACUUCGCAAGGCUCUCUAUGGGCUCAAAUAGGCUCCUCGAGUGUGGUAUUAUCGGCUGAGUUCUAGGCUCCAACAACUUGGUUUUAUAGCAUCCAAAGCUGACAGGCCCCUCUUUGUCUACAACCGGUGCGGUGUUACUAUUUUCAUGCUUGUGUAUGUAGACGACAUUAUUGUCUCCAGCUCCUCUCCUGCUACUACUACCAAGUUACAUGAGUCUGAAUAUAAGGCACUUGCGAAUGGAUUAGCUGAGGUCAUAUGGAUACAGUCGGUCCUUGGUGAACUUGGGGUCUUCCUCUCUCGACCUCCUGUUUUGUAGUGUGACAAUCUAGGAGCCACUUAUUUAUCUGCGAAUCCGGUAUUCCAUGCCAGAACCAAGCACAUAGAAGUGGACUUCCACUUUGUUCGUGAACGAGUUGCAGCCAAGGCACUUGAUGUUUGAUUCAUAUCUUCCAAGGAGCAAGUUGCAGAUAUAUUCACAAAGCCUCUAGCUGAGGUGCCGUUUGUUUUAAAUAGGCACAAUAUGAAUCUUUGUGUAGGAAGUUCAGAUUGAGGGGGAAUGUUAAACUGUAUAGUUAUCAGAUAUGGUUAGUAUCUAGGAUUGUAGUUAUCAUUGUAUAACAACCUGUACUUAUCCUCCUGUAAACCCUAGCGGCAUCCCUAGAGGCGCCCUAUAUAAUGAUCCUGAGACCACCGCAUUAGGUGUGUCGAUCCAAUCUCUUCUCUCUUUGUUUCACAAGGUGUCCGUGGGUUGUAUGAAAUAAAACCAUAAAUUUACACACUGUUGUAUCGAUUGAGAACUCAAGAGCAAAGCCCGUUUCCAACCUCGUCUCGGCAAACGUGGUUUCUUCCUCAUCAUGCUUCUCUCACCAACGACCACCAUGAAGCCAUUGCUUUUCUCUCUCCAUGAUCUUUGGUCCUUCUCCACCAGCAAUGUGAAAAAAGGCAAUAUGCCAGCUUCAUACUCCAUGGUCUUUCUUUUGAGCUUCAAGGUAGUAUGAUAGUAUAAUCAGUGUACAGUACUGUCCAAGACCAAACCAAACUGGUUCAUAUAGCUGUAAAAAUCUCUUGUGAUCAACAACAAAACUAAUGCUAAUAUUCAGGAUUUCAAACUUGAAGCAUUUGGAGAUCAACCAACAAAAAGAAAAACUGAGCGGCGGUGUCAAAAGUAAUUGUUGACCUUUGUCAAAUUGACUGCAUGCUUUUAAAUCAAGAUCAUGCAACUAAGACUUGCAUCUCAAUAAAACCAUAUCAGUUGCACAUGCAGAUGAGAGAAAUGGGAAAUACUCUAUUCCAUUCAAGGGUUGUAUGUCAAUUAUUAAAACGCAAGCACAUUAUAAGUCACAAACCUCCAACGCGCAGAUAAUUUUGGAAAUGCCUAAACCUCAGAUAAUUUGGGAAAGGAGGGUGGCUACAGUCCCCUUGGCUGAUAUACAUAGGUCUAGCUGUAACAUCUUUGGGCAAAGCAUCAUUUGCAACUGGUAACCACAGAAUAUGUAUUUAGCGCUCCUACAGAAGAAAAGAAAAGAAAAGGAUUAAAAAGGGAAUGCCGCCUUCAUAGGUCACAAACCUCGGAUUGUCAAUAUCUUCUUGUGAAUGUACACAUAUUUGAAAUACUUGAAGCGGCUAGGAUAAUGUUCUUAAAAAUGGGUUGCUUCAAAGAUAAGAAACUAAUACUGCAGUCAGACCAAAAGGAAAUUCAAGGGCACAAAAUACUUCCAGCAGGCCUUUGCAAAUUGGCAAUUAAUUAAGAAAAGGUGAUGUAUUGACUCAAGAGCCUGGACUCCACACAUGACGCAGAAGUUUAAUUCAAGGACGGGGAAGUAAGAAUAAGACCACGUACGUACUAACAAAAGAGGGGAUCAAGGAGGAGCUGUAAAAUCCAAAUGAAAAUAUCAAUACAUAAUGAACAGCACCAUUCCGUUGAAAUACCACAAGUCGCUGCUAGUAAGAUUACAUAUGCCGGCUCUCUUGGACAACAAAACCUAAGUCACGAUUCGACUACGCACGAUUAAUUUGUUGUGUUUGACGUUCCUCUUCCUCUUUUUUUUUAUAAAGAAUCACAGAGUGUUUUAUUCCAGGAUGAUAGAGUUACAAUCUUCAGCGACUAAUUUGCUAAUGCAUGGGGUGGAUGGCCCAGCCAACCUGCUGUGCUAUCACCGACACUAUGAAAUCAAUCUUCCAAACUGCAGAAUUGUAAAGUACAGCUCAGACCUACAGGGCAGGACCGGCUAGCUAAACGGCCACGCUGGAUGAUAUGUUAUCACGUUCCCCGCGGCCGCGCCAUGAACUCCAAAUCUGGCGAAACCACCUACCGUCGCACAAGGCGCCGUCGGUCGUGGAACACGCGGUCUGCAGGUCACAUCGGUCCAGGCCUUGUUGGGUUCACGCGGUCCAGAUGACAUGCACGCCCGCCAAGCAAUUGAGAAAGAGAGAGCCAUGCACGCACGCGAAGCACGCUGCCCUGUGACAACGAGGAUGAUCAUGCAUGCAUGUCAGAGAGCAGAGAGCAGAGACGUCUGUCACUUGUGUAGAUGAUAGGUUCUGCUGGUUGGCGGUCACGCUAUGCAGACCGCGUGUUCCACGACCGGGCCAAAUUUCGUGUUCGGACCCUUUUUCGAUACAAACUCAAGAUCUGACCCCGGUUACGAAAAUUUUCGAGAUCUGACCAUUCCGCUAUCGUCAUGGGCUCUGACAGUAUGGUUAGACAUACUACCGCCAGGGUCCAUGGCGGUAGGGUGCGACGGAGGGCGACGGAGGGCAACGGCCGCCGUUUGCUCGAGCUGACUUGGACAAGUAGCCUACCGCCAGGGACCAUGGCGGUAGCAUGUUAGACCUUACCGCCUGACCCCUUGGCCGUAAGGUGUGGCUGGGGUUUUGCCUCCCAAGUUUCUGUAACGAAAUAUCGAGGUGCCCUGGCGGUAGGUACGUUCGUCCUACCGUCAGGGUCCUUGGCGGUAGGGUCCUGUGUUCUAUGGUUUAUAAGUUUAUUUUUUGUUUUUUUUCAGAAACAAUAUAGGCCCUAAAAUAUGAGCUCGCAUUUUUUUAGUGAUUGUUUAUUUUGUAAAAUAUGAGCUCACAAAGAAAGCCAACAAACGGUUUCACAUAGUUUGUUUUGUUACAAGUUUCACAUCACAAAUAGCAAAAUAUGAGCUCACAUAAUGAUGAUGGUUUCACAUAGCAAUUAUCAAACAGUUUACAGAUAAUAGAUUCAUAAGUAGGGAAUAACAAAUAGCAAACUUGUCCACAUAGUUUGACAAACCCUACAAAAACAGAGAUAUAUAUUCAAUCGACANNNNNNNNNNNNNNNNNNNNNNNNNNNNNNNNNNNNNNNNNNNNNNNNNNNNNNNNNNNNNNNNNNNNNNNNNNNNNNNNNNNNNNNNNNNNNNNNNNNNNNNNNNNNNNNNNNNNNNNNNNNNNNNNNNNNNNNNNNNNNNNNNNNNNNNNNNNNNNNNNNNNNNNNNNNNNNNNNNNNNNNNNNNNNNNNNNNNNNNNNNNNNNNNNNNNNNNNNNNNNNNNNNNNNNNNNNNNNNNNNNNNNNAGGCGGAGGGGAAACGCUGGUCGGCAUCCGACCGUUCAAGCAGUCCCACCUUGGCUUGCCCGCUAGAGUUUUCGCCUCAGCCCUUGGCCAGUUGAUGAUAUCGAAGCCGAUGCACUUGGGGGCGGCAUCCUGGCUCUCUCCUCCUCAUUGCUCUCGAAAUAGAUCCUCCGGCCCAAAUUGCGCAGCUCGACACUACUAGAAAAAGGCAUGCUAGUGAUGCACCAGUUUUGCCUACUAAUGGCGCACUACUGGUGCGCCACUAGCAUCACGCCAUUAGAAUUAAAUUCUAAUGGCACACCACUGGUGUGCCAUUAGUAUCUGGUGUUCUAAUGGCGCACCAAUCAGUGCGCCAUUAGUAUAGCCCACAGUGCGCCAUUAGAAUGCCUCCCAGGGGGUCGUAUGUACCCAUGUGCUUUGGCUUACUAAUGGCGCACCAGUGGGUGAUGCGUCAUUAGUGUGAUUAUCACAGUGCGCCAUUAGUGUCUUGUGUGGUGCGCCAUUAGUAUGAAUAUUAGAUUUUUUUUGUUUUUUUUCUGAUUUUUUCACAGGUUACAAAAUAUAUUAUUUGACAGAAUAUAGACAACACCACACAGCAACAGCAGAUUCAUCGAAUACAAUAGAAGGUAAGUCUUCGAAUACAAUUCAUCAUAUUAGUCUCCAAAUACAAAAGACCAAAUGAAGAUAGAACAUUACAAGUCUCGUAGACCGCGAGUAGCGAGUUUGUCUUCACAUUACAAGUCGAUAUCGAUCAUCUAAACUACCAUCACAUAGAAGAGAGCUGCGGUCAUCACGAUGAGCAUCAUCGCGAUGAAACUGGUCUUCACCCGGUUCCUCCAACGCUCCCUCCUCUCUCCCACUAGAUAGCGGGCGUAUCUAGAUUCCGCCUCCGCCCUAGUGGUGUACCCUUUGUAACUGUUACCGCUGAAACGGCGAACCUGUCUCCGACACUCCUCCCAGUCGUCGUAGACUCCGGGAACCUUACCCUUGUACACAACAUACGAAGGCAUCUCUACGCACAAGCCAAACAACAGACAAUACAUAAGCAAUAUAUAAGUAUGCAACAAAAGGAUCGGAAGAGAAAAGCAAGACACUAAUAACACGAUUCAUGGUCCUACUAAUAAAUAGCAUCGAUUACAUCUAAGUUGAACGACUGUCCAAACCGAAGAGACAUACAAGUUCAUUAAAGUUUAAUUACAACAUGAGCUAAUCGAUGUUUCAGAACUACAAAUAGCAUCACUACUUUCGACUCGACUCAUGGGACCGGAGCGUGGAUGAAGCCGCCGUCUUUCGUGAUGGUCAUGAAGUCGCGGGCGUUGUCAGCCUGCAUUUGAAGUGUUCUGUCUAUCUCACUGUUAGGCGGUUGCUCUCUGAGGUAGAACUGUCCCGAGGUACGAAGGACAUCUUGAUGGAUGAUUUCUGCAAACUCCGACUGGAUGCGAAAGAAUUCUUGUUGGAGGUCCGCGUCCUGGAUUGCCGCCAAGCUUGCGGCCCAAUCUUUGACAUUAUUUGGUAACAGAAGGUGAUUACGGUCCCGUACGAUCGCCCUCAUGUGAUGGAGGGCAUAGUAGGCAUCCUUCUGACCGCCAGGCGGCUGCUUGACGCAGGGGAACGUCGUAUGGUGGGUGAACACGUGUUUACCGUACCUACGAACUGGCCUCUUAAAGGUGCCUCCAGAUGUGGCAUAGCCGGGGAGAGCAUCAUCAAGAACUUUCUUGAUAUUUGUAUAGUCUAUAUUGGAGUCACGGUCCGGGUCGAAAUACGUGGUCGUGGAAUAUUUCGGGCUUAAGAGGAUGAGUGUGCAAUGUGUGUCACUGCACAAAACACGGAAUGUUAGAAAAAAAAGAACGAUCGAAAGCUAAGAAAUAAUAUUUUACGGGGCGGUGAGGGGAUGACUUACUCGGGAAAGUAAGGGACGAGGAAGUUAUCCUUAUCUGGGUUUGCCAGAAUGACGCCUUCGAGGUGUGAACUCGCGACUUGCCGGUCCCCAGCGCUGCCCAAGAUCUUGGCACGCAUGUAGAAGGGGUCGACUAUCACGAUGUCCGGGGUCUUGUCUCGAAUGAUCCGCAUCUCCAUACUCAGCGAAAACAGCCGAACGAAGGUGUAGUGCAGCGGAUGAAGAUUAAACAUAGCAAAGAUGCCAUCAAACCGCAGGACGAUCGUACCCCCAAUGGCCAUCCACAAAGCCCUUGCCCUCUGGCACCUUGGCCAUGAAAACCGGGUAUGCCACAUCAUUCUGGGAGAGACGCAUCUUCUCCAAAGAAAGAACACUGUCAUGCGGACUCCGCAUAGCACCGGUUGCAGCAUUGAGCAUAUUUGUCGGUAGCAUCGCCCUACCCGCCACAUGCACCCUCCUCGAGAUAUCCUGAGGUGAAGGUGGCCCGUCCUGAGCACGGAUCGUACUCGGUGCCGGCUGGCUCGCACCGGCGCCCUUGGCAGUCUUUCGUUUCUGUCCCUUCUUCUUGAUCUGCUGUAAUGGGACCGAUUUCUGCUCACAGACCGCCUUCUUGAGCGUGUUGGGGCUGAUAAUAUUUCGCACCUCAGCUCUCUGAGGCUCAGUGAAGGCAGGAGCUGGAGGCGUCUCCUGAGAACUGAACGCCAGACGACGCCUGUUGCAAUUGGAUUUCUCUGCCGUACCAGCUAGAUCGCGGUCAUCUUGGUUGGGUUCUUGAGAAGGAGGCCCACCGAACUCGUCACCGUACCCAUAUUCGGCAAAGUACUUAUCAUCGUUGGUAAAUGUACCGUCGUCGUUGUCAUCGUCGUCCGGAUCCUGUGCCAUAUGCAUGUCCAGAUCCUGUGCCAUAGGGAUGUCUGGCAUGUCCGGUAGCAUUGCGGCGUUCUUGCCAUGGCGCGGCGCUAGCACGACUGGCGGUCUUGUCUGUGGGGUGGUGUCCCCCGCCCCCAAACGAAUCUGGCUCUUCGGCCAAAGCAAGGGCCAGCUUAGGCAGGCGCUGAUGGUCAUCAGAUCUUCUUCGUCGGCCCCGGCGGGUUGAAUCGGAGGUAACAACUCGUCGCAGCCUGGCAGCACCCGAACCAGUUGAACCCUAUACACGGUGGGUGGCAUCGGUUUACCGUGGAACACGGGGUUGCCCGGUUGAACGAUUUUGCCCUUGGCGACAUCGACCAACUCGUCAUUCACGAAGUGCAGGAGAGUGCACGGAACGUCGGCGGCGCCCUGCGAAAACAUGUAGGGCGUCAGGGAUGCCCAGUCAAAGGCAAAAGGAGAUGAAGUCCUCGACCGAGAGGCUUAAUUAGUUACCGUGAUGAUGGCGUCGAGCUCGGCUAAUGUCGAGGCACCGCCAACGGCGGGCGUGCAAAUGACGGAGGGGCCACUUGCUGGCAAGGUGCCGGCCGGCGUAAACCCCGGUGUAUUAAGCUCCAAUGCCCGUGCCGGCGCCAGAGACACCAAUACCGCCGCCGUCGAUGACACCAAUGGCGCCGCCGGAGACACUAAUGGCGCCGCUUGCGUGUUGUGCGAGUUGCUGGCUGUGAAGCUGGGAAUCGGGGGCGGCCCCUGUUGGCCACACGCAAUCCACGUUGUCAGCCCAUGAAUCAAGGUAGGCAUAAUGCCGGUGAGCGUCGUUCUCAGUUGUUGUUGCACUUGCUCUUGGAUAAUCUCCAGAAUCCGCACCACUUGUGCCUUGAGUUCUUCAACCUCGCGCGACUGGCUUUCGGAGCUGGUCUUUUUCUCCUUUCGCCCACCAGCGGUAUAGUAUGAGGACCAUUUUGUGAACAAGCCUUUGCCGGCCACACGACCAGCUGACGACGGCUUACUGAGCUUAUCCUUGUUUUUCAUUACGUUCAACGCCCUAUUUAGAGUGAUGUCCCAAGCAGGGGUGCUCUGAGACGACCCCGCGCUGCUGCUUUUAGUCUCCUUCGCCAGAACAAGCUCAAGCGCCCUGGUCUUCGGAUCCGUGGUAAGCUCCUUUGUUAUCGGGUCCUCCUUGUACCGGGCCGUGACAAAGUUCCUGGUCUGCAUGUCACUGCUGUAUUUCUCGAAGCGGGGCGGUAGGCCUUGCUCGGCACGCUCCGCAUCCUCCUUGUCCCAUAUAGGCUCCACCACUCUAUAACCGCCGGGACCAAGUUUGUGUUCCCCUAAGUUCAACUCCCGCAUUUCUUUCCCCCACUGACUUGAUUCGGAGGUUUCACUACUCUCGCACUUGAUCUUGAACUCCUUGUAGUCAUCUUCGCUGAUCGAAGGAUUUUCCGCCUUGAUCUUCUCAUAACUAUCACCUUUCUCAAUCAUUCUCUUCACUGUGUUUCUCCAAGUAGACAGGGUCGUGCUCAUGCUCGUGAGGGCGGCACUGUUCACUUUAUUCCAUGAGAGGCGUGUGUUUUCAAAUUCAGCGGGAAACUUGUAUCGUUCGUGCAGCUUCGUGAAGUGGAGGUUGCGCAAAUUCCCUCGGUCCUUAUGCCUAAGUUUCUCGGUGUUGAUCGAGACGGUGCUCCAGAGAAUGCACCCGAGAUGAACCGAGUACCCCUUGACUAUAUGUUUGGGCUCUGUUGAAUUCCCGUCGGAGUCCACUUGAGUAAGUUCCUCCUUGACGGUGCGGAUCUCAUUCGGGCACUGGUCCUUCCGUUGCUUCUUCGGUUGGCUGCCAUCUAUGCGUGCGCCGCCAUCAUCAGUGGUGGCAUCCUCGGCGGCACCAUCAUUGGUGUCAUCCCCGAUGCCACUAGGGGUUGUGUAGUCAGGAUCGGUGUCUUCCGCGGCGUUCUCAUAGCGGUGAUAGGAACAGUGUCAAGAUCCCAUGUUUCGCUCUAAAUAGGAAAAAAGUUUGGUCAAAAAGUUGGUUAUUGUCAAGGAACAAGAUCAUGGUCUCAUCAUUUAGGGUUUGUCGACACUGAGGCAUCCUAAAAGCUAAGCUUUUAUCAUUUAGGUUUUGUCGAUGCCGAGGCACCCUAAAAGCCUAAGCGUACAUCAUUUAGGUUCUCAUCAACACCGAGGCACCCUAUAGAAGCCAAGGUUUCAUCAUUUAGGGUUUGUCGAUGCCGAGUCACCCUAAAUGCUAAGUUAAAUUUUCAUCAUUUAGGGUUUAUCGAUGCCGAGGCACCCUAGGUUGGGCCUAAUCACUUGGCACUAAUCACUUGGCUCUAUUGCCACCUAUGUUGGGUUUAUCAUCUAGGGUUUAUCGAUGCUAAGGAGAAUUCUAAGUUGGGCCUAAUCACUUGGCUCUGUUGCCACCUAUGGUUUAAUGCAGCAAGAAUGGCGGGGCAGUUGAUCCUACUUAACUAAGUACUAAUAUACCCCGGCCCAUGCAUUAGUUGCAAGUACCCCAUAUGUCCUAUUUUUAGCAAAGUCAUGCUAAAAUUCACGGAAAAUUUCAGCAUGACCUUUGCUAAAAAUAGGACAUAUGGAGUACCCGAAUUUGCUGGAACGAAAGUUAAUCGACAUUUCGGAAAACUCAAGGGCCUCUCGGGGUACCUGCAAAUUCAUCACAACACAAUGGUCGGAGAUAAAACCCAGCAACUUUACAAGUCUUUCACAGAUUUGUUUGCAAGUUCUGAUAUGUAAUAAAGAUGAGCCUCAAAGAUGAGCCUCCAAUGCUGAUUUGUUUGCCUGAAGACAAGAUGAACCUCCAAUGCAACAAGUAAUAAAAUGUUCAACAAUGUAUCAAAUUCGGCAACAGUUUAACAUCUACUCCAGUAAUUAUACAACACCAUGACCAACAUUUCUCCUCUACAGAAAUUAGAAACAAAAUAAAGGAACAUUACAUAGUAGCCAUCAAAUUAAAAUAACAUAUACAGUACAUACAGGUAGGUAAUACUAAAGUGUGUUCAUAUUAGCUAGUGACCAUUAUAUUGCUUUAGCUUAGGGCCCUUACAUUAUUCUCUCUCUAUCCCUUUCUUUAGCUGCACUGCAUCACAAGGCAAAUAUGGUUCAAAAUAAAAUACUGUUGAAUAAGCACCUAGCAGAAUUGUAAAAUAAGCUUAAAAAAAGCAUACAACUUGACAUACAAACACAGUCAGUUAUGCAAGUGCUAGAGGUAUGCAUAUAUAUAUAUAUAAAUAUAUAUAUAUAUAUAUAUAUAUAUGUGUGUGUGUGUGUGUGUGUGUGUGUGUGUGUGAACUUGAUCCUGAACUAGAGGUACACAUGUUUGCAUACUCAUCUCUGCAAUUAGUCGUGCUUAUUUGCAUUGUGCUAUAUAUGAAUCCACACCGACUCGAGCCUGAAUCAAUCAAUCAAUGCUGCUCACAAAUACUCCCACACUCCUAUAAUAGUACUAAUAUAAGAGCAUUUAUAUUAUUGGAAUGAAGGGAUAAUUUUUUUUCUUUCAAGAAAACACAAACCCUAACAACACAUUACGAGCACCUUCAAGAGAUUGAACCAACCUAACAUCCACAAACACCUCCUACUCAACACACAGACACAGACCAAGGAAGAAACAUAACCAUUCUUCUUUUUUCUUUCUUUGUUGUUAAUAAUAAAAGAAACUACAAGAGCAAGGAAGGAACAAGUCUUCUUUUGUACUGCCACACAAGAAACCCUCUUUCUUUCUUUCUUCCCUUCUUGUUUAUUUAAUUUUACUGCACCAUCUACUAACCUCCUCCAACUUUACUACCACUACAUCCCUCUCAGCGACAUCUAUGUACUGCAUAUAAAGCAUCACAUGCUGAUGCUAUGUUUCAUUUGUCCCAUCUCCCAUCUCUGCUCUUAUUUUAAGUAAAUGCCCAUAUGCCUUACAUUUAUCUCUGCGGGAGUUUUUCUUUUCUAAUGAUAUCAUCUAUACAUGUUACUUAGUUACUAAACCUAUGUAACUUAGGAUCUAAUUGAUAAAUUGCUAGAAGUAUCUGCAUAUUUUCGUGGAGAUCAUAUGGGGGAGGAUCGGACAGUGUGGCAACAGACAGCAAGGUGUGUUCUUUCAAAGAAUCUUUGCAUCGAGUCAAUGAACAUCAUAUUUGAAGUGCAGUUUAACUUAGUCACUUAAAACUAUCUGAUCCACAACUAACAACCAAAGUCAUGUUCAGUUAUAGUGCUUAAAUAUGAUUUUGGUGUGUGUGAAAACAAUACAGUAUUAUAUUUCUACUGAAUGCAUGAGUAUGAUGUAUCACACAUCUACAUGUGUAGGCUUUUUCAGUUUUUUUCUAGAUGGAAACCAGAAGCAUCACUGUCCUUGACUAGAAUCACCAUGGCCAGAUUAAAGACUGCAAGCUGGCAAGUUCUUCCUUUCAAUUUCUCAAUCUUAGCUAGCGGAGGAGGAAGAGAGGUAGAGGGAGGAGGGUUACCUAGCGGUGGUGGGGCGUUGAAGACCUGGCGGCGAGGUUCGUCCUCUCGGUGGCGGCGGGGCUCCUCCCCUCGGUGGCGGCGGUGGCCUCUUCCCCUCGGUGGCGGCGGGUGUGCUCCUCCUCUCCUUAUGGAGGCGGGGCGUUGAUCUGGNNNNNNNNNNNNNNNNNNNNNNNNNNNNNNNNNNNNNNNNNNNNNNNNNNNNNNNNNNNNNNNNNNNNNNNNNNNNNNNNNNNNNNNNNNNNNNNNNNNNNNNNNNNNNNNNNNNNNNNNNNNNNNNNNNNNNNNNNNNNNNNNNNNNNNNNNNNNNNNNNNNNNNNNNNNNNNNNNNNNNNNNNNNNNNNNNNNNNNNNNNNNNNNNNNNNNNNNNNNNNNNNNNNNNNNNNNNNNNNNNNNNNNNNNNNNNNNNNNNNNNNNNNNNNNNNNNNNNNNNNNNNNNNNNNNNNNNNNNNNNNNNNNNNNNNNNNNNNNNNNNNNNNNNNNNNNNNNNNNNNNNNNNNNNNNNNNNNNNNNNNNNNNNNNNNNNNNNNNNNNNNNNNNNNNNNNNNNNNNGCGGCGUUGGGGCAGCGCAAGACCACAGCGGCGGCGGCGGCGCCGACGGCGUGCAUGCGCGGCGGUACCGUGCAUUGCCCUUUCUCACCUCGAGAGUUGGUGCAAACUUCACCGGUGCAUCCAAACCCCGUGAUAUGAUACGCUCUAUCACACAUAAGCCUCAUUAUAUAUUCCUCAAAAUAGCCACUAUACCUACCUAUCAUGGCAUUUCCAUAGCCAUUCCGAGAUAUAUUGCCAUGCAACUUCCAUCAUCAUCACAUACAUGACUUGAGCAUUUAUUGUCAUAUUACUUUGCAUGAUCGUAAGAUAGCUAGCAUGAUGUUUUUAUGGCUUGUCCGUUUUUUGAUGUCAUUGCUACGCUAGAUCAUUGCACAUCCCAGUACACCCAAAAAGGGGGCCAAAGAAGCACACCCAAAAAGAAAAAAAAGAAAAAAUAAAAAUAAAAGGGGCAAUGUUACUAUCCUUUUACCACACUUGUGCUUCAGAGUAGCACCAUGUUCUUCAUAUAGAGAGUCUCAUAUGUUGUCACUUCCAUUUACUAGGGGGAAUUUUCAUUAUAGAACUUGGCUUGUAUAUUCCAAUGAUGGGCUUCCUCAAAUGCCCUAGGUCUUCAUGAGCAAGCAAGUUGGAUGCACACCCACUUAGCUUUCAGUUUGAGCUUUCAUACACUUAUAGCUCCUAGUGCAUCCGUUGCAUGGCAAUCCUUACUCCUCGCAUUGAUAUCAAUUGAUGGGCAUCUCCAUAGCCUGUUGAUUAUCCGCGUCGAUGUGAGACUUUCUCCCCUUUUGUCUUCUCCAUAUAAACCUCCACCAUUAUAUUCUAUUACACCUAUAGUGCUAUAUCCAUGGCCUGCGCUCAUGUAUAGAGCGAGGGUUGAAAAAGCUGAAGCGCUUUAAAAAGUAUGAACCAAUUGCUUGGCUUUUCAUCGGGGUUGUGCAUGAUGGGAGCAUUUUGUGUGACGAAAAUGAAGCAUGGCCAAACUAUAUGAUUUUGUAGGGAUAAGCUUGCUUUGGCCUUGUUGUUUUGAAAAGACAUGAUUGCUUUAUUAGUACGCUCGAAGCAUUAUUGUUUUUUAUGUCAAAUGAUAGACUAUUGCUUUGAAUCACUCGUAUCUUAAUAUUCAUGCCAUGAUUAGACAUAUGAUCAAGAUUAUGCUAGGUAGCAUUCCACAUCAAAAAUUAUCUUUUUUAUCAUUUACCUACUCGAGGACGAGCAGGAAGUAAGCUUGGGGAUCUUGAUACGUCUCCGUCGUAUCUAUAAUUUUUGAUUGUUCCAUGCUAAUAUUCUUGAACUUUCAUAUACUUUUGGCAACUUUUUAUACUAUUUUUGGGACUAACAUAUUGAUCCAGUGCCCAGUGCCAGUUCCUGUUUGUUGCAUGUUUUAUGUUUCACAUAAAACCAAUAUCAAACGGAGUCCAAACGGGAUAAAAACGAACGGAGAAUUAUUUUGGAAUAUUUGGGAUUUUCCGCAGGAAGAAUCAACACGAAACAGUGUCCGAGGUGGCCAGGAGAUAGGGGGCGCGCCCUCCCCCCUGGGCGCGCCUGGCACUCUCUUGGGCCACCCGUAAGGCGGUUGACGCUCUUCUUUUGCUGCAAGAAAGCUAAUUUUAUGAGAAAAAUCUGGCCGAAAGAUUCACCCCAAUCGGAGUUACGGAUCUUAAGAUAUAAAAGAAACGGUGAAGGGGUAGAAUCUGAGAACGCAGAAACAGAGAGAUAGAUCCAAUCUCGGAGGGGCUCUCGCCCCUCCCAAGCCAUGGGAUCCAAGGACCAGAGGGGAAACCCUUCUCCCAUCUAGGGAGGAGGUCAAGGAAGAAGAAGAAGAAGGAGGGCUCUCUCCCCCUUGCUUCCGGUGGCGCCGGAACGCCCCAGGGCCCAUCAUCAUCACCGCGAUCUUCACCAACGCCUCCGCCAUCUUCAUCGACAUCUCCAUCACCUUCCCCCAUCUAUAUUCAGCGGUCCACUCUCCCGCAACCCACUGUACGCUCUACUUGAACAUGGUGCUUUAUGCUUCAUAUUAUUAUCCAAUGAUGUGUUGCCAUCCUAUGAUGUCUAAGUAGAUUUCCAUUGUCCUAUCGGUGAUUGAUGAAUUGCUAUGAUUGGUUUGAGUUGCAUGCUUUAUUAUUGGUGUUUUCCUAUGGACCUCUCUGUGUCGCGCAAGCGUGAGGGAUCCCUGCUAUAGGGUUUGCAAUAUGUUCAUGAUUUGCUUAUGGUGGGUGGCGUGAGUGACAGAAGCACAGACCCGAGUAAGUAGGUUGUUUGCAUAUGGGAUAAAGGGGACUUGAUACUUUAAUGCUAUGGUUGGGUUUUACCUUAAUGAUCUUUAGUAGUUGCGGAUGCUUGCUAGAGUUCCAAUCAUAAGUGCAUAUGAUCCAAGUAGAUAAAGUAUGUUAGCUUAUGCCUCUCCCUCAAAUAGAAUUGCAAUAGUGAUUAUCGGUCUAGUAACAUAGUCAAAUGCUUAGGGACAAUUCCACAACUCCUACCACCACUUUUCCACACUCGCUAUAUUUACUUUAUUGCUUCUUUAUCUAAACAUCCCCUAAUUUUUAUUUACGUGUUCUUUAUUAUCUUGCAAACAUAUCCCAACAACACCUACAAAGUACUUCUAGUUUCAUACUUGUUCUAGGUAAAGCGAACACUAAGCAUGCGUAGAGUCGUAUCAGUGGCAGAUAGGGCUUGAGAGAGUAUUUAUUCUACCUUUAGCUCCUCGUUGGGUUCGACACUCUUACUUAUCGAAAGAGGCUACAAUUAUCCCGUAUACUUGCGGGUCAUCACCUAGCGGUGUGAAAUAAAUGGAAAACUUGUAAGUUCAUGGAGUUUGUAUAUGAGUUAGAGAAACGCCUGGGCGGCCAACCCAAGCCAUGCAUAAUUCAUGGUGGAAAUUUACAACAUAACCAUAGUGAGCAUUCUAUGGAGCAUCUUCAAUAAAAAAACUAUGCCCAUGGUAAUAAAAGGAUUGCUGAGAUGCUCAUUGUCUGUUGCCUUGUCAUUUUGGUAUGGGAUAGCUCUUGUGUCAUGGGGCAAGGGGUACACCGUUGGCGGUUCUCUAUGAUGCAUGUAUACUUACAAUGACAAGAACUUAUUUGGGACCUAAGUUGAGUAGCAUGAGGUUUAGGUACUCGUAUUCAAGGGGCAUGAGGCUUUCAAUUUGUGAUUUGUCAAGCAUACAACUCAUAUUUGCCCUCACUUUAACCUUAACCAUUCAAGAUGCGUAUGAUAGGGGCAAUGAGAGCUGAAAUCUAAUGAGGACCAUAAGUUUUGGAAGCUUUAUCAAACUUAUUAAUCCCUACUUACCUCUAUGAAGGGCCUUUCUUUUACUUUUUUGUUGAGUCUUCAUCUUCUAUCUUUAUGCACCAACUAAGAGAGCAUAGUUGUCAUUCUGAGUAUAAUGUGCAUUGUCCCAAAACUUGUUGAUUGAUUCAUGAUUAUGGUAUUGCUUAUUCUCAAAUUAUUUGUAUCUAGUCACCCUUUUGAACUUUGAAGGUGUCCUAUGCAUUUAUGUUUUGCUACUCCAAGAAGGACAAGCUGAAUACCACUUUGCUAUGUUUUCUCUAUGUGCGAAACAAACAAAUGUCUUUCAAAGCAUUAUUCAUGAUCUUUUGUUUAUGUUGCCUUUCAUGUUGUAAUAUAGUUGCUAUAUUCUAUUGUUAGAAAUAUAUCUUUCAUACCUAUGUUUAGAGUACUUUGAUCCCAUCUUACAAUGUUUUACAAUGAUGAUGAUCAAGAUUGUAUUGGCUGCAUGUCACCUCAAAAAUUAUUUUUGUUAUCACUCCCCUACUCGAGGACGAGCAGGAGUUAAGCUUGGGGAUGAUGAUAUGUUGCAAACGUAUCUAUAAUUUUUGAUCCUCCAUGCUUGUUAUACACCAAUUACUUUAUGUUUUGUUUACACUUUGUGGCAUUUUUAUGUAUUUUCUGGAACUAGCCUAUUGACAAGAUGCCACAAUGCCAGUUCCCUGUUUUCUGCUGUUUUUGUGUUUUGGAGAAAUUAGUACAGAAAUAUUCUCGGAAUUGGACGAAACAAACGCCAAAGUUCCUAUUUUUCUCGACACGACACGGAGUCCAAAGCAGAGACGGAUGAGCACACUGAGGUGACCACACCAUAGCCAGGCGUGGGCCCACCUCUGGCUGCACGACCCUAGGGUGUGGGCCCCUCGGGCGUCCACUGACAUUGCCCUUCCGCCUAUAUAAUGCCCCCGAGGUGAAAACUCUAAAUAAUGAAGCCUCCGUCCAUGAAAAAUUCCGCAGCGCAGCCACCAUCAAAGACGAGAUUCAGGGGAUAGAAGUCUCUGUUUCGGCACCCUACCGGGAUGGGGAAUUGCCCCCGGAGCCAUCUCCAUCGACUCCACCGCCAUCUUCAUCGCCAUUGCUAACGCCCAUGAUGACGAGGGAGUAGUUCUCCUCCGAGGCUGAGGGCUUUACCGGUCGCUAUGUGGUUUAUCUCUCUCUCCCAAGGUGUGAUCUUUAUGUGAUCAUGAGCUUUGUAAUCUGGUUGAUUUAGUAGAUGUUACUCUCAUCUAUUAUGCUACUCAAGUGCUUUUAUUAAUGUGAUCUCCGGAGACACCUUGUCCCACGGUGUGAAGGUGACAGUGUGCGCACCGUGUGUGGCUCUUAGGCUAAAGAUUACAGAAAUACUUAUCAUGAGUUAUAAUUUGAGUUGGAUAUCUCUAUGAAAUUGUGGUGUUUGUUUGGAACCAUCUAGCGCUCAAGGUGACAGUGUGGAGUUACCUAGAUGGGGAAUGCGAACUUUAAGUUGUGCUUUUAUAGCCCUACGUGGUGAAUUGGUGUUCGUUAUCCAACCGGAGAGUAGUUCAGAGUAGCAUAGUGAUGAGAAGAUGUUUAUGUGUUCAAUUAUGAUAUCAUUGUUGAGAGUGUCCACUAGUAAAAGUAUGAUCCCUACGUUUUGUUUCAAAGCAUUGAAACAUCGUUUACAACCAGUUCUGCUACAUGUUUGCUUGCUGGCAUUUUUAUUUCAGAUUGCAAUUACCACUUGUAAUCAUCCAUAUUACUUGUAUUUCACUAUCUCUUCACCGAACUAGUGCACCUAUACACCUGACAAGUGUAUUGGGUGUGUUGGGGACACAAGAGACUUCUUGUAUCUUAAUUGCAGGGUUGCUUGAGAGGGAUAUCUUUGACCUCUUCCUCCCUGAGUUCGAUAAACCUUGGGUGAUUCACUUAAGGGAAACUUGCUACUGUUCUACAAACCUGUACACUUGGAGGCCCAACACUGUCUAUAAGAAUAGAAGCGUGCGUAGACAUCAAGCUUUUUCUGGCGCCGUUGCCGGGAGGUAAGGUAAAAGGUACUCACAUCCUCUGGCUACUAAGCUAUCUUCUAGUACUGUUGCUGGUGUGUGAGUGCUCAAAGUUAUUUCCUUUAGAUUCUGCAAUUAUAUCUUUUUGUUUCUUGUUUUUAUUUUCACUAGUUAGGCUUAAUGGAAAACAACAACAAAAUUAGAGAGCUUUAUAGUAUUUUUCCUGGGUUAGGACAUGAAGUGUUUGAAGAGAAAAUUAAAAAACCUAUGGAACUUUAUUUGCAUGCUAAUAGAAAUGUUAUUAGUAUGAACUAUUUGAACACCAUUAUUGCUAAUGCUAUGGAAAAGUCUAUGCUUGGGGAAGCUGUUUUUUAUGAAAAUGGUCCUUUAGUUCCCCAGCUUUAGAGGAGAAAUUUUUCAUGAAAAUGGUCUUUUUAUGAAAUGGUCUUUUUAGCUACCCAGCUUUAGAGGAGAAAUUGAACGAUUUUAGAUUCCAAAUGAUUUUUAAAUUUGAAGAUUUUCAAAUUUGAACAAUUUUCAAAAUUUGAAACAUUUUCAUAAUCUGAACGUUUUCAACAAUCUGAACAUUUUUAAAAUUCAAACAUCUUUAGAAUCUAAACAGAAAAAGCAGGAAAAAAGGACCAGAUCCGAUGUAGCCGCCAAAAUCCUCCUCCUCUCGGGCAGAGCUGUUCUCCCUUGCCUGCUGCCUUUGACUCUGCACUCCAUCUUCCUUGGUAUUGAUAUUACUCCCCUUCUCACCCGAUCCCUCCGGUACUUCUGAUAUGUUCUUCUCCAUCUUCCCUAACCCUAAUUCCGCCGCCCUCUCAUCCCCCUUCCCCCCGAUCUCCUUGUGAGUUGGAUCCGCCAUGCACGAAGAUGCACGUGACGGGUAGUGGUAGAUCCCACCGGCGGCCAGAAAGAUCCGGCAAUUGGUGAGAUUUUACGUGGACGCUAGCAUGAAUGCCAGAGGAAAGUUGGAACCCUAGCGGCGGAGCCAGGGGGAGACACGAGAAUUCCUAUGGUCCACCCAACGCGUGCACUAAAAGAGCAUGCUCACGCGGGAACUCUUGGUGGCCCGGUCCAUAAGCGGGAAGAGUUUUUUUUUCAGUUUUUCCUAAUUUCUUUUUCUUCUUUUUAUUUUGUGCUUCUUUUUUCUUCUUUUUUAAAUUUUGGUUUCCCUUUUUCUCGUUUCUGUUGCUUUUUUAUUUUUCAAAGUUUGCAUUUUUUUCAAUUUUGUUUUUUUGAUUUGAAUAUUUUUUAACUUGAACUUUUCCAAAGUGGGACGUUUUUUAAUAUGAACAAAUUUAAACAUUUCUCAAAUUUGAACAACUUUCCAAUUGGAACAAAUUUUAAGUUUUAACAAAUUUCAAAUUUGAACAUUUUCUAUUUUUAAACUUUUUCGAAUUUGAACUUUUUUUAGAUCUCGUAUUUUUUCAAUAUUUUAUGAAUUACAAAAACAAUAAAACAAAAAAAUCAAAUGACUGGAAAAAGAAAUUAAAUUUAUAAAUUUUUAUUUGGCCGCGUUCGAGGCGGCCCAUCAGGAGGCUCUGCGUGCAUGGUGGUUUAGGCCACGUUUGAGCGGCACAUAGGGUUUGCCCCAUCGAUCAUGAGCGAUGAGGAGCCAGCCAGCGACCACGCUAGAUCUUAUUUUUGAAUAAGAACGUUUGUAAAUUACAAAUAAAUUUGAUAAUCUGAACACCAUUCAAAUUCGAAACAUUUUGAAAAAUCUAAAUACUAUUUUUCCUUUUCUUUUUUCCAGUGUUUUCAAAAUCAGAACGGUUUUAAAAUUUGAAUGAUUUAAAAUUGAACAAGUUUAAAAUUUGAACAAAUUUCUAUAUUCAUAUUGUUAAUAAUCUGAAAAUUUAUGAAAUCUGGAUAAUUUGAGCAACUCUAAAAUUGAACGAUUUUAAAUUCUGAACGAUUUUUAAAUUUGAACCAUUUUCAAAUUUGAACGAUUUUCAUAUUUGAACAAUUUUCACAAAUUGAAACAUUUUCAUAAUCUGAACGUUUUCAACAAUCUGAACAUUUUUUAAAUUUGAACGUGUUUAGAAUCUAAACAGAAAAAGAAGGAAAAAUGGAAAAAUAAAAGAAACAUAGCGAAAACCAAUCGAAAAACCGCUGCAAAAAAGUGAAAGAACCGUGCAGAGAAACCCGAAAAAACCAGCCCCGGAUUUUCUGUUGAUUUACCUAUAUGGGUUGGCCAAAUAGUGCAAGGUUGCCUGUCGCAGCUAUAUAUCACAACGAGCGAUGUAUAAGGAUCGCCGAUACUACCGUAGCGAAUCGAGCAUAUCAUCACCAUCGAGACGUUGACGCUCCAAAAAAUACAUUUUAUUUCCAUCAUUUCCUUUUAAUGUUGUUUCUACCUAGUACAGAAGAUAUCUUUUUUUAUAGACAAUACCAUGAUAUAUUAUAGUAGGAAACAGUAUAUGGUACACAUACAUAAGCUGUCUCCAGCGAUUAUAAAAUAAGCAAGCUCACAUCAACAAACAAGAUAACUCUUUUAUACGUGAUAAGCAACCUCAAACCAAUAAACACUACAUCUAUUUCAUUCAGUACAACGGCGUAAGAUUUUUUAUUCUUAACAGGUUUUACGAAUUUAGUGCUCAUAUGCAGGAGUAAUUAUUCCUGGGAGCCAAAACACAAUGUCAUGCAACCUCCACAAUGCAUGAAAUUUCUAUCUUCUUGUGGUGACGUAAUUUACUCCACCCAAGAUUCUUCUUAACAAUCGAUACCACAUAUAUUUAAAAUAGUUCAUGGUCACUACAGGAAACGGGCGAUAGGCCGACGGCCCGACGCUAUCGGCAUAGGCCAAAUAACCCUCGGAACAGGCUAUAGCCGGGGGCGGCCCUGGGCGUAUCACCCUCGGGUCCUUCAGGUAUCUGCGUACAGGUAUUUGUCAUCGGCGUAGAGGAUGCCCUCGAUGUAGACUUGGCGGGCCCAUCGCUAAUAGAUGACGGCCGUUAGACGUCGAACAGGCUACACCGACGGCUUUGCCCUCGCGCUAGAUUUUCGAUUUUGUUUCCAACUUUUUUUCCAAAAAAAAUUCAAUUUUUUUCAGACUUGUUAAUUUCACAACGGACAUUUUUAACUCUCAACACGUUUAAUGUAAAAUCAAAUUGCACUUGUGGUCAAACUUCCCGCUCGACCACCCAUCCUCACACUACUCCAACCCCAGCACGCUUAACUUCUCCGUUCCUUCCGGAUGAGCUAUCAAGAAAGAAAGCAUAUCUUAGUGAUAAUAGUACCAUAUCAAUCAUAUUAACUCUUGGACUGUGGUGUCACACCUUUUUAUUUUUGAAUUCCAUACAAAUAUUUAAAUACACAACAAUUAAUAAGUAAUAAUAAUAAUAAUUUUCAAUUCAAAUAAAAUAAAAUAAUUAAUAUUUUUUCUUUUUUCUAUUUAAUAUGGAAUAUUUAAUAUCUUUAAAUCCUUAAAUCUGAAUUUGACAAAUAAUAUGUCUAAACCUAUCAAAAAAUGAGGAGAAUCCAAAUAUAACAUCCAUAUCGUCUUGUGAACCUAAAAAAUUGAUAUUUCCAAAAAGAAUCAUGAGCAUUAGAUCAUGUAUGUGUAGUUCAAAUUGACCAUAGUUCAAAUCGAGCAUUACGUACAUGUAUUUUUUUUAAAUAUAUGUACACCAUGUAUAUCGACUUGAAUCGUUAGUAUGUGACAUAAGAAGAUUAUGUGGGCAGGUUUUUCAUAUUUUCCUAUUUUUUGAAUUUUUAUGCUCAUUUCAAAUUUUUUUGAAAUGUGUAAUAUUUAAGUGUAUAUAGAGAGAUCUUAUUCUUCUGCAAAUUUGAUAUAUUAUUUGUAUUUAUCUGAAUUAUAAUGAUUCAGUUAUAAUUUUUCUAAAAUUAAUAUGAUAAAAUGGAAAAUAGUUAUGCCGACGGUGUAGCUUCAAAACCUAUGCCGAGGGCUUUGCCCUCGGCGUAGACCCUCCGCCGUGACGCGGUCGUAACACUGUUAGCCUGGGCUGGCCUACACCGAGGCUGGCAUAUACCCUGAGGGCAGCUGUUGGCCCAGACAUGGGUUCACCGAGGGCCGAUCCUACGCCAAGGGCCGGGCGGGCGGGCGGGCAGGAUUGCUAGCCCUCUACGCCGACGGCCCUGAUGUUUUGCCAUUGGUAUAGAGGCUGGUCGUCGGCUCCAGACAUCAGUCCUAUAGUGGGUGAAGAUACACAAGCUGUUUUCAGCGAUUAUAAAAUAAAGUACAUAUAAAAAAAUGAGCAAAUCGCCGAGGUCUUUAAACUCUUAUUUUGCAUCGCAGGCAGCCAAAUUGACAUGACAUAAAUACCAAACGAUAGGCUCGUAAAUACCGACGAUGGUUCUCCCAUAUUUUUAAAUCUGAGCCGCAAUGCCAAGGCUACGUGCAUGCGCGCAACCAUUAAACUAAUCACCCGACAUCAGCGAGAGCAACAACACCAGUAUUCCAGGGAAAAAGAUACCGAACAGCCUGGUCGACAUCGCUAGAGAGCCGGAAGUACGAAUCACCAUUGUCGAUGGUGUAGCAUCCAGAUAAAUAUUACGAGGACUAGUUGAAUGCAUGUGUGUUGCAACGGCCUCUAAAAUAUUUUACUUCUGCACAUGUAAGCAUAAUACAUCUUAAUAUUUUGUCGCAUAUAGAAAGAUAGAGAAAUAUAUUAUUCAAGAAACUAUAGAAUUAUACAUUUUGAUAUGAUUGGACAAAAAGUUAUAGUUUGAUUUCUAUGCAUAGUAAUAGAAAACCCAUCUACUCAUCUUAUUCUUAGUUAGGUGUGUUAAACUGUAUAGUUAUCAGAUACGGUUAGUAUCUAGGAUUGUAGUUAUCUUGUAUAACAACCUGUACUUAUCCUCCUGUAAACCCUAGCGGCAGCCCUAGAGGCGCCCUAUAUAAUGAUCCUGAGACCACCGCAUUAGGUGUGUUGAUCCAAUCUCUUCUCUCUUUGUUUCACAAGGUAUCAGGCCAUCUCGCAUAACUGCUCGAUGGGUUCUCCUUCCUCCGGCGCCAUGACUUCCUCGACCCUGGCUUCUCUGCCCAUGCCCUCUGGGCUCUCAGCGCCGACAUCUUCCGCUGUUCCCCAACCCUUUGCUAGCCUCAUUACCGCCAAGCUUACCUCCUCCAACUUCCUCCUCUGGAAAGCACAGAUCCUUCCUCCCCUUCGCAUCACCGGUGUCACUUGGCUAUGUCGACGGCACCAUCCCUACUCCUCCUCGCAUCCUCCCAGCUGAUGACAAGGGGGGCGCGCUCCUAACCCGGAGUAUGCUGCCUGGUCCCGUCAGGAUCAGAUCAUCCUGAGCUAUCUUCGUGCUCGCUCACCGAUGAUGUGCUUCAGUAGGUCCAUCUCUUCGACACCGCCCGCGCCAUCUGGGUGCACCUCGAGGAGAUGUAUGUUACCCACUGCCGUGCCAGUGUGGUGCAGAUCAAGAUGGACAUGAUGAACUUCCGCAAGGGCAACCUCUCCAUGGUGGACUACUUCGCCAAGAUCCUCUCCAAUGCAGAUCAACUCGUCGCCGUUGGCCGUCCCAUGUUCCAGGAGGACAUCAUCACCGCCUUCAUCACCGGGCUCGACAGUGAGUACGGGCCCCUCAUCACUGCCAUCUCCUUCGAACGCCGCCGCGAGUACCACGCGGCUCGUCUUCAACUUCAUACGGGCGGAUCCUCUGUCAAGUAUGUCGCCCGCGACAACAACUGCAACACCAACAACCGUGGCAAGGGCAACUACCGCGACAAGGGUCGCGGCAACUCUGGUGACCGUGGUGACAACAACAACAACAACAACCGCAGCGGGUACCGUGGUGACUGUGGUGGUGGUGGCAAUCGUCGGAACGGUAACCGUGGUGGUGACCGCGUGACCAUGGCGGUGGCGGGGAUGCACGUCUGCAGUGCCAGCUCUAUCAAGGCCCUGGGCACUAUACCUGGGAGUGCUCUUUGUUGGAAAUAUGCCCUAGAGGCAAUAAUAAAAGUAUUAUUAUAUUUCAUUGUUCAUGAUAAUUGUCUUUUAUUCAUGCUAUAACUGUAUUAUCCGGAAAUCGUAAUACACGUGUGAAUACUUAGACCACACAAUGUCCCUGGUAAGCCUCUAGUUGACCAGCUCGUUGUGAUCAACAGAUAGUCAUGGUUUCCUGACUAUGGACAUUGGAUGUCGUUGAUAACGGGAUCACAUCAUUAGGAGAAUGAUGUGAUGGACAAGACCCAAUCCUAAGCAUAGCAUAAAAGAUCGUGUAGUUCGUUUUGCUAGAGCUUUGCAAGUGUCAAGUAUCUCUUCCUUCGACCAUGAGAUCGUGUAACUCCCGGAUACCGUAAGAGUGCCUUGGGUGUACCAAACGUCAUAACGUAACUGGGUGACUAUAAAGGUGCAUUACAGGUAUCUCCAAAAGUAGCUGUUGGGUUGACACGGAUCGAGACUGGGAUUUGUCACUCCGUAUGACGGAGAGGUAUCUCUGGGCCCACUCGGUAAUGCAUCAUCAUAUUGAGCUCAAUGUGACCAAGGUGUUGGACACGGGAUCAUGCAUUACGGUACGAGUAAAGUGACUUGCCGGUAACGAGACUGAACAAGGUAUUGGGAUACCGACGAUCGAGUCUCGGGCAAGUAACGUACCGAUUGACAAAGGGAAUUGCAUACAGGGUUUGAUCGAAUCCUCGACAUAGUGGUUCAUCCGAUGACAACAUCAAGGAGCAUGUGGGAGCCAUCAUGGGUAUCCAGAUCCCGCUGAUGGUUAUUGACUGAGAGAGUCUCGGUCAUGUCUGCAUGUCUCCCGAACCCGUAGGGUCUACACACUUAAGGUUCAGUUACGCUAGGGUUAUAGGGAUAUGUAUAUGCAAUAACCCGAAUGUUGUUCGGAGUCCCGGAUGAGAUCCCGGACGUCACGAGGAGUUCCGGAAUGGUCCGGAGGUAAAGAUUUAUAUAUGGGAAGUCCUGUUUCGGGCAUCGGGACAAGUUUCGGGGUUAUCGGUAUUGUACCGGGACCACCGGAAGGGUCCCGGGGGUCCACCGGGUGGGUCCACCUGUCCCGGGGGGCCACAUGGGCUGUAGGGGGGUGCGCCUUGGCCUAAUGGGCCAAGGGCACCAGCCCCACAUAGGCCCAUGCGCCUACGGUUUAAGGGGGCAAGAGUCCUAGGAGGGUAAGGCACCUCCUAGGUGCCUUGGGGGGAGGAAAACCCCCCUUGGCCGCCGCACCCCCUAGGAGAUUGGAUCUCCUAGGGCCGGCCACCCCCCCUUGGCACCCCUAUAUAUAGUGGGGGAGAGGAGGGACUUCAUACCUGAACGCCCUGGCCUUUGGUUGCCUCCUUCUCCCUCCCCAACACCUCCUCCACCUCCAUAGUGCUUAGCGAAGCUCUGCCGGAGUACUGCAGCUCCAUCAACACCACGCCGUCGUGCUGCUGUUGGUGCCAUCUCCCUCAACCUCUCCUCCCUUCCUUGCUGGAUCAAGAAGGAGGAGACGUGGCUGUUCCGUACGUGUGUUGAACGCGGAGGUGCCGUCCGUUUGGCGCUGGUCAUCGGUGAUUUGGAUCACGUCGAGUACGACUACAUCAUCACCUUGCAAGCUUCCGCACGCGAUCUACAAGUGGUAUGUAGAUGCAAACUCUCUCCCUAGACUCGUUGCUUAGAUGAACUCAUAGAUGGAUCUUGGUGAAACCGUAGGAAAAAUUUUAAUUUUCUGCAACGUUCCCCAACAGUGGAAUCAGAGCUAGGUCUAUGCGUAGUUCUCUUUGCACGAGUAGAACACAACUUUGUUGUGGGCGUGGAUUUUGUCAUCUUGCUUGCCUCUACUAGUCUUUUCUUGCUCAACGGUAUUGUGGGAUGAAGCGGCCCGGACCAACCUUACACGUACUCUUACGUGAGACCGGUUCCACCGACUGACAUGCACAAGUUGCAUAAGGUGGCUGGCGGGUGUCUGUCUCUCCCACCUUAGUUGGAGCGGAAUCGAUGAACAGGGCCCUUAUGAAGGGUAAAUAGAAGUUGACAAAAUCACGUUGUGGUGAUUCGUAGGUAAGAAAACGUUCUUGCUAGAACCCAAUUGCAGCCACGUAAAAUAUGCAACAACAAUUAGAGGACGUCUAACUUGUUUUUGCAGCGAUUGAUCAUGUGAUGUGAUAUGGCCAGAAGUUGUGAUGAAUGAUGAAUUGUGAUGUAUGAGAUCAUGUUCUUUGUAAUAGGAUUUACGACUUGCAUGUCGAUGAGUAUGACAACCGGCAGGAGCCAUAGGAGUUGUCAUUAUUUUUUGUAUGACCUGCGUGUCAUUGAAUAACGCCAUGUAAACUACUUUACUUUAUUGCUAAACGUUAGUCAUAGAAGUAGAAGUAGUUGUUGGCGUGACAACUUCAUGAAGACACGAUGAUGGAGAUCAUGAUGAUGGAGAUCAUGGUGUCAAGCCGGUGACAAGAUGAUCAUGGAGCCCCGAAGAUGAAGAUCAAUGGAGCUAUAUGAUAUUGGCCAUAUCAUGUCACAACUAUAUAAUUGCAUGUGAUGUUUAUUAUGUAUUAUGCAUCUUGUUUACUUAGGACGACGGUAGUAAAUAAGAUGAUCCCUUAUAAAAUUUCAAGAAGUGUUCUCCCCUAACUGUGCACCGUUGCUACAGUUCGUCGUUUCUAAGCACCACGUGAUGAUCGGGUGUGAUGGAUUCUUACGUUCACAUACAACGGGUGUAAGACAGUUUUACACAGCGAAAACACUUAGGGUUAACUUGACGAGCCUAACAUGUGCAGACAUGGCCUCGGAACACGGAGACCGAAAGGUCGAACACGAGUCGUAUGGAAGAUACGAUCAACAUGAAAAUGUUCACCGACGAUGACUAGUCCGUCUCACGUGAUGAUCGGACACGGACUAGUCGACUCGGAUCGUGUAACACUUAGAUGACUAAAGGGAUGUCUAAUCUAAGUGGGAGUUCAUAAUUUGAUUAGAACUUUAUUAUCAUGAACUUAGUCUAAAACCUUUGCAAAUAUGUCUUGUAGAUCAAUGGCCAACGCUAAUGUCAACAUGAACUUCAACGCGUUCCUAGAGAAAACCAAGCUGAAAGAUGAUGGCAGCAACUAUACGGACUGGGUCCGGAACCUGAGGAUCAUCCUCAUAGCUGCCAGGAAACAAUAUGUCCUAGAAGGACCGCUAGGUGACGCUCCCGUCCCAGAGAACCAAGACAUUAUGAAUGCUUGGCAGUCUCGCGCUGAUGAUUACUCCCUCGUUCAGUGCGGCAUGCUUUACAGCUUAGAACCGGGGCUCCAAAAGCGUUUUGAGCAUCACGGAGCAUAUGAGAUUUUCGAAGAGCUGAAACUAGUUUUUCAAGCUCAUGCCCGGGUCGAGAGAUAUGAUGUCUCCGACAAGUUCUACAGUUGUAAGAUGGAGGAGAACAGUUCUGUCAGUGAGCACAUCCUGAAGAUGUCUGGGUUGCACAACCGUAUGACCCAGCUGAACAUUAACCUCCCAGAUGAGGCGGUCAUUGACAUAAUCCUCUAGUCGCUCCCACCAAGCUACAAGAGCUUUGUGAUGAACUACAACAUGCAGGGAAUGGAAAAGACCAUUCCUGAAGUGUUCUCGAUGCUGAAGUCAGCAGAGGCUGAAAUCAAGAAAGAACAUCAAUUGUUGAUGGUCAAUAAGACCACUAAGUUCAAGAAGGGCAAGGGUAAGAAGAACUUCAAGAAGGACGGCAAAGAUGUUGCCGUGCCUGGUAAGCCAGUUACCGGGAAGAAGUCAAAGAAUGGACCCAAGCCUGAGACUGAGUGCUUUUAUUGCAAGGGGAAGGGUCACUGGAAGCGGAACUGCCCCAAAUACUUAGCGGAUAAGAAGACCGGCAACACCAAAGGUAUAUUUGAUAUACAUGUGAUUGAUGUGUACCUUACCAGUACUCGUAGUAACUCCUGGGUAUUUGAUACCGGUGCCGUUGCUCAUAUUUGUAACUCACAGCAGGAGCUGCGGAAUAAACGGAGACUGGCGAAGGACGAGGUGACGAUGCGCGUCGGGAAUGGUUCUAGAGUCGAUGUGAUCGCCGUCGGCACGCUGCCUCUACAUUUACCUACGGGAUUAGUUUUGAACCUUAAUAAUUGUUAUUUAGUGCCAAGUUUGAGCAUGAACAUUGUAUCUGGAUCUCGUUUAAUACGAGAUGGCUACUCAUUUAAGUCUGAGAAUAAUGGUUGUUCGAUUUAUAUGAGAGAUAUGUUUUAUGGUCAUGCUCCGAUGGUCAACGGUUUAUUCUUAAUGAAUCUCGAGCGUAAUAUUACACAUGUUCAUAGUGUAGAUGCCAAAAGAUUUAAAGUUGAUAACGAUAGUCCCACAUACUUGUGGCACUGCCGCCUUGGUCACAUUGGUGUCAAGCGCAUGAAGAAGCUCCAUGCCGAUGGACUUUUAGAGUCUCUUGAUUAUGAAUCGUUUGACACGUGCGAACCAUGCCUCUUAGGUAAAAUGACCAAGACUCCGUCCUCUGGAACAAUGGAGCGAGCAACCAACUUGUUGGAAAUCAUACAUACCGAUGUGUGCGGUCCAAUGAGCGUUGAGGCUCGCGGAGGAUAUCGUUAUGUUCUCACUCUCACAGAUGACUUGAGUAGAUAUGGGUAUGUCUACUUAAUGAAACACAAGUCUGAGACCUUUGAAAAGUUCAAGGAAUUUCAGAAUGAGGUGGAGAAUCAACGUGACCAAAAGAUAAAAUUCUUACGAUCAGAUCGUGGAGGAGAAUACUUAAGUCACGAAUUUGGUACACACUUAAAGAAAUGUGGAAUCGUUUCACAGCUCACGCCGCCUGGAACACCUCAGCGAAACGGUGUGUCCGAACAUCGUAAUCGCACUCUAUUGGAUAUGGUGCGGUCUAUGAUGUCUCUUACCGAUUUACCGCUAUCAUUUUGGGGAUACGCUCUAGAGACAGCUACAUUCACUUUAAAUAGGGCACCGUCUAAAUCCAUUGAGACGACACCGUAUGAAUUAUGGUUUGGAAAGAAACCUAAGCUGUCGUUUCUAAAAGUUUGGGGAUGCGAAGCUUAUGUCAAGAAACUUCAACCUGAAAAGCUCAAACCCAAGUCGGAAAAAUGCGUAUUCAUAGGAUACCCUAAGGAAACUAUAGGGUAUACCUUCUACUUAAGAUCCGAAGGCAAGAUCUUUGUUGCCAAGAACGGAUGCUUUCUGGAAAAAGAGUUUCUCUCGAAAGAAGUAAGUGGGAGGAAAGUAGAACUCGAUGAAGUACUACCUCUUGAGCGGGAUAGUGACGCAGCACAGGAAACCGUUCCUGUGAUGCCCACACCAACUGAAGAGGAAAACCAUGAUAAUGAUCAAAGUACUUCGGAUCAAGUUACUGCUGAACUUCGUAGGUCCACAAGGACACGUUCCGCACCAGAGUGGUACGGCAACCCUGUCCUAGAAAUCAUGUUGUUAGACAACAAUGAACCUUCGAACUAUGAAGAAGCAAUGGCGGGCCCGGAUUCCAACAAAUGGCUUGAAGCCAUGAAAUCCGAGAUAGAAUCCAUGUAUGAAAACAAAGUAUGGACUUUGACAGACUUGCCCGAUGAUUGGCGAGCGAUAGAAAACAAAUGGAUCUUUAAGAAGAAGACGGACGCGGAUGGUAAUGUUACCAUCUAUAAAGCUCGACUUGUCGCUAAGGGUUAUCGACAGGUUCAAGGGAUUGACUACGACGAGACAUUCUCUCCCGUAGCGAAGCUAAAGUCCGUCCGAAUCAUGUUAGCAAUUGCCGCAUACUAUGAUUAUGAGAUAUGGCAGAUGGACGUCAAAACAGCAUUCCUUAACGGGCAUCUUAAGGAAGAACUGUAUAUGAUGCAGCCAGAAGGUUUUGUCGAUCCUCGGAACGCUAACAAAGUAUGCAAGCUCCAGCGAUCCAUUUAUGGACUGGUGCAAGCAUCUCGGAGUUGGAACAUUCGCUUUGAUGAGAUGAUCAAAGCGUUUGGGUUUAUGCAGACUUAUGGAGAAGCCUGCGUUUACAAGAAAGUGAGUGGGAGCUCUGUAGCAUUUCUCAUAUUAUAUGUAGAUGACAUACUCCUGAUGGGAAAUAAUAUAGAAUUUCUGGACAACAUUAAGGCCUACUUGAAUAAGUGUUUUUCAAUGAAGGACCUUGGAGAAGCUGCUUAUAUAUUAGGCAUCAAGAUCUAUAGAGAUAGAUCGAGACGCCUCAUAGGUCUUUCACAAAGCACAUACCUUGAUAAGAUUUUGAAGAGAUUCAGAAUGGAUCAGUCCAAGAUGGGGUUCUUGCCUAUGUUACAAGGUAUGAGACUGAGCUCAGCUCAGUCACCGACCACGGCAAAAGAUAAAGAAGAGAUGAGUGUCAUCCCCUAUGCUUCAGCCAUAGGAUCUAUUAUGUAUGCCAUGCUGUGUACCAGACCCGAUGUAAACCUUGCCGUAAGUUUGGUAGCAAGAUACCAAAGUAAUCCCGGCAAGGAACACUGGACAGCGGUCAAGAAUAUCCUGAAGUACCUGAAAAGGACAAAGGACAUGUUUCUCGUUUAUGGAGGAGACGAAGAGCUCGUCGUAAAGGGUUACGUCGACGCUAGCUUCGACUCAGAUCUGGAUGACUCUAAGUCACAAACCGGAUACGUGUAUAUGUUGAAUGGUGGAGCAGUAAGCUGGUGCAGCUGCAAGCAGAGCGUCGUGGUGGGAUCUACGUGUGAAGCGGAGUACAUGGCAGCCUCGGAGGCAGCACAUGAAGCGAUUUGUGUGAAGGAGUUCAUCACCGACCUAGGAGUCAUACCCAAUGCGUCGGGGCCGAUCAAACUCUUCUGUGACAACACUGGAGCUAUUGCCCUCGCAAAGGAGCCCAGGUUUCACAAGAUGACCAGGCACAUCAAGCGUCGUUUCAACUCCAUCCGUGAAAAUGUUCAAGAUGGAGACAUAGAGAUUUGCAAAGUGCACACGGAUCUGAAUGUCGCAGAUCCGCUGACUAAACCUCUCUCGCGUGCAAAACAUGAUCAACACCAGAACUCUAUGGGUGUUCGAUUCAUCACAAUGUAACUAGAUUAGUGACUCUAGUGCAAGUGGGAGACUGUUGGAAAUAUGCCCUAGAGGCAAUAAUAAAAGUAUUAUUAUAUUUCAUUGUUCAUGAUAAUUGUCUUUUAUUCAUGCUAUAACUGUAUUAUCCGGAAAUCGUAAUACACGUGUGAAUACUUAGACCACACAAUGUCCCUGGUAAGCCUCUAGUUGACCAGCUCGUUGUGAUCAACAGAUAGUCAUGGUUUCCUGACUAUGGACAUUGGAUGUCGUUGAUAACGGGAUCACAUCAUUAGGAGAAUGAUGUGAUGGACAAGACCCAAUCCUAAGCAUAGCAUAAAAGAUCGUGUAGUUCGUUUUGCUAGAGCUUUGCAAGUGUCAAGUAUCUCUUCCUUCGACCAUGAGAUAGUGUAACUCCCGGAUACCGUAAGAGUGCCUUGGGUGUACCAAACGUCACAACGUAACUGGGUGACUAUAAAGGUGCAUUACAGGUAUCUCCGAAAGUAGCUGUUGGGUUGACACGGAUCGAGACUGGGAUUUGUCACUCCGUAUGACGGAGAGGUAUCUCUGGGCCCACUCGGUAAUGCAUCAUCAUAUUGAGCUCAAUGUGACCAAGGUGUUGGACACGGGAUCAUGCAUUACGGUACGAGUAAAGUGACUUGCCGGUAACGAGACUGAACAAGGUAUUGGGAUACCGACGAUCGAGUCUCGGGCAAGUAACGUACCGAUUGACAAAGGGAAUUGCAUACAGGGUUUGAUCGAAUCCUCGACAUAGUGGUUCAUCCGAUGACAACAUCGAGGAGCAUGUGGGAGCCAUCAUGGGUAUCCAGAUCCCGCUGAUGGUUAUUGACUGAGAGAGUCUCGGUCAUGUCUGCAUGUCUCCCGAACCCGUAGGGUCUACACACUUAAGGUUCAGUUACGCUAGGGUUAUAGGGAUAUGUAUAUGCAGUAACCCGAAUGUUGUUCGGAGUCCCGGAUGAGAUCCCGGACGUCACGAGGAGUUCCGGAAUGGUCCGGAGGUAAAGAUUUAUAUAUGGGAAGUCAUAUUUCGGGCAUCGGGACAAGUUUCGGGGUUAUCGGUAUUGUACCGGGACCACCGGAAGGGUCCCGGGGGGCCACCGGGUGGGUCCACCUGUCCCGGGGGGCCACAUGGGCUGUGUGGGGGUGCGCCUUGGCCUAAUGGGCCAAGGGCACCAGCCCCACAUAGGCCCAUGCGCCUAGGGUUCAAGGGGGGCAAGAGUCCUAGGAGGGUAAGGCACCUCCUAGGUGCCUUGGGGGGAGGGAAAACCCCCCUUGGCCGCCGCACCCCCUAGGAGAUUUGAUCUCCUAGGGCCGGCCACCCCCCCUUGGCACCCCUAUAUAUAGUGGGGGAGAGGAGGGACUUCAUACCUGAACGCCCUGGCCUUUGGUUGCCUCCUUCUCCCUCCCCAACACCUCCUCCACCUCCAUAGUGCUUAGCGAAGCUCUGCCGGAGUACUGCAGCUCCAUCAACACCACGCCGUCGUGCUGCUGCUGGUGCCAUCUCCCUCAACCUCUCCUCCCUUCCUUGCUGGAUCAAGAAGGAGGAGACGUGGCUGUUCCGUACGUGUGUUGAACGCGGAGGUGCCGUCCGUUCGGCGCUGGUCAUCGGUGAUUUGGAUCACGUCGAGUACGACUACAUCAUCACCGUUCUUUUGAACGCUUCCGCUCGCGAUCUACAAAGGUAUGUAGAUGCAUCUAAUCACUCGUUGCUAGAUGAACUCCUAGAUGAUCUUGGUGAAACGAGUAGGAAAUUUUUUGUUUUCUGCAACGUUCCCCAACAGUGGCAUCAUGAGCUAGGUCUAUGCGUAGUUCUUCUUGCGCGAGUAGAACACAAUUUGUUGUGGGCGUAGAUUUGUCAACUUUCUUGCCAUUACUAGUCCUUUCUUGCUUCAGCGGUAUUGUGGGAUGAAGCGGCCCGGACCAACCUUACACGUACGCUUACGUGAGACCGGUUCCACCGACUAACAUGCACUAGAUGCAUAAGGUGGCUGGCGGGUGUCUGUCUCUCCUACUUUAGUUGGAGCGGAAUCGAUGAACAGGGUCCUUAUGAAGGGUAAAUAGAAGUUGACAAAUCACGUUGUGGCUUUAACGUAGGUAAGAAAACGUUCUUGCUAGAACCCUAAUUCAGCCACGUAAAACUUGCAACAACAAUUAGAGGACGUCUAACUUGUUUUUGCAGCAAGUGGUUUGUGAUAUGAUAUGGCCAAAGUUGUGAUGAAUGAUGAAUGAUCUAUAUGUGAUGUAUGAGAUGUUCAUGCUAUUGUAAUAGGAUUCACGACUUGCAUGUCGAUGAGUAUGACAACCGGCAGGAGCCAUAGGAGUUGUCUUUAUUCUUUUAUAUGACCUGCGUGUCAUCAAGAAACGCCAUGUAAAUUACUUUAAUUUAUUGCUAAACGUGUUAGCCAUAGUAGUAGAAGUAAUAGUUGGCGAGCAACUUCAUGGAGACACGAUGAUGGAGAUCAUGAUGAUGGAGAUCAUGGUGUCAAGCCGGUGACAAGAUGAUCAUGGAGCCCCAAGAUGGAGAUCAAAGGAGCUAUGUGAUAUUGGCCAUAUCAUGUCACGUUUAUUAUUUGAUUGCAUGUGAUGUUUAUCAUGUUUUGCAUCUUGUUUACUUAGAACGACGGUAGUAAAUAAGAUGAUCCCUCACAAUAAAUUCAAGAAGUGUUCCCCCUAACUGUGCACCGUUGCGUUUCGCUGUUUCAAAACACCACGUGAUGAUCGGGUGUUUUAUUCAGACGUUCACAUACAACGGGUGUAAGACAGAUUUACACAUGCAAACACUUAGGUUGACUUGACGAGCCUAGCAUGUACAGACAUGGCCUCGGAACACAGAAGACCGAAAGGUCGAGCAUGAGUCGUAUAGAAGAUACGAUCAACAUGAAGAUGUUCACCGAUGUUGACUAGUCCGUCUCACGUGAUGAUCGGACACGGUCUAGUUUAACUCGGAUCAUGUAAUACUUAGAUGAUAGAGGGAUGUCUAAUCUAAGUGGGAGUUCACUAAUAAUUUGAUUAGUUGAACUUAAUUAUCAUGAACUUAGUCUAAAUAUUUUUACAAUAUGUCUUGUAGAUCAAAUGGCCAACGUAGUCCUCAACUUCAACGCGUUCCUAGAGAAAACUAAGCUGAAAGACGAUGGCAGCAACUAUACGGACUGGGUCCGGAACCUGAGGAUCAUCCUCAUAGCUGCCAAGAAAGAUUAUGUCCUACAAGCACCGCUUGGUGACGCACCCGUUCUCCCUGCAGAACAAGAUGUUAUGAACGCUUGGCAGGCACGUUUCGAUGACUACUCCCUCGUUCAGUGCGGCAUGCUUUACAGCCUAGAGCCGGGGCUCCAAAAGCGUUUUGAGAGACAUGGAGCAUAUGAGAUGUUCGAAGAGCUGAAAAUGGUUUUCCAAGCUCAUGCCCGGGUCGAGAGAUAUGAAGUCUCCGACAAAUUCUUCAGCUGUAAGAUGGAGGAAAACAAUUCUGUCAGUGAGCACAUACUCACUAUGUCUGGGUUGCAUAACCGCUUGACUCAGCUGGGAGUUAAUCUCCCGGAUGAUGCGGUCAUUGACAGAAUCCUCCAGUCGCUUCCACCAAGCUACAAGAGCUUUGUGAUGAACUUCAAUAUGCAGGGGAUGGAAAAGACCAUUCCUGAAGUAUUUGCUAUGCUAAAAUCAGCAGAGGUAGAAGUCAGGAAGGAACAUCAAGUGUUGAUGGUCAAUAAAACCACUAAGUUCAAGAAAGGCAAGGGUAAAAAGAACUUCAAGAAGGACGGCAAGGAGGUUGCCGCGCUCGGCAAGCAAGCUGCCGGGAAGAAGCCAAAGAAUGGACCCAAGCCCGAGACUGAGUGCUUUUAUUGCAAGGGAGCGGUCACUGGAAGCGGAACUGCCCUAAGUACUUAGCGGAUAAGAAGGCCGGCAAAACAAAAGGUAUAUGUGAUAUACAUGUAAUUGAUGUGUACCUUACUAGUGCCCGUAGUGGCUCCUGGGUAUUUGAUACCGGUGCAGUUGCUCACAUUUGUAACUCAAAGCUGUUGGAAAUAUGCCCUAGAGGCAAUAAUAAAAGCAUUAUUAUUAUAUUUCCUUGUUCAUGAUAAUUGUCUUUAUUCAUGCUAUAAUUGUGUUAUCCGGAAAUCGUAAUGCAUGUGUGAAUAACAGACACCAACAUGUCCCUAGUGAGCCUCUAGUUGACUAGCUCGUUGAUCAACAGAUAGUCAUGGUUUCCUGACUAUGGACACUGGAUGUCAUUGAUAACGAGAUCACAUCAUUGGGAGAAUGAUGUGAUGGACGAGACCCAAUCCUAAACAUAGCACAAGAUCGUAUAGUUCGUUUGCUAGAGUUUUGCAAUGUCAAAGUAUCUUUUCCUUAGACCAUGAGAUCGUGUAACUCCCGGAUACCGUAGGAGUGCUUUGGGUAUGCCAAACGUCACAACGUAACUGGGUGACUAUAAAGGUAGACUACGGGUAUCUCUGAAAGUGUCUGUUGGGUGACAUGGAUCAAGACUGGGAUUUGUCACUCCGUAUGAUGGAGAGGUAUCACUGGGCCCACUCGGUAAUGCAUCAUCAUAAUGAGCUCAGAGUGACCAAGUGUCUGGUCACGGGAUCAUGCAUUACGGUACGAGUAAAGUGACUUGCCGGUAACGAGAUUGAACGAGGUAUUGGGAUACCGACGAUCGAAUCUCGGGCAAGUAACAUAUCGAUAGACAAAGGGAAUAGCGUACGGGGUUGAUUGAAUCCUCGACAUCGUGGUUCAUCCGAUGAGAUCAUCGUGGAGCAUGUGGGAGCCAACAUGGGUAUCCAGAUCCCGCUGUUGGUUAUUGACCGGAGAGUCGUCUCGGUCAUGUCUGCUUGUCUCCCGAACCCGUAGGGUCUACACACUUAAGGUUCGGUUACGCUAGGGUUGUAGGGAUAUAUAUAUGCAGUAACCCGAAUGUUGUUCGGAGUCCCGGAUGAGAUCCCGGACGUCACGAGGAGUUCCGGAAUGGUCCGGAGGUAAAGAUUUAUAUAUGGGAAGUCCUGUUUCGGGCAUCGGGACAAGUUUCGGGGUUAUCGGUAUUGUACCGGGACCACCGGAAGGGUCCCGGGGGUCCACCGGGUGGGUCCACCUGUCCCGGGGGGCCACAUGGGCUGUAGGGGGGUGCGCCUUGGCCUAAUGGGCCAAGGGCACCAGCCCCACAUAGGCCCAUGCGCCUACGGUUUAAGGGGGCAAGAGUCCUAGGAGGGUAAGGCACCUCCUAGGUGCCUUGGGGGGAGGAAAACCCCCCUUGGCCGCCGCACCCCCUAGGAGAUUGGAUCUCCUAGGGCCGGCCACCCCCCCUUGGCACCCCUAUAUAUAGUGGGGGAGAGGAGGGACUUCAUACCUGAACGCCCUGGCCUUUGGUUGCCUCCUUCUCCCUCCCCAACACCUCCUCCACCUCCAUAGUGCUUAGCGAAGCUCUGCCGGAGUACUGCAGCUCCAUCAACACCACGCCGUCGUGCUGCUGCUGGUGCCAUCUCCCUCAACCUCUCCUCCCUUCCUUGCUGGAUCAAGAAGGAGGAGACGUGGCUGUUCCGUACGUGUGUUGAACGCGGAGGUGCCGUCCGUUUGGCGCUGGUUUGGUGAUUUGGAUCACGUCGAGUACGACUACAUCAUCACCUUGCAAGCUUCCGCACGCGAUCUACAAGUGGUAUGUAGAUGCAAACUCUCUCCCUAAACUCGUUGCUUAGAUGAACUCAUAGAUGGAUCUUGGUGAAACCGUAGGAAAAUUUUUAAUUUUCUGCAACGUUCCCCAACACUCUUAGCGCUAGAACCACGCCUUCCAACCUCAACACUCCAAGAUGGCGGGUCUCGCUGCCGCUUCACCAGGAUCCAUCCUCGGCGACCCUAACUGGUCCACUGACACGGGGGCUACCGAUCAUAUCACGUCGCAUCUGGACCGUCUCACUGUGAGGGAAAAGUACCCUGGACGGGACCACAUCCACACUGCCGACGGAUCAGGUUUGCACAUAGCUCAUCAUGGUCAUGCCCUUCUUCCUACACCGUCUGUCAAUCUUAAACUUCGCAACCUAUUACAUGUUCCCAAUGCCGACAAGAACCUUCUUUCUGUUAGUUGUCUUGCCGUUGACAAUCAUGCUUAUCUAAAAUAUUAUCCUACUCAUUUUCUUAUGAAGGAUUUGACAACCAAGAAGGUUCUUCUUCACGGCAGAUGUGAAAAUGGGCUCUAUCCCAUUCGGCCUUCACGUUCUCAUGUCUUGUCUUCAGUUAGGCUCUCUGCUGAAGAUUGACAUGCUAGACUCGGCCACCCGUCCACACAAGUUGUUCAGCAUGUUUUGGCGUCCAAUAAAUUAGCAUCAUCGAGUCGGGCUUUGACCCAUGUGUGUAAUGCUUGUCAACAUGGCAAAGCACAUCAGCUACCUUUUCCUAUAUCUUCGAACGUUUCCUCGUUUUUGUUGGAACUUAUUUUCUCAGAUGUGUGGGGAGCUGCCAAAACCUCCUCUGGUGGGUUCCAGCACUAUGUUUCAUUUAUUGAUGAUUAUAGUAAAUUUGUGUGGAUUUAUCUUCUCAAACGAAAAUGUGAUGUGUUUGAUGUCUUUCGUGAUUUUCUUGCCCAUGUUUAACGCCUCCUAUCUCGUAAAAUCCUGUGUGUUUAAUCAGACUGGGUGGGGAAUACGAAAAACUUAGCAACACAUUUUUUUCGGCAACUUGGCAUUGCUCACCACGUCUCUUGUACACACACAUCAACAGAAUGGCUUGGCCGAAAGGAAGCAUCGUCACAUUGUUGACAUGGGUCUCUCCUUAUUAUCGCAUGUGUCUAUGCCCCUCCGUUUUAGGGACGAGGCGUACUUGUCCGCAUGCUACCUUAUCAACCGACUACCUAGCCGCGUCAAUAUGAGUCCCAUGGAAAAACUGUUUUCCACCAAGCCUGACUACGUAUCUCUUCGCAUGUUCUGGAGUGCAUGUUGGCCUAAAUUGCGCUCGUAUAACACUAAGAAACUUGCGUUUAGAUCACAAUAGUGUGUGUUUGUCGGGUACAUCAUUCGUCACAAAGGAUACAAAUGUCUUCACAUACNNNNNNNNNNNNNNNNNNNNNNNNNNNNNNNNNNNNNNNNNNNNNNNNNNNNNNNNNNNNNNNNNNNNNNNNNNNNNNNNNNNNNNNNNNNNNNNNNNNNNNNNNNNNNNNNNNNNNNNNNNNNNNNNNNNNNNNNNNNNNNNNNNNNNNNNNNNNNNNNNNNNNNNNNNNNNNNNNNNNNNNNNNNNNNNNNNNNNNNNNNNNNNNNNNNNNNNNNNNNNNNNNNNNNNNNNNNNNNNNNNNNNNNNNNNNNNNNNNNNNNNNNNNNNNNNNNNNNNNNNNNNNNNNNNNNNNNNNNNNNNNNNNNNNNNNNNNNNNNNNNGAUGUUAUCUUUGAUGAACAUUUUUUUCCUUUUACCAAUGACCAACCCUCUUCAAUACCACCUCACGUUGCUGAACAUGCAAUCCUUUUAUUUCCACAUGACCACAUGAACUAUGGCGCAUCUGUUUCUCGAACUAAUCUGGAUGCAGGUACCGAUUCGGUGCAGAAAAUCCCAUCUCCGGACUCCCAGGCAGAUCAUGUCUCCCAAUCCGCCGCCGCAUCUGCCUAGGAUCACGCGCCGCCUGGAGACAGCGACGUGGAGGCAGCUGACCACGUGACGAUAGGUGACAGCGCGCCAGGUGACUGCGCUGGGCCCGGGUCUCCGCCACCCACCAAUCCCGUGUCCCCUGAGGGCGAGCGGACCGGGGCGUCUCCCGCGUCGGCUCCUGCAUGUGCGCGUCCGACCCACGUUGUGGUGGGGCCCACCCUUGCUCGGGCCGCUGUGUCUCCCGAUUCGCCCCAGGCUGUUGUCCACUUGGCGCCCAUAGAGCGGGCCGUUGCUGCUGGCGGCGCUGGAUCCCAGAUGGAUCGGGCGGCCGCGUCGUCUUCCUCGCCCGACACCGGAUCCAGGGGGAUUCGCCCGCGUGCUUGUCUGCAUGCGUCCCGCCCGUAUCCUCUAUGGCCACCGGAUCUUCUGCUCCGCCUGUGCAUGCAAUGACGACGCGCACACAUGAUCACACUCACAAACCGCUGUAGCACACUGAUGGUACUGUCACGUAUGAUCCGUCCCGUCGUGCAUUCUUGGCCAUGCGGGAACCGUCUGAUCAUCGUGAAGCGGUCUCAUCUCCAGAGUGGCGUCUGGCAAUGCAACUUGAGCUCGAUGCUCUCCGACAGAAUGGUACCUGGACUUUGGUACCUCCUCCUCCUUGUGUCAACGUCAUUGAUUGCAAAUGGGUGUUCAAGAUCAAACUCAAACUAGAUGGAACUGUUGAUCGUUACAAGGCACGUUUGGUCGCAAAGGGGUUCAAAUAACGCUAUAGCUUGGACUAUGACGAUAUGUUCAGUCCGGUCGUUAAACCUGUCACUGUGCGACUGGUUCUCUCUAUUACAGUUUCUCGUGGAUGGUGUUUGCGAGAGUUGGAUGUUCAAAAUGCUUUCCUUCAUGGCAUUCUCCAAGAAGAAGUAUACAUGCGCCAACCUCCUGGUUUUGUGAACCCCUCGGUGCCUCAUCAUUUGUGCAAACUUCGCAAGGCUCUCUAUGGGCUCAAAUAGGCUCCUCGAGCGUGGUAUUCUCGGCUGAGUUCUAGGCUCCAACAACUUGGUUUUAUAGCAUCCAAAGCUGACAGGUCCCUCUUUGUCUACAACCGGAGUGGUGUUACUAUUUUCAUGCUUGUGUAUGUAGACGACAUUAUUGUGGCCAGCUCCUCUCCUGCUGCUACUACCAAGUUACUUGCUGAUCUCCAAGCCUCCUUUGCACUCAAGGAUCUCGGUUGUCUGCAUUAUUUUCUUGGAGUCCAUGUGGAGUCAUCGCCAGGGGGAAUUGUUCUAUCUCAGCAGAAGUAUAUCAGCGAUAUUCUUCAUCGUGCGAACAUGGAGAAUUGCAAAGUCUCUACCACGCUGAUGUCCUCAAGUGAGAAAAUUAGCAAGGAUAGUGGAACACCACUUUCUCAGGAUGAUAGCACCAAGUAUCGCAGCUUGGUUGGAGCUCUCCAGUAUCUAACACUCACGAGGCCAGACAUUUCUUUUGCAGUUAACCGUGUUUGUCAGUUCCUUCAUGCACCUACGACUGCACACUUUUCAGCUGCAAAGAGGAUUUUGAGAUACUUGAAGUAUACUCACAAUAUGGUCUUGUCUAUUUGAAAGUCACCCUCCAUGCUGUUAAGCUGUUUUUCAGAUGUAGACUGGGCUGGAUGUAGUGAUGAUCGCCGAUCCACAGGUGGCUUUGCAGUUUUUCUUGGACCUAACCUAAUCUAGGUCAAGAAUGGAGUCUGAAUAUAAGACACUUGCGAAUGGAACAGCUGAGGUCAUAUAGUCCUGUUUUGUGGUGUGACAAUCUAGGAGCCACUUAUUUAUCUGCGAAUCCGGUAUUCCAUGCCAGAACCAAGCACAUAGAAGUGGACUUCCACUUUGUUCGUGAACGAGUUGCAGCCAAGGCACUUGAUGUUCGAUUCAUAUCUUCCAAGGAGCAAGUUGCAGAUAUAUUCACAAAGCCUCUAGCUGAGGUGCCGUUUGUUUUAAAUAGGCACAAUCUGAAUCUUUGUGUAGGAAGUUCAGAUUGAGGGGGAAUGUUAAACUGUAUAGUUAUCAGAUACGGUUAGUAUCUAGGAUUGUAGUUAUCAUUGUAUAACAACCUGUACUUAUCCUCCUGUAAACCCUAGCGGCAGCCCUAGAGGCGCCCUAUAUAAUGAUCCUGAGACCACCGCAUUAGGUGUGUCGAUCCAAUCUCUUCUCUCAUUGUUUCACAAGGUGUCCGUGGGUUGUAUGAAAUAAAACCAUAAAUUUACACACUAUUGUAUCGAUUGAGAACUCAAGAGCAAAGCCCGUUUCCAACCUCAUCUCCGCAAUACUGUACACUGAUUAUACUAUCGAUUGAGCUUCAAGGUAGUAUGAUAGUAUAAUCAGUGUACAGUAUUGUCCAAGACCGAACCAAACUUGUUCAUAUAGCAGUAAAAAUCUCUUGUGAUCAACAACAAAACUAAUGCUAAUAUUCAGGAUUUCAAACUUGAAGCAUUUGGAGAUCGACCAACAAAAAAAACUGAGCGGCGGUGUCAAAAGUAAUUGUUGACCUUUGUCAAAUUGACUGCAUGCUUUUAAAUCAAGAUCAUGCAACUUUACAAGACUUGCAUCUCAAUAAAACCAUAUCAGCUGCACAUGCAGAUGAGAGAAGUGGGAAAUACUCUAUUCCAUUCAAGGGUUGUAUGUCAAUUAUUAAAACACAAGCACAUUAUAAGUCACAAACCUCCAACGCGCAGAUAAUUUCGGAAAUGCCUAAACCUCAGAUAAUUUGGGAAAGGAGGGUGGCUACAGUCCCCUUGGCUGAUAUACAUAGGUCUAGCUGUAACAUCUUUGGGCAAAGCAUCAUUUACAACUGGUAACCACAGAAUAUGUAUUUAGCGCUAUUACAGAAGAAAAGAAAAGAAAAGGAUUAAAAAGGGAAUGCCGCCUUCAUAGGUCACAAACCUCGGCUUGUCAACAUCUUCUUGUGAAUGUACACAUAUUUGAAAUACUUGAAGCAGCUAGGAUAAUGUUCUUAAAAAUGGGUUGCUUCAGAGAUAAGAAACUAGUAAUGCAGUCAGACCAAAAGGAAAUUCAAGGGCACAAAAUACUUCCAGCAGGCCUUUGCAAAUUGGCAAUUAAUUAAGAAAAGGUGAUGUAUUGACUCAAGAGCCUGGACUCCACACACGACGCAGAAGUUUAAUUCAAGGACGGGGAAGUAAGAAUAAGACCACGUACGUACUAACAAAAGAGGGGAUCAAGGAGGAGCUGUAAAAUCCAAAUGAAAAUAUCAAUACAUAAUGAACAGCACCAUUCCGUUGAAAUACCACAAGUCGCUGCUAGUAAGAUUACAUAUGCCGGCUCUCUUGGACAACAAAACCUAAGUCAGGAUUCGACUACGCACGAUUAAUUUGUUGUGUUUGACGUUCCUCUUCCUCUCUUUUUUUUUUAUGAAGAAUCACAGAGUGUUUUAUUCCAGGAUGAUAGAGUUACAAUCUUCAGCGACUAAUUUGCUAAUGCAUGGGGUGGAUGGCCCAGCCAACCUGCUGUGCUAUCACCGACACUAUGAAAUCAAUCUUCCAAACUGCAGAAUUGUAAAGUACAGCUCAGACCUACAGGGCAGGACCGGCUAGCUAAACGGCCACGCUGGAUGAUAUGUUAUAAGUUCCCCGCGGCCGCGCCAUGAACUCCAAAUCUGGCGAAACCACCUACCGUCGCACAAGGCGCCGUCGGUCGUGGAACACGCGGUCUGCAGGUCACAUCGGUCCAGGCCUUGUUGGGUUCACGCGGUCCAGAUGACAUGCACGCCCGCCAAGCAAUUGAGAAAGAGAGAGCCAUGCACGCACGCGAAGCACGCUGCCCUGUGACAACGAGGAUGAUCAUGCAUGCAUGUCAGAGAGCAGAGAGCAGAGACGUCUGUCACUUGUGUAGAUGGUAGGUUCUGCUGGUUGGCGGUCACGCUAUGCAGACCGCGUGUUCCACGACCGGGCCAAAUUUCGUGUUCGGACCCUUUUUCGAUACAAACUCAAGAUCUGACCCCGGUUCCGAAAAUUUUCGAGAUCUGACCAUUCCGCUACCGUCAUGGGCUCUGACAGUAUGGUUAGACAUGCUACCGCCAGGGUCCAUGGCGGUAGGGUGCGACGGAGGGCGACGGGGGGCAACGGCCGCCGUUUGCUCGAGCUGACGUGGACAAGUAGCCUACCGCCAGGGACCAUGGCGGUAGCAUGUUAGACCUUACCGCCUGACCCCUUGGCGGUAAGGUGUGGCUGGAGUUUUGCCUCCCAAGUUUCUGUAACGAAAUAUCGAGGUGCCCUGGCGGUAGGUACGUUCGUCCUACCGUCAGGGUCCUUGGCGGUAGGGUCCUGUGUUCUAUGGUUUAUAAGUUUAUUUUUUGCUUUUUUUCAAAAACAAUAUAGGCCCUAAAAUAUGAGCUCACAUUUUUUUAGUGAUUGUUUCUUUUGUAAAAUAUGAAUCACAAAGAAAGCCAACAAACGGUUUCACAUAGUUUGUUUUGUUACAAGUUUCACAUCACAAAUAGUAAAAUAUGAGCUCACAUAAUGAUGAUGGUUCCACAUAGCAAUUAUCAAACAGUUUACAGAUAAUAGAUUCAUAAGUAGGGAAUAGCAAAUAGCAAACUUGUCCACAUAGUUUGACAAGCCCUACAAAAGCAGAGAUAUAUAUUCAAUCGACAUGUUUAUGGGGCGGACAAAUCUCCCCUCCCCNNNNNNNNNNNNNNNNNNNNNNNNNNNNNNNNNNNNNNNNNNNNNNNNNNNNNNNNNNNNNNNNNNNNNNNNNNNNNNNNNNNNNNNNNNNNNNNNNNNNNNNNNNNNNNNNNNNNNNNNNNNNNNNNNNNNNNNNNNNNNNNNNNNNNNNNNNNNNNNNNNNNNNNNNNNNNNNNNNNNNNNNNNNNNNNNNNNNNNNNNNNNNNNNNNNNNNNNNNNNNNNNNNNNNNNNNNNNNNNNNNNNNNNNNNNNNNNNNNNNNNNNNNNNNNNNNNNNNNNNNNNNNNNNNNNNNNNNNNNNNNNNNNNNNNNNNNNNNNNNNNNNNNNCAGGCGGAGGCGGAACGCUGGUCGGCAUCCAACCGUUCAAGCAGUCCCACCUUGGCUUGCCCGCUGGAGGUUUCGCCUCAGCCCUUGCCCAGUUGAUGAUAUCGAAGCUGAUGCACUUGGAGGCGGCAUCCUGGCUCUCUCCUCCUCAUUGCUCUCGAAGUAGAUCCUCCGGCCCAAAUUGCGCAGCUCGACACUACUAGGAAAAGGCAUGCUAGUGGCGCACCAGUUUUGCCUACUAAUGGCGCACUACUGGUGCGCCACUAGCAUCACGCCAUUAGAAUUAAAUUCUAAUGACGCACCACUGGUGCGCCAUUAGUAUCUGGUGUUCUAAUGGCGCACCAAGCAGUGCGCCAUUAGUAUAGCCCACAGUGCGCCAUUAGAAUGCCUCCCGGGGGGCCAUAUGUACCCAUGUGCUUUGGCUUACUAAUGGCGCACCAGUGGGUGAUGCGCCAUUAGUGUGAUUAUCACAGUGCGCCAUUAGUGUCUUGUGUGGUGCGCCAUUAGUAUUAAUAUUAGGUUUUUUUGGGGGUUUUUUUUUCUAAUUUUUUCACAGGUUACAAAAUAUAUUAUUUGACAGAAUAUAGAAAGCACCACACAGCAAUAGCAGAUUCAUCGAAUACAAUAGAAGGCAAGUCUCCGAAUACAAUUCAUCAUAUUAGUCUCCGAAUACAAUUCAUCAUAUUAGUCUCCGAAUACAAAAGACCGAACGAAGAUAGAACAUUACAAGUCUCGUAGACCGCGAGUAGCGAGUUUGUCUUCACGUUACAAGUCGAUAUCGAUCAUCUAAACUACCAUCCCAUAGAAGAGAGCUGCGGUCAUCACGAUGAGCAUCAUCGCGAUGAAACUGGUCUUCACCCGGUUCCUCCAACGCUCCCUCCUCUCUCCCGCUAGAUAGCAGGCGUAUCUAGAUUCCGCCUCUACCCUAGUGGUUUACCCUUUGUAACUGUUACCGCUGAAACAGUGAACCUGUCUCCGACACUCCUCCCAGUCGCCGUAGACUCCGGGAACCUUACCCUUGUACACGACAUACGACGGCAUCUCUAUGCACAAGCCAAACAACAGACAAUACAUAAGCAAUAUAUAAGUAUGCAACAAAAGGAUCGAAAGAGAAAAGCAAAACAUUAAUAGCACGAUUCAUGGUCCUACUAAUAAAUAGCAUCAAUUACAUCUAAGUUAAACGACUGUCCAAACCAAAGAGACAUACAAGUUCAUUAAAGUUUAAUUACAACAUGAGCUAAUUGAUGUUUCAGAACUACAAAUAGCAUCACUACUUUCGACUCGACUCAUGGGACCGGAGCGUGGAUGAAGCCGCCGUCUUUCGUGAUGGUCAUGAAGUCGCGGGCGUUGUGAGCCUGCAUUUGAAGUGUUGUGUCUAUCUCACUGUUGGAUGGUUGCUCUUUGAGGUAGAACUGUCCCGAGGUACGAAGGACAUCUUGAUGGAUGAUUUCUGCAAACUCCGACGGGAUGCGAAAGAAUUCUUGUCGGAGGUCUGCGUCCUGGAUUGCCGCCAAGCUUGUGGCCCAAUCUUUGACAUUAUUUGCUAGCAGAAGGUGAUUAUGGUCCCGUACGAUCGCCCUCGUGUGAUGGAGGGCGUAGUAGGCAUCCUUCUGACCGCCAGGCGGCUGCUUGACGCAGGGGAACGUCGUAUUGUGGAUGAACACGUGCCUGACGUACCUACGAACUUUCCUCUUAAAGGUGCCUCCAGAUGUGGCGUAGCCGGGGAGAGCAUCAUCAAGAACUUUCUUGAUAUUUGUGUAGUGUAUUUUGGAGUCACGGUCUGCGUCGAAAUACGUGACCGUGGAAUAUUUCGGGCUUAAGAGGAUGAGUGUGCAAUGUGUGUCACUGCACAGAACACGGAAUGUUAGAAAAAAAAGAGAACGAUCGAAAUCUAAGAAAUCAUAUGUUACGGGGCGGUGAGGGGAUGACUUACUCGGGAAAGUAAGGGACGAGGAAGUUAUCCUUAUCUGGGUUUGCCAGAAUGACGCCUUCGAGGUGUGAACUCACGACUUGCCGGUCCCCAGCGCUGCCCAAGAUCUUGGCACGCAUGUAGAAGGGGUCGACUAUCACGAUGUCCGGUGUCUUGUCUCGAAUGAUCCGCAUCUCCAUAUUCAGCGAAAACAGCCGAACGAAGCUAUAGUGCAGCGGAUGGAGAUUAAACAUAGCAAAGAUGUCAUCAAACCGCAGGAAGAUCGUACCCCCGAUGGCGCCAUCCACAAAGCCCUUGCCCUCUGGCACCUUGGCCAUGAAAACCGGGUAUGCCACAUCAUUCUGGGAGAGACGCAUCUUCUCCAAAGAAAGAACACUGUCAUGCAGACUCCGCAUAGCACCGGGUGCAGCAUUGAGCAUAUUUGUCGGUAGCAUCGCCCUACCCGCCACAUGCACCCUCCUCGAGAUAUCCUGAGGUGAAGGUGGCCCGUCCUGAGCACGGAUCGUACUCGAUGCCGGCUAGCUUGCACCGGCGCCCUUAGCAGUCUUUCGUUUCCGUCCCUUCUUCUUGAUCUGCUGUAAUGGGACCGAUUUCUGCUCACAGGCCGCCUUCUUGAGCGUGUUGGGGCUGAUAAUAUUUCGCACCUCAGCUAUCUGAGGCUCGGUGAAGGCGGGAGCUGGAGGCGUCUCCUGAGAACUGAAAGCCAGAUGACGCCUGUUGCAAUUGGAUUUCUCCAUUGUACCAGCUAGAUCGCGGUCGUAUUGGUUGGGUUCUUGAGAAGGAGGCUCGCCGAACUCGUCACCGUACCCUUGUUCGGCAAAGUACUUAUCAAUGUUGGUAAAUGUACCGUCGUCGUUGUCGUCGUCGUCCGAAUCCUGUGCCAUAUGCAUGUCCGGAUCCUGUGCCAUAGGGAUGUCCAGCAUGUUCGAUAGUGUUGCGGCGUUCUUGCCAUGGCGCGGCGCCGGCAUGACCGGCGGUCUUGUUUGUAGGGUGGUGUCCCCCGCCCCCAAACGAAUCUAGAUCUUCGGCCAAAGCAGGGGCCAACUUAGGCAGGCGCUGAGGGUCAUCAGAUCUUCUUCGUCAGCCCCGGCGGGUUGAAUCGAAGGUAACAACUCGUCGCAGCCUGGCAGCACCCGAACCAGUUGAACCCUAUACACGAUGGGUGGCAUCGGUUUACCAUGGAACACGGGGUUGCCCGGUUGAACGAUUUUGCCCUUGGCGACAUCGACCAACUCGUCGUUCACGAAGUGCAGGAGAGUGCACGAAACAUCGGCGACGCCCUGCGAAAACAUGUAGGGCGUCAGGGAUGCCCAGUCAAAGGCAAAAGGAGAUGAAGUCCUCGACCGAGAGGCUUAAUUAGUUACCGUGAUGAUGGCUUCGAGCUCGGCUAAUGUCGAGGCACUGCCAACGGCGGGCGUGCAACGGACGGAGGGGCCGCUUGCUGGCGAGGUGCCGGCCGGCAUACACCCGGGUGCAUUAAGCUCCAAUGCCCGUGCCGGCACCGGAGACACCAAUACCGCCGCCGCCGAUGACACCAAUGGCGCCGCCGGAGACACCAAUGGCGCCGCUUGCACAUUGUGCGAGUUGCUGGCCGUGAAGCUGGGAAUCAGGGGCGGCCCCUGUUGGCCACCCGCAAUCCACGUCGUCAGCCCAUGAAUCAAGGUAGGCAUAAUGUCGGUGAGCGUCGUUCCCAGUUGUUGUUGCACUUGCUCUUGGAUAAUCUCCGGAAUCCGCGCCACUUGUGCCUUGAGUUCUUCAACCUCGCGCGACUGGCUUUCCGAGCUGGUCUUUUUCUCCUUUCACCCACCAGCGGUAUAGUAUGAGGACCAUUUUGUGGACAAGCCUUUGCCGGCCACACGACCAGCUGACAACGGCUUACUGAGCUUAUCCUUGUUUUUCAUUACAUUCAACGCCCUAUUUAGAGUGUUGUCCCAAGCAGGGGUGCUCUGAGACGACCCCGCGCUACUGCUUUCAGUCUCCUUCGCCAGAACAAGCUCAAGCGCCCUGGUCUUCGGAUCCGUGGUAAGCUCCUUUGUUAUCAGGUCCUCCUUGUACCGGGCCCUGACAAAGUUCCUGGCCUGCUUGUCACUGCUGUAUUUCUCGAAGCGGGGCGGUAGGCCUUGCUCGGCAUGCUCCGCGUCCUCCUUGUCCCAUAUAGGCUCCGCCACUCUGUAACCGCCGGGACCAAGUUUGUGUUCCCCUAAGUUCAACUCCUGCAUUUCUUUCCCCCACUGACUUGAUUCGGAGGUUGCACUGCUCUCACACUUGAUCUUGAACUCCUUAUAGUCAUCUUCACUGAUCGAAGAAUUUUUCGCCUUGAUCUUCUCAUAACUAUCACCUUUCUCAAUCAUUCUCUUCACCUCGCUUCUCCAAGUAGACAGGGUCGUGCUCAUCCUCGUGAGGGCGGCACUGUUCACUUUAUUCCCUGAGAGGCGUGUGUUUUCAAAUUCAGCGGGGAACUUGUAUCAUUUGUGCAGCUUCGUGAAGAGGAGGUUGCGCAAAUUCCCUCGGUACUUAUGCCUAAGGUUCUCGGUGUUGAUCGAGAUAGUGCUCCGGAGAAUGCACCCGAGCUGAACCGAGUACCCCUUGACUAUAUGUUUGGGCUCCGUUGGAUGCCCGUCGGAGUCCACUUGAGUAAAUUCCUCCUUGACGGUGUGGAGCGUAUUCGGGCGCCGGUCCUUCCGUUGCUCUUUAGUUGGCUGCCAUCUGUGCGUGCGCUGCCAUCAUCAGUGGUGGCAUCCUCGGCGGCACCAUCAGUGGUGUCAUCCCCGACGCCACUAGGGGUUGUGUAGUCAGGAUCGGUGUCUUCCAUGGCGUCCUCAUAGCGGUGAGGUUGUUCCUCCAUCUCCUAGGACAGCUCCCAGAAUUGCUUGCCGCCCGAACCGCCGGCCUCAUCAUUGUUGGCCAUGUUUCGCUAAAUAGGAAAAAAGUUUGGUCAAAAAGUUGGUUAUUGUCAAGGAACAAGAUCAUGGUCUCAUCAUUUAGGGUUUGUCGACACUGAGGCAUCCGAAAAGCUAAGUUUUAUCAUUUAGGUUUUGUCAACGCCGAGGCACCCUAAAAGCCUAAGCGUACAUCAUUUAGGUUCUCAUCGACACCGGGGCACCCUAUAGAAGCCAAGGUUUCAUCAUUUAGGGUUUGUCGACGCCGAGGCACCCUAAAUGCUAAGUUAAGUUUUCAUCAUUUAGGGUUUAUCGAUGCCGAGGCACCCUAGGUUGGGCCUAAUCACUUGGCACUAAUCACUUGGCUCUAUUGCCACCUAUGUUGGGUUUAUCAUCUAGGGUUUAUCGAUGCUAAGGAGAAUUCUAAGUUGGGCCUAAUCACAUGGCUCUGUUGCCACCUAUGAUUUAAUGCAGCAAGAAUGGCGGGGCAGUUGAUCCUACUUAACUAAGUACUAAGAUACCACGGCCCAUGCAUUAGUCGCAAGUACCCCAUAUGUCCUAUUUUUAGCAAAGUCAUGCUAAACUUCACGGAAAAUUUCAGCAUGACCUUUGCUGAAAGUAGGACAUAUGGAGUACCCGAAUUUGCCGGAACGGAAGUUAAUCGACAUUCCGGAAAACUCAAGGGCCUCUCGGGGUACCUGCAAAUUCAUCACAACACAAUGGUCGGAGAUAAAACCCAGCAACUUUACAAGUCUUUCACAGAUUUGUUUGCAAGUUCUGAUAUGUAAUAAAGAUGAGUCUCAAAGAUGAGCCUCCAAUGCUGAUUUGUUUGCUUCAAGACAAGAUGAACCUCCAAUGCAACAAGUAAUAAAAUGUUCAACAAUGUAUCAGAUUCGGCAACAGUUUAACAUCUACUCUAGUAAUUAUACAACACCAUGACCAACAUUUCUCCUCUCCAGAAAUUAGAAACAAAAUAAAGGAACAUUACACAGUAGCCAUCAAAUUAAAAUAACACAUACAGUACAUACAGGUAGGUAAUACUAAAGCAUGUUCAUAUUAGCUAGUGACCAUUAUAUUGCUUUAGGUUAGGGCCCUUACAUUAUUUUCUCUCUAUCCCUUUCUUUAGCUGCACUGCAUCACAAGGCAAAUAUGGUUCAAAAUAAAAUACUGCUGAAUAAGCACCUAGCAGAAUAGUAAAAUAAGCUUAAAAAAUGCAUACAGCUUGACAUACAAACACAGACAGUUAUGCAAGUGCUAGAGGUAUGCAUAUAUAUAUGUGAACUUGAUCCUGAACUAGAGGUACACAUGUUUGCAUACUCAUCUCUGCAAUUAGUCGUGCUUAUUUGCAUUGUGCUAUAUAUGAAUCCACACUGACUCGAGCCUGAAUCAAUCAGUCAAUGUUGCUCACAUAUACUCCCACACUCCCAUAAUAGUACUAAUAUAAGAGCAUUUAUAUUAUUGGAAUGAAGGGAUAAUUUUUUUUCUUUCAAGAAACACAAACCCUAACAACACAUUACGAGCACCUUCAAGAGAUUGAACCAACCCGACAUCCACAAACACCUCCUACUCAACACACAGACACAGACCAAGGAAGAAACAUAACCAUUCUUCUUUUUUCUUUCUUUGUUGUUAAUAAUAAAAGAAACUACAAGAGCAAGGAAGGAACAAGUCUUCUUUUGUACUGCAACACAAGAAACCCUCUUUCUUUCUUUCUUCCCUUCGUGUUAAUUUAAUUUUACUGCACCAUCUACUAACCUCCUCCAACUUUACUACCACUACAUCCCUCUCAAGGACAUCUAUGUACUGCUUAUAAAGCAUAACAUGCUGAUGCUAUGUUUCAUUUGCCCCAUCUCCCAUCUCUACUCUUAUUUUAAGUAAAUGCCCAGAUGCCUUACAUUUAUCUCUGCGGGACUUUUUUCUUUUCUAAUGAUAUCAUCUAUACAUGUUACUUAGUUACUAAACCUAUGUAACUUAGGAUCAAAUUGAUAAAUUGCUAGAAGUAUCCGCAUAUUUUCGUGGAGAUCAUAUGGGGGAGGAUCGGACAAUGUGGCAACAAACAGCAAGGUGUGUUCUUUCAAAGAAUCUUUGCAUCAAGUCAAUGAACAUCAUAUUUGAAGUGCAGUUUAACUUAGUCACUUAAAACUAUCUGAUCCACAACUAACAACCAAAGUCAUGUUCAGUUAUAGUGCUUAAAUAUGAUUUUGGUGUGUGUGAAAACAAUACAGUAUUAUAUUUCUACUGAAUGCAUGAGUAUGAUGUAUCACACAUCUACAUGUCUAGGCUUUUUCAGUUUUUUUCCGGAUGGAAACCAGAAGCAUCACUGUCCUUGACUAGAAUCACCAUGGCCAGAUUAAAGACUGCAAGCUGGCAAGUUCUUCCUUUCAAUUUCUCAAUCUUAGCUAGCGGAGGAUGAAUUGAGGAGAAGAGAGGCAGAGGGAGGAGGGUUACCUGGCGGCGGUGGGGCGUUGAAGACCUGGCGGCGAGGUUCCUCCUCUCGGUGGCGGCGGGGCUCCUCCCCUCAGUGGGGGCGGUGGCCUCUUCCCCUCGGUAGCAGUGGCGGGGCUCCUCCUCUCCUUGUGGAGGCGGGGCGUUGAUCCGGCGACGGCCCUGGAACCCUAGCGCUGGCCCUGCUCGCCCGAGCGGGAGCGGCGGUCAUCGGAGCGGGGGAGGCGGCGGGGGUGCGGGGGCGCGGGGGCGGCGGUGGCGGGGGUGGAGUACCGCGGGGGUCGGGGCAGCGGCGUCGGGGCGGGGCAAGACCACAGCAGCGGACGAAGGGGGCGGAGCAAGGGGGUGGCGGCGUACGGUUGUUGAGUGGGGGAUCUGGCGAGGGAGGGAGGGAGGCCAUAGUGCGAGGAGAAUAGGUGGAGUGGGGGGAGGAUUCUAAUGGCGCACCUCCCCCUAGUGUGCCAUAAGUACGACGAUUCUAAUGGCGCACAUCCCCCUGGUGCGCCAUUAGAAUUUUGUUUUAAUUAGCCUGACUGGUCAGGUUAUAUUCCACCUAACACUAUCUCCGUCAGAACACGCCCACUAGCCCGACUGGUUAGCACGCAGCACACACACUAGGAGGUCCUGGGUUCGAUUCCCACGCUCCCCAAUUUUUGCUUUUAUGCAUUUAAAAUGAUGUUUGAUAUUUAUUUGUGCUUAAAUAUGUUCAAACUUGUUCAAAUCAUAACAGUAAUAUUUUUUAAUAAAAACAGUAAUAUAUUUUUUAAAAAUAUCAUCAAAUUUGUUAUUUGAAAAUAUUUAUGAAUAUGAAAAAAUAUCAUAAAAANNNNNNNNNNNNNNNNNNNNNNNNNNNNNNNNNNNNNNNNNNNNNNNNNNNNNNNNNNNNNNNNNNNNNNNNNNNNNNNNNNNNNNNNNNNNNNNNNNNNNNNNNNNNNNNNNNNNNNNNNNNNNNNNNNNNNNNNNNNNNNNNNNNNNNNNNNNNNNNNNNNNNNNNNNNNNNNNNNNNNNNNNNNNNNNNNNNNNNNNNNNNNNNNNNNNNNNNNNNNNNNNNNNNNNNNNNNNNNNNNNNNNNNNNNNNNNNNNNNNNNNNNNNNNNNNNNNNNNNNNNNNNNNNNNNNNNNNNNNNNNNNNNNNNNNNNNNNNNNNNNNNNNNNNNNNNNNNNNNNNNNNNNNNNNNNNNNNNNNNNNNNNNNNNNNNNNNNNNNNNNNNNNNNNNNNNNNNNNNNNNNNNNNNNNNNNNNNNNNNNNNNNNNNNNNNNNNNNNNNNNNNNNNNNNNNNNNNNNNNNNNNNNNNNNNNNNNNNNNNNNNNNNNNNNNNNNNNNNNNNNNNNNNNNNNNNNNNNNNNNNNNNNNNNNNNNNNNNNNNNNNNNNNNNNNNNNNNNNNNNNNNNNNNNNNNNNNNNNNNNNNNNNNNNNNNNNNNNNNNNNNNNGGCCGGUGGAGCGGGGGAGAUGGUGCGGGGGGUGCUCGGCGGUGAAGGGGGCCGGAUCUGGCGAGGUGGGAUAGCGAUCGAGAUGGAGGGGGAUCGAGAUCGAGUGUCCAUGAAAUUUAAAAACAUUCAUGAGUUCAAAAAGUGCCCAUGAAAUACAAUCGAGAAAUGAAGGCUACAAUUUAAAUACAAUCGAUCUUAGCUAGCUAUCUAUUCACAAUCUUCUUGCCCUUAUUUUUCGUAAAUGGAGUUCUUCUCUUGAACGGACGUCCUUUAGGUAGGGUGGUCCUGCUUCUUCUUGUGGUGUAUGCUGAUACUUCAUCGUCGUCCUCAUGUUCCAUCUUCAGGUCGCCGUACUUGUCGAAGUCUUGCUCAUUGGCGACUCCAUCCAUUCCGACGAUCUUCCUUUUGCCUCUUCCCACGACAACACGAGUGGGCUUUGGCGGGUCGGUAAUGAAGAAGCAUUGGUCCACUUGGGAAGCCAGUACCCAUGGCUCAUUUUUUGCGGUGAUGUUUGUGCCUGCGGUCUUGGAUUUGGCUUCGGGUAUAACCAUGGUGGUGAAAUACCGGUUUUAUUUUAUGAUGCUCUUGGCCCAUAUGACAUGGAACAUCGGGACCUUCUCUCCAGAGUAGCUCAGCUCCCACAUCUCCUAGAUCCUUCCGUAGUAUCUGUCCUUGUCAUUACUGGUGUAGUAUUCCAUCGUUACCCCGGAGUUCUAAUAACCAUCGCUCUUCAUGUCCUUGUCCUUGGUGUAGAAUGUGUAGCCGUUGAUAUCGUACGCCUCAUAGGUCAUCAGGUUGUGCUCGGCGCCCUGUGACAAGGCGAACAUGAGUUGUUCUUCCGCGGAAGAAUCCUCAUGUAAAGGGUACAACAGAAGCUUCUGCUUUGAUUAUAUCUCCGUCUGUCCUCUGUUGGCCUCGGUCAUUGUACGUCUUCUCAAUAAAGGUUUUGUGCUCUACCACCCAAGGAUCGACCACGUCUAUGUGUUGUAGCGCGACUAGGUUUGCUCUUUCAAAGUCGGCGAGUCGACCCUCAAAGUCGACAUGCAUUUCGCGGCGACCCUCACGGUGACCCCAUCCAGCGAGCCUGCCGAGGUGCCUGUUGACGGGCAGACCAACGGGGUCCUCGAUGCCUAGAUAAUUCGUGCAGUAGGAGAUGCACUCUUCGAUCAGAAAGCCCCUGGCUAUGCUUCCCUCUGGACGUGACAUGUUGCGAACGUAUCCUUUGAUGACACAUUCAUCCUUUCGAACGGCAUCAUGCUGUGCAGGAAUGUUGGCCCGAGUUGGAUGAUAUCCUCCAUGAUAUGGACCAGCAGAUGCACCAUAACGUCGAACAAUUCGGGCGGGAAGUACAUCUCAAGCUCGCAUAGUAUCACCACGAUCUCUUCCUGUAGCCUUCUGAGUUGCCUCACGCCAACCGACUUCCGGGAGAUGACGUCAAAAAAGUUGCAUAGGCCAAAUAGCAUUUCACGGACGUGCGCGUCCAUGAUCCCACGGAUUGCAACUGGAAGUAUCUGCGUCAUCAGCACGUGACAGUCGUGAGACUUCAUCUCGCUGAACUUCUCCUUCGCUGGGUCUAGGCAUCUGCUUAUCUUCCCCGCGUAAUCAUAAGGAAGUUUUACUCCUAUGAGGCAGGUGAAAAACUGAUCGAUCUCCUCUUGACUGAGAGUGAAGCACGCGGGAGGGUAGUCAUUUCCGCUCUUCUUGGCCUUUUUGCCUUUGCGACGACUUUCCGUGUCCUGCUUCGCCUCAUCAUCAUCAUCAUUAGCGUGAAGCUCCUCCCUGAUGCCCAUUGAUUUCAAGUCUACCCUUGCUUUUGGCCCAUCUUUGGUCCUCUCUGGCAUGUUGAGUAGGGUACCAAGCAGACUCUCGCACACAUUCUUUGUGAUAUGCGUGACAUCAAGGCUGUGAGGCACACAGUGGAUCUUCCAGUACGGCAAGUCCCAGAAAACAGACCUCGUUUUUCAUACCUUCAGCAGCGGCUCUGGUGCCUUUCGCUUCUUUACCGGCUCUGGCGCCUUUUGCUUCUCUCCCAGCAGUGGGCAAUCUUUCCAAUUUUUCAACAACUCGUCUAUUUCCUCGCCGCGCCUCGUACGCGGGCGUCUUCGGGGUUCGGUUUCACCAUCAAACAAAUCCUUGUGUUUCCUCCACGGGUCAUCGUCACGAAGCCACCUUCGAUGUCCCAUGAACACGGUUUUCGAAGACUCGGGAUCUCUAUCUAGUUGGCGAUACGUUGUGUCCCAAGCACCUAACGCAUCCAGAAAAUCCGUGGACCACCUGCCCCGCGACAUAUCCGUAACCAAGAUAGUCGUGCACCGUCGUGAGCGGUGCGGCUCUCAUAGGGAAAUAUUCUUUCUCUGCGGCGUCCCACAUAUUGGCUGGCGUUUUCCACAGCGUGUCUAGCUCCUCUUUCAGCAGCCCUAGAUACAGAUUGAUGUCGUUCCCUGGUUGUUGCGGCCCUUCAAUUAGCAUACUCAUGUGAAUGUACUUCCUCUUCAUGCACAACCAUGGGGAAGGUUGUACAUCCACACAAACACAUGCCAGGUGCUAUGUGUGCUUCUCUGGCUGCCAAACGGAUUGACUCCAUCGAUGCUCGCGCCCAGCAUGAUGUUCCUUGGAUCCGUCCCAAAUUCUGGGUGUUCGAAGUUCAACGCUUGCCACUAGCUCCCGUCCCUAGGGUGACUCAGCAUCUUGUCUUUUUUAUUUAUCUCCAGAUCAUUUGCGUCAUCUUCUCGCUUCUUCUCCUCCCUAUCCGCGUGCCAACGCAGGAGCUUUGCUACCUUAGGGUCCGCAAAAUACCGCUGCAGACGAGGAGUGAUCGGAAAGUAGCACACCACUUUUCGAGGAGCUUUCUUCCUCUUCUUGUAUCGAGUGACGCCGCACACCGGACAUAUGGUAGACUCCGCGUGCUCGUCCCGAUAAAUGAUGCAAUUGUUCAUGCACACAUGGUAUUUCACGUGCGGUAAAUUCAGAGGACACACGAUUUUCUUCGCCUCCUCAAAACUGGUCGGGCACUUGUUCCCCUUGGGAAGACGUUCACGCCAAAAAUGACAUGUUCUCGUCGAAGCAUGCGUCAGUCAUUUUAUGUUUUACCUUCAUCUCUAGAGCCAUGAGCGUUACUUUCAGGCGGGUAUCCUCGGGCGUGCAUCCUUCAUACAAUGGAGUAACCGCGUCUAUCUCUAGUUGACCCAGCUUGGCUUUCUCUCGGGUGGCAGCUCUUGCGUUAUCCGUCUGCUUCAGAAGCAGCUCUUGAACAUGAGGGUCCUGCACCCAGCCCAUCGAUGGUCCAUCGUCACCUGCUCUGCCGACAUUUUCAUCUUCGUGAUCAUGCCCUUCGUCUGCUCCGGCAUCUUCCUCAUCAUCAUGUCCUGCAUCUUCUACAUGAUGACUAUGUACAGCAUCACCGUCGUGAUCAUGUCCUGGAGAUUCUUCGUCUUCUCGCCCGCCCGAGCCGUGGUGGUUGUCUUGUUGCCCUUCCUCACUUCUUGCCCGGCCCCCAUGGACGACUUCAUAGACAUCUUCAUACCUUGCCACUGAUAGCCAUCCAUGAAACCAUGCAAGAGCAGUUGGUCCCGCACCUGCCCGGAAUCCGGGUCCGCAAUAAGGCUCUUCAGCUUGCAUCUUCGACACGGACAUCUUAUCUCCGUCUCGUUCUUUUCAAGCAUCUCGGCCUUCGCGGAGCUCAAAAACCUAUUCACGAGGCCUUUGGUCAUCGUGCGGACCAUGGUCCCCUGCGGGGUAGAGCAAAACGAUAUUUUAGAACCAAGAAAAAAUUUGGCAUGACUUUCCCUAAAAAUAGGACCAAAAAGAAUGCAUAGUGCCAAAAUUCUCACCGAAACGGAAAUGAAUCAACAUUCCGGCAAAAUAUUGGCAACUAUCGCAUUUCAAAUACCGGUACCUGCAAACACAAACAAAUAUGCAACACCACAAACAUAUGCAACACCACGAACCUACAUAGAUCUAGCUAGGCCACAAAAAGUGCAUGUGCAUGUUGUUGGAGAGGGAGAACAACAUAAAGAUAUCUUCCCCCCUACUUACCUAUCAAAAAAAAGUAAUUUAACCACUUAAUUUGGAUGAAUCUAUGGUGCAAAUGAGGUCAGGAGGAGGAGGCAGCCGAAACAAGCUUGGAGGAGGAGGUGGAGAGAAUGAAGUAGGGAAAGUGAGUGGGUAGGUGGGCUGUCCAAAAUAUCUUGUUGGUCCCAGGUUACUAAUGGCGCCCCACCUGCAAAUGCACCAUUAGUAACCCUGGUUACUAAUGACGCACCUGCUGCUGGUGCACCAUUAGAAGUUUUGCAAAAAAAUAAGAAAUAAAGUAUAUAUUCUAAUGGCGCAUCAUGGCACAGUGCGCCAUUACUAGUUCAAACUAGUAAUGUCGCACUAGGCUAGGGUGCGUCAUUAGUAGUUUUGCAAAAAAAAAGAAUAAAAAAACAACAGUAGUGGCGCACUAUGUGGCCGGUGCGCCAUUACUAGUUAGCACUAGUAAUGGUGCACCUUGCCAUGAUGCGCCAUUAGUAUGUUUGGAAAAAUAAGAAAAAAAUUACUAGUGGCGCACCUUUAGUGUCUUCCACACUAAUGGCGCACCUGCACAUGAUGCGCCACUGCUAUAUAGUAGUGGCGCACCACAUGACAGGUGCGCCAUUAGUGGCCAUUUCAUCUAUAACCCUUUUCCUAGUAGUAUCCCGGUUGGAGCGCUGCUUGGUAGCUUCAAUGUCCCAUUCCCGGCGUUCUCAGGAGAUAGUUGGAUCUCCCUCCAUCUCUGCAAUCACUCUCUUCCACUCCUUCGCACGUUCUGCCCAACACUUUUGAUCAUCGUAGAUCCGUUCCGCCCUCUCGUGCCACCGCACUGCCCUCGUCUCCUGUAGGAACUCGUCUGAAAAAGCGGUCACCGGCAGCAAAAGCUUGGGGCAGGCCUCGUACACGUACGGAAGUGGCAAGCCGGACAGGUCGUGUUGGAGAUGAAGGGGCGAUGGUUGCGCAACUGUUGCAGACCUAAACAUAUGGAUGAAAUAAAUAAAAUAUAUAUAUCAAGAUGUGUCAAAUGCAAAAUCGUAUCAUAUCAUAUUUACUCCAACCAAAUCCAGUACUUGCAUCAUAUUCACAUGCUUACUAAAAAACUAAGAACUAAGAACUAAGAACUACAACUACAAUCACACAUCCUAAAUACAAUACAAUACAUAUCAAAGAAUUGCAUAAGCAUAUCAAAAGAAUUGCAUAAGCAUAUCAAAAGAUAUCGAUGCAUAACAAAGGUUCAUCACAUCCAAAAAAACCUAUGAGUUCAAUCUUUGAAUAAUCAUAUAUCUAGAUUAUUAUGAACAUGAACUAAAUAAAAUACAUAUAUCAAAAACAAAAACCAUGAACUAGGGUUCAUCUUGAGGGAUUAACCAUGUUUACUUCAACAAAAUCCACUACUUGCAUCAUAUAAGAUCCACAUGCAUCCUAUAUCAAAACAAAUAUUUCCAAUAUUCAUCAUAUAUAAAAAAAUUAACACAAAAAAUUAUGAACUAGGUUCAUCUUGAGGGUUCAACAUUUGUUCUCCAACUAUAUCCACUACUUGCAUCAUAGCAUAUCAACAUGCAUCAUCAUAUCACAAUAUAUUCCUCCAACAUGCAUCAUAUAAAAAAAUUCCUCCAAAAAUAAUAUGAACUAGGGUUCAUCUUCACAUAAUCAUACCAACUAGUGACUAGAGUUCGUAUCUAACACAUUAUAACAUCGAUAAUCAACCUAAAUCAAUCCUAGGGUUCAAAAUAUUUAAAUCUAGUUCAAGAAGGGGGGUGAUUUGAAUCAAAUAAUGCAACGAAUCGGAAGCUAUUUGACUAAAACUAAUUGGAGGGAUUGAAGGAGCUUACUUUUGUUUCUUCGGGGCCAUCUCGAUCCGCAAAAAUGAUGAAGAAACGAUGAAGAUCUGAGGGGGGGAGUGGAGGAGAAGAGAGAGGGGCGAGAGGAGGAAGAACUCCUCUGUUCUUGGGCGGGUGGUUGGGGGAGAAGGGGAGGGGUGGGGCGGCCGACGGCUUAUAACUGCCCGCACACUACCGCCAGGUAUCCCGGCGGUAGGAUCAGACAGGCUACCGCCAUGACCGGCGGCGGUAGGGUGGGACGGAGGCCGUUAACGUUGCUGACGUGGAUAAGUUCCCUACCGCCGCAGUGUCUGGCGGUAGCCUAGGUAAUCCUACCGUCGGGCGUCCUGGCGGUAGCAAAAAGGGUCAAAUGUCGAUUUUUUUUCAAAGUGGGGUCAAAUCCCGAUUUUGUUUGACAAAAGGGUCAAAACACGAAAAUCGGCCCCACGACCGGGGUAGCUCAUAUCAUUGGCGUGAGCUCAUAUCAUUGGCGUGUCAGUAUGAUCCUCUUGUCGGAUACUACGGCUUUACCGCGUACGUACUCCUACCGUUGAGAGCUGGCUGGUUGCGGACCCUCUGGAACGAACAGGUCGACAGGUCCCUCUCCCUUGGUAGUAGGCCCGAAUUAUAGGCACGUGCCGUUGUUGGUCUAGUCCCGGCCACACCGUCAAUGUAUCAGUUAGCGUGAUCGCGUCGCGUCGGAAUAAGUUUUUCCAGGCUCCGUUCGCGGCUAGAUGAGGCUUUUGCCUUCGUCUAGGAGCCAGCAGGGUGGGGAUCCCCGGAUCUCGUUGAGGUCGCGGGCUAUAGUGACUGGAGGUUCAUCAGCACUGGCCGUUUGGGUCCUCAGAUGGGCGUUGGAUGCAGGGAGACUGUUGAGUAACGUGAUUGUAUUUGGAAACAUAGGUUAGACUAGGAAAUAUUCUUGCUUUCCUUGUACUCCAAGUAGAUCAUGUACUCCUAUAUAUGUGCCCACGAGGCUCAAGCAAUACAUUGAACUAUUCCACCAACCCUCUCUCUCCCUUCAACAUGGUAUCUAUUGCAAGUCGAUCCUAAACCCUAGCCACCGCUGCUUCCGCACCUGCGCGCCGCCCCCGGGGCUGUCAGCCUCCAUGACCGCCGCUGGGGGCUGCGCCGCCCGUACCUAGGGUUCGUCCACCGGUCGUGUUGACCGGCUGCCCUAGAGAGUGUUUUCCCUGAGCCCUUGCUCCAGAUUUUUUCGCUCUCUCGCCGGUCGUUUUGAUCGGCGUUUUUCUUUUUGGUUUUCUGAUCUAUGCUUGAUCGGUUUGCGUCGCUCGCCGCCGCCGUCGACACCGAGCGCCUCUACUUUGACCCCGACGCUACCAGCCGGCCUCUCCUCCGACCCGGCAGCCACGCGUGUCGAGGCGGCCCGUCAGGGCCAGCCGUCGUCCGCGCGUCGGUCCGCCCGUCACCGCCCUGCUCCGACCGGGACACCUGCAUCGCCCCGACCCAGCGGCCACGCGCCAUGUGAUGGCCAAUCAUAAUCGUCGCUCGCGUGCCGGCCCCCCAUCGAUCUAGAUCACCCGCCUCCGCCGCGUCUUCACGGCGGCCCGAUGGUCUACCUCGCCGGCCUCGUCCUCGGUUACGUCGGGACGGCUGCGUCAGGCUUGUCGGCUGCCUCAACUCGGGCGCCGCUGCUCCGUUGGUCGCUCGGGCCUCACUGCCCGGGCGCCCAUGUUGCUUUGGCAGCCCGGGUGCCGUUGCUGACAAGUUCGUCCGCACGACGUCUCACGCCGGCUGUCGUCGCCGACUUCAUCUCGGACUCCGCCGCCACCACACCUCCACCGAGCGGCGUCCCGACCUCGCGUGCGAUCGGCUUGAUCACCCGCUCGCCGCGGCGAUCCGCCUCAUCUACGCCGCGCAACCGACCUGGCCCGUCGGUUACGCGCGCCUCCGCAGGUCCCGUGAAGAUCGUCCCCGAGUUCAGCGCGCCUCUCUACCGAUCGAGCAUUGGGCUGCCACCGUGUCGCCCUGUCAGGCCGCAACGCCGCCGCCCCGUGGUUCUCCUCGCGGCUGCAUCGACCCAUGCAUCACCGCUGCGUCGCCUCUUCGGGCUGUAGUGUCGCGAUACGCGGUCCCCACCACCGCCCCGAGGCCAUCCCCGCGGCUGCACCGACUCGCGAACCGCCAUUGCGUCGCCCCUUCGGGCCGCAACAUUGCGGACCGCGGUCCCCGCUGCCGCCCCGAGGUCUUCCCACUGUCGCCCCGACCCUCCUGCCGCCGCUACGUCACCCCUUCGGGUUGUAGCGCCGCGGCCCGCGAUCCACUCUGUCGUCACCGCGCGUCGACCUCCUAUGGUAUGCGCCACGCCGUCUCCCUUGGCGCGGAAACGCCACCGUCCGCGCCGGUCUUCGUCACGCUGUCAGGGUUCUUCGCCUACUUCGAGCACCGCCGCCGCACUCCUAACCUAGCUGUCGCCGCUGCCGUUAGGCCGCCGCCGCCGUCAGGCCUCCGCCGCCGCUACCUUCGUAGCCGCCGCGCCGCCCGUCCACCCCCUUCGGUCUUCGUCCAAGCACCAGCCCGUCGCCAGCGUCACCGUCAUCUAACCCGAGCACUUUGUCUACUUCGACCACCGUUGGUGACAUCGGCCCCGCGCCGAUGGGCACCGCAAUCAUCGUCGAGUUUUUCUCUGCUGGCCCUCCGACUUCUCCGACAUGGCAUACAGCUCGUGCAGGUCCCUCGUCUACGCAUGCCCGGUGCUGGCAACACCGAUGCGUGCCUUCAUCCACGACGUGUCCCCGGGCCUGGCAAGCCUGGUCGGCGCUUCGUCAACUUCGUCUUCGUCCGUCUACGCAUGCCCGGUGCUGGCAACACCGGUGCUGGCAACACCGGUGCGUGCCUUCAUCCAUGAUGUGUCCCCGGGCUUGGCAAACCCGCCGCGACGCAUCGUCAACACCAUCAUCCUUCCGGCGCACCACUACCUCGUCACCACUGCGCCCAUGACUAACUCGGCGCCCUCUUGCGCCCGCGGCUCCACGGCGACUUCCUCGACACCGGGCCUGGCAAGCCUGGUCGAUGCACGCCGACUCGACAUCGACCACGGCAUUCUCCGAACAGCUACCUCGACCAUGGCUCCACCACCCACGCUCUUGGCUACAUCGACAAACGGCACAAAGGGCUACCGCCUGCUUGAGCAACCUCGUUGGUUUCCACUCCAGCCAAGACUCCGUGAUGCGUCGACCGUUACGACUGUGGGGGAGGGGGUGUCCGUCGGCUUGGCUUUGGAUUCUUCUCCAGUCUCACCGUCUGCGUCGCUACCGUUGUGACUGCAGGGGGAUGUUGAGUAACCUGAUUGUAUUAGGAAACAUAGGUUAGACUAGGAAAUAUUCUGGAUUGCCUUGUACUCCAAGUAGAUCAUCUACUCCUAUAUAUAUGCCCACGAGGCUCAAGCAAUACAUUGAACUAUUCCACCAACCCUCUCUCUCCCUUCAACAGAGACGAAGACCCUUCUUCUUCCUUGUCGGUAUGAUUUGUUGCGGCUGUUCUUCUCCUUCCUCUGCGCUGAUGCUGGAGGGAGAUUCUGCUUUGCCCGGGUGGAUGGCCCGGCCGCGGUGCUGGACCGGUCGGAUGACUCGAAUUCUCUUCCAUCAGGAAGGGACAUUUUUCGCGGUACUCAAAGCCAAAGCUGGCGACGGCCGUUGCAGGUGUGUUGGAUUGAUGCCCAUGCCCUCUCAGCGCUGGUGUCAAGAAAGGAGAAAGUAGCAUGGCGGCAAUUGUACCGUGGUCGGAGAUGAUGACCUGCUUGCGCCUGGUUGCGGAUCCUUCUGCUUGAGGGGUCUUCUCUCAAGAUUCAGGGAUGAUGUCAAAAGGCUCCACAGCUCUUCUUGUGUUACGUUUGGCUUAGGGUACUCUAAUUGUUCAUCAUCCUUUGUGUUUACGUUUCAGUGUGCUUGUAAGGAUCAACUACUUUGUACUGUUUCGUGAUUUGAAUGAAAAAAUUCUCAAAAAAAAAAAAAACAAAUGCACCGUGGCCAGAUCUAUUUGCCGACUAUAGACUACUUUUGGUUUCUUCUCGUAAGGACUACUUUUGCGAAACCCAAUACUACAACACAUACGUUCACAAAUACGCACACGUAAGGAAUAAUAAUAUGCUAAAACAGCGCUAGUAGUAUGGUCUUUGCAUGCUUGGUGCUGCUGCAUGUGGGCUGUGGAGGUUUUUGAGCCUACUGUCUGCAUGCAUCUCGAUAAUAAUAAUCCAAUUCAAUCCAAUCCAAUCCAAUCCAAUCCAAUCCUAUGGUCUUUGCAUGCUUGAUACAGUGCCUACCAAUCCAAUCCGACUGGUCAAACUUUGCGUGCGCCGUAGUGGUUGGCUAUGCUGGCAUGAAUAAUAAUAAUGAUCCUUUACUUCCUUUCUCUCUCUGUGCACGGUGCAGUUUAGGAUAGUCGUAAUAAAAGUAUCAUAAGCGGUAUUAUGCAUGUCAAAUAGACCUUUUGGAUCAUGUGGCAGAGAAUUAAAUGAGAAAAGAAAGGAUGUGGUAUCAUAUUAUGAUACCGUAUCAUAUUAAAUAUAGUACUACUUUGUGUCAUGCAUGUCAAUUAAUGAGGCAAACUAAGAUACUAGGUUACGAUACUAUGCAUUACGGAAAUAGUAUCAUACACGAGUAUCAUAUGCAUGAUACUAGUAUAUGAUACUCUCCAUUACGACCUAUCUUACUACUGUAGCGUCCUGUGGGUCACGAGGAGCAGACCGCGUGUUCCACGAAAAAAAAACGAUACGGGCCCUCGUGGAACACGGUGCCCUGUCUACCUCCGUACCAAAAGAUAAAUUUUUUACUAUUUUAUUACAAAGAUUUAUUUUAAAUAUAUAUAAAAUGUUAGUGUAAAAUUAGUAUUAUGAGAGGGUGUGUUUCAAUAGUAAACCAACGAUACUGAUUUUCCACUAUAGGAAUUAAGUUUUAGUUGCUUUAUUUAUUCGGUCCAACUUGUAUAGUUUAACGUAGAUAGAUAAGAAAGGAAUAAAUUGUGAAAACCAUCAAGACUCUGGCUCUAAUCCCAUGUUAAGCUUCAUUCUCUAGGCAAUUAUUGCAAUAAUAGACCGAUCUGACGGAAAGAGCUAAGCAACCGAGUUAAUUAUACAAUUAGUUAGUUUAAUAGUAACACUUAACUGGCAGUAGGUGUUACAUUGCAGCCAGCGAGAGCGAGAGCCUUCCCCCUUCCCCGCCAUGCGCUGCUCCGGCGCUGGCGUCCACCGCGCCUCUGCGCCCCCGGGCCGUGCCACUCCGGCCAUCCCAGCCACCCAGGCUCCCGGCCGUGCCACUAAGGCCGUCCCGGCCACCCAGAUCUGUUCCCCCGCCCCCCGCUGCUUCCUCGCGCGACCAGGGCUGCCAGCCCCAGAUUCGUCUCCUCCCAGGUCAGGCCGGCGGGGGAGAGGCCGGUGGUCUCUGGGCUGGGGCUUUUGGAGGGCUUGGCUGAGUCGGACCCGCAGCCGGCGGUGGACUCCGCGCCUCGCCUGGAGGCUCCUGCUGCGGGCUGGGAGCGGCCUUCUCCCACCAAGAAGGAGCUCUGGCGCCUCCGUCAUGGACAGGGCGGCCAGGGCGGAGAUGUUGUGGCUGGGCGGCACGUGCCUUCGCCGCCGCCGGCGGAGAUGAUCCCGGAGAUGCGAGACAAGUGCUUCAGGUGCCUCGAGAAGGGCCACUUCCGGUGGGACUGCACCAACUAGGAUGUCUAUAUCAGGUGCGGUUGGCCGGGUCAUGGCUCCCGCGAUUGCAAGAGGCCGCGGAGCCCCUCUUCGGCUGAUGAGCUCCGACGCGAGGCGAUCGCCAAGGUGGCACGCCACUCGUCUCCCCGGGUCAGUCCAGACCGCACGACGCCUCAUGCGGCCUUCCCACCCCCACCGCCUCCGCCGCUGCACCCCCCCUCGCUUUGUGCUGCCGCCGAGGCGGCCUGGCCGCGUCUUGCACCCCCGCGGCUCUAGGUCGCGCUGGAUGCGGGGGAAGGUGCGUAUGAGCUUUGUGUGGUGCGGCGCUCGCAGUCCAUGGAGGACUUGGAGCGCCGGCUACGCUUCGCCAUGGUCGCCUACAUGGGUGGUGCCCGGAGACGCCUCUCGCCGCAGCGGGUGCUGGAGAUCUUGGCGGGGUGGCUCGACAUCUCGGCGGAUCAUGUCUCGGUGCACUCUUACCGGUCGGAGGAUUUUCUGGUCGUUUUUGCGUCGGCUGAGCUUCCGAACAGGGUGGCGUCGUACCCGGCGGUGUAGUGGGAGGGCGAUAGGCUGUUCUUCAGGCCAUGGAACCGGCAGUCGCAGGCAGUCUUCUCGACCAUGGGCUUCAAGGUCUGGAUUGUCAUGGAGGGGAUACCACCACACGCUUGGGAUCGGAAGACGGCAGAGGAGUUGUUGGGGACGGCGUGCAAGGUGGACUCGGUUGCGCCGGAGUCAAGUUCAAGAGCUGAUCUUUCUGCGUUCAGGCUCACUGCAUGGACUGCAAACCCGGAGGAGAUACCUUCGCUGCGCUGGCUGGCCAUCUCGGAGCCAAGCUCGGAGAUCCUACCACCAUUGUUGCAGUACAAGAUCCUCAUCCAUAUCGACGCAGUGGCGAACUUCCGUGAAGCAGGGGAGCCGUGGUUCGUGGGAAGUUCAUCCGACAAUGGGCAGAGUGGCUUGCUAGACUCUCCAGACGGUUUCCAUAAUGGAGGUGGUGGUCAGAGGCCACAAUGGCGAGUUUGGCAGUUCGGUGUCAGAGAUGUGCGCGGCGGUGAGCAGGGCUAGGCUUCCGGCGGUGGCGGUGGCGGCCAUGGCGCGGCAGGGAGGGCAAACGAGGGGCUGGAUUGGCGCCUACCUCCCAUGCCCCCGCCCCGAACGUUCUGCAUGUGGGGCCACCAGAACGCCUUCUGGAUAGGGUUGCCGUCAGGGUGUCUGCUUUUGACCGCCUUUUGGGUCAGCAGGCACAUGGAGAGGGGAGCGGGACGGUUCUAGAGCCAAAUUCGAACCUGACUGGCGCGGACAAGUGGCUGGGACGGACGGGCGCACUUUGACGGCGGGACCCCGGACGGAGGAGACGGAGCAGCAUCCAAUGGAAAUGGUCAUUGUGCCGUUGGGGCAGGGACGGCGCCUGAGCUUGUCAUCGGAUCGGGCGGUCGAAGUGGUGGUUGGCGCGCGCAGCCCGAGUGAUUCCCGCAGUGCCCCACGGGCGAAUGAUGACAUGGACAUGGUGGUUCUCGCGGAUCUAGGGAGACUGGAUCCCCGGUGCGGGAAAGGCUGAACCCGCCAGCUGGCGUGACUGCAGGCUCCGUGCCGGGGGAUGGGAUACCGGACGGGUCCCAGGAGGUGGGGCUGGCUGAGGAUCCCAAUGCAAUUGGGGCGGUGUGCAACAUGGCGGGCCCCGUGCUCGGAUCGAAUGCAGAGAUGGCUACUGGUGGGUUGGGUGAAGGAAAUCGCGUGGUAUUGACUACUGGUGGGGCUGGUUAUCGAAUGCAGAGAUGGCUACUGGAGGGUUGGGUGAAAAAAAAGUUAGUUUAACAGUAACUGUGAUGCCAAGACAAAUCAUUGGGGUCAAAAUUACCGAAAUAUUUAUUUACUCCGGUUGUACACGGGUCCGCUUGUACACGCGCAUGAGCUGCCACGGAGCCACACUGUGGCCGGCCUACUGGGGAGCCCGAGUCAGCGAGGCUGCUUGAGAACCAAGCUGCAUGUCCUCGUGUUUGGAGAGGCGAACGACGAGUUCGCUAGAGACUUCGUCGGAGAAGGGGCGGUGGUCAAAGGGAUGUGAGAGAGGUGAUUUUUUUUAUUGGGCUGUAAGGUGGGUCCUUGUCCACAUCAGCUGGGUAUUAAUUCGUGGCCAACACGUUGAAAAAUCCACCGAAUAGUCAUCACAUUUUAUCAUGCAAUCAGAAAGCCGUGGUGUUCACAACAUUUUGGACAAGUGGGAUAGUUAUUUCAUGCUAACAACUCAUUGAGACCGGACUAUGUACUUGCAGAGUAAAGACUCUAUAGCUACGACAAAUAAUUUGGAUCAGCGGGAGUAGAACAAAUACACGUGUAAAUAUUUGGUAACUGCAGAAGAAAUGUUAAUGUAUGUAAAGAAAAGAACAAUUUAUGUAGAUUACAUAGGUGCGGUACAAUGGGCGGAAAAAAUGAAAUAAACUAAAGAGAAGCAAAUUUGAAAAAUCUAUAAACAAAAAGUAAAACUUAAAUGCAAUAAUACAGGUGACAUUUAUUACAAAUCAAAUGACGAGCAGAAUAAAUACUCCUUCCUUUCCAGUUUAUAAGUCUUCCACGUGUAUCUUGGCUGCUAAUUUACCAAGUUGAUUACACGUGCAAGACUAAUAAACACGUAAGGACGGAAGGAGAUAGUAUCUCCGAAGUGGAAGUAUAUAAGAACAUUUAAGGGUAUACUUCGAUAAUUGAUCGAAUCCCAUUGGUUGGAGUGAUCUUGUAGUCGCUGAACCCGGCUUCGGAGAAAAUCAAGCUCCACACGUUUUCCUCUCGCUCCAUUCCAUCGGAGCCCAUCAUGUAGAUAUCUAACAAAACCUGCGCCUCUAUGGAAUCGUUGGGCUGAGUCACCGGAUAUCCCACCACCAUAUCGAUAAUUAUCACCUUUCCUCCGGCUUCUUUCGCUGGGAUCGCUUCCUUGCACCGGCGCAUUAUCUUGACGCAAUCUUCGUGUUUCCAGUCAUGCAAAAUCCACUGGAACCAAACAUAUUAUUAUAUCCCAUUAGCAUAUAUAGUAGACCAGCAGAAAAAAGAAGAACAUAUCCAAAAAUAAAAAUAAAAAUAAAAAAUUACCUUGAGUAGAACAGCAUCCGCAGGUGGGACAUACUCGAACAUAUUUCCGGCGACGAAGGUCAAAAUGUCGCUGGCGGGAGCCGCGGCGACAACGUGUGCGAGGUCCAGAACGGUGCACUUGAGGUGCGGGAACGCUCUCGCCACGGCCGACGCGGUAGCGCCAUGGUUGCCGCCGAUGUCCACCAGCGAGCUUUUCACUUCCCCGAACGCUCCGCCGUGCUCUUUCAACAGGACCUUCAUGGCGAUGCGGCUGUCCGCGGCCAUGCCGUCGUUGAACAAGCCGCCAUCGACCUUGGUGGUGUCCCAGAACGUGCAGCCGUUGGCCAGCUGGACGAGCGAGUGCGACUGUGCCGACUCUCCCUCUUGGCCUUGGGUAAACCACUCUGGCAUUUUGAGGAGAGAGGUCCAGCAUAACGUGUUGACGAUGGUGCCCACCAUCGGGGACAGGUUGUGCGGUGAUCUCUCGACAAGGAGCCGGGAGACCCGCGUGAGCUUGUAAUACGCAGCGCCAUCACCGGCGUGGUCGUUGCUGCCUUUGCCUUGGACAAUGGAGAAUACCCCGGUGGUGGUGAGCACCCGCAUGACCCGCCGGAGGUUGGAGCGCUUCGUGGGGUGGAUCCCGGUGUCGGAGGCCAGCUCGGACAAGGUGGCGGCGCCGCCGCGGCGGUGGAUGGUGUCGGGGAUGCGCAGGUCCGUGGCGGCCUUGAGCGCCAGUGACUUGACGAAGGCGAGGCCGUGGUGGUAGAGCUCCAGCUGAGCUUGAAGUAACUCGUCGCUGCUCAUGGCGAGGUCUUGGUCUCGUUCGAUGUGCUGCGCGGCCGGCAUGGUGUAUGUGUAUGAUCGAUCGAGUGUGGUAUGCUAGCUGCUACCUGCUUCUUGCUUCUUCCUUACGUAGAGAAAACGUAGUACCUUCUUAUAGAUGCAUGCGCAUGGUAUCCUAGUAGCUAGUUUCCUUUUGCGGGUUUUUUUUUAGGGAAGCUUCCUUUUGCGGGUUGGUUUGAGGUUACUACUUCUAGUUGUAGCCUCCUGUGUGGACGUAGUUUCCCACCCCUACGACUCGAUCGUGUGCACGAUCUCGGUCCCCACCGACGAAUGCAUGUUCAAGACACCCACCCCUUGAUGCAUGUUCAAGACAAUAGCAUUUCUCAAGGGGCAAAACAAGAGAUGACCUACAAAAAAAAAGAUCCUCGUUUGGACCAAUGGUUCUGAAGUCCGUGCACUUCGACCCUACCUAAUUGUUCACUCAAGCACCACAUCACCUUGUGGUCGGCGGGUUAGGAGUAGUAACUACCGUGUGUCCCCAGGGCGCUACGUGUCCAGGUUUAGUAUAGUAUUGAUGCCAUCUUUCCAAGUGACGGUAUCUUGACAAGUGUUGCUCAGCACUAGUUUGGCUUGGCAGCCCGCCCGGGAUCGAUCCCCGUUGGGGACGAUUGCUGGUGUCUCACCAGGGAUUGGCACCCGAAUAGCAUCCCUGCACUUUCGUGCCACGCAAAGCAACGAACAAACAAAAACGAAAAUACUAGAAACUUGAGACUCUAGAAGAAUAGAAGAAGCAACGAACGAACAAAAACGAAAAUACUAGAAACUUGAGACUCUAGAAGAAUAGAAGAAGCAACGGAAGUAACCAGAUCUGGAUAAGUGGCGUAUGAAGAAACCUUGGAAUAGAAGAAGAACACUAGUGCAGAACCGGCCUUUAGUGCCGGUUCGUAACGGCCUUUAGUGCCGGUUCGUAACGGCCUUUAGUGCCGGUUCUACAACCGACACUAAAGAGUGGGGACUAAAGGUCCCCCCUCCUUAGUAUCGGUUUGUCAUGAACCGGCGCUAAAGUGCGAACACGUGGCACGAGCCAGGCCCGGGUGCGCGUAGGGGCUUUAGUACCGGUUGGUAACACCAACCGGUACUAAAUGUUUGUGUUUUUUUUUAUUUUCCAUUACUUAUUUUUGUUUGCUGGUAUUUCACGAUACUACAAAUUGUACACGUUAUGCAUAUAUAUAAAUAGAUUUUCUUGUACGUAUAGAACCGCAUAUAUAGGGUCGAGUGAACAAUUUGGUGAAGCCAUCGCACCAUCACUUGCUCACGCAACCGGGCCUCCUCUCGCAGCCGCUCCCGCUCAUAGCAGCCCGUCCUCAGUCUCAGGCGCGCUAGGUGGGCCUUCGUCUUUGGCUGAGCUCGACGCCGUCANNNNNNNNNNNNNNNNNNNNNNNNNNNNNNNNNNNNNNNNNNNNNNNNNNNNNNNNNNNNNNNNNNNNNNNNNNNNNNNNNNNNNNNNNNNNNNNNNNNNNNNNNNNNNNNNNNNNNNNNNNNNNNNNNNNNNNNNNNNNNNNNNNNNNNNNNNNNNNNNNNNNNNNNNNNNNNNNNNNNNNNNNNNNNNNNNNNNNNNNNNNNNNNNNNNNNNNNNNNNNNNNNNNNNNNNNNNNNNNNNNNNNNNNNNNNNNNNNNNNNNNNNNNNNNNNNNNNNNNNNNNNNNNNNNNNNNNNNNNNNNNNNNNNNNNNNNNNNNNNNNNNNNNNNNNNNNNNNNNNNNNNNNNNNNNNNNNNNNNNNNNNNNNNNNNNNNNNNNNNNNNNNNNNNNNNNNNNAUAUAUAUAUAUAUAUAUAUAUAUAUAUAUAUAUAUAUAUAUAUAUAUAUAUAUAUACCAACACCAUUAUUCACACAUACACAUGUAUACAUAUACAAUUUCUCCUACAUAUGUUGCCUUGGUGCCUCCGGAGCACGAUGACAAGUGGUUCAUGGGGGCGGUAGCGGGUAAUAGUAUUCUCCUUCGGGAUUUAUGACCUAGUCGAGCAAAAAUCCGGCUAUUUCCUCUUGAAGUGCUAGUAUGCGGUCCGAUGGUAGGAGCUUAUCCCGUCUCUGAACUGUUAAGAAGGAGAUCAAUAUGCAUAUGUGUUAGUUGUGUGACUAGAUAUCGAUAAUGGUGUGAAUAGUGUUCUGACAAACAUACCCAGUCAUGUCUAUCAGAUUUGCUCCUUUCAGACGUCAUCAUGCGAAUGUUCUCGCAAACGUAGAAUGCAGACAAAUUAUUCCCCGACGCCUGCUUCAGGGCCUUUACGAGAAUGGAAUUGAAUCAGAUAAUGAUUAAUUAAUCAAGCAUGAUAAUUAAUUAAUGAUAUUAAAACAAGAAUUAAAGAGAUGGUAGCUAGCUAGUACUACUUAAUUACUUACCUUUGGUCGAUGCCAAAACAACUUUUGUUUCCAUUCGCCUGGAGUCACCGCGAUGAACUUUGCCCAUGCCCUGCCCGCCAGCAAAGAAAAUUAAUAAAGGGGUUAUUAAAUAGUUCAUAUCAGAAAAUGACGAACUAAUAAUAGGCCGAGAUAUAUAUAGUUAAUAAUGAUUGAAAUUACCUAUUGACUAUCCCCUUCACGAUGGUGAAGUCACUUUCUUCUUUAGUUAGCGAGUCCAGUAAUUCAACUUUUCCUUCCUCAACUUUAAUGUCUAUCAAGACCCAGUGCCAACUGCAUGCGCACACGUUUGCAUGUCUUAAAUAAGCGGGCAUGUGCAUAAAAUUAAUCAACUACCGUAAACCGUAUACACUUAAUUAUUAAUAUCUAGCUAGAUAGUAAGCAAAAACAGAAUUUGUAGUACAAAACAAUGUGACUCAUGGGAAAUUGUAAGGAAGUAGUAUAUCUUCGUUGCUAUUGAGGCGCUUCAAGAACUCUACCAUGCUUUCCUCUACACCUGCUUGAUAAAAUGGAUACUUCCAUAUGUCCUCAUUAAUGGUAUUUGGGUCAAUGAACCCAAUGCCAUAGCAUCCAAAUUUUUUCAUUUCAUACAUCUUCAUCCUCCAUAUAAUACCACAGAAAAGAAUAUAGUGAGGAUAAUUACAUGUAAUGAUUGAUCAAAAUUAUCACUACAUAAUUAGCUUGAGACUUAAAUUACAAAAAGAAAUCAGUUACAGACAAUAGCAACUGACGAUAGACUUGUCAAGUGCGUCUUGAUUGAAUAACUGAUAUAGUUCUGAAUACUCAAUGGACAGAGCUUUCUCAUGGUAAUAAUGCUGCUUCUUGACAUUCACCAUGAGGGACACUCGAUUGGAAAUCUUGGUCAUGUUUAUGUACCAUUGAUGCAAUUCAUACAUUCUCGUUGGGAGGUCCUUGACCUUGUCUGGAUGGACCAAAGGUUGGCCCCAGGCAUAUUUCCAUUUUAUUUCCGAUUCUUUAAGCGGAGACAUGGGCUCGAUUUCGAGGAGUUGUCCAACAGAGAUCUUGAGCAUUUCAGCCUGCAUUAUAUGCUCCUCCGUUAUUACCACAUCGCCCUGCUAGGGAACGCUAACGGUUUGCCCGCAAUAAUAUUUGGCGCGCAUACUCCUCUCAUGUGUUGUUGGCACAACAAGCGGGGGGAUCUCUUGCGCCGCCUGUUCUCCCAGCUGGGGAACGGUUUUCCCGCAUUUUUUGCCAGCUGCUUGUUGGCUCGAGUUCGAUCUCGCUUCCUUCCGUAGCCGUGCUCGAUGUAGCUUUCUGAUUUGACGCUGAUAGUCUGAGUCAACAGGCUUGGGAGCUGGUGCUCUAGCCAUAUGAAUGAAGUGGUCAAUCGUUUUCUCAGGCACUUUCUCCUUUGGCGGCGGUGCCAGUUUCGGUCCAAAAUGGGCGUCCACUUGGGCCUGCACUAUGGCUGCGUUUUGCUCCUCGGUCAUGUUGUAAGGCCUCUGAGGAAGAGGAGUGAGGCUUGGACCAUAUUUAUAUCGCUUGUCUCCGCCUGUACUUCCUGAACAACCUCGACUCGUACCGCUACGCACCAAAGCUGUGGCAUGUCUCUUCUGUGAUUGCUGAGACGGCGGAGACGGCUGACGUGGAGUUGGACCAGGAGAAGUGGGCUGACGAUGUGCCGGACUUGAAGCAGGAGGUGUGGCCUGACACGGUGCCGGACUUGAAACCGGAGAAGUGGCAUGACGUUGUGCCGGACUUGAAACCGGAGGAGUCAUCUCACGCGUUCGGGGACUUGGAGGUCGUGGCGGACUUCGAGGAGGAGUCGUCUCACGCGUUCGUGGACUUGGAGGAGCGGGAGUCUGUUGACUCGGUGGCGGACUUCGAGGACUCGGCAGACGACGCGGUGUCGGUGGACUUCGAAAGAUGAUGCAAUCAUUUCUCCAUAGGAUGAUACGAUGCAUGGCCUGUCCUAGUGUGCGCUCGUCUUCACCUCCAGGAAUGUCAAGCGUUAGCCCCGAAUAUGGGUCCACCACUUCAUCAACCAUGACACGAGCAUAGCCCUCUGGAAUCGGGAUGCAAUGGUAGGUUGCUUCGGGGGUAACUGGAAAAGCGACGCCGUCCGCCACCUUCAUGGAUAUGUUCUUCAUUUUGGAGUGUAGCUCACAGUUAGUGUUCUCUAUGAUGUCAUCCAUAGGGUAUGUAUCCAGCAGUGUGUCGCCCGGGGCAGAACCAACGCUGCUUCUCGGCAUGGAUGGAACGGUGCUAUCCAAUGCUGGACGAUCAUCCGCUUGUUGUUGCCGCUGCUGAGACCCCCUUUCCUGGCUAAGUGAGUCGAUCUGCUGCUGCUGCUGAAUUUUAGUGCCAGGUCCGCGUGCCUUGCUUCUAGGCCUUGAAGACGUUCUGCGUCCUGCUUCCUCUUCUCCUCCUCCAGCUUCCUCUUCUUCUCCUCCUCCAUCUUCUUUCUUGCACGGGACCUGUAGUCGUCAUUCCAGUCCGAAAAGCCCUCAUACCAGGGAAUAACACCCAUGCCUCGCGUUCUUCCCGGUGUUCAGGAUUUCCCAGGGCACGCGUAAGCUCGUCGUUCUCUCUGUUGCGCGUGAACACCCCCGCUCGAGCUUCUUCUAUUGCGUCAAGUAUCUUUUGUUCGGCUCCUUUUAGACUUGCCUUCUUCAAAACCAGGCCUGUCUUUGGGUCCAACGCCCCCCCAUGCGCAUAGAACCAAGUUCUGCACCUGGGGGGCCAGCUCCUAGUAAUUGGAGUGACCCCUGCACCCUCCAUCUCUUGCUCAGACUUAUCCCACUUAGGCAAUCCCACCGCGUAGCCACCUGGACCCAGCCUAUGGAACUGCGUCUUUCUUGCGGCAUUUGCCUUGUUUUUCAUCGACCAUUCCUUAGAUAAUUCUGAAUCCUUGAAGGUCACGAAAUCGUCCCAGUGUUCUCUUUGCUUCUCUAGUGUUCCCUUGAAAUCUGGAGUCUUCCUUUCAUUAGCGAGGUAGUUGGCCCAUACAGUUUUCUUGUGGGUGUUGAAUGCAUUUGCCAUCUUCUUAAGAGCAGCGGCCUUGACUUUCUCCACAUCUGCUUUAGUGAAAUGAUCUGGUAGGGUGAAAUGUUCCAUCAGAGAUUUCACCAGGUCUUCUUUGGCUCUGCCAUCGACCCAAGUAACACCUAGACGUUUAGUCUUUGGCUCUUUCCAUUCUUGAAUGGAGAUCACGAGUUUGUCCUUCACAAGAACUCCGCACUAACGAGUCCACUUAUUAUCAACGUUCUUAGGCGUGAGGGGUUAGCCACUAAGUUUGGUGGAUUCGAUGUGGUACUUUACACCAUCCUUCAACAAUCUGCCCGGGCCUCGCUUUGUCUUGCUGUAUGUAGAAGCAGAUUUGCUCGAUCCGGAGGGCUGAAAGAAGAAAGAUCGAUUCGUUAAUAUAUCUUCAAUAAAAAAACAUGUGAUGAUCACCAGGAUGCAUGCUUAUAUAAAUAUAUACCUCGCCGGAAGUCUUUGUUAUUUGAAGAUCAGCAUUGUCUGUGUCAUCACUAACAUUGUCUGUGUCAUCAUAAUCAUAGUUCAUGACUUCAUCAGCUCGGUCGUCGAGAUCAAAUAUCUUUCCGUCACCCUCUCCGGUAUUGUUCAGAUAUUGGGAGCCGUCAUCAUUCAGAUCAUCUAGCCUCUGAGGGCUGCGUAUGAUGUCGAACAAUUCCUCCUCUCUCUCUCUGCCGGUAUUGUCCGCCAUAGCUUUUACUUUACUAAUUAAUACAGAAGAAAUAUAAAACAAUUUAGUAUUCAAAUUACAAUGCAUGGCUGCAAUUAAUCAAUAAGAAAAAACUGAAUCUCGAAUACAUUGUCUCGAAUAUAUAAUCUCGAAUACAUCAUCGCCUUAAUAUAUAUAAUCUCGAAUACAUCGUCUCGAAUAUCAUAUAUCGAAUACAUCACUGGCUAGGUACCUAAUAAAGAUCGAGUACUACAGAAGAAUCUAGGGCGCCACUCGCGGUUCCUGGGGCGCGGGCGGUGCACACCCAAAGAGAAGGAACCAUCACAGGAUCAUAUCUCUGGUUAUCUGCCCAAAGAACCCGCCAAGUAGUGGAGAACCUGACGUCGUCCAUAGCAGCCAUGUACCGAUGGACCUGCUCAUCUUCCUCCCUGACACGGCGACGCACCACCUCCGGCGGGGCCGACUUCCUCUGCACCAAAUGUGGCCCACGCGAACGCCACCAAAGAAGAUCAGGGUCGACGACGGGACCCGACGUCGGGUUCCUCACCAAGCGGCGCGCCCCUCCAGGUAGCAACUCCCAGUGCCAGCCCGGCGGAGCCCAGUCCCGGACAUGGGUCCUCUGAAGCAUGACGUCGUCGCGAACGGGUCGAUGGCGAGGAUGCGGGCCGGGCAUAUCGUCGAGAACAAAUACUAUAUGCCCGCAAAAAGUAACAUUUUUUAAAUGAUUGGAUUGUGAUAACUAAAAUUCUAUAUAUAUGCAAAUUCUAACAAUUUGACAUUAAUCUAAUUCAUCUAACUAAAACUAAUUCUAAAAUUUCCUGAUUAUAUAACUAACAUUUCUAUAACAUUUCUAAUAUUUAUAUAACUAAAAAAUAGAUAAAUUGCUAACAUUUUUAUAAAUAUUUCUAUAACUAAAAACAGAAAACAUUUAUAACAUUUCUAUAUAACUAACAUUUCUAAUAUUUAUAUAACUAAAAAAUAGAAUAAUUUCCUAACAUUUCUAUAACUAAAAAACAGAAUUUUUUUAACAAAACAAACUAAUAAUGUGUGUGUGUAGUGUGUGUGUGUGUGUAGUGUGUGUGUGUGUGUGGACAUGGCAGCCGGGGCGAGCUCACCGGCGAGGCGACGACGGGGCGGCAACGACGGGGAGNNNNNNNNNNNNNNNNNNNNNNNNNNNNNNNNNNNNNNNNNNNNNNNNNNNNNNNNNNNNNNNNNNNNNNNNNNNNNNNNNNNNNNNNNNNNNNNNNNNNNNNNNNNNNNNNNNNNNNNNNNNNNNNNNNNNNNNNNNNNNNNNNNNNNNNNNNNNNNNNNNNNNNNNNNNNNNNNNNNNNNNNNNNNNNNNNNNNNNNNNNNNNNNNNNNNNNNNNNNNNNNNNNNNNNNNNNNNNNNNNNNNNNNNNNNNNNNNNNNNNNNNNNNNNNNNNNNNNNNNNNNNNNNNNNNNNNNNNNNNNNNNNNNNNNNNNNNNNNNNNNNNNNNNNNNNNNNNNNNNNNNNNNNNNNNNNNNNNNNNNNNNNNNNNNNNNNNNNNNNNNNNNNNNNNNNNNNNNNNNNNNNNNNNNNNNNNNNNNNNNNNNNNNNNNNNNNNNNNNNNNNNNNNNNNNNNNNNNNNNNNNNNNNNNNNNNNNNNNNNNNNNNNNNNNNNNNNNNNNNNNNNNNNNNNNNNNNNNNNNNNNNNNNNNNNNNNNNNNNNNNNNNNNNNNNNNNNNNNNNNNNNNNNNNNNNNNNNNNUGACGAGGGGCGGGGGCGGCGACGUCGACGGGGACGGCGUCGAUCAGGGCAGGGCGGCGCGACGGAGGGAGGAAACAGAGGGAAGAAACAGAGGGAAACUGAAUUUUUUUAAGUGUUGUAUAUAUAUAGGAUGGACCUUUAGUACCGGUUGGAGCCACCAACCGGUACUAAAGGUCUGUUUUCACCAGGCCAAGCAGCGGGAAGCGCACCCCCUUUAGUACCGGUUGGUGGCUCCAACCGGUACUAAAGACCCCCCCCCCUUUAGUACCAGUUGGUGCCACGACCCGGUACUAAAGGGGUGCGCUGGCGCAGUGUGGUGCGGCAAGUUUAGUCCCACCUCGCUAGUCGAAGGGCUACCGCACUGGUUUAUAAGCCCAGUGCGGUAGCUCUCUCGAGCUCCUCUCCUACGUAGGCCUACUAGGCCUACCAAUUCAUUGCGGCCAUGUGGGCCUACUGGGCCUUUGCGGGCCUGCAUCCUAGCCCAACAAAAGGUUGAGUUUCUAGUCGUAUGCAGGCUGCUUUGGCCCAGUAGGCGGGCUUUCUUAUUUUCUUAAUUUUUUUUUGCUUUUUUUGUUUUAUUUAUUUUUGAGUUAUUUUUUGCUGUAUUUAGAGUUUCUUUGUGAAUAUUUUUUCUUUAGGUACAAAAAUUUACAAACUUUGAUCUGUUAGUGCCGGUAGUUUUCAAAUAUGAAUAGUCUAAAUUUUGAAUUAUUUGAAAUUUGCGUGAAUCACUAGUUUGUGAAUAACUUAACUUUGAAAAAAGAUUUUUCAGUGAUUCUUUUUUAUUAUGUUUAAUAUUAGUGUGUUUUAUCAUUAUAUUCAAUUUGGUAAUGCUUAGGUUAUUUAAAAAAUGAAAUGCCUUUGUAACAUUUCAGUUUUCGUCGGAAACCCUGAUACUUCGAAAAAGAUUGUCCAUUUUGUACACGAAGUGUAUCCAGUUUUUGCCGUAACCCUCUCUACUUUUUUGCACAUGCUAUUUGUAUGAAAUUAUGAUACCAUGCCAACUUUCAACCUUUUCUGAGUUCAUUUCAAAUGCUUUUCAAUUUCAGGGUCAUUUAGCUGGAAAAAAAUCAGUAAAUGCAUGAAAAGAAUUUGUUUGCACAUAAAAUUUCUUCGCGUUUCAAAUGCCAAAACACAUAAUUAACUACCCUAACUAUUACAGACAUUCCCUCCUGGGUGUGAAACACAGAAGAAAGUGAUGAUAGUGAAGCCGAUCACAUCCCAGAUCUUUGGGUGUGAAACUUUUUCUUCUCGUGUGUCCCUUUGCGCCGUAGCCAUGGAAAAUCUUCAUCAUUUAACUGGAUGCUCGGGUCAAUAUUCACUGUGAAUGGAGAAAUUUCAUCAAACUUUUCAUAAUCUUCUGACAUGUCUGUCUUGUCAUCCACUCCCACGAUGUUUCUUUUUCCUGAAAGAACUAUGUGGCACUUUGGCUCGUUGUAUGAUCCAUUCGCUUCCUUAUCUUUUCUUUUUCUCGGCCUGGUGGACAUGUCUUUCACAUAAAAAACCUGCGCCACAUCAUUGGCUAGGACGAAUGGUUCGUCUGCAUACGCAAGAUUGUUGAGAUCCACUGUUGUCAUUCCGUACUGCGGGUCUUCCGUUACCCCGCCUCGUGUCAUAUUGACCCAUUUGCACCGAAACAAAGGGACCUUCACAUCACCUGAUCCAUAGUUAAGUUCCCAUAUGUCCUUUAUGUAACCAUAAUAUGUUUCCUUUCCCGUGUUGGUUGUUGCAUCGAAGCGGACACCACUGUUUUGGUUGGUGCUCUUCUUAUCUUGGGCGAUCGUGUAAAAUGUAUUCCCAUUUAUCUGGUACCCUUUGAAAGUCAUUAUAUUCGAAGAUGGUAACUAGGACAGCGAGUACAGGUCAUUUUGAAUAUCACCAUCAUUCAGGGCACGUUUCUGCAACCAACCGGCGAAAGUCCUCGUUUGUUCACGUGUAAUCCAGUCGUCAGAAUUCUCCGGGUGUUUGGACUGUAGAAAAUUCUUGUGUUCCUCCAUAUACGGAGCCACCAAGGCGGAAUUCUGUAGAACUGUGUAUUGUGCUUCAGUGAGAGAAUGCCCGUCCAUACAUAUUAUUUGAUGCCCUCCUAGCGUGCCUUUUCCUUCCAGUCUACCCUUAUGCCGCGAUUCAGGAACACCAAUCGGCUUAAGGUCAGGAAUAAAGUCAAUACAAAACUCAAUGACCUCCUCGUUUUCAUGGCCCUUUGAGAUGCUUCCUUCUGGCCUAGCACGGUUAUGAACAUAUUUCUUCAAGACUCCCAUGAACCUUUCAAAAGGGAACAUAUUGUGUAGAAAUACAGGACCCAAAACGUUAAUCUCUUCGCAAAGGUGAACUAGGACGUGCGUCAUGAUGUUGAAGAAGGAUGGUGGGAACACCAACUCGAAACUGACAAGACAUUGCACCAAAUCAUUCUGUAACCUUGGUAUGAUUUCUGGAUUGAUUACCUUCUGAGAGAUUGCAUUGAGGAAUGCACAUAGCUUCAGAAUGGCCAAUCGAACGUUUUCCGGUAGAAGCCCCCUCAAUGCAACCGGAAGGAGUUGCAUCAUAAUCACGUGGCAGUCAUGAGACUUUAGGUUCUGGAACUUUUUGUCUGCCAUAUUUAUUAUUCCCUUUAUAUUCGACGAGAAGCCAGACGGUACCUUCAUGCUGAGCAGGCAUUCGAAGAAGAUUUCCUUCUCUUCUUUGGUAAGAGCGUAGCUGGCCUGACCCUGAUGUAUGUCAUCUUUUCCAUGCAUAUGUUGCUGGUCCUCCCGUGCCUCUGGUGUAUCUUUUGUCUUCCCAUACACGCCCAAAAAGCCAAGCAGGGUCACGCAAAGAUUCUUCCUCACGUGCAUCACGUUGAUUGCGGAGCGGACCUCUAGGUCUUUCCAAUAUGGCAGGUCCCAAAAUAUAGAUUUCUUCUUCCACAUGGGUGCGCGUCCGUCAGCGUCCUUCGGAACAGGUUGUCCGCCAGGACCCUUUCCAAAGAUUACCUUCAAAUCCUUGACUAUAUCAUGUACAUCAUCACCAGUACGGUGGCGAGGCUUCAUCCGGUGAUCCGCCUCACCUUUGAAAUGCUUGCCUUUCUUUCUUACGGGAUGCCUGCUCGGAAGAAAUCGACGAUGUCCCAGGUACACAUUCUUCUUACAACUAUUCAAAUAUAUACUGUCGGUAUCAUCCAAACAGUGCGUGCAUCCGCGGUAUCCCUUGUUUGUCUGUCCUGAAAGGUUACUGAGAGCAGGCCAAUCAUUGAUGGUCACGAACAACAACACCUUUAGGUCAAAUUCUUCCCCCAUGUGCUCAUCCCACUCACGUACAACUGUUCCAUUCCACAGUUGUAAGAGUUCUUCAACUAAUGGCCUUAGGUACACAUCAAUGUCGUUGCCGGGUUGCUUAGGGCCUUGGAUGAGCACUGGCAUCAUAAUGAACAUCCGCUUCAUGCACAACCAAGGAGGAAGGUUAUACAAACAUAGAGUCACAGGCCACGUGCUAUGGUUGCUGCUCUGCUCCCCAAAAGGAUUAAUGCCAUCUGCGCUUAGACCAAACCAUACGUUCCUUGGGUCACCUGCAAACUCCUCCUAGUACUUUCUCUCGAUUUUUCUCCACUGCGAACCGUCAGCGGGUACUCUCAACUUUCCGUCUUUCUUACGUUCUUCUGCGUGCCACCGCAUCGCCUUCGCAUGCUCUUUGUUUUGGAACAAACGUUUCAACCGUGGUAUUAUAGGAGCAUACCACAUCACCUUGGCAGGAAUCUUCUUCCUGGGGCGCUCACCCUCGACAUCACCAGGGUCAUCGUGACUGAUCUUAUAACACAAUGCACCGCAUACCGGGCAAGCAUUCAAAUCCUCGUACUCACUGAGGUAGAGGGUGCAGUCAUUAGGGCAUGCAUGUAUCUUUUGCACCUCUAACCCUAGAGGGCAGACACCCUUCUUUGCUUCAUACGUACUCUCGGGCAAUUCGUUGUCCUUUGGAAGCAUAUUCUUUAUCAUUACCAACAACUUUCCAAAUCCCUUGUUAGAUACACCAUUCUCUGCCUUCCAUUGCAGCAAUUCAAGUGUGGUGACCAACUUUUUUUUGUCAGCUUCGCAAUUCGGGUACAACAAUUUCUUGUGAUCCUCUAACAUGCGCUGCAACUUCGUCCUCUCCAGAUCACUUGCACAGUUUCUCUUUGCAUCGGCAAUGGCCUGACCUAGAUCAUCAGCGGGCUCAUCUGAUGCCUCUUCUUCAACUUCUUGCUACAUUGCCGGCUCAGCUUCUUCCCCCAUUGUUGUAUCAUUGUAUUCAGGGAACCCAUGGCCAGGAUAGCCGUCGUCGUCCUCUUCUUCUUCAUUGUCUUCCAUCAUAACCCCUAUUUCUCCGUGCUUGGUCCAAACAUUAUAGUGGGGCAUGAAACCGGACUCAAAUAGGUGGACGUGAAUGGUUCUUGACGUAGAGUAACUGUGAACAUUCUUACAGCCAGCACAUGGACAAGGCAUAAAACCAUCCGCCCGCUUGUUUGCCUCAGCGGUAAGCAGAAAAGUAUGCACACCAUUAAUGAACUCGGGAGAGCAUCUGUCAUCAUAUAUCCAUUGUCGGCUCAUCUUCAUUACACAACACCGAAUAGACCAAAUUAAUACAAGUUCAUACAUAAAGUUCAUACAUAAAGUUCAUAUACAACACUUAAUUAAAUGCAACAUACAAAUUACUCUCUAGCUAAAGAAUUUAAAUGCAACAACAAAUGUGAUGAAGAUCGCAAUUAAGGUAACAAUUGAUCCAACAUCAUAAUGAUACCAAGCCACACUAUCAAUGGCAUAUUUUCUAAUCUUUCUAAUCUUCAACCUCAUUCGACGACAUCGGCAACAUGCAACUCCAAUUCCAUCUUCUCCCCCUCAAUUCUUUUCAAUUUUUCUUUCAAAUACUCGUUUUCUCUUUCAACUAAAUUUAACCUCUCGACAAUAGGGUUGGUUGGAAUUUCCGGUUCACAUACCUCCUAGAUAAAAAUAUCUAUGUCAACUUGAUGGGCAUAAUUGGUCAUAAACACGAAAUGCAACAACUAGUUUUAAAUGAGAAUAUACCACAUCCGAAUCAUAACAAGGACGAGGGCCGACGGGGACGGAUAUCAAAACCAUGGCACUAUGUAUAACAAACAACGUCUGGGUAAGAUAAUUAUACGAGUAACUAUAUAUCUAAAUCACACAAACAUCAAUUUGGUAAUGUAAAACAUUCAUGAACAAGAGCCUCACCACAAGGUGGUGCCGGCGACGGGACGGUGCGGGCGAUCGACGGUGGUUACGACGGAGAUUUAGCAGGCACUAAGUAAACCACACCUACAUAUGCAAACUAAGUGUUAUUUUUGACCUCAAAUUGCAUAUAAAUCAAAUACUAGCAAAUAUAAUUCCUCCCAAAUUAAUCACUAUACAAAGCAUUGCAAGAGCUAAUCUAGCAAUGAGAGUUGAAAGGACAAAGUUGCUAACCUUUGUGAUCAUUUGAAUGGAUGGGGGCCUUCAAAUCUUGACAAAUUUUGGGCAAAAUUUGUGAGGAGCUCGAGGAAGAGAGGGGAAGAACAGAGGAAGUGAGGGGAAAGGGGAAGAACAGAUUGGCUCGGGUGGACGAAGGGUUUAUGUAGGUCGACCUUUAGUACCGGUUCGUGCCAUGAACCGGUACUAAAGGUGCUAGAGGGGCCCCAGACUGACAACACCCUGCCACCACUCUCUUUAGUACCGGUUCGUGGCACGAACCGGUACUAAAGGUUCGCCAUGAACCGGUACUAAUGAGAACGGCUGGCUAGCCGUUGGAACCGGCACUAUUGGACACAUUAGUGCCGGCUCAAAAUCAAACCGGCACUAAUGUGUCUCAUAUUAGGUCCGUUUUCUACUACUGGAAGAUAUAGGAGGCUAAGCUUGGAAGACAAUAAGGAAACAAAAAGAUGGUUAGAAGAGUAGAAGAAGCAAGAUGGUAGAAGAGUAUAAGAAGCAAACAUGAGUGCCAAGUUAAAAAAGUCUGAGGAUAGAAGAGUAGAAGAAACAACGGAAGUGACUGGAUCCGGACAAGUGGCAAGAAACCUUAGAAUUAGAAGAAAGAAAAUAUUGACGGGCUAUAUGAGCUUGGAAGACACCAAGGAAAAAUAUGGUACAUGAGUAGAAGAAGCAAUCAUUAGUGCCAAGUAAAGUCUAAGGAUAGUUGUUGGAAUAGCUCUAGUCUCUUAGAGAAAGUUAAGAAUAGUUGUGAUAAUAGUUGUAAUAACAUGGUAAGGAGUAGUAUUUUGUUAGAGGUAGUUUAGAAAGAGGUGGAAUUUAAGAUCUGUUCAAUAGUGUCUUGCUGGUGUGGUGGAUGAAAAUACUAAGUCCGUAAUCCUGUUUAUCUCUGGUUUCAUUCCAGUAAUGGAAUUGGGAGCUAUGCUCCGUAAUUCAAAAAAUGAAGUGAUGGUAUCUUUUCAUAGUUGAACUUUUAUAAUGCCUUCCGUUCAAUUUGUGUCGUCUCAUAAAAGCCAUCUUGGAGCAUCCAAGAUACUUCAAAUGAGAAGCCGUUCCUAUUACCGAGGUGUGCCAAAUUUGCUGAUCAACUUAGACUAGCCAUAAAAGUAGUAAUGUAGGUAGUAACAUAAAACUCAAUGCAAUGCCAACAAGAUAUCUUGAGUACAUGGCAUGUCAAUGAAUGAGGAAGAGAAUCUUGUGAUAACUAGCUAUGUUACCAUAUAACAUCACAAACUCCAAAACAAGAUUAGUAUACAACCUAAUAAAUGGAACUUUGCAUGAUACUAGCCAUUAGUUACUACCCACUAUGAAGGUGGUAACAUAGACUAGAAACAUAGGCAUGACACUAGUCUAUGUCACUCCCCACAAUAACUUGUCUUAAUGAUAUGGGCCUUCGUCUAUUGGUCUGGGCUUGGUCAACGGGUGUCGAACUGCUCUACACCAAUGAUAAUAGCUUGGGUUUGCAGAAUAUGGAAAGUUACCUGUUUGACAGAAGAAAUUAUGUGUUUGGCUAUUUUGCAGAAAGUGAUGUAUUCUCCAAAAAAUGAUGUAUUUUGUAGAAAAUGGAAAGUUAACCCGGUAAAUUUUUUAUUAAUUUUUUGUUUACACACGUACAAAAAAAGUAUGUACAAAUCUAAAAGAAAAUAAAACAUAAGAUCCUAUGCAUAUUAUUUACUGUCAGCUUUUGUCAGCUCCGUUUCAAAAUAUAAGAUGUUUUAGCUUUGUGAAGUGAGUGUAUCUAGACUCUUUUGAUGUUUAGGUUCACUCUGAACUAUAAACUAAAGAUAUCUAGAUACAUUUGCUUCACAAAGCUAAAACAUCUUAUAUUUUGAAACGGAGGGAGUAGGUGUUAAAGGGGACGGCCAGAAUUGGGAGUGUAGGAAAGGAGCAUGUCGUUUCGUGUAGGAUGCGGUUGUGUCCAAGCCUGCUUCAAGAAUUGAAGUGUUCGUGGGGAGGCGUGACGAAAGGGAUCCAACGUUAUGUUAUUUGAUUAACACGUGUGGAGUUAAAUAAAGAAUGAUUAGUUUAAGGUUGAAGUAGUUUCUCCUAGUUGGUUUAUGAGGCGUAUGAAUUCAGCCGAUGGUUCAGAUUAAACGAGAAAGAUUAGUCCCAUAGAUCCAACAAGACAUAAUCAUUAGAAGAAACUGUAAUAAAACUAAUAGUAUCAGGAUAGGCCUAGGCCCAUCAAUUGCGAAAGCAACGCACAAAAUCCCGACGCAACUAUCUCCUGCGAGCACACCGCCGCCUACACACCCACCAGCUACCACGCCGCCGCCUCCACAUCCAGUCAUCCACCAGCCACCACGCCCCCACCUCCAUCUAGCCCACGGUGACCGCCCAUUCCACUGCCGAGCACUCUGCCGCCAACUUGACAACGUUCGUUACCUCAUCAACAUCCGACGCCUCAUCUUUGGAAGGUUGUGUCACUGCUGAACCCCCUACUGUAAACCUAGCCUCCUUUGACGGCAGCCCAGACUAUGCCCUGUUCGAUUUAUGGUUUCACUUACAGGUACAUGAGUGGUACUACUAAUUCUAAUUUCCUAGAUGACAUGAGCACCUAAUUAGAUGAGCCCUUAUGCAGCAGGAGACCCAGGAAAGCAUUCGUGAUGGAGAUUGGUCGUGCAACAUGAUGCUCUGGCUAUGCUUUGAAUUUCCUGCAUAUUUACCUUACUAACAAGCAUCACUGAAUGGAAAUUAGAAUCAUCAAAUUAUGUUAGUUAUGAAGCAGGUUGAUGUUUGAACAAUUUACCAAUGUCGGUGACACAACUAGUACACAUGAAAAGCCCAACAACCAUUGGUGUAUGUAGAUGAUAUGACCUUCAACCUUUUUAGUCUUUGUUCCAUUUACUGAAGUGUUGUAUCACUUAAUUCUGCGAAUCAUUUAUCAACCACACCCAGGUAUCCAUUUUAAUUAUUUGUGUCACUACCAAAGUAAUUGUAUGAGAAUAAUUAUUUGUUUUCCAUGGAAAAUAAUUUUUCAUCUGUAUUGUUCUGCCAAUUGUAUUUCUAGUAUCCUAUGCAUAUUAUUUACUGUCUCUUUUUCUUUAUAUACCAUGCAGUUUGUGAUUUCAGAAAACAACCAAUCAAGUCUAUGAUACUCAUCUAUAUUCUGGUGAGUUAAAGAUCCAUAUGAAGUUUGUUGGGCAUCAUCUAAUCUUAUUCUGUGCCUUGUCUAGAGUUGAUUAGCUCUAGUGUUUAUAUUAGUAUUCUUAAUGCUGAAGUUUGUGUGUUCGAUUUGUUGGAAAACAGAUGAAUGCAACAACUGAUCAGGUUCAAGAAAGAUGAAGCAAGAAAUGUUGUUUCCCAGGCUCUAAAUCUGAAGCUUCCUUUUGAUGAGAUAGAUUUGAUGGAGGAGAACCUAGAGGUGGAGCUGAUCAGGAGGCAACUGGGUCUUCAGCAUGUUAGGUCCUGAUGAUAAGUCAAUUUUGACGUUAAAUGUGAACCUAUUUCUAAGACGUGUCAAUCACAAUUUUUUCUCAAGGACCAAAUUAGUUGCUGAAAUCUGUUGUUUUCCCAAAUCAUCUACUCUUCUGGGAGCUCUUUGUGAUAUCAUCGAUACUAGUACUUCUCAAGCAGAGCAAUAAUACUGAUAUAAAAAGGUACUUCUGCUUUUCAUUUGCAUGAUACAUGAAGAAUAAUAAGAGGCAGAAAGUGCAAGUAACACUUGCAUGAUCAUGCAAGUCUUUGUGAGCACCUCCAUUUGUCCUAGGAAUGUCAUAAUUUUCUUAAGAGUAUUCACUUCGGAAAGCAGGAGCUAAAAACCUAUUUUAGCCUGUUUAUGCUAUCAGCAUUCUUGCUGAUGUCCAUGUUCUGCUCGAGGAUAUCAAAGAGCAGAAACAAAGAAUCAGGUAAAUUUUGAACCCCGUUGAAGAAUUGAUUGGAGGGAGCUUGCUCUUUAGCUCAGUAUGGGAUAUAGUGUUCACCAUUUGUUACUGCAAAUGAACCAAGUGGUUCACCUAUAUGUAAGCUUACGCGCACCUUUGGAAGGAGCGGCAGUCCCUCAUGGAGUGCGUAGACCUCUUGACCCCGUCCCUGUCGGUAAAGCUUGUUGGAAAUAUGAGCAAACUACUAUGAGUUUUAAUCCAAAUAAACAGAUGAUAAAUCAUGACAGCACUAGCAAAGAUUAAACUAAUCAUGUGAAAUAGCAUAGUAGAUGAACAAAUGACAUCUAGGGCACAUACUAGAAACAUGAAUUCUACCAGGAUCUCGAAUAGGAAGGAUAGAAUCACAUACGGUGCAGCGGUUGCAGCACCGCCGGUGUUGACGUUGUCGCCCAUGUCGUCGAGGAUGAGGUUGCCAAGGUUGGGGAAGAACUCGUCGUUCGCGAAGUCGUCGCUACGAGCAGUCGCGCAAGUGCGCUCCCUAAAAACCUGAUCGCCCCUCUCCCAUACACGAUCAUGAGAGGCGGGGUUCCAGAGGCCUGCUGUCCCUUCUCCCGGUGCACGCCGAAAGGAGGGAUGGAGAAGACUAGCUUGGCGGCUCAAUGAUCUGGAACGGUGGUGAGAAACCAUAUGAAGCGGCAACUACUAGGGUAGACGUCUUCCUGACUAUAUAGUGCGGGCCGGGUAGGUCGUGGGAGUUAACCCCACGUCCGAGUUGUCACGAUCCAAAAGAAUCAGAAAUGGUUCAGUAAUUAACUCGUCCAUUGCUUAUUAAUUAAUGACUCAUUAAUUUUUCCCGAGCAGCAAAAAUAUAGACAACAUGCAUAGCUCUGUCUUCGGCUCGCCUCGAUCCUGCAACCCGCGGCGCGGUGCGGCGUCGGCUUUGAUCUCGACGUGGACUCCUGUCACCUCCGAUAACGGCAGCGCACUGGAGACAUGGAGUGGAUGAGAUGUCGAUGAGGCGGGUGUCGACGAAAUCUUUGGCACGAGGGGACGAGAUCCUCCGCGGUCCACCCGACGAUGGGGUUGAUGCUGGUGCAGGGGCUGGCGUGACCAGCGUAUCCGUACCCAACUUGAUCGGAGUACGGAGUCGAACGGACCCGACGAUGUUGAUGUGGAAGCGGAGGCUCCCAAAAGUCAAAUCGAUACCCUUGUGGAGGGCGCUGAACACGGCGCGUUGCUCCAGGGUGUGUGGCACGAACUCGAGGGAGCCGAAGAAGAUCUGCUCCGCAAGAGUCGACGAACUGCCAUUCGUUGAGAUGAGGAUCAGAGACUCCAUGGGUCCAGUAGACGAAAUUCCCACAUACGGUGCGAAUCGACGAGGGAGUACCUCGGCAAUGCCCAUGGUUGUGGACUUAGGGUUUUGAUGAAUCAUGUCUACCGGUGGAAUCGACGAUCUAAACGUGAGGUGUGAAACACAAGACACAGAUUUACCCAGCUUCAGGCCCUUGUAAAGGAAACCCUACGUGUUGCUUGUCGGAUCUUUAUAUUGAUGGAGUGUACAAAGUCGUUGAGAUCGGAGACUAGGGUUAGCCCUUGCGCAUGGCCAAGGCUAGAUCAAUCGUGAUGGUGGUUGUGAGGUUUGUGUGCGUUAUUGUUGUGUCGACCCCGUACCCCUCUCCCAGCCUUUAUAGACUAGGCUGGGUCCCGAGUUCGUAUCAGGAUCAGUUUACAUCAUGGUAAGGGGGUUUCCCUAUCUACUUACAAUAGCACUUCCUUACGGAUCACGUCAUGUCCGUGGGCUUCCUGGGCUCCAAGCGUGGCGAUGACCUGGACCUCGAGUCCUUCCAGGCCGCAGGCCUCCUGUUAUGCGAUACCAGGUAUCCUUAUGGUGGGCACCCGCAGGGUCAUGCCCACAACAAUCAUCCAAAUUAUCAUGCCUAUCUUAAUGGCUAUAAAGAAAGAGCUUUUGGGAGACAACCCAUUAUAUUUUUUCUUUCAGUUUAUUUUUGUUUCUUUGAGUCUUGGAAGUUAUUACCUCUGUAAUAACCUCUCCUUAUCCUUCUUGUUUCGUUUUUGUGCCAAGAAUAGCCACUAAUGGGAGGAAAGUGAGAUUUGGGGAAGUUGCUAUCCCGAAACUGAUUUUGUGCUGUCACCAAAAAAAUUAAUUCUCUCAGCCAGAACGUCGGAUUGAUAUGAAAUGUUUUAUGCUCAUGCCCCAGGUUGUUACCCAACUUGUUCUAUGGUGCUCUCCGUGUCGCGCAAGCGUGAGGGAUCCCCGCUGUAGGGUUUGCAAUAUGUUCAUGAUUUGCUUAUGGUGGAUGGCGUGAGUGACAUAAGCACAGACCCGAGUAAGUAGGUUGUUUGCGUAUGGGAUAAAGGGGACUUGAUACUUUAAUGCUAUGGUUGGGUUUUACCUUAAUGAUCUUUAGUAGUUGUGGAUGCUUGCUAGAGUUCCAAUCAUAAGUGCAUAUGAUCCAAGUAGAGAAAGUAUGUUAGCUUAUGCCUCUCCCUCAAAUAGAAUUGCAAUAGUGAUUACCGGUCUAGUAACGUAGUCAAUUGCUUAGGGACAAUUCCACAACUCCUACCACCACUUUUCCACACUCGCUAUAUUUACUUUAUUGCUUCUUUACCUAAACAGGCCCUACUUUUUAUUUACGUGUUCUUUAUUAUCUCGCAAACCUAUCCCAAUAACACCUACAAAGUACUUCUAGUUUCAUACUUGUUCUAGGUAAAGCGAACACUAAGCGUGCGUAGAGUCGUAUCAGUGGCAGAUAGGGCUUGAGAGAGUAUUUGUUCUACCUUUAGCUCCUCGUUGGGUUCGACACUCUUACUUAUCAGAAGAGGCUACAAUUAUCCCGUAUACUUGCGGGUCAUCAAGAUCUUUUUCUGGCGCCGUUGCCGGGGAGUCAUAGCGUGGGGUGAAUAUUCUCGUGUGUGCUUGUUUGCUUUAUCACUAAGUAAUUUUUAUUUGUUGUUCUUAGUUGCUCUAUAUCUUUAGUUAUGGAUAUGGAACACGAAAUACCAAAAACAUUAGGUGUACUUGAUACUCAUGGAGAUGGGGAACCUCCUAAAACCCUCGAUGCUCGUUAUGUGAAAGACAUUAUGUACUACUUUAAUAAUCCUGAGAAACCCCCAUUCAAUUAUGUUAUGGGUGACACGUUGGAUCAACGUGAAUACUUUAGGGAUUAUCGCUUGACACAAAAAGGGAAACUAUUAUGGGAUAAAAUUAAUAUGUUGCCUUGGUAUGCUCUGGAUUUAUGCUUGAGAUAUGAUAUUACUUUUUGCUCUAGGAUGAAGGCUCCACACCUUCCCUUUUCAUGCAAAUUUAAUGAUAAUGAAACCUUAGCUUCUUAUGCUAGAAGUAUAUAUGAUUACUAUGAUGUUGAACAAAUUGAAGAAUUUGUUGCUUUUAAGGCUACUUAUGAAAUUGAAUCUUUGUUUGAAAAGUAUGAAGCUUUAGAUGAUGAUGUUUAUAGGCUUGAAAAUUAUGCUAUAUUGAAAUAUUGCUAUGAAAUUAUGAAUACAAUUACAAUAUUAAUGCAUUUGUUGAGAAAGUCUCCGCUGUCCAAGAAGAGACUAAUAUUUUGCAGGAAGUUAUGGAAGAAGAAAUUGAUGAAACUGUGAGCCCAUUGGAUGAAAAAGAUGAUGAGGAGAGCGAAGAACAAAAGGAGGAAGAGCGGAUUGAUCACCCGUGCCCACCUUCUACGGAGAGUAACUCUUCAACUCAUACAUUGUUUAAUUCCCCUUCGUGCUUACCGAAGGAUGACUGCUAUGAUGAUUGCUAUGAUCCCAUUGAUUCUCUUGAAAUAUCCAUUUUUGAUGAUACUUGCUAUGCUUGUGGCCAAGAUGCCAAUAUGAAUUAUUCUUAUGGAGAUGAACUUGCUAUAGUUCCUUAUGUUAAACAUGAAAUUGUUGCUAUUGCACACACACAUGAUAGUCCUAUUAUCUUUUUGAAUUCUCCCGACUACACUAUAUCGGAGAAGUUUGUUCUUAUUAAGGAUUAUAUUGAUGGGCUGCCUUUUACCAUUACACAUGAUAAUUUUUAUGAAUGUGAUAUGCAUGUGCUUGCUGCUCCUACUUGCAAUUAUUAUGAGAGAGGAACUAUAUCUCCACCUCUCUAUGUUUCCAAUAUGAUAAAAUUGCAAGAAACUGCUUAUACUAUGUGUUGGCCUUUACUAUGUGUGCAUGAAUUGUUUUUUAUGACAUGCCUAUGCAUAGAAAGAGAGGUAGACUUUGUUUUUGCAUGAUAUAUGUUACUUUGUGCUCACUACUAAAUUACAAAUCAUUGUUAAUUAAAAUUGGCUUUGAUAUACCUUGGGAUCCGGGUGGAUUCAUUACUUGAGCACUAUAUGCCUAGCUUAAUGGCUUUAAAGAAAGUGCUGCCAGGGAGACAACCCGGAAGUUUUAGAGAGUCAUUUAUUUCUGUUGAGUGCUUUUAUAUAGUUUAAAAACAAACAAUAAAUAAAGAGGGGAACCUAAAAACUUUUCAAAAAGGAAAGUGAAAGUGAGAGAGACAAGCAUUGUUGAAGUGGGAGAGCUCCUUGAACUUUGUUCAUGCUCACGGAAACUUUGUGAAUCUUGAUUAUAGAAACUUUUCAUCAAAAAUAAUUAUCCCCUUGUACAAUUCCAUUGUAUUAUAAAAAUAAUGUGCCAAGGUUUGCCUUUAGGAUGUUUACAAUGCUUGUUGGUUUGUACGGUGCAGGACAGGAACUUUGGCUGUAGUGCUCGAUUUUACAUUUUUUGCCGAAAUGGUUCUGAUUCCUUUUGCACUGUCUUUCUGUACUACUUAUUUAUUUUUCCUAAUUUUGGUAGAAUUUUUGGGUACAGAAGUAUGGUGAAUGUUCAGAUUGCUACAUACUGUUCUAUUUUUGACAGAUUCUGUUUUUGAUGCAUAGUUUGCUUGUUUUGAUGAAUCUAUCAAUUUAUAUCAGUGGAUUAAGCCAUGGAAAAGGUAUAUUAUAGUAGACACAAUGCAAAAACAAAUUAUGAAUUGGUUUGCAACAGUACUUAGAGUGGUGAUUUUCUUUAUUAUACUAACGGAUCUUACCGAGUUUUCUGUUGAAGUUUUGUGUGGAUGAAGUGUCUAAUCGAGGAGGUCUCGAUAUGAGGAAAAGGAAGAGAGGCACGAGCUCAAGCUUGGGGAUGCCCGAGGCACACCAAGUAAAUAUUCAAGGAGACUCAAGCGUCUAAGCUUGGGGAUGCCCCGGAAGAUAUUCCCUCUUUCUUCAACAAGUAUCGGUAUGUUUUCGGAUUCGUUUCGUUCAUGCGAUAUGUGCAAGUCUUGGAGCGUCUUUUGCAUUUAGUUUUCAUUUUUAUUUUAUGCACCAUGCUGGUAUGAGAUAGUCCUUGGUUGAUUUAUAGAAUUCUCAUUGCACUUCACUUAAAUCUUUUGAGUGUGGCUUUAUAGAAUGCUUCAUGUGCUUCACUUAUAUCAUUUGAAGUUUGGAUUGCCUGUUUCUCUUUACAUAGAAAACCGCCAUUUGUAGAAUGCUCUUUUUGCUUCACUUAUAUUUGUUAGAGCGUGGACAUAUCUUUUGUAGAAAGAAUUAAACUCUCUUGCUUCACUUUAUCUAUUUAGAGAGAUGACAGGAAUUGGUCAUUCACAUGGUUAGUCAUAAAAUCCUACAUAAACUUGUAGAUCGCUUAAUAUGAUAUGUUCGAUUCCUUGCAAUAGUUUUGCGAUAUAAAGGUGGUGAUAUUAGAGUCAUGCUAGCGGGUGGUUGUGGAUUGUAGAGAAACUUGUGUUGAGGUUUGCAAGUCCCGUAGCAUGCACGUAUGGUAACCGUUGUGUGACAAAUUUGAAGCAUGGGGUGUUUCUUUGAUUGUCUUCCUUAUGAGUGGCGGUCGGGGACAAGCGAUGGUCUUUUCCUACCAAUCUAUCCCCCUAGGGGCAUGCAUAGUAGUACUUUGCUUCGAGGGCUAAUAAACUUUUUGCAAUAAGUAUAUGAGUUCUAUAUGACUAAUGUGAGUCCAUGGAUUAUACGCACUUUUACCUUUCCAUCAUUGCUAGCUUGUUCGUACCGUGCAUUGCCCUUUCUCACCUCGAGAGUUGGUGCAAACUUCACCGGUGCAUCCAAACCCCGUGAUAUGAUACGCUCUAUCACACAUAAGCCUCAUUAUAUCUUCCUCAAAACAGCCACCAUACCUACCUAUCAUGGCAUUUCCAUAGCCAUUCCGAGAUAUAUUGCCAUGCAACUUCCAUCAUCAUCACAUACAUGACUUGAGCAUUUAUUGUCAUAUUGCUUUGCAUGAUCGUAAGAUAGCUAGCAUGAUGUUUUUAUGGCUUGUCCGCUUUUUGAUGUCAUUGCUACGCUAGAUCAUUGCACAUCCCGGUACACCGCCGGAGGCAUUCAUAUAGAGUCCUAUCUUUGUUAUAGUAUCGAGUUGUAAUAUCGAGUUGUAAGUAAAUAAAAGUGUGAUGAUCAUCAUUAUAGAGCAUUGCCCCAUAAAAAAGAAAAAGGAAAGGCCAAAGAAGCCUAAAUAAGAAAGGGGGCCAAAGAAGCCCACCCAAAAAGAAAAAAAAGAAAAAAAAGAAAGAAAAAAGAAAAAGAAAAGGGGCAAUGUUAUUAUUCUUUUACCACACUUGUGCUUCAGAGUAGUAGCAUGUUCUUCAUAUAGAGAGUCUCAUAUGUUGCCACUUUCAUUUACUAGUGGGAAUUUUCAUUAUAGAACUUGGCUUGUAUAUUCCAAUGAUGGGCUUCCUCAAAUACCCUAAGUCUUCAUGAGCAAGCAAGUUGGAUGCACACCCACUUAGUUUUCAGUUUGAGCUUUCAUACACUUAUAGCUCCUAGUGCAUCUGUUGCAUGGCAAUCCCUACUCCUCGCAUUGACAUCAAUUGAUGGGCAUCUCCAUAGCCCGUUGAUUAACCACGUCGAUGUGAGACAUUCUCCCUUUUUGUCUUCUCCAUAUAAACCUCCACCAUUAUAUUCUAUUCCACCUAUAGUGCUAUAUCCAUGGCUUGCGCUCAUGUAUUGCGUGAGGGUUGAAAAAGCUGAAGCGCGUUAAAAAGUAUGAACCAAUUGCUUAGCUUUUGAUCGGGGUUGUGCAUGAUGGGAGCAUUUCGUGUGACAAAAAUGAAGCAUGGCCAAACUAUAUGAUUUUGUAGGGAUAAGCUUGCUUUGGCCUUGUUGUUUUGAAAAGACAUGAUUGCUUUAUUAGUACGCUCGAAGAAUUAUUGUUUUUAUGUCAAUUGAUAGACUAUUGCUUUGAAUCACUCGUAUCUUAAUAUUCAUGCCAUGAUUAGACAUAUGAUCAAGAUUAUGCUAGGUAGCAUUCCACAUCAAAAAUUAUCUCUUUUAUCAUUUACCUACUCGAGGACAAGAGGAAUUAAGCUUGGGGAUGCUGAUACGUCUCCGUCGUAUCUAUAAUUUUUGAUUAUUCCAUGCCAAUAUUCUUGAACUUUCAUAUACUUUUGGCAACUUUUUAUACUAUUUUUGGGACUAACAUAUUGAUCCAGUGCCCAGUUCCAGUUCAUGUUUGUUGCAUGUUUUAUGUUUUGCAGAAGACCAAUAUCAAACGGAGUCCAAACGGGAUAAAAAUGGACGGAGAAUUAUUUUGGAAUAUUUGGGAUUUUCCGGAGGAAGAGUCAAUGCGAAACAGUGUCUGAGGUGGCCAGGAGAUAGGGGGGCGCCCUCCCCCAUGGGCGCACCUGGCACUCUCCUGGGCCACUCGUAAGGCAGUUGACGCUCUUCUUUUGCUGCAAGAAAUCUAAUUUUAUGAGAAAAAUCUGGGCGAAAGAUUCACCCCAAUCGGAGUUACGAAUCUUAAGAUAUAAAACAAACAGUGAAGGGGCAGAAUCUGAGAACGCAGAAACAGAGAGAUAAAUCCAAUCUCGGAGGGGCUCUCGCCCCUCCCAAGCCAUGGGAGCCAAGGACCAGAGGGGAAACCCUUCUCCCAUCUAGGGAGGAGGUCAAGGAAGAAGAAGAAGAAGGGGGGCUCUCACCCCUUGCUUCCGGUGGCGCCGGAACGCCCCGGGGGCCAUCAUCAUCACCGCGAUCUUCACCAACGCCUCCGCCAUCUUCAUCAACAUCUCCAUCACCUUCCCCCAUCUAUAUUCAGCGGUCCACUCUCCCGCAACCCACUGUACACUCUACUUGAACAUGGUGCUUUAUGCUUCAUAUUAUUAUCCAAUGAUGUGUUGCCAUCCUAUGAUGUCUAAGUAGAUUUCCAUUGUCCUAUCGGUGAUUGAUGAAUUGCUAUGAUUGGUUUGAGUUGCAUGCUUUAUUAUUGGUGUUGUCCUAUGGUGCUCUCUAUGUCGUGCAAGCGUGAGGGAUCCCUGCUGUAGGGUUUGCAAUAUGUUCAUGAUUUGCUUAUGGUGGGUGGCGUGAGUGACAGAAGCACAGCCCCGAGUAAGUAGGUUGUUUGCAUAUGGGAUAAAGGGGACUUGAUACUUUAAUGCUAUGGUUGGGUUUUACCUUAAUGAUCUUUAGUAGUUGCGGAUGCUUGCUAGAGUUCCAAUCAUAAGUGCAUAUGAUCCAAGUAGAGAAAGUAUGUUAGCUUAUGCCUCUCCCUCAAAUAGAAUUGCAAUAGUGAUUACCAGUCUAGUAACGUAGUCAAUUGCUUAGGGACAAUUCCACAACUCCUACCACCACUUUUCCACACUUGCUAUAUUUACUUUAUUGCUUCUUUAUCUAAACAGCCCCUACUAUUUAUUUACGUGUUCUUUAUUAUCUUGCAAACCUAUCCCAACAACACCUACAAAGUGCUUCUAGUUUCAUACUUGUUCUAGGUAAAGUGAACACUAAGCAUGCAUAGAGUCGUAGCAGUGGCAGAUAGGGCUUGAGAGAAUAUUUAUUCUACCUUUAGCUCCUCGUUGGGUUCGACACUCUUACUUAUCGAAAGAGGCUACAAUUAUCCCAUAUACUUGCGGGUCAUCACCUAGCGGUGUGAAAUAAAUGGGAAACUUGUAAGUUCAUGGAGUUUGUAUAUGAGUUAGAGAAACGCCUGGGCGGCCAACCCAAGCCAUGCAUAAUUCAUGGUGGAAAUUUACAACAUAACCAUAGUGAGCAUUCUAUGGAGCAUCUUCAAUAAAAAAAACUAUGCCCAUGGUAAUAAAAGGAUUGCUGAGAUGCUCAUUGUCUGUUGCCUUGUCAUUUUGGUAUGGGAUAGCUCUUGUGUCAUGGGGCAAGGGGUACACCGUUGGCAUGAACUUACAAUGACAAGAAUUUAUUUGGGACCUAAGUUGAGUAGCAUGAGGUUUAGGUAAUUCUAUUCAAGGGGCAUGAGGCUUUCAAUUUGUGAUAUUUCAAGCAUACAACUCAUAUUUGCCCUCACUUUAACCUUAACCAUUCAAGAUGCGUAUGAUAGGGGCAAUGAGAGCUCAAAUCUAAUGAGGACCAUAAUUUUUGGAUGCUUUAUAAAACUUAUUAAUCCCUACUUACCUCUAUGAAGGGCCUUUCUUUUACUUUUUUGUUGAGUCUUCAUCUUCUAUCUUUAUGCUCCAACUAAGAGAGCAUAGUUGUCAUUCUGAGUAUAAUGUGCAUUGUCCCAAAACUUGUUGAUUGAUUCAUGAUUAUGGUAUUGCUUAUUUUCAAAUUAUUUGUAUCUAGUCACCCUUUUGAACUUUGAAGGUGUCCUAUGCAUUUAUGUUUUGCUACUCCAUGAAGGACAGGCUGAAUACCACUUUGCCAUGUUUUCUCUAUGUGCGAAACAAACAAAUGUCUUUCAAAGCAUUAUUCAUGAUCUUUUGUUUAUGUUGCCUUUCAUGUUGUAACAUAGUUGCUAUGUUCUAUUGUUAGAAAUAUAUCUUUCAUACCUAUGUUUAGAGUACUUUGAUCCCAUCUUAGAAUGUUUUACAAUGAUCAUGAUCAAGAUUCUAUUGGCUGCAUGUCACCUCAAAAACUAUUUUUGUUAUCACUUACCUACUCGAGGACGAGCAGGAGUUAAGCUUGGGGAUGAUGAUAUGUUGCAAACAUAUGUAUAAUUUUUGAUGCUCCAUGCUUGUUUUACACCAAUUACUUUAUGUUUUUUUACACUUUGUGGCAUUUUUAUGUAUUUUCUGGAACUAACCUAUUGACAAGAUGCCACAAUGCCAGUUCCCUUUUUUCCUGCUGUUUUUGUGUUUUGGAGAAAUUAGUAACGAAAUAUUCCCGGAAUUGGACGAAACAAAUGCCAAAGUUCCUAUUUUUCUCGACAUGACACGGAGUCCAAAGCAGAGAUGGAGGAGGGCACUGAAAGUGCAUUAUAUCGACUAGAGGAGGGGGGUGAAUAGGCGAUUUUUAUGAAUUCUUCACUGAGGAAUUUGUUGGUGAGGAAAUUCUUUGGCGAAGAACUACUUGCAGCGGAAUAAGUACUCAGAAGUAAGCGUAACAAAAUACAGGCAUGGUCAUCAUGAUGAAAUGAAGACACGCACAGAGUAUAGAAAGCUUAAACACAGGAUAACACAAGAUGAAGACAAACAGACUGAAGAAAUUGAACUGAGGAAAUUGAGAAAGUCUUCAGUCAAAGUCUUCAAACACGGAUAUGAACAAUCACUCAACACAGUAAUGAGUAAAUGAAAGAGUUGAGGGAAUAGAACCAGGAAGGUUGGUGAAGACAAUGAUUUGGUAGACUAGUUCCAACUGCUGUCUCAGUUGUACGUCUGGUUGGAGCGGCUGAGUAUUUAAACUUGAGGGCACAUAGUCCCGGACACCCAGUCGCUGAGCACGCAGCUCAGGACACCAAGUCCUCACCGUAUUCUCCUUGAACUAAGGUCACAUAGACCUCGUCCAAUCACUAGUGGUAAGUCUUCAGGCGAAACCCAAACCUUCACAAACUCGGUCACUCGGCGAUCCACAAUUCCUCCUUAUGCUCUAGACCAUGACGCCUAACCAUCUGGAAGAAGCACAGUCUUCAAAGGUAACAAGCGUCGGUUCCACGCAGUAUCAAUCUCUUCAGUGAUACUCAAUCACUUUGGGUUUGUAGGUGUUUGGGUUUGGGUUUUUUCCUCACUUGAUUAUUUUUGCUCAAAGUCUUCGGAUGAUGGGAUGCUCUCAAGUGUCAGUUUCUCUCGGAGCAACCAACCAGCUAGUUGUUGUAGGGGGCGGCUAUUUAUAGACUAGGGAGCAGCCCGACAUGAUAAGACAUAAAUGCCCUUGUCCGAUAUGACCGUUAGGUGGAUAAGAUAUUUUGGGAGAGUUGGCGCGCAGCACAACACUGGUCGGAAAUUUGAAUCUCAAAUUCUUCAGGGCUAUCAUGUUCCUCACUUUGUAGGCAAUCCGCACUGGCGAAUUCCUAACUCCUUAGUCAGAAAAAAUUCCUCAGCGACUAGAAGAACUUCGUCUCUAUCACUGAAGAAAUGACUGAACUGUAUGAGAUUUCCAAAGGCUUCACUCGAAGGGAUUGGUACGUGUAGGAUUUUGAGUUGAGCAUCACAUGGAAAUUUUUCCUUAGUAUUUCCUAGACCCCCUUUAACAGUACGGUGUUUCCUAUGACUCAAGAAAGAGAAAAACAAAACUAUGAAAACGAAAGUCUUCAAGCUUCAUAUUCCUCGCAUGAAUAUCAAUUCUUCACGGACACACCAAUUUCUUCAAUUUCGAAGUCUUCAUGAAAGUCUUCAGGAAUACCAAAAUCUUCAGUCAAAGAUAUUCAUUUUUAGGGGUCGACUUUCUCUAUAAAUAUCAAACUCCUCAUAGACUUAUAGACCUGUGUACACUCAUAAACACAUUAGUCCCUUAACCUAUAAGUCUUCAAUACACCAAAAUCACUAAGGGGCACUAGAUGCACUUACAAUCUCCCACUUUUUGGUGAUUGAUGACAAUAUAGGUUAAGUUUUCAACGGGGAUAAACAUAUGAACUAUAAGUACUGAUAUUGAGGAAUUUGAUGGCAAGAUAUAGAAGAACUCCCCCUAAAGAUGUGCAUAGUGAGGAAUUUUCUUUUGAAGCAAUGCACACUUGAAGAGUUGAAUCAUGGAGAUCUCCCCCUAUAUCUUGUAAUUCAUACACGCAUUUGGCAUAUAAUAUGAAGAAUUUGAAAUGCAUGAUGAAAUAUGGUGCCUGAUGAAAUUCAGCAUGCGUGCAAUAAUAUUAAUGAGGAACAAGCAUGCAGAAUAACGCAUCAAGAGUAUCAGAGCACAAUGCAUCAAAAGUAUCAGAGCACCAUCGGGUUUAAGAUUACAACUCGAUCCAAUAAAGUUUUAGAAGAACGAGAGUUUUAACUUAGCAAAAACGCCCAUAUAAUACACCCGCUUGAAGACUAACUCAAAUUUCUCCCCCUUUGUCAUCGAAUGACCAAAAGGUUCGAAACUGAGGACUAACGCCCCUGAAGAAUAUCAAGUUGAUGGAGGAGCAUCAGCAUUGUCAGGGUCGGUUGUCGUAGUAGGGCCUGCCGAAGUGUCGUCCAAGUCUUCAUUUUCAUCAGUGUCACGCGAUGAAGAAUAGGAGCUGGCCACCAAGGAAGGAACCUUGACCUUCUUGAAUUUCUUCGGUGGAGGUGCAGACCAGUCAAAUUCGUCCUUGAGACCCAUUCUCUUCAGAUCCUCUGCGCCGUAGACAUGAGAUAGAACAGCCCAGGUACGGUUGAAGGUUCCAUGGAGGUAGUAGUGGUUUUUCUUCACUACAUUGUGUGUUGAGGUCAUGUUGUGAAGAAUUGAACCAAACUGACGCUUGACCCAUUUAUGAUUGCGAUCAACUUUCUGAUGAAGACUGAGGAGUAAUUCACGAUCAGUCAUCACCCUGGGUGCUGUGGCUUGAGGAAUUUGCUUGGCAGAGGUGUUGGCGGCAGAGUCAUGUGUGGCAGAGUCAUCAUUGGUGGAGUAGGAUGCAGCCUUGCGAAAUUGACCAUCCAAUGGACGAAUGCCUUCAUCUAUCACAACAGUUGCCUUGCCUUUGUCAUCAGCUGAGGAAAAUGUCCGUGUGAGGACUUCAAUUGGAGGCAAGUAGCUGUCGUGGUUUAGAGUAUCAUCCUUGUAAUUGAGUGAAGACCUUGUCGUGAUGAACCUCAUAAUCCAUGGUGCAUAAGGCUUCAGCUCAAAUGCUGACAUAGCAAUAUUCACCAGAGUCAUCAUGAAGAAAUCAUGGAAGUUGACGGGAACGCCAUUAAUGAUAUUGAAAAGCAUAUUCUUCAUGAUGCCAACGACUUCUUCAUCAUUUGAGUCGUGGCCUUUGAUAGGACUCAUUGUCUUCGUCAAAAUGCGAUAGACAGUCCGUGGCACAUACAGUCAUUCCUUGACGAGGAAUUUGGUUAGAGGGGCCUGCCCUGGCUUCAAAGGCUUCAUCAGCACUUGCAUGUAAUGAUUUUAAGCUCAGGUUUGUUGUAGAUGCAACGAGCACCUUCAAGGGGAGGACUGAGUGGGAGGGCACGAAGCAAUUCAGUUGCUGGUGCCUUGUAGUGAGUAUUGUCUGACAUCCAGUCCAGCACCCAUGAGUUCACAUCUUUAGAAUUUCCUAUGAUGUGCAGCGUUGCAUAGAAUUGAAGAAUGAGUUCUUCAUUCCAAACACAGAUGUCAGUGCAGAAAUUCAGCAAUCCAGCAUCGUGAAGAACACUAAGGACUGGCUCGAAGCACGGUAGAGACUCCAUGUCCACAUGAGGAAUAUGUUCAUGAUCGAAGACUUUGUCUUUGUUGAAUAGUACCGAGGAAUAGAAAUUUUCUUGACUAGCAGUCCAGAAACGCCUCUUCCUUAUGCGAGUAGAAUCAUAGGGGUUGUAGUUUGUGAAGAACACAUGCUCGCUGAAGAAAUCUUUAGCCUUGAACUUUUGCUUCUUUGAGAAUGGAUCCGUUGGCUUGGGCACUAGAGUGUCAGUGAGUUGCAUCACAACCUCAGGAAUCGCAAUCUCAGGUUCUUCAGGCUAAGGAAUUUCUGGUUCCUCUUCAGUGGCAGUCUGUGUGUUCAAAGGAUCAGCAACAACAGUUUCUUCAGCACUAGCGGCUGGAAUUUCUUCAUGCACACAUGAGGUGGGAUGAGUUUCUUCAGAGCCCAUUUGAACGGUUGGUGCAGGGGACUAAGGUAUUUGUUGUAUUGGGGUGAAGAGUGGAGAAUUGGGGUGCUAACUUUCCCAAAAGUCAUCAUUCAUCACCGGCGUUGUGCAGCCAAUGCCCACGUCUUCAUCUUCAAUUUCUUCAACGCCAGCCUCUUCAGCUGUGAACUGAGGCAUUGGCAAGGAAGCAACAGGAGUUGAAGGGAUCGUAUCCACUUCAAUUUCUUCAUAAACCUGCUCUAAUGAAGCAGCAAAUUGAGGUUCUUCAUCAGAUCCGCUUGGGAUCACAUAUUCUUCACCAAAAGGAACAAGGUCCUUUGAUGGCAUGGUGGAAAUUGGAAUAGCAUCAAUUGGAUUUUCAAGUGAGCUAGUCAUAGGCUUCAUCUUUUUUGGAGCUGAAGAUUAUGAAGCACUUGAUGCUUUCCUUUUCUUCACUGCAGCUCGCUCUGCAGCCUUGGUCUUCUUCACAUAUAAUGCAGAUGGAAGGAUUGGAGUUGGUCUAGGCGCAGGAGGAGCUGGGGAAUCUGGUUGAUUUUCUUCAGGCACAACUGAUGCAGUUGCCCUGACCUCUUCAGUUUCUUCAGGCGCACCACUAGUGGAUGCCCUGGCAAUUUCUUCAGCGGCUGGAAUGGAUUCAUCAGCCCUGGAACAAGCAUUUUCAUCAGCAGCCUGAAAGUCAUCAGCGGUGCUGGCAUGUUCUUCAGUUGGCUGAGCAGAAGCUUCAGCUUCAGGAAUUUCUUGUUGCGAUGGGGCUGCAACAUUGGUGAACUUUUCAGUCAGUUUAACAAACCUGACUUUGGCUCCUUGCCAAUCAUCAUAGUAAGCAUUGAAAUCAUCACUGGGGGCUUUGAUUUCAGACUGGAUCUUGAGGAGUUCAUCAGUUGUCAUAUUGACAACGUUUAUCUUCAGGAACUUCUCUUUCCUGAACUGAGCCUUCUUGAUCUGCCUGGCCUUCUCAAAUUUCCAUUUCUCUUCAGUGAUGAAAUGGGUCAGCAUGUGACUGUGACCAGGAGUCAAAUUGAAAUCAGGCAUAGGAGUAUUUGGAUCCUUGUGCCAGAGAUCAAUGUAAUCGAGGAUCGCCCUUGGAUCCAAAAGCAGUGGCACAUUUGUGCCUUUGGCUCUAGCGGCCCUUUCUUGUCUGUCUCUGAUGAUUUCUGCAAGUUCAUCAUCAUCAGCUUCAUCGUCAGAUGGCACUUGGAAGGCAACCUGUUUCUUCUUCGGACUUGGCCGAGGACCUCGACCAGCCAUUGCCUUUGUCUUCAGCAGGGUGGGGCCUGAUGAAGAUUUUGGUGCAGGUGAGGAACUCGUUGAGGCACCAGAGGCAAUAGAGAUGCCUGUAGUCCUUUGGCACGUGGCCAGAUGUACAGGUGUUGAGGACUUUGCCGGAGCAGCGGAGGACAUUGGGGGAGGAUCUGAGGAUUUUGGAGAAGCAGGAGCAGCAUGAGGAACUGGCCGUGAGGGCUUUGAAGAAUCUGGCUGUGAGGGCUUUGAAGAUUCUGGCCGUGAGGGCAUUGCUGAGGAACUUGGCCGUGAGGGCAUAGUUGGUGAAGCACUUGUCUUGUGAGCGGGCUUCUUUGCCAUUGAUUUUCUAGGCUUGACAGAGGCCUCAGUGGCAACAGCAGCAGUAGAGUCUUCAUUGAAUUUCCUCACUGCUUCUUUGGCUUGUCUCGCCAACUUGGCUUGGCGUUUGGCCCAUUCUUCAGGAAAAUCCUCACCACGCUUGAUGCUGGUGGGGUCAGCUUCUUGGCCAGGUGCCAAUGGAGCUCUUGGGCAUGGAGGAUUUAGUGCAAAUUUCUUCAUAUACUUCGGAGUUACAUAUCUGUACUCCCUCCAUUCUCUUGCCCAUCUCCUUUCAAUCUUCUGUAUGCGCACCUUGCACUGAUUUUUGUUUUCCUUUCCGAACUUAGCCUCAUCAGGUGUGCAAUAACCAGCAUAGAUGUCCUCAGGUAUUUCAAAAGCAGUCAUGACCUCAGGCUUCUUUCCUCCUUUCUGCGGCUUCUUACCGUCUGCCAUAAUCUUCAGAUGAGGAAUUUGAACAAUCGAAUUCUCUGAAGAAGUAUGCAACUUUUCUUCGAGGAACGCUGCAAAUGAGUUAAGUUGAUGAGAACCUAGUGAUUCAGAAGCGGACAUGAGUACCUGUGAACAGAGUAUAGUUGCGACGAAUUUGGAGAGGUCAUAUGCGUUCUCAAAAGUUUUUUUUAAAAGAACAAGUUUGAGGAAUUUGACCAGAUGAACCUUGAAGAAUUUCACUAAGCGUUCUUUGUCUUAGGUUCCAGAGUUGUAUAGAUCGAGGAUCCACACAAUUGAGGAAUCUUGAAGAAAAAUGAUGCUUAGAGAAACGAAUCAAGAACAGAUGACUAGUGAGGUGUUUUGUGUGUGAGGAUUUGAAGAAUAAAACACCUUUGAAGAUUUUGUAGAGAAAAUUUGAAUCAAAGAGGGCAGUAAAAGUAACUUUUAAUUACCCUUGAUGAAGAACACGACGAACUGUGAAGAAGAACAGUGAAGUUCGUCGGUGUAGAUCUUCCACGCCCUAACUCGGCGGAGGAAGACAGCUACAGCGGCGGCGGAGUGAAGAUUUCCGCGGCCGGCGCGAGUACGACGGCGACGAGGUUGAGGCACUGAAGCUCUUCCUCACCGGCGACGAUGGAGUAGCGGCGGCGCUAGGGUUUGAGAAGCUCGAGCGAGAGAGAGCGAUCGAGCAGAGUAAAGGAAGUGAGGAAGGGGUGAGGGGGUAUUUAUAGUCGCAGUUAAAAACUGUUCACCCGAAGAUUUAGGACGAAUGUGCCCCUGACCCUUCUCAUCCGUUUGACAUGUGUCACCCACGUACUGAAAAGUGGGGAUCGUGUUAGAUCGUGGGUGAAUAGAUAAGUCUAUCAUGUGAUGCGGAACGGUUUGAGCGGUAAAACCGAAAAUUUUGGAUAAGAUUAGUUAAAAGUUCGUUCGCAAAUUCUUCAGCUGACAAGGACACAGUGAAGAUUUUGAACGAGUUUCCAAUAGAACGCACAUGAAGAAUUUGUGAAUAGAUUGGGUUGAGUAUAGCAUAGAGAGGGAAGGGUCCGAUCACAUUCACUUAGCAGAAAAUGCAGCUUGAAGAAAUAGCCAUAAGUGAAUGUUGUAGAGGACAUAAACCCAUAUAUAUAUCCAAUGAAGAAAAACGACGGAAACAGUGAAGAUUUUGCAAAGUUGAAGAAUUUGAAAAACUAAAGAAUUUCAAAACUGAGGAAUUUCAAAAAUGAAGAUUUUCAACUUUGGUGGUGGCGUGACCCACCGUAUAAGAAUGAUGAUUUCAGACACCGCGUACAAUUGUCGUAGGGUUCUGAGAAUCAAAUUCUUCAUUAAUUUCUUCACACUUAGAGUGUUAUUCUUCAUUGAUUGAAGAAAAAUGUUUCUUCAUGUGUUGCACAUCUAAGUCAUCAAUUUUGCACAAGUGUUAGGAUGAGUGUCCUUUUUCAAAGAACAUUCGAAGAUUCUAGGAUAUUUAGCUCACACCGCAACUUGCUAAAUCUCUUCUCAUCCAAGGGCUUUGUGAAGAUAUCAGCCAGCUGUUCUUCAGUCUUCACGUGCUCGAUGGAGAUGUCGCCCUUCAACACAUGAUCAUGAAGAAAAUGAUGACGAAUCUGAAUGUGCUUUGUCUUCGAGUGCUGAACUGGGUUGUGAGCAAUCUUGAUGGCACUCUCAUUGUCACAGAGGAGAGGCACAUUCUUCAGGUUGACGCCAUAGUCCUUGAGGGUUUGCUUCAUCCAUAGCAGUUGAGCACAGCAAGAACCAGCAGCAAUGUACUCAGCUUCUGAAGUAGACAGUGAUACGCAGUUCUGUUUCUUCGAGGACCAACAGACCAAAGAUCGUCCGAGGAAAUGAAAAGUACCAGAUGUUGACUUGCGGUCCACCCGAUCACCAGCAUAGUCAGAGUCGGAAUAUCCAAUGAGAUCAAAAGUAGAGCCCUUGGGGUACCAUAAUCCUAGUGUUGGUGUGUGAGCUAGAUAUCGAAGAAUAUGCUUCACAGCCUUAUGGUGUGAUUCCUUCGGUGCAGCUUGAAAUCGGGCACACAUGCAAACACUAAGCAUUAUAUCUGGCCUAGAUGCACAUAGGUACAAUAAAGAACCAAUCAUGGAGCGGUAUACCUUGUGAUCGAAGUCAAUACCAUUUUCAUCAGUGCAUAGAUGGCCAUUUGUGGGCAUAGGAAUUUUGACGCCUUUGCAAUCUUGCAUGCCGAAUUUCCUCAGAACAUCUUUGAGGUAUUUCUCCUGAGAUAUGAAUAUGCCAUUGUGCUGUUGAUGAAUUUGAAGACCUAAGAAGAAUUUCAUCUCUCGCAUCAUAGACAUUUGAUAUUCUUCACUCAUCAUAUAGGCAAAUUCAUCACUAUAAUGUUGGUCAGUACAGCCAAAGAUAAUAUCAUCAACGUAUAUUUGGCACACAAACAGUUCACCAUCAUAAGAUUUAGUAAAGAGAGUAGGGUCGAGUGAACCGGGUGUGAAGCCAUUCUUCAUGAAGAAUUCCUUCAGAGUAUCAUACCACGCCCGAGGGGCCUGCUUGAGGCCAUAGAGGGCCUUGUUGAGUCUGAAGACUUUGUCAGGAUUCUUUGGAUCUUCAAAACCUGGGGGUUGAGCAACAUAUACUUCUUCCUCAAGCUUACCAUUGAGGAAUGCACUUUUCACAUCCAUUUGAUAUAAAGUGAUAUUAUGAUGGUUAGCAUAAGCAAGUAAUAUGCGAAUAGCCUCAAGUCUAGAAACAGGUGCAAAAGUUUCAUCGGAAUCAAUUCCUUCAACCUGUGUGUAGCCUUGAGCUACAAGUCGUGCCUUAUUCCUCACCACAAGGCCAUUUUCAUCUUGCUUGUUGCGGUAGAUCCACUUUGUGCCAAUGAUAUUAUGCUUGCGAGGGUCUGGACGUUUGACCAGUUCCCAGACAUUGUUGAGCUCGAACUGAUGUAAUUCUUCUUGCAUGGCCUGAAUCCACUCAGGCUCUAGAAAUGCUUCAUCUACCUUAGUGGGCUCUGCGAUGGAGACAAAAGCAUAGUGCCCACAAAAGUUAGAUAAAUGUGAAGCUUUUGAGCGUGUGAGAGGACCUGGUGCUCGAAUGUCAUCGAUGAUCUUCUCCACUUGCACUUCUUUUGCAAUGCGAGGAUGAGCUGGUUGUCGUCGAGGAAUUUGAUCAGCAUUUUCUUCAUCACCAUUUUCUUCAGCAUUUUCAUCAGGUGCAUCAGCUCGAUUUUCUUUGCGUUCUGGAAUGAAUUCUUCAGUAGAUUCUUCGGUAGGAAUGACAUCCUCAGUAGCCUUGAACUUGAUAGAAUCCUCAGGUGCUGGUUCAUCUAUCACAGAAGGUAGGUGCUCUCUUUGCGAGCCAUUAGUUUCAUCGAACCGCACAUCUACAGUUUCAACAACCUUGUGAAGAACGUUGUUGAAGACUCUGUAGGUGUGCGAGUCCUUUCCGUAACCAAGCAUAAAACCUUCAUGUGCUUUUGGUGCAAAUUUAGCAUUGUGAUGAGGAUCUCUAAUCCAACAUUUAGCACCGAAGACUUUGAAAUAACUCACAUUGGGUUUCUUGUCAGUGAGGAGUUCAUAGGCAGUCUUCUUGAAGAAUUUGUGAAGAUAUACCCAAUUGAUGAGAUGGCACGCAGUAUCAAUUGCCUCAAUCCAGAAACGACGAGGCGUCUUGUAUUCAUCAAGCAUAGUACGAGCCAUUUCAGCGAGGGUUCUGUUCUUGCGCUCCAUGACGCCAUUCUGCUGAGGAGUAUAAGGAGCAGAUAACUCAUGCGUAAUACCAAGUUCAUCAAGAUAGCCAUCAAGACCGGAAUUCUUGAACUCGGUCCCAUUGUCAGUUCUAAUGUGCUUGAUCUUCACACCAAAGUUGGUUGAAGCCCUCGAGGAAAAUCGUUAGAAGAUUUCCUGCACUUCAUGUUUGUAAGUGACAAUGUGUACCCAUGUGUAACGAGAAUAGUCAUCAACAAUAACAAAGCCAUAUAGAGAUGCAUCAUAUGAAACAGCAGAAUAAUGAUUAGGACCAAAGAGAUCCAUGUGAAGCAAUUCAAAUGGACGAGUAGUGGUCAUGAUAUUCUUCGCUGGAUGCUUGGCCUUUGUCAUCUUUCCAGCUUCACAAGCUCCGCAUAAGGGAUCCUUGAGGAAUUUGACAUUCUCAAUGCCAAUGACAUGCUUCUGCUUCGCAAGUGUGUUCAAAUUCCUCAUGCUAGCAUGACCAAGUCGUCGAUGCCAUAGCCAGCCGUCUGAAGCUUUUGCCAGUAAGCACACGGCUGGUUGUGGUCCUGUAGAGAAAUCAACAAUAUGCAGAUCUCCUCUCCUAAAGCCUUCGAAGACUUUGGAAUGGUCAGCUUCCAUGAUCAGAACACAACGAUACUUGCCAAAGACAACAACCAUAUCAAGAUCACAAAGCAUUGAGACUGACAUGAGGUUGUACCCUAAGGACUCGACAAGCAUGACUUUGUCCAUGUGUCGAUCCUUUGAGAUCGCAACGUUACCUAGACCCAAUACCUAACUUUUGCCUUUGUCAGCAAAGAUGAUAUGCUUCAGAUGUGACGGUGAUAAGGGAGUAUCCAUCAAUAGACUCUUGUCACCCGUCAUUUGAUUUGUACAUCCACUAUCGAGAACCCACUCGUUUGAUUUGGGCUGAUCAUCCUGCAGAUGAAUUAGUGCAUCUUACGAACUCAUAUACUUCAUCCGUGAAGAAUAUCAUAUCAAAUUCAUCAGAUGAAUUUCAUCAAAGAGUAAAAACAGAUAUAGCAGUAUGAGGACGUGUGAAAUGAAAGUUCAUUUCAUCAUGAUUCGCCUGCGUCCUUUCAGGCACUUUAGUCAGGUCCCCAGCAAAUUCUUCGGACGUUAAGGCACGUCUGGAGACCCGACCCUGCGGAAGAAAUUAGUUCUUUUUCUUCACCACCCACAUCUGAAGGGGUGGCAAAGAGUUCAUCACUCUACGAGCUCCAUAUGAGAAUGGUGGCAUAGAAGCCAAACCAUUUUGUUUCACAUAAGAGGGGUUAGGUUAAGCAUAUGAAUAAGCAGAGAAAUUCUUCGAGGACUUAUGAACAUAUUGGUUUGAAUAAUAAUGCACAUAUUCAUAGCCCUUAGCUCUACCCUGUGAAACAGAGUUGUUAGCACGAUGAUAAUCAUAUGAGGACUUUGAUCCUUUUGAGGAAUUUGAUCCACGUGAGGAAUUUGGUCCGUAUGAGGACUUGGAUCCAUAUGAAGAAUUUGGUCCAUAUGAAGAGUUUGAUCUGGGGUUCCUAUUCUUCAAUGGUGGUGUCAUGAGGACAUUCACCUGAAGACUUUCAAGGCACUUAUUGGGAACCCAGAUUUUCUUCAUAGGAGAACCGUUCCUGCAGUUAGUGCCAACAUACCUAGCAAAUACUUCACCAUUCUGAUUUUUGAACAGUCUAUAGUUGGAGUCAAAUGACUCAUCAGAAGAAUGAGGAGAUUCACAUGUAAAGCCAGAUAAGUUAGAUGGAUCAACUGGAGGUCCCUUUGUAGCAACCCAUGAGGUUUUGGGGUACUGCUCAGGCUUCCAAUAUGUUCCGUCAGAAUUGAGUUUCCUUUCAAAGGCAAUACCCUCUUUCCUAGGGUUUCUGUUGAGGAUCUGCUUUUUGAGCACAUCACAGAGAAUCUGAUGCCCUUUGAGGCUUUUGUACAUGCCUGUCGUGUACAAUUCCUUCAGCCCUGCAUCAUUAGUAGUACUAGCAAUGUCCUCAGAUGAGGAAUUAGUGAUAGCAGAGAAAGGUGAAGAAUUUGUAACAGUUGAAGCAUUUGAACAUUCAGGUGAAGAAUUAGCAGAUUCACGUUCAAUGCACUUUAAGCAUGGAGGAACAAAUUCUUCCUGAGAAGCACUGAUUUGUUGAGCUAGCAAUGAAUCGCGCUCCUUCUGAAGAUCUUCAUAACUCACUCUUAGCUUCUCAAGAUCUUGCUUUCUUUGAAGAAAUUCAUAAGAAAGCUUCUCAUGAUCAGAUAAGAGACACUACUGGAAUCAGCUUAUUUGCCGUCUGCCAGUUCUUUGUCGUCAGCUGGCAGACGGCAAAGAGGCACUUUGCCGUCUGCUUGCAAAAAACAGACAGCAAAGAACUGACAGACGGCAAAGACGCCAGUUACCAUCAGCCAAUUAUUUGUUGUCUGCCAGCAGAUGGCAAAGAAUCUUUACCAUGUGCUGGCGGAUGGCAAAGAGGUGGGGCUAUCUCUUUUUUUACGGGUACAAAGAAAAUCGUUGACCCCCACCUCCUCUCUCUGUCUCCCCUCUCUCCGCACGGCCCCCACCUCCUCUCUCUCUCACCUCUCUCUCUCUCCCGCUCGUCUCUCCCUCUCCCUCGCGCGAGCACCUACGGCGGCCGAUUUCGGCGAGCUCCGACGGGAUUCGACGCCGCCCAGCACACCCAUGUGACCCCCUCGCCCCGCUCCUCCAUCCCCUCCGACCAGAUCUGACUCGUGCGUCCUCCAGCAACCACGCGUGACCCUCCCCUGCGGCUAGGGUUUCGGCCACCACAUCGCCGGCGUGGCUCCGGUGUUGCUCCGAUGACUCAGGUGAGUCUCUUCACUCCUCCUCGUUACAUCCAUCCCUCUCUUUCUCACCGCGUCGCAUCGCGUCUCCUCUCCCUCACAGAACCAUCACGCCGGGAAGCCAUGGACGGGAAGGACGCCAUGGACGGGAAGGACGCCGUGGAGGACGCAGCUCCACCACUGCCCCAACGCCAUCCAGGUCCGCCCCUUCUCCUCUCCUCCCCUCUUGGAUUUCUUCUUUUCCUGCCUUGCACCCGUCCACUCAAGUUCUAAACCAAACAAGAAAAAUUAUCAAUCUUGUUUUUGCUGCAUAUGCAAUAAUGGUUGAGGAGGGCUCAGUUGUUCACUUCUAUAAUUGUGCCAUAAAUCGGUUUACUCUGCUUGAGGGCUGUCGUGGUUAGCUCGAUUUGAUAGGGUCCUUACUACAUAUGCUGCAGGGAUUUAACUUGACUUGUUAAUAAUGAGUGUCAAUCAAUCAAACACAAGGAAACUAUAAAUGCUUACUAUUUCGUAUAGUGAUCAUUGUGUUGUGUAUAGGUAAAACUUGUGUUGUCCUUAUCAACUUCGGAGGCAUCAUCAUGUGUUAUCAAUUUAGUUUCUGCCAUGGUUUUGGUUUGGUCCUGCUUAUGCCAAAUCGAUCAUUCAUUGCUUCUGAACACUCUACCUUUAAUCUUUGCUUCUGUAAAACCGGCCUUUCUUCUAUUGAAUGGAGUGUUUGCUUGCUAUGCGGGAAAAGUAGCUCAUUCAUCGCUGAUUUGGCAUGAGCAACCAAAGUGGACGGACCGCAUUUAGGUCCGGUCGUCGUGAGGAUCCUCUGGCGGUGCUGGAUGUGCCGUGGCGCGGUGGUGCCCCCGGGUGGCGCCUUCGUGCUGUGGUACCGCUAGUUGGCGCCUUCGUGCCCGUGCUCUCACUGGCACCGCCGUUGUGGUGCUCUCCGGCAAGCUCCGGCUUGUUGUGGUGGUGUUGGUUGUGAUGCUGGUCACACCAUAGUGAUGGUGUGGCUGCAUCCUGCUUCGGCUACAACUCCUUUUGGUGAGCUUCUCCUUGCUCCCCUCCUGAUCUAUCUAAUGCAUAGCUCUUGAUCUUGUUGGAUGUGAGGCUCUAUUAGCUGUGGUUAGGUGCUGUAGAUGAGCAUCAACUUGUAUUGGAGCUCUCUGUGAUGGAUUCUUGCUGUGUCAGGGUUUUGGUCAGUGACCAUCUAUGUGUAUUUGUGAAGUAUAUAUACUCCUGUACUGCUCUGUUCUGUGUAGUUGAUCCUGGAGUUGUUACUUUGGUCAGUUACUUUACUCAUGAACGGAUACUCACUUGUUCUUAGUUAUUUUACUUCUAAUACUGAUAUGAACAGAUACCACUUGGUUUGGCUAUUCCUAUUUGUCUCUUUCUAGUAGCCUAUGAACAGAUACUAUACUUGGUUUUGGCUGUUACUUUCCUAGUUUUCUACUGAUAAGACAGAUACUACAUCUGAUUUGGGCAGUGAUGCUGGUCUGAGCCCCCUCUCUUAGGCUUAAUUUACAUGUGACUAUCCCUGUGCUGUGAUGAACUAGCCCUGGCACUUCCAGGCUGUCUGAGCACAUAAUCCCUCAAGUAUACCUUGAGGUCUUCUGUAGCUCUCCUUAAUAGUUAUCUCUUCUAAGCUGCUGGUGGUUGGAUGUGUUGGGACUUGGUCUGGUUGGCUGGUUGUGAUGUAUAUCUCCUCCUGGAGCUUUGUUUUUGGCGUUGCAUAGUGACAUGUACCUAUUGUCACUAGUCAAAACUGAUUGUGGUGAUGAAGUCUAAUCUCUGGCUUUAAUCACUAGUUUUUAGUUGGCUUAAUUCCUGGAGCUAGUACUGAUAGUGGUCUUUGUGUUGGCAUUUAACUUACUGCUAAUUGUGGUGGCUUCUUGAUUAGGUCCUUGGCUGGUUCUCUUCUUUGGCUCUUUGGUAUUGGUUUACUCUAUUUGGCUUUCUAAUUAAGAUCACUUUGAAAAUCAGGAUCUUAACUAAGAUUAUCUUGAUCUCAAGUACUGGCUCCUACAGCAUUGCAUUUCACCAAGUGAAAUGCUACAUUUCUACUCCUAACCCAUUCUCUCUUUCUUAGUGUUUUUGUUAUGCAGGUUGGAAGAAAAGAAGAAGAUCCAUAGAAGAUCUUAGUAAUAAGAUAGUUUUUAGGAAAAUAGAUAUUUAGUUUUAGAUCAUUCCUUGUAAUAUUUGUUGGAUAUCUGUUCAUGGAUAUGUGUUGGAUAUAUAUGUGUUCAUGACUAUAUAUUGGUAACAUGUGUUGGAUAUGUGUUCAUGGAUAUGUGUUGGAUAUAUAUGUGUUCAUGAGUAUUGGUAAUAUGUGUUGGAUAUGCUAUAUUGGUCAUACAUAUAGUCUGUGUUUGAUUGUGUUUGAUUUUCUGUGAAAAUGAAUUGAUAUAAGAAGAAACAGAAUUAAUGCCUAUUUGGUCUAUUUGCCAUCUGCCAACAGAUGGCAAAGAACCUGCAGCCUUUGCCGUCUGCCAGCAGAUGGUAAAGAGUCGUGCCCUUUGCCGUCCGCCACUGACAGCAAAGGCCUCUUUGCCGUACGCUACAAAAAACAGACGGCAAAGAAGGCCUUUGUCGACCCUGUCUUUGCCGUCGCUGUUUGCCGUCCGCGGCGGAUGGCAAAGGCCUUUGCCGUUCGCCAUCCUAGCCUUUGCCGUCCGCCAUGGCUGAUGGCAAAGUACCAGAUUCCUGUAGUGAGAGUGACGGUGUCCUGGACUAGAGGUACUCAACGCGUCGUCUCCCGAUCAGUUGGAUUGGGCCAAGGACCCCCAUGGCCGUAUACUCAUGGGCCAGUCCGGACAACUGCCGCAUACAAGGAAGAAUCAACAAGACUUGGCGAUCAAGAGAAGGACUCCUCCCCGACCGGCGUAUUCGGCUAGGACUCUUGUUAUCCUAGGCCUCUGGUGCAUUAUAUAAACCGGGGCUAGGCUAGUCGAUAGACAUAUACAACAACAAUCAUACCAUAGGCUAGCUUCUAGGGUUUAGCCUCCUUGAUCUCGUGGUAGAUCUACUCUUGUAACACACAUCAUCAAUAUUAAUCAAGCAGGACGUAGGGUUUCACCUCCAUCAAGAGGGCCCGAACCUGGGUAAAACAUCGUGUCCCUUGCCUCCUGUUACCAUUGAUCCCAAGACGCACAGUUCGGGACCCUCUACCCGAGAUCCGCCGGUUUUGACACCGACAUUGGUGCUUUCAUUGAGAGUUCCGCUGUGUGAUCGGCGAAAGGAUCAAUGGCUCGACUGCAGGUCAACUGCGACGUCGGCUUCUUCGUCACCAGCUUGGCUGGUCACCUUGGCUUGACCGAGGACUGCACCCUACUUCCGAUCGUCAUGUUCGGAUGAAGGCCUUCAUCAAACACCAACUCGGAUCUCUAUCAAGAUCGUGGAGGAGUCAUCCAUGGAGCUCGGGGGCUCAACGUCAACAUUGCCCUCAAGCGACCGUGCUGUUUUCCUGGACAGCAAAUUUGUAUCCGCCGCCACCGCCUCCUCGAGUGUCGCUUAAAAGAUUACUUCGGUGCAAUUAUGCGGAAUUAAGUCUACAACAACCCUGCAAAAAUUUCGUUGAGUUCCGAUGGAGGAAUCUCUGGCAAUCUCCGAUAUACCGGAGCCCUGUUGAAUCUGGACGAGAAUCCGGACGAGUUUAGGGCGUGGUAUCCAGCAUCUAGCUCGGAUGUCCUUUGGAGGAUCCAACCGUUGAUUUGCUGCGGAAUUCCCAUAUCUACCACCUGCCCAAAAUCCAGCUCGAUCCGACCGUCCAAACUCCAGGAAACUUCCGAUUAGUGCAUCACUUUUUGGACUUGUUUUCUGCGCGAGAACGAGUCCGACCCGAAUUCAUCUUCUUUAUGAACGGGAUUUCGGACAUCCUUUUUGAAGGAAGUUUUGUAUGGGGUAUUAUAUUUUGUUCCCGAACACAUCCCACUAACUUUAAGAUCUUUUGAACAUGAUUUUCAACAUCAUGCUGGUGUUAAACCAGUCCGACAAUAUUGCUCCAUGGCUGCCGACCUGCGCUAGACACAUCGUCACUUUGUUGAGCCAAGCUCAACUUCUUCGGAUCAUCAUCUUGGCAAGCCGAACAAGAGUCCGGCAUCGCGAAGGAUAAAUCAUCACCAACGUCGCCUCCCCACGGAUUACACGGAGCGGGCAUACCGGCAUCGCCGCACGGUCGCUUCAUCAAGCCGGCAUCGACCACGUCACAACCUGCAUCGGCAAGGCCGCACUAUUGCUUCUUCAAGCCGGUGUCCAUCACGCCGACCUACUUCGAUAUCUCGGCUGGACUGGGGGCUUCGCCAUCUCUUCAUCAACCAACUCCGGACACUUCGGCGUCACUAGCCGACCAGGCAUGGGUGCGUGGAUUGAGUCCCAAUUUUGGGAAUCACCUUCCUUCGGAUUGCUACAACAAAUAAACCAGGUGCUAUUAAUCCUAGUAUUUCUUUUUGCUUGUUUGGGUUAAAUUUUACCCAAGGAAUUAUUACUCUGGUUAGUCCAGCAUAUGUACACAGGUCUAUCAAAUGGUGGCCGCAUUAUCGACGGUCGCAUGAUGGUUCGGUCAGUUUCCGUACACAGUUCGGCAAACGCCGCAUCCGGAACUCGGGCCGACCUGUGAAUCCAGGCUUCGCCACGCCUUUAUUGCAUUACGCCGACGACCUGCAUCGACAUCGACUUCGGCGCCAGGACAUAUUUCUUUUACUACUCACUUUGCAUAAAUUAUUUAUUAUGCAACAUUUUUUUUAAUUCCUAUUAUUACUAUUACCCCCGGUCUGCACUAUUUUUUGUGCACAGGAAAAUGAUCCAGCCGGACUAUAUCCUUUGACGUCACAUCGGCUAGACGGGGGCUUCGUCAACACUUCAUUACCCUAUGCCGGGGACUUGGGCAUCACUUUGCCGUCCUGCAUUGACCGUGCUAUGUCACCACUUCGGAGUGCCGAGCUCCUUGCUCCGCCACCUCGGGACCGGCUUGGGGGAUGGAACCUUGUCCCGCAUCAAGCUCGGACCGUGUCGUCAAUACCGAACACAUUAACCAGCUAAGUUGCCUUCACGCUCAAAGUUUUAAAUUUCUAACUUGUGUUCGGUUCGACCAAGAAUUAUACUUUUUUGUAAAAAAGUUGCUUGUAAAAAUUUUCCUUGUCGAAACUUUGUUCGCACACGCUUGACGCGCUACCCGCGCUCAUUAUACCUGGGGGCUUCUUUAACAGAAGCUUAUUAAUACGGGGUUUAUGCCCAACACAUGUGUCGCACUUCCGCAUGUACCGUUUAUUCACCAUUAUAUGCAUCGAUAUGACUUAAGUUUUGGCCAAGCUGGGUUGCCUGGCUCCUGUGCUUACCCCUACGUUCCCGAUUGUUCGGCUAGGUGGUAAAGGGAGCACCUCUGCGAUUGUUACUGCCGGGUCAGCCGGAUGUGUACCUCAGACUGGGUGAAGUCGAAAGCUAGCGUUCUUAAGGGAAUACUCGGUCGGUGAACUAAAAGAUGAUUUCUUACCUAUUUAUUUACCUGCCCCCAGAUGUUUUUCUGCUCUUUUCGCAGUCCGGACAUGCACUUUAGGGCAUGCCUCCCAGGGAAAGGAACUCCUAACGGAACUAUUCUCCCUGGAAGAUGUUUCUUACUAACCAUGUAAUAUAACAUAACUAGUUGGGCACUUGUCUGAUAAAGCACUAAUGACCCCUACGCCUGGUCUCCACGCAUGCCCCGGUUUUUAUAACCACGAGGGUAUUCGGACACACUCUAGACUAUUGGGUCCAGAGGUUGAAGCGAAAAGGUCCGCUACGACAAACGAUCUACAAUCCGGCUAGAAGGCAUUCUACAUGUCACCUUACAUUUUAUAGUCAACUUUUACCCAAGUCGCUUGGGGGCUCUUAUGUUUAUUUGAGCCGUUUCAUACUAAGUGUUUUUCUUCUUAGUCGUUGCAAAGUUAAAGCACGACAGAAGCACUUUUUUUUCUAAAGUCCAAUUUUCGGAUUGGCACCGAACACUUGAUCUUGUUCGGACGUCAUGUUUUUAUUGACGUUUUUUGGUUUUCCAAGCUUUUGGCACUUUUAACAAUUUGUGUGUUUUCAGCACAAGUCUCGCAGUGCAAUGCCGGACACCUUUAGAGAUUCGGCAAAAACAUUCUCGGAUAUUGCUAUAUAUGCAUCAGCUUCGAAUUGUGUCUUCGGUCAAUAGUUGGGUUGCCCGGCUCCCGCGCUUGCCUCCUACAUUCCGCUUUGUUCGGCUAGGUGUGCAAAGGGAGAACAACUGCGAUUGUGCUUCCAGCUCACAUGGUCAAGCACCUCAGUGGAGAAAGCCGAAAACUGACUGUCACAAUAGGUGUAAACUGGUUAGCGAUCCGAUGACUAUAAUAAAUGACGGGCCAUUCAUAACAUUGGCCGAAGUGUUUCUGGCUUGACCUUGGCUGUCGCCGAACACUACCGGGGGCUAUUAACUGGCCUCCCAAACUAAAUCCUUGAUCUUUUGCUCUUACAUUGGAGUUGAGGUUUCAUGAUCACGCUUAGCAUGACAACCCAAAGAAAGGAACCGAUAGCGGGACUAUUUUCUUUGGAAGACAUUUCUUCUGUUAAACAGCAAUAUAACAUAUCUCUCUGCGUACCUUUGUUUAGAAAGCCGUAUGACCAGAUUGCCUUGUUUGUCGUAAAUCUUUGCCCUCAUAAAGGCUUUAUAAAGUAGGACAAACACUCCUCAGCUACUGGCCGAGGAGGUUGAAGCCCAUGGUCGGUCAACAAAGUUUUGUACAAUGCGGAUCCGAGCAUUAAUGGCGUAAAGUACUUGGAUACAUAGAGUCAUUACACACAAUUUAUGAUUUUACUAUGGAUAUCGAUCCUUAAUUCGGCCUCCCGUGUCCGAAUUAAGGCUCGGGGCUACUGAGCUUCGGGCUUAUUAUUUACAAAUAUUAAAGGGGCACAUCGAUCCCCUGAUCUGGUGUUGCCACCCGACCAGUGUCUCGGGGGCUACUGCAUUGCCUGUUCUAUGCAGAAAAUUUUAAGUGCAAUACAGUUUCUGAGGAGAUUUUGAUCCUCAGGUUGGUCGGCCGCACCCAACCUAAGUCUCGAGGACUGAGCACGCCGCUUUUUCUGUCCCGAAGUAUUCUGCCGAGCUAGGACUUGAUCCUCAGACCAAUUUUGCAAAUCAACCUGAGUCUCAGCGGCUACGGGGAUCAGCGGUCUUAUGUCAUCCUUCAUGUGCAUCUCAGGUUUUAGACCGAUACCCACCUUGAGGGCUACUGGCAUCAAUAAAAAACAUUGACCAAAAAUCAGCCCAUGACCGAGGUGCUUAACCACCUCGGAAGCAGUUCGACAUAUAGCUCGGAUGCAAGUGGCUGGCUCCUUAGAGGGCAUUUCCGGCAUUAAGCUCGGUUAAACUCCUUCAAACUUCUUUGAACCAAGGUGAUUUAUGACACCUCGGAUAAAGUCUGGCAUUGGAGCUCAGAUACAUAUUCCGGCAUUGGAGCUCGGAUACAGUCCGGCGUUGGAGCUCAGAUACAUAGUCCCACGUUAGAGCUGGGAAGCAGUCCGACAUUGGUGCUCGGCUGCAAAAGAUACCUCGAAUGUAGUCCGGCGUCGGAGCUCGGACGCAAGAGGACGUUGCCACCCGGGAACAACUUCAAACCCGAGGCAUGGCAUAAAAAUAACAAGGCAUUGAUAAAGGCCGUAAACUUAAAGGGGCUCCUCGGAUACCCAACUCGUAAACUCGUCGAAUGCAUUUUGGCGAUCCUCAAGAUAGAAGAUGAGAAGAUUUGUUGAACCAGUUUUCAAGACCAGCAACCGAAGAUGAAGAACAGUUCGGAAGAAUCGAGGAGCGUCCCUAACUUGAAGACCGGUUUAGGGGGCUACUGACGGUGUCCUGGACUAGGGGGUACUCAACGCGUCGUCUCCCGAUCAGUUGGAUUGGGCCGAGGACCCCCAUGGCCGUAUACUCAUGGGCCAGUCCGGACAACUGCCGCAUACAAGGAAGAAUCAACAAGACUUGGCGAUCAAGAGAAGGACUCCUCCCCCACCGGCGUAUUCGGCUAGGACUCUUGUUAUCCUAGGCCUCUGGUGCAUUAUAUAAACCGGGGCUAGGCUAGUCGAUAGACAUAUACAACAACAAUCAUACCAUAGGCUAGCUUCUAGGGUUUAGCCUCCUUGAUCUCGUGGUAGAUCUACUCUUAUAACACACAUCAUCAAUAUUAAUCAAGCAGGACGUAGGGUUUCACCUCCAUCAAGAGGGCCCGAACCUGGGUAAAACAUCAUGUCCCUUGCCUCCUGUUACCAUUGAUCCCAAGACGCACAGUUCGGGACACCCUACCCGAGAUCCGCCGGUUUUGACACCGACAGAGAGUUUUAUGAUGACUUUGAAGGUUGUCAAACUUAGACUGAAGUCUCUAAAGAUUUUCAGUUAAGUCUUUAGUGCGGUCCAUUUCAUCACCCAACAUAUCAUCACUUUUGUCUAGCAUGUUCUGAAGUUUUUCAAUAGCCUUUUGUUGUUUCACAGCAAUCUUAGCAAUUUUAGAGUAGCUAGGCUUAAGAUUUUCAUCAGAUUCAUCCUCACUAGAUUCAGAAGAGGGGUAUUUUGUUACCUUGGCACCCUUUUCCAUGAAGCAAUAGGUGGGAGCGUAGUCAUCAUUAUCUUCGUCAGCCUUGUUGGUGAGGUCAAUUUCUUCAGAGUUGAAGAUGGACUUGCUGACGAAUGCAGUAGCGAGAGCCAGACUUGCCACACCAGACUCGGACUCCUCAGAUGCCUCCUCUUCCUCAUGUUCCUCAGAUUCAGCUUCAGAGUCCAUUUCCUUGCCAAUGAAUGCCCAAGCCUUUAUGGAGCUGCUCUUCUUGUGAGAUGAAGAUUUCGAGGAUUUUGAUGAUGAAGAUUUUGAAGAUUUCUUCUUCUUCUUAGCGUCAUCAGAACUGUAAUCCUUGUAUUUCUUCUUCUUUAAUUCCUUUUCCCACUGAGGACAAUCUUGAAUAUAGUGACAAGGUUUCUUGCAUUUGUGGCAAAGUCUUCUCUUAUAGUCACUUGACGAGGAAUCACUGCUCCUUGAGGAUUUUCCAAAGCGACCACAUCUUGAGAACUUCUGGAACUUCUUCACGAGCAGUGCUAGCUCCUGGCUCAAUUCUUCAGGAUCACCAAGGCUACUACCAGAAUCUUCACAUUCAGAUUCAGACACAGCCUUGGCCUUGAGGGCACGUGUUUUGCCAUAGCUUGAACCAUAGAGAUCUCUCUUUUCAGCAAGCUGGAACUCAUGAGUAUUUAGCCUCUCGAGGAUAUCAGCGGGAUCCAGUGACUUGUAGUCAGCAGGUUCUUGUAUCAACAGUACCAGAGUAUCAAAUGAAGAAUCUAGCAAUCUCAGCAAUUUCUUCACCACCUCAUGGUCGGUGAUGUCAGUGGCGCCAAGCGCUUGAAGCUCAUUUGAGAUGUCAGUGAGGCGAUCGAAGGUUUGCUGAACAUUUUCAUUGUCGAGUCGUUUGAAGCGGUUGAAGAGAUUGCGAAGAACGUCAACACGAGAGUCACGUUGAGUUGAGACUCCUUCGUUUACUUUGGAGAGCCUAUCCCAGAUAAGCUUAGCAGUUUCUAAAGCACUCACUAUUCCAUACUGUCCUUUGCUCAGAUGGCCACAUAUGAUAUUCUUCGCUUGAGAAUCGAGUUGCUUGAAUCUCUUCACAUCAGCAGCAUUCAGGGAAGGUGUGACUGAGGGAACACCAUUUUCCACAAUGUACCAAAGAUCGUUGUCAAUUGCUUCAAGAUGCAUUCGCAUCUUAUUCUUCCAGUAAGGGUAGUCCGUGCCAUCGAAGGUAGCACACCCACCGGAGACCUUGAUCAUACCUGUGGUCGACAUAACUAGAAAUCCAGGUGGUUAAACCAAAAUCACAUAGAACAAGGGAGUACCUUUCUCUAAUACCAAUUGAAAGUGCGUUAUAUCGACUAGAGGGGGGCGAAUAGGCGUUUUUUAUGAAUUCUUCACUGAGGAAUUUCCUGGUGAGGAAAUUCCUUGGCGAAGAACUACUUGCAGCGGAAUAAGUACUCAGAAGUAAGCAUAACAGAAUACAGGCAUGGUCAUCAUGAUGAAAUGAAGACAUGCAUAGAGUACAGAAAGCGUAAACACAGGAUAACACAAGAUGAAGACAAACAGACUGAAGAAAUUGAACUGAGGAAAUUGAGAAAGUCUUCAGUCAAAGUCUUCAAACACGGAUAUGAACAAUCACUCAACACAGUAAUGAGUAAAUGAAAGAGUUGAGGGAAUAGAACCAGGAAGGUUGGUGAAGACAAUGAUUUGGUAGACCAGUUCCAACUGUUGUCUUAGUUGUACGUCUGGUUGGAGCGGCUGAGUAUUUAAACUCGAGGACACACAGUCGCUGAGCACGCAGCUCAGGACACCAAGUCCUCACCGUAUUCUCCUUGAACUAAGGUCACACAAACCUCGUCCAAUCACUCAUGGUAAGUCUUCAGGCGACUUCCAAACCUUCACAGACUCAGUCACUUGGCGAUCCACAAUUCCUCUUGGAUGCUCUAGACCAUGACGCCUAACCGUCUGGAAGAAGCACAGUCUUCAAAGGUAACAAGCGUCAGAUCCAUGUAGGAUCAAUCUCUUCAAUGAUGCUCAAUCACUUUGGGUUUGUAGGUGUUUGGGUUUGGGUUUUUUCCUCACUUGAUGAUUUUCGCUCAAAGUCCUCGGAGGAUGGGAUGCUCUCAAAUGACAAGUGUCAGUUUCUCUCGGAGCAGCCAACCAGCUAGUGAUUGUAGGGGGCGCCUAUUUAUAGCCUAGGGAGCAGCCCGACAUGAUAAGACAUAAAUGCCCUUGUCUGAUAUGACCGUUAGGUGGAUAAGAUAUUUUGUGACAGCUGGCGCGCAGCACAGCAACGGUCGGAAAUUUGACUCUCAAAUUUCUCAGGGCUAUCAUGUUCCUCACUUCCUAGGCAAUCCGCAUUGGUGAAUUCCUAACUCCUCAGUCAGAACAAAUUCCUCAGCGACUAGAAGAACUUCGUCUCUGUCACUGAAGAAAUGACUGAACUGUAUGAGAUUUCCAAAGGCUUCACUCGAAGGGAUUGGUAGGUGUAGGAUUUUAAGUUGAGCAUCACAUGGAAAUUUUUGCUUAGUAUUUCCUCGACCCCCUUUAACAGUACGGUGUUUCCUAUGACUCAAGAAAGAGAAAAACAAAACUAUGAAAACAAAAGUCUUCAAGCUUCAUAUUCCUCGCAUGAAUAUCAAGUCUUCACGGACACACCAAUUUCUUCACUUUCAAAGUCUUCAUGAAAGUCUUCAGGAAUACCAAAAUCUUCAGUCGAAGAUAUUCAUUUUUAGGGGUCGACUUUCUCUGUAAAUAUCAAACUCCUCAUAGACUUAUAGACCUGUGUACACUCAUAAACACAUUAGUCCCUUAACCUAUAAGUCUCCAAUACACCAAAAUCACUAAGGGGCACUAGAUGCACUUACUGGCACUGAGGCGACCACACCAUAGCCAGGUGCGGGCCCAACUCUGGCUGCACGGCCCUAGGGUGUGGGCCCCUCGGGCGUCCACCGACAUUGCCCUUCCGCCUAUAUAAUGCCCCCGAGGCGAAAACUCUAAAUAAUGAAGCCUCCGUCCAUGAAAAAUUCCGCAGCGCCGCCACCAUCAACGACGAGAUUCGGGGGAUAGAGGUGUCCGUUUCGGCACCCUAUCGGGAUGGGGAAUUGCCCCCGGAGCCAUCUCCAUCGACUCCACCGCCAUCUUCAUCGCCGUUGCUAACUCCCAUGAUGAGAAGGGAGUAGUUCUCCUCCGAGGCUGUGGGCUCUACCGGUCGCUAUGUGGUUUAUCUCUCUCUCCCAAGGUGUGAUCUUUAUGUGAUCAUGAGCUUUGUAAUCUGGUUAAUUUAGUAGAUGUUACUCUCAUCUAUUAUGCUACUCAACUGCUUUUAUUAAUGUGAUCUCCGGAGACACCUUGUCCCACGGUGUGAAGGUGACAGUGUGCACACCGUGUGUGGCUCUUAGGCUAAAGAUUACAGAAAUACUUAUCAUGAGUUAUAAUUUGAGUUGGAUGUCUCUAUGAAAUUGUGGUGUUUGUUUGGAACCAUCUAGCGCUCAAGGUGACAGUGUGGAGUUACCUAGAUGGGGAAUGCGAACUUUAAGGUGUGCUUUUAUAGCCCUACGUGGUGAAUUGGUGUUCGUUAUCCAACCGGAGAGUAGUUCAGAGUAGCAUAGUGAUGAGAAGAUGUUUAUGUGUUCAAUUAUGAUAUCAUUGUUGAGAGUGUCCACUAGUAAAAGUAUGAUCCCUACGUUUUGUUUCUAAGCAUUGAAACAUCGUUUACAACCAGUUGUGCUACAUGUUUGCUUGCUGACAUUUUUAUUUCAGAUUGCAAUUACCACUUGUAAUCAUCCAUAUUACUUGUAUUUCACUAUCUCUUCACAGAACUAGUGCACCUAUACACCUGACAAGUGUAUUGGGUGUGUUGGGGACACAAGAGACUUCUUGUAUCUUAAUUGCAGGGUUGCUUGAGAGGGAUAUCUUUGACCUCUUCCUCCCUGAGUUCGAUAAACCUUGGGUGAUUCACUUAAGGGAAACUUGCUACUGUUCUACAAAUCUCUACACUUGGAGGCCCAACACUGUCUAUAAGAAUAGAAGCGUGCCUAGACAUCAAGCUUUUUUCUGGCGCCGUUGCCGGGAGGUAAGGUAAAAGGUACUCACAUCCUCUGGCUACUAAGCUAUCUUCUAGUACUGUUGCUGGUGUGUGAGUGGUCAAAGUUAUUUUUCCUUUAGAUUCUGCAAUUAUAUCUUUUUGUUUCUUGUUUUUAUUUUCACUAGUUAGGCUUAAUGGAAAACAACAACAAAAUUAGAGAGCUUUAUAGUAUGUUUCCUGAGUUAGGACAUGAAGUGUUUGAAGAGAAAAUUAAAAAACCUAUGGAACUUUAUUUGCAUGCUAAUAGAAAUGUUAUUAGUAUGAACUAUUUGAACACCAUUAUUGCUAAUGUUAUGGAAAAGUCUAAGCUUGGGGAAGCUGUUUUUUAUGAAAAUGGUCUUUUUAGUUCCCCAGCUUUAGAGGAGAAAUUAUUCAUGAAAAUAGUCUUUUUACGAAAAUGUUAUUUUUACUUCCCCAGCUUUAGAGGAGAAAUUGAACGAUUUUAGAUUCUAAACGAUUUUUAAAUUUGAACGAUUUUCAAAUUUGAACAAUUUUCAAAAUUUGAAACAUUUUCAUAAUCUGAACGUUUUCAACAAUCUGAACAUUUUUAAAAUUCGAACAUCUUUAGAAUCUAAACAGAAAAAGCAGGAAAAAAGGACCAGCUCCGAGGUAGUCGCCAAACUCCUCGUCCUCUCUGGCAGAGAUGUUCUCCCUCGCCUGCUGCCUUUGACUCUGCACUCCAUCUUCCUUUUAUAUUGAUAUUACUCCCCUUCUCACCCGAUCCCUCCGGUACUUCUGAUCUGUUCUUCUCCAUCUUCCCUAACCCUAAUUCUGCCACCCUCUCAUCCCCCUCCCCCCCGAUCUCCUUGUGAGUUGGAUCUGCCAUGCACGAAGAUGCGCGUGACGGGUAGUGGUAGAUCCCACCGGCAGCCAGAAAGAUCCGGCGAUCGGUGAGAUUUUACGUGGGCGCUAGCAUGAACGCCAGAGGAAAGUUGGAACCCUAGCGGCGGAGCCAGGGGGAGACACGAGAAUUCCUAUGCUCCACCCAACGCGUGCACUAAUAGAGCAUGCUCACGCGGGCACUCUUGGUGGCCCGGUCCAUAAGCGGGAAGAGUUUUUCUUUCAAUUUUUCUUAAUUUCUUUUUCUUCUUUUUAUUUUCUGCUUCUUUUUUCUUCUUUUUUAAAUUUUGGUUUCCCUUUUUCUCGUUUCUGUUGCUUUUUUAUUUUUCAAUGUUUGCAUUUUUUUCAAUUUUGUUUUUUUAUUUGAAUAUUUUUUAAUUUGAACUUUUCCAAAGCGGGACGUUUUUUAAUAUGAACAAAUUUAAACAUUUCUCAAAUUUGAACAACUUUCCAAUUGGAACAAAUUUUAAGUUUUAACAAAUUUCAAAUUUGAACAUUUUCUAUUUUUAAACUUUUUCAAAUUUGAACUUUUUUUAGAUCUCGUAUUUUCUUAAUAAUUUAUUAAUUACCAAAAAAAUAAAACAAAAAAAUCAAAUGACUGGAAAAAGAAAUUAAAUUUAUAACUUUUUAUUUGGCCGCGUUUGAGGCGGCCCAUCAGGAGGCUCUGCGUUCGUGGUGGUUUAGGCCACGUUUGAGCAGCACAUAGGGUUUGCCCCACCGAUCACGAGCGACGAGGAGCCAGCCAGCGACCACGUCAGAUCUGAUUCUUAAAUAAGAUUGUUUCUAAAUUACAAAUAAAUUUGAUAAUCUGAACGCUUUUCAAAUUCGAAACAUUUUGAAAAAUCUAAAUACUAUUUUUCCUUUUCUUUUUUCCAGUGUUUUCAAAAUCAGAACGGUUUUAAAAUUUGAAUGAUUUAAAAUUGAACAAGUUUAAAAUUUGAACAAAUUUCUAUAUUCAUAUUGUUAAUAAUCUGAAAAUUUACGAAAUUUGGAUAAUUUGAGCAACUCUAAAAUUGAACGAUUUUUAAAUUUGAACCAUUUUCAAAUUUGAACGAUUUUCAUAUUUGAACAAUUUUCAUAAUUUGAAACAUUUUCAUAAUCUGAACGUUUUCAACAAUCUGAACAUUUUUAAAAUUCGAACGUCUUUAGAAUCUAAACAGAAAAAGCAGGAAAAAAGGAAGAAUAAAAGAAACAUAGCGAAAACCAAUCGAAUAACCGCAGCAAAAAAGUGAAAGAACCGUGCAGAGAAACCUGAAAAAACCAGCCCCGGAUUUUCUGUUGAUUUACCUAUAUGGGUUGGCCAAAUAGCGCAAGGUUGCAUGUCGUAGCUAUAUAUCACAACGAGCGAUGUAUAAGGAUCUCCGAUACUACCGUCGCGAAUCGAGCAUAUCAUCACCAUCGAGACGUUGACGCUCCAAAAAAUACAUUUUAUUUCCAUCAUUGCCUUUUAAUGUUGUUUCUACGUAGUACAGAAGAUAUAUUUUUUUAUAGACAAUACCAUGAUAUAUUAUAGUAGGAAAUAGUAUAUGGUACAGAUACAUAAGCUGUCUCCAGCGAUUAUAAAAUAAGAAAGCUCACAUCAACAAACAAGAUAACUCUUUUAUACGUGAUAAGCAACCUCAAACCAAUAAACACUACAUCUAUUUCAUUCAGUACAACGGCAUAAGAUUUUUUAUUCUUAACAGUUUUUACGAAUUUAGUGCUCAUAUGCAGGAGUAAUUAUUCCUGGGAGCCAAAACACAAUGUCAUGCAACCUCCACAAUGCAUGAAAUUUCUAUCUUCUUGUCGUGACGUAAUUUACUCCACCCAAGAUUCUUCUUAACAAUCGAUACCACAUAUAUUUAAAAUAGCUCAUGGUCACUACAGGAAACGGGCGAUAGGCCGACGGCCCGACACUGUCGGCAUAGGCCAAAUAACCCUCGGCACAGGCUAUAGCCGAGGGCGGCCCUGGGCGUAUCGCCCUCGGGUAUCUGCGUACAGGUAUUUGUCGUCGGCGUAGAGGAUUCCCUCGAUGUAGACUUGGCGGGCCCAUCGCUAACAGAUGACGGCCGUUAGACGUCGAACAGGCUACACCGACGGCUUUGCCCUCGGGCUAGAUAAUCGAUUUUGUUUCCAACCUUUUUUCCAAAAAAAAUCCAAUUUUUUUCACACUUGUUAAUUUCACAACAGACAUUUUUAACUCUCAGCACAUUUAAUGUAAAAUCAAAUUGCACUUGUGGUCAAACUUCCCGCUCGACCACCCAUCCUCACACUACUCCAACCCCAGCAUGCUUAACUUCUCCGUUCCUUCGGGAUGAGCUAUCAAGAAAGAAAUCAUAUCUUAGUGAUAAUAGUACCAUAUCAAUCAUAUUAACUCUUGGACUAUGGUGUCACACCUUUUUAUUUUUGAAUUCCAUACAAAUACUUAAAUACACAACAAUUAAUAAGUAAUAAUAAUAAUUUUCAAUUCAAAUAAAAUAAAUAAAUUAAUAUUUUUUCUUUUUUCUAUUUAAUAUGGAAUAUUUAAUAUCUUAAAUCCUUAAAUCUGAAUUUGACAAACAAUAUGUCUAAGCCUAUCAAAAAAUGAGGAGAAUCCAAAUAUAACAUCCAUAUCGUCUUGUGAACCUAAAAAAAUGAUAUUUCCAAAAAAAUCAUGAGCAUUAGAUCAUGUAUGUGUAGUUCAAAUUGACCAUAGUUCAGAUCGAGCAAUAGGUACAUGUAUUUUUUUUAAAAUAUAUGUACACCAUGUAUAUCGACUUGAAUCGUUAGUAUGUGACAUAAGAAGAUUAUGUGGGCAGGUUUUUCAUAUUUUUCAUAUUUUUUGAAUUUUUUAUGCUCAUUUCAAAAAAAUUUGAAAUGUGUAAUAUUUAAGUGUAUAUAGAGAGAUCUUAUUCUUCUGCAAAUUUGAUAUAUUAUUUGUAUUUAUCUGAAUCAUAAUGAUUCAGUUAUGAUUUUUCUAAAAUUAAUAUGAUAAAAUGGAAAAUAGCUAUGCCGACGCCGUAGCUUCAAAACCUAUGCCGAGGGCUUUGCCCUCGACGUAGACCCUCCGUCGUGACGCGGUCGUAACACUGUUAGCCUGGGCUGGCCUACACCGAGGCUGGCAUAUACCCCGAGGGCAGCUGUUGGCCCAGACAUGGGUUCACCGAGGGCCGAUCCUACGCCAAGGGCCGGGCGGGCGGGCGGGCUGGAUUGCCAGCCCUCUACGCCGACGGCCCCGAUGUUUUGCCGUCGGUGUAGAGGCUGGCCGUCGGCUCGAGACAUCAGUCCUGUAGUGGGUGAAGAUACACAAGUUGUUUUCAGCGAUUAUAAAAUAAAGUACAUUUAAGAAAAUGAGCAAAUCUCCGAGGUCUUUAAACUCUUCUUUUCCAUCACAGGCAGCCAAAUUGUCACGACAUAAAUACCAAACUAUAGGCUCGUAAAUACCGACGAUGGUUCUCCCGUAUUUUUAAAUCUGAGCCGCAAUGCCAAGGCUACGUGCAUGCGCGCAACCAUUAAACUAAUCACCCGACAUCAGCGAGAGCAACAACACCAGUAUUCCAGGGAAAAAGAUACCGAACAGCCUGGUCGACAUCGCUAGAGAUCCGAAAGUACGAAUCACCAUUGUCGAUGGUGUAGCAUCCGGGAUAAAUAUUACGAGGACUAGUUGAAUGCCCGUGCGUUGCAACGGCCUCUAAAAUAUUUUAUUUCUGCACAUGUAAGCAUAAUACAUCUUAAUAUUUUGUCGCAUAUAGAAAGGUAGAGAAAUAUAGUAUUCAAGAAACUAUAGAAUUAUACAUUUUGAUGUGAUUGGACAAAAAGUUAUAGUUUGAUUUCUAUGCAUAGUAAUAGAAAACCCAUCUACUCAUCUUAUUCUUAGUUAGGUGUGUUUAAACUGUAUUGUUAUCAGAUACGGUUAGUAUCUAGGAUUGUAGUUAUCUUGUAUAACAACCUGUACUUAUCCUCCUGUAAACCCUAGCGGCAGCCCUAGAGGCGCCCUAUAUAAUGAUCCAAUCUCUUCUCUCUUUGUUUCACAUGGUAUCAGGCCAUCGCAUAACUGCUCGAUGGGUUCUCCUUCCUCGGGCGCCAUGACUUCCUCGACCCUGGCUUCUCUGCCCAUGCCCUCUGGGCUCUCAGCGCCGACAUCUUCCGCUGUUCCCCAACCCUCUGCUAGCCUCAUUACCGCCAAGCUUACCUCCUCCAACUUCCUCCUCUGGAAAGCACAGAUCCUUCCUCCCCUUCGAAUCACCGGUGUCACUUGGCUAUGUCGAUGGCACCACCCCUACUCCUCCUCGCAUCCUCCCAACUGAUGACAAGGGGGGCGCGCUCCUAACCCGGAGUAUGCUGCCUGGUCCCGUCAGGAUCAGAUCAUCCUGAGCUAUCUUCUUGCCUCGCUCACCUCGACACCUCCCGCGUCAUCUGGGCGCAACUCGAGGAGAUGUAUGUUACCCACUGCCGUGCCAGUGUGGUGCAGAUCAAGAUGGACAUGAUGAACUUCCGCAAGGGCAACCUCUCCAUGGUGGACUACUUCGCCAAGAUCCUCUCCAAUGCAGAUCAACUCACCACCGCGGGCCGUCCCAUGUGCCAGGAGGACAUCAUCACCGCCUUCAUCACCGGGCUCGACAACGAGUACGGGCCCCUCAUCAUUGCCAUAUCCUUCGAACGCCGCCGCGACAACAAAUGCAACACCAACAACCGUGGCAAGGGACACUACCGCGACAAGGGUCGCGGCAACUCUGGUGACCGUGGUGACUACAACAACAACAACAACCGCGACGGGUACUGUGGUGACUGUGGUGGUGGUGGCAAUCGUCAGAACGGUAACCGUGGUGGUGACCGCGGUGACCAUGGCGGUGGCGGGGAUGCACGUCUACACUGCCAGCUCUGUCGGGGCCCUGGGCACUAUGCAUGGGAGUGCGCUUAGCGCUAGAACCACGCCUUCCAACCUCAACAGUCCAAGAUGGCGGGUCUCGCUGCCGCUUCACCACCAUCCAUCCUCAGUGACCCUAACUGGUCCACUGACACGGGGGCUACCGAUCAUAUCAUGUCGGAUCUGGACCGUCUCACCGUGAGGGAAAAGUACCCUGGACAGGACCACAUCCACACUGCCGAUGGAUCAGGUUUGCACAUAGCUCAUCGUGGUCAUGCCCUUCUUCCUACACCCUCUGUCAAUCUUAAACUUCGCAACAUAUUACAUGUUCCCAAUGCCGACAAGAACCUUCUUUCUGUUAGUCGUCUUGCCGUUGACAAUCAUGCUUAUCUAAAAUAUUAUCCUACUCAUUUUCUUAUGAAGGAUUUGACAACCAAGAAGGUUCUUCUUCGCGGCAGAUGUGCAAAUGGGCUCUAUCCCAUUCGGCCUUCACGUUCUCAUGUCUUGUCUUCAGUUAGGCUCUCCGCUGAAGAUUGACAUGCUAGACUCGGCCACCCGUCCACACAAGUUGUUCAGCAUGUUUUGGCGUCCAAUAAAUUAGCAUAAUCGAGUCGGGCUUUGGCCCAUGUGUGUAAUGCUUGUCAACAUGGCAAAGUACAUCAGCUACCUUUUCCUAGAUCUUUGAAUGUUUCCUCGUUUUCGUUGGAACUUAUUUUCUCAGAUGUGUGGGGACCUACCGAAACCUCCUCUGGUGGGUUCCAGUACUAUGUUUCAUGUAUUGAUGAUUAUAGUAAAUUUGUGUGGAUUUAUCUUCUCAAACAAAAGUGUGAUGUGUUUAAUGUCUUUCGUGAUUUUCUUGCCCAUGUUGAACGCCUCCUAUCUCGUAAAAUCCUGUGUGUUCAAUCAGACUGGGGUGGGGAAUACGAAAAACUUAGCAACACAUUUUUUCGGCAACUUGGCAUUGCUCACCACGUCUCUUGUCCACACACACACCAACAUAAUGGCUCGGCCGAAAGGAAGCACCGUCACAUUGUUGACAUGGGCCUCUCCUUAUUAUCGCAUGCGUCUAUGCCCCUCCAUUUUUGGGACGAGGCGUACUUGUCCGCAUGUUACUGAAGGAAAUAUGCCCUAGAGGCAAUAAUAAAGUUAUUAUUUAUUUCCUUAUAUCAUGAUAAAUGUUUAUUAUUCAUGCUAGAAUUGUAUUAACCAGAAACAUAAUACAUGUGUGAAUACAUAGACAAACAGAGUGUCACCAGUAUGCCUCUACUUGACUAGCUCGUUAAUCAAAGAUGGUUAUGUUUCCUAACCAUAGACAAAAGAGUUGUUAUUUGAGUAACGAGGUCACAUCAUUAGUUGAAUGAUCUGAUUGACAUGACCCAUUCCAUUAGCUUAGCACCUGAUCGUUUAGUAUGUUGCUAUUGCUUUCUUCAUGACUUAUACAUGUUCCUAUAACUAUGAGAUUAUGCAACUCCCGUUUGCCGGAGGAACACCUUGGGUGCUACCAAACGUCACAACGUAAUUGGGUGAUUAUAAAGGAGCAUUACAGGUGUCUCCAAAAGUAGAUGUUGGGUUGGCGUAUUUCGAGAUUAGGAUUUGUCACUCCGAUUGUUGGAGAGGUAUCUCUGGGCCCUCUCGGUAAUGCACAUCACAUAAGCCUUGCAAGCACUGCAACUAAUAUGUUAGUUGUGAGAUGAUGUAUUACGGAACGAGUAAAGAGACUUGCCAGUAACGAGAUUGAACUAGGUAUUGGAUACCGACGAUCGAAUCUCGGGCAAGUAACAUACCGAUGACAAAGGGAACAACGUAUGUUGUUAUGCGGUCUGACCGAUAAAGAUCUUCGUAGAAUAUGUAGGAGCCAAUAUGGGCAUCCAGGUCCCGCUAUUGGUUAUUGACCGGAGACGUGUCUCGGUCAUGUCUACAUUGUUCUCGAACCCGUAGGGUCCGCAUGCUUAAGGUUACGAUGACAGUUAUAUUAUGAGUUUACAUGUUUUGAUGUACCGAAGGAGUUCGGAGUCCCGGAUGAGAUUGGGGACAUGACGAGGAGUCUCGAAAUGGUCGAGACGUAAAGAUUCAUAUAUUGGAUGAUAUGGUUAGGCCAAGGGGUCAAGCCCAUGAGGCUUUAGAUCGGUGCAAAAGGAGUUUUGCGGAGUUCAGGGGGCCAAACGCCGGAGACCCUGGCGUCUGGCCCUGGGCCAGACGCCGAGGCCCAUGGCGUCUGGGCCAGACGCCAAGGAUUGUGGCGUUUGGUCCUGGAGUCCGAGUGGGACUCUUGCCUUUCGGGAAAAACCGACUUUGAGGAGGCUUUUGCUCCAAGUUUCGACCCCGGGGCUCAACAUAUAAAUAGAGGGGCAGGGCUAGCACCAAAGACACAACAAUUGAUCCCUUGGAUCUCUUAGCCGUGUGCGGUGCCCCCCUCCACCAUAGUCCACCUCGAUAAUAUCGUAGCGGUGCUUAGGCGAAGCCCUGCGACGGUAGAACAUCAAGAUCGUCACCACGCCGUUGUGCUGACGGAACUCUCCCUCGACACUCGGCUGGAUCGGAGUUCGAGGGACGUCAUCGAGCUGAACGUGUGCUAGAACUCGGAGGUGCCGUAGUUUCGGUGCUUGAUCGGUCGGGCCGUGAAGACGUACGACUACAUCAACCGCGUUGUGCUAAUGCUUCCGCUUACGGUCUACAAGGGUAUGUAGACAAUACUCUCCCCUCUCGUUGCUAUACAUCACCAUGAUCUUGCGUGUGCGUAGGAAAUUUUUUGAAAUUACUACGAAACCCUACAGUGGUAUCAGAGCCAAGUUCCGAUGUUGAUGUUAUAUGCACGAGUAGAACACAAGUGAGUUGUGGACGAUACAAGUCAUACUGCCUACCAGCAUGUCAUACUUUGGUUCGGCGGUAUUGUUGGACGAGACGACCCGGACCAACCUUACGCGUACGCUUACGCGAGACCGGUUCCCUCGACGUGCUUUGCACAUAGAUGGCUUGCGGGCGACUGUCUCGCCAACUUUAGUUGAACCGAGUAUAGCUACGCCCGGUCCUUGAGAAGGUUAAAACGGAGUCUAUUUGACAAACUAUCGUUGUGGUUUUGAUGCGUAGGUGAGAUUGGUUCUUACUUAAGCCCGUAGCAGCCACGUAAAACAUGCAACAACAAAGUAGAGGACGUCUAACUUGUUUUUGCAGGGCAUGUUGUGAUGUGAUAUGGUCAAAGCAUGAUGCUGAAUUUUAUUGUAUGAGAUGAUCAUGUUUUGUAACCGAGUUAUCGGCAACUGGCAGGAGCCAUAUGGUUGUCGCUUUAUUGUAUGCAAUGCAAUCGCGAUGUAAUGAUUUACUUUAUUACUAAAUGGUAGUGAUAGUCGUGGAAGCAUAAGAUUGGCGAGACGACAACGAUGCUACGAUGGAGAUCAAGGUGUCGCGCCGGUGACGAUGGUGAUCAUGACGGUGCUUUGGAGAUGGAGAUCACAAGCACAAGAUGAUGAUGGCCAUAUCAUAUCACUUAUAUUGAUUGCAUGUGAUGUUUAUCUUUUUAUGCAUCUUAUCUUGCUUUGAUUGACGGUAGCAUUAUAAGAUGAUCUCUCACUAAAUUAUCAAGAAGUGUUCUCCCUGAGUAUGCACCGUUGCCAAAGUUCGUCGUGCCCAGACACCACGUGAUGAUCGGGUGUGAUAAGCUCUACGUCCAUCUACAACGGGUGCAAGCCAGUUUUGCACACGCAGAAUACUCAGGUUAAACUUGACGAGCCUAGCAUAUACAGAUAUGGCCUCGGAACACGGAGACCGAAAGGUCGAGCGUGAAUCAUAUAGUAGAUAUGAUCAACAUAACGAUGUUCACCAUUGAAAACUACUCCAUCUCACGUGAUGAUCGGUCAUGGUUUAGUUGAUUUGGAUCACGUAAUUACUUAGAGAUUAGAGGGAUGUCUAUCUAAGUGGGAGUUCUUAAAUAAUAUGAUUAAUUGAACUUUAAUUUAUCAUGAACUUAGUCCUGGUAGUAUUUUGCAAAUUAUGUUGUAGAUCAAUAGCUCGCGUUGUUGCUUCCCUGUGUUUAUUUUGAUAUGUUCCUAGAGAAAAUCAUGUUGAAAAAUGUUAGUAGCAAUGAUGCGGAUUGGAUCCGUGAUCUGAGGUUUAUCCUCAUUACUACACAGAAGAAUUAUGUCCUUGAUGCACCGCUAGGUGACGGACCUAUUGCAGGAGCAGAUGCAGAUGUUAUGAACGUUUGGCUAGCUCAAUAUGAUGACUACUUGAUAGUUUAGUGCACCAUGCUUAAUGGCUUAGAAUCGGGACUUCAACGACGUUUUGAACGUCAUGGAGCAUAUGAGAUGUUCCAGGAGUUGAAGUUAAUAUUUCAAGCAAAUACCCGAGUUGAGAGAUAUGUAGUCUCGAAAAAGUUCUAUAGCUAAAAGAUGGAGGAGAAUCGCUCAACUAGUGAGCAUGUGCCCAGAUUGUCUGAGUACAACAAUCGCUUGAAUCAAGUGGGAGUUAAUCUUCCAGAUAAGAUAGUGAUUGACAGAAUUCUCUAGUCACCAUCACCAAUUUAGUAGAACUUCGUGAUGAACUAUGAUAUGCAAGGGAUAACGGGAACAAUUCCCAAGCUCUUCGUAAUGCGGAAAUUGACGAAGGUAGAAAUCGAGAAAAACAUCAAGUGUUGAUGGUAGACAAGACCACUAGUUUCAAGAAAAGGGCAGAAGGAAGAAGGGGAACUUCAAAUAGAAUGGCAAACAAGUUGCUGCUCAAGUGAAGAAGCCCAAGUCUGGUCCUAAGCCUGAGACUAAGUGUUUCUACUGUAAGCAGACUGGUCGCUGGAAGCGGAACUGCCCCAAGUAUUUGGCGGAUAAGAAGGAUGGCAAGGUGAACAAAGGUAUAUGUGAUAUACAUGUUAUUGAUGUGUACUUUACUAGUGUUUAUGGCAACCCCUCAGUAUUUGAUACUAGUUCAGUUGCUAAGAUUAGUAACUCGAAACGGGAGUUGCAGAAUAAACAGAGACUAGUUAAGGGUGAAGUGACGAUGUGUGUUGGAAGUGGUUCCAAGAUUGAUAUGAUCAUCAUCGCACACUCCUAUACUUUCGGGAUUAGUGUUGAACCUGAAUAAGUGUUAUUUGGUGUUUGCAUUAAGCAUGAUUAUGAUUUGAUCAUGUUUAUUGUAAUACGGUUAUUCAUUUAAGUAAGAGAAUAAAUUGUUGUUCUGUUUACAUGAAUAAAACCUUAUAUGGUUACACACCCAAUGAAAAUAGUUCGUUGGAUCUCGAUCGUAGUGAUACACAUAAUCAUAAUAUUGAAACCAAAAGAUGCAAAGUUAAUAAUGAUAGUGCAACUUAUUUGUAGCACUGCCGUUUAGGUCAUAUUGGUGUAAAGCGCAUGAAGAAACUCCAUGCUAAUGGGAUUUUGGAAUCACUUGAUUAUGAAUCACUUGAUGCUUGCGAACCAUGCCUUUUGGGCAAGAUGACUAAAACGCCGUUCUCCGGAACAAUGAAGCAAGCAACAGAUUUGUUGGAGAUCAUACAUACUGAUGUAUGUGGUCCGGUGAAUAUUAAAGCUUGCAGCAGGUAUCAUUAUUUUCUGACCUUCACAGAUGAUUUGAGCAGAUAUGGGGAUAUCUACUUGAUGAAACAUAAGUUUGAAACAUUUGAACAGUUCAAAGAAUUUCAGAGUGAAGUGGAAAAUCAUCGUGACAAGAAAAUAAAGUUUCUACGAUCUGAUCGCGGAGACAAAUAUUUGAGUUACGAGUUUGGUCUUCAAUUAAAACAAUGUGGAAUAGUUUCACAAACUCAUGCCACAUGGAACACCACAGCAUAAUGGUGUGUCCGAACGUCAUAACCGUACUUUAUUAGAUAUAUAGUGCAAUCUAUGAUGUCUCUUACGGAUCUACCACUAUCGUUUUGGGGUUAUGCAUUAAAGACAGCUACAUUCACAUUAAAUAGGGCACCAUCUAAAUCCGUUGAGGCGACACCAUAUGAACUAUGGUUUGGCAAGAAACCUGAGCUGUCGUUUCUUAAAUUUUGGGGUUGCAAUGCUUAUAUGAAAAAAUUUCAUCCUGAUAAGCUCAAACUCAAAUCGGAGAAGUGCGUCUUCAUAGGAUAUCCAGAGGAAACUAUUGGAUACACCUUCUACCACAGAUCCGAAGGCAAGACUUUUUUUGCUAAAUUCGGAAACUUUCUGGAGAAGGGGUUUCUCUUGAAAGAAGUGAGUGGGAGGAAAGUAGAACUUGACGAGGUAACUGUACCUGCUCCCUUAUUGGAAAGUAGUACAUCACAGAAAACUGUUUUUUGUGACACCUACACCAGUUAGUGAGGAAGCUAAUGAUGAUGAUCAUGAAACUUCAGAACAAGAUACUACUGAACCUCGUAGAUCAACCAGAGUAAGAUUCGCGCCAGAGUGGUACGGUAAUCCUGUUCUGAAAGUCAUGCUACUAGAUCAUGAUGAAACCUACGAACUAUGAAGAAGCGAUGAUGAGCCCAGAUUCCGCAAAGUGGCUUGAAGCCAUGAAAUCUGAGAUGGGAUCCAUGUAUGAGAACAAAGUAUGGACUCUGGUUGACUUGCCCGAUGAUCGGCAAGCAAUUGAGAAUAAAUGGAUCUUUAAGAAGAAGACUGACGCUGAUGGUAAUGUUACUGUCUACAAAGCUUGACUUGUCGCAAAAGGUUUUCGGCAAGUUCAAGGGAUUGACUACGAUGAGACCUUCUCACCCGUAGCGAUGCUUAAGUCCGUCCGAAUCAUGUUAGCAAUUGCCGCAUUUUAUGAUUAUGAAAUUUGGCAGAUGGAUGUCAAAACUGCAUUCCUGAAUGGAUUUCUGGAAGAAGAGUUGUAUAUGAUGCAACCGGAAGGUUUUUGUCGAUCCAAAGGGAGCUAACAAAGUGUGCAAGCUCCAGCGAUCCAUUUAUGGACUGGUGCAAGCCUCUCGGAGUUGGAAUAAACGUUUUGAUAGUGUGAUCAAAGCAUUUGGUUUUAUACAGACUUUCGGAGAAGCCUGUAUUUACAAGAAAGUGAGUGGGAGCUCUACAACAUUUCUGAUAAGUAUAUGUGAAUGGCAUAUUGUUGAUCGGAAAUAAUGUAGAAUUAUUCUGUAAAGCAUAAAUGGAGUGUUUGAAAGGAGUUUUUCAAAGAAAGACUUCGGUGAAGCUACUUACAUAUUGAGUUUCAAGAUCUAUAGAGAUAGAUCAAGACGCUUGAUAAGUUUUUUCAAUGAGUACAUACCUUGACAAGAUUUUGAAGUAGUUCAAAAUGGAACAGUCAAAGAAAGAGUUCUUGCCUGUGUUACAAGGUGUGAAGUUGAGUAAGACUCAAAGCCCGACCACGGCAAAAAAAAUAGAAAGAGAAUGAAAGUCAUUUCCUAUGCCUCAGUCAUAGGUUCUAUAAAGUAUGCCAUGCUGUGUACCAGAUCUAUUGUAUACCCUGCACUGAGUUUGGCAAGGGAGUACAAUAGUGAUCUAGGAGUAGAUCACUAGACAGCGGUCAAAAUUGUCCUUAGUGGAAUAAGGAUAUGUUUCUCUAUUAUGGAAGUGAAAAAAGGUUCGUCGUAAAGGGUUACGCCGAUGCAAGUUUGACACUAAUCUAGAUGACUCUAAGUCUCGAUCUAGAUACAUAUUGAAAGUGGGAGCAAUUAGCUAGAGUAGCUCCAUGCAGAGCAUUGUUGACAUAGAAAUUUGCAAAAUACAUGAGGAUCUGAAUGUGGCAGACCCGUUGACUAAGAUUCUCUCACAAGCAAAACAUGAUCACACCUUAGUACUCCUUGGGUGUUAAUCACAUAGCGAUGUGAACUAGAUUACUGAAUCUAGUAAACCCUUUGGGUGUUGGUCACAUAGCGAUGUGAACUAUGGGUGUUAAUCACAUGGUGAUGUGAACUAUUGCUGUUAAAUCACAUGGCGAUGUGAACUAGAUUAUUGACUCUAGUGCAAGUGGGAGACUGAAGGAAAUAUGCCCUAGAGGCAAUAAUAAAGUUAUUAUUUAUUUCCUUAUAUCAUGAUAAAUGUUUAUUAUUCAUGCUAGAAUUGUAUUAACCGGAAACAUAAUACAUGUGUGAAUACAUAGACAAACAGAGUGUCACUAGUAUGCCUCUACUCGACUAGCUCGUUAAUCAAAGAUGGUUAUGUUUCCUAACCAUAGACAAAAGAGUUGUUAUUUGAGUAACGAGGUCACAUCAUUAGUUGAAUGAUCUGAUUGACAUGACCCAUUCCAUUAGCUUAGCACCUGAUCGUUUAGUAUGUUGCUAUUGCUUUCUUCAUGACUUAUACAUGUUCCUAUAACUAUGAGAUUAUGCAACUCCCGUUUGCCGGAGGAACACCUUGGGUGCUACCAAACGUCACAACGUAACUGGGUGAUUAUAAAGGAGCAUUACAGGUGUCUCCAAAAGUAGAUGUUGGGUUGGCGUAUUUCGAGAUUAGGAUUUGUCACUCCGAUUGUCGGAGAGGUAUCUCUGGGCCCUCUCGGUAAUGCACAUCACAUAAGCCUUGCAAGCACUGCAACUAAUAUGUUAGUUGUGAGAUGAUGUAUUACGGAACGAGUAAAGAGACUUGCCAGUAACGAGAUUGAACUAGGUAUUGGAUACCGACGAUCGAAUCUCGGGCAAGUAACAUACCGAUGACAAAGGGAACAACGUAUGUUGUUAUGCGGUCUGACCGAUAAAGAUCUUCGUAGAAUAUGUAGGAGCCAAUAUGGGCAUCCAGGUCCUGCUAUUGGUUAUUGACCGGAGACGUGUCUCGGUCAUGUCUACAUUGUACUCGAACCCGUAGGGUCCGCACGCUUAAGGUUACGAUGACAGUUAUAUUAUGAGUUUACAUGUUUUGAUGUACCGAAGGAGUUCGGAGUCCCGGAUGAGAUUGGGGACAUGACGAGGAGUCUCGAAAUGGUCGAGACGUAAAGAUUCAUAUAUUGGAUGAUAUGGUUAGGCCAAGGGGUCAAGCCCAUGAGGCUUUAGAUCGGUGCAAAAGGAGUUUUGCGGAGUCCAGGGGGCCAAACGCCGGAGACCCUGGCGUCUGGCCCUGGGCCAGACGCCGAGGCCCAUGGCGUCUGGGCCAGACGCCAAGGAUUGUGGCGUUUGGUCCUGGAGUCCGAGUGGGACUCUUGCCUUUCAGGAAAAACCGACUUUGAGGAGGCUUUUGCUCCAAGUUUCGACCCCGGGGCUCAACAUAUAAAUAGAGGGGCAGGGCUAGCACCAAAGACACAACAAUUGAUCCCUUGGAUCUCUUAGCCGUGUGCGGUGCCCCCCUCCACCAUAGUCCACCUCGAUAAUAUCGUAGCGGUGCUUAGGCGAAGCCCUGCGACGGUAGAACAUCAAGAUCGUCACCACGCCGUCGUGCUAACGGAACUCUCCCUCGACACUCGGCUAGAUCGGAGUUCGAUGGACGUCAUCGAGCUGAACGUGUGGUAGAACUUGGAGGUGCCGUAGUUUCGGUGCUUGAUCGGUCGGGCCGUGAAGACGUACGACUACAUCAACCGCGUUGUGCUAACGCUUCCGCUUACGGUCUACAAGGGUAUGUAGACAAUACUCUCCCCUCUCGUUGCUAUAUAUCACCAUGAUCUUGUGUGUGCGUAGGAAAUUUUUUGAAAUUACUACGAAACCCUACAGUUACCUUAUCAACCGACUACCUAGCCGCGUCAUUGGCAAUAUGAGUCCCAUGGAAAAACUGUUUUCCACCAAGCCUGACUACGUAUCUCUUCGCACGUUCGGGAGUGCAUGUUGGCCUAACUUGCGCCCGUAUUGUUGGGGAACGUUGCAGAAAAUUAAAAUUUUUCCCACGGUUUCACCAAGAUCCAUCUAUGAGUUCAUCUAGCAACGAGUCAUGGGAGAGUGAUUGUAUCUACAUACCACUUGUAGAUCGCGUGCGGAAGCGUUCAAGUGAACAGGGUUGAUGGAGUCGUACUCGUCGUGAUUCAAAUCACCGAUGACCUAGUGCCGAACGGACAGCACCUCCGCGUUCAACACACGUACGGAGCGGAUGACGUCUCCUCCUUCUUGAUCCAGCAAGGGGGAAGGAGAGGUUGAUGAUGAUCCAGCAGCACGACGGCGUGGUGGUGGAUGCAGCAGAACUCCGGUAGGGCUUCGCUAAGCGACUACGGGAGGAGGAGGAGGUGUAGCAGGAAGGGGAGGCGCCAAGGGCUUCAGGGUGCGGCCACCCCUCCCUCCCCUCCCUUUAUAUAGGUGCAAGAGAGGGGGGAGGGCGCAGCCUUGCCCCUUCCUCCAAGGAAGGGGUGCGGCCAGGAGGGGGGAGGAGUCCAUCCUCCCCAAGGCACCUCGGAGGUGCCUUCCCCUCUUAGGACUCUCCCCUCCCCUAGUCUCCUUGGCGCAUGGGCCUCUUGGGGCUGGUGCCCUUGGCCCAUAUAGGCCAAGGCGCACCCCCACAGCCCAUGUGGCCCCCCCCGGGGCAGGUGGACCCCCCCGGUGGACCCUCGGACCCCUUACGGCACUCCCGGUACAAUACCGAUAAAGUGCGAAACUUCUCCGGCGAUCAAAAUAAGACUUCAUAUAUAUAAAUCUUUACCUCCGGACCAUUCCGGAACUCCUCGUGACAUCCGAGAUCUCAUCCGGGACUCCGAACAACAUUCGGUUUGCUGCAUACUCAUAUUCAUACAACCCUAGCGUCACCGAACCUUAAGUGUGUAGACCCUACGGGUUCGGGAGACAUGCAGACAUGACCGAGACGUUCUCCGGUCAAUAACCAACAGCGGGAUCUGGAUACCCAUGUUGGCUCCCACAUGUUCCACGAUGAUCUCACCGGAUGAACCACGAUGUCAAGGACUCAAUCAAUCCCGUGUACAAUUCCCUUUGUCUAACGGUAUUGUACUUGCCCGAGAUUCGAUCGUCGGUAUACCGAUACCUUGUUCAAUCUCGUUACCGGCAAGUCUCUUUACUCGUUCCGUAACACAUCAUCCCGUGAUCAACCCCUUGGUCACAUUGUGCACAUUAUGAUGAUGUCCUACCGAGUGGGCCCAGAGAUACCUCUCCGUUUACACGGAGUGACAAAUCCCAGUCUCGAUUCGUUCCAACCCAACAGACACUUUCGGAGAUACCUGUAAUGCACCUUUAUAGCCACCCAGUUACAUUGUGAUGUUUGGUACACCCAGAGCAUUCCUACGGUAUCCGGGAGUUGCACAAUCUCAUGGUCUAAGGAAAAGAUACUUCACAUUAGAAAAGCUUUAGCAUACGAACUACGAUCUUUGUGCUAGGCUUAGGAUUGGGUCUUGUCCAUCACAUCAUUCUGCUAAUGAUGUGAUCCCGUUAUCAACGACAUCCAAUGUCCAUGGUUAGGAAACCGUAACCAUCUAUUGAUCAACGAGCUAGUCAACAGAGGCUUACUAGGGACAUGGUGUUGUCUAUAUAUCCACACAUGUAUCUGAGUUUCCUAUCAAUACAAUUAUAGCAUGGAUAAUAAACGAUUAUCAUGAACAAGGAAAUAUAAUAAUAACAACCAAUUUAUUAUUGCCUCUAGGGCAUAUUUCCAACACGUAUAACACUCAGAAACUUGCGUUUAGAUCACAAUAGUGUGUGUUUGUCGGGUACAUCAUUCGUCACAAAGGAUAUAAAUGUCUUCACGUACCUACCGCUCGUGUAUAUAUAUAUCACGAGAUCUUAUCUUUGAUGAACAUUUUUUUCCUUUUACCAAUGGCCAACCCUCUCCAAUACCACCUCACGUUGCUGAACAUGCAAUCCUUUUAUUUCCACAUGACCACAUGAACUAUGGCGCAUCUGUUUCUCGAACUAAUCUGGAUGCAGGUACCGAUUCAGUGCAGAAAAUCCCAUCUCCAGACUCCCUGACAGAUCCUGUGUCCCAAUCCGCCGCCGCAUCAGCCUAGGAUCACGCGCCGCCUGGAGACAACGACGUGGAGGCAGCUGACCACGUGACGAUAGGUGACAGCGCACUAGGUGACCGCGCUGGGCCCGGGUCUCCGCCACCCACCAAUCCCGUAUCCCCUGAGGGCGAGUGGACCAGGGCGUCUCUCGCGUCGGCUCCUGCAUGUGCGCGUCCGACCCACAUUGUGGCGGGGCCCACCCCUGCGCGGGCCGCUGUGUCUCCCGAUUUGCCCCAGGCCGCUGUCCACCUGGCGCCCGCGGAGCGGGCCGUUGCUGCUGGCGGCGCUGGAUCCUAGAUGGAUCUGGCGGCUGCGUCGUCUUCCUCGCCCGACACGGGAUCCCACGGGGAUUCGCCGGCGCGCUUGUCUGCAUGCGUCCCGCCCGGAUCCUCUAUGGCCACCGGAUCUUCUACUCCGCCUGUGCAUACAAUGACGAUGCGCACACGUGAUCACACUCACAAACCGCUGUAGCGCACUGAUGGUACUGUCACGUACGAUCCGUCCCGUCGUGCAUUCUUGGCACUGCGGGAAUCGUGAAGCGGUCUCUUCUCCAGAGUGGCGUCUGGCAAUGCAACUUGAGCUCGAUGCUCUCCGACAGAAUGGUACCUGGACUUUGGUACCUCCUCCUCCUUGUGUCAACGUCAUUGAUUGCAAAUCAGUGUUCAAGAUCAAACACAAACCUAAUGGAACUGUUGAUCGUUACAAGGCACGUCUGGUCGCAAAGGGGUUCAAACAACGCUAUGGCUUGGACUAUGACGAUAUGUUCAGUCCGGUCGUUAAACCUGUCACUGUGCGACUGGUUCUCUCCAUUACAGUUUCUCGUGGAUGGUGUUUGCGACAGUUGGAUGUUCAAAAUGCUUUCCUUCAUGGCAUUCUCCAAGAAGAAGUAUACAUGCGCCAACCUCCUGGUUUUGUGAACCCCUCGGUGCCUCAUCAUUUGUGCAAACUUCGCAAGGCUCUCUAUGGGCUUAAAUAGGCUCCUCGAGUGUGGUAUUAUCGGCUGAGUUCUAGGCUCCAACAACUUGGUUUUAUAGCAUCCAAAGCUGACAGGUCCCUCUUUGUCUACAACCGGUGUGGUGUUACUAUUUUCAUGCUUGUGUAUGUAGACGACAUUAUUGUCUCCAGCUCCUCUCCCGCUACUACUACCAAGUUACUUGCUGAUCUCCAAGCCUCCUUUGCUCUCAAGGAUCUCGGCUCUCUGCAUUAUUUUCUUGGAGUCCAUGUGGAGUCAUCGCCAGGGGGAAUUGUUCUAUCUCAGCAGAAGUAUAUCAGCGAUAUUCUUCGUCAUGCCAACAUGGAGAAUUGCAAAGUCUCUACCACGCCGAUGUCCUCCAGUGAGAAAAUUAGCAAGGAUAGUGGAACACCACUUUCUCAGGAUGAUAGCACCAAAUAUCGCAGCUUGGUUGGAGCUCUCCAGUAUCUGACACUCACGAGGCCAGACAUUUCUUUUGCAGUUAACCGUGUUUGUCAGUUCCUUCAUGCACCUACGACUGCACACUUUUCAGCUGCAAAGAGGAUUUUGAGAUACUUGAAGUAUACUCACAAUAUGGGCUUGUCUAUUCGAAAGUCACCCUCCAUGUUGUUAAGCUGUUUUCCAGAUGCAGACUGGGCUGGAUGCAGUGAUGAUCGCCGAUCCGCAGGUGGCUUUGCAGUUUUUCUUGGACCUAACCUUGUCUCGUGGAGUUCAAGAAAGCAAGCUACGGUGUCUAGGUCAAGCAUGGAGUCUGAAUAUAAGGCACUUGCGAAUGGAUUAGCUGAGGUCAUAUGGAUACAGUCGGUCCUUCGUGAACUUGGGGUCUUCCUCUCUCGACCUCCUGUUAUGUAGUGUGACAAUCUAGGAGCCACUUAUUUAUCUGCGAAUCCGGUAUUCCAUGCCAGAACCAAGCACAUAGAAGUGGACUUCCACUUUGUUCGUGAACGAGUUGCAGCCAAGGAGCAAGUUGCAGAUAUAUAUCUUCCAAGGAGAAAGUUGCAGAUAUAUUCAAAAAGCCUCUAGCUGAGGUGCCGUUUGUUUUAAAUAGGCACAAUAUGAAUCUUUGGGUAGGAAGUUCAGAUUGAGGGGGAAUGUUAAACUGUAUAGUUAUCAGAUAUGGUUAGUAUCUAGGAUUGUAGUUAUCAUUGUAUAACAACUUGUACUUAUCCUCCUGUAAACCCUAGCGGCAUCCCUAGAGGCGCCCUAUAUAAUGAUCCUGAGACCACCGCAUUAGGUGUGUCGAUCCAAUCUCUUCUCUCUUUGUUUCACAAUGUGUCCGUGGGUUGUAUGAAAUAAAACCAUAAAUUUACACACUAUUGUAUCGAUUGAGAACUCAAGAGCAAGGCCCGUUUCCAACCUCGUCUCGGCAAACGUGGUUUCUUCCUCAUCAUGCUUCUCUCACCAACGACCACCAUGAAGCCAUUGCUUUUCUCUCUCCAUGAUCUUUGGUCCUUCUCCACCAGCAAUGUGAAAAAAGGCAAUAUGCCAGCUUCAUACUCCAUGGUCUUUCUUUUGAGCUUCAAGGUAGUAUGAUAGUAUAAUCAGUGUACAGUACUGUCCAAGACCGAACCAAACUGGUUCAUAUAGCUGUAAAAAUCUCUUGUGAUCAACAACAAAACUAAUGCUAAUAUUCAGGAUUUCAAACUUCAAGCAUUUGGAGAUAAACCAACAAAAAGAAAAACUGAGCGGCGGUGUCAAAAGUAAUUGUUGACCUUUGUCAAAUUGACUGCAUGCUUUUAAAUCAAGAUCAUGCAACUAAGACUUGCAUCUCAAUAAAACCAUAUCAGUUGCACAUGCAGAUGAGAAAAAUAGGAAAUACUCUAUUCCAUUCAAGGGUUGUAUGUCAAUUAUUAAAACGCAAGCACAUUAUAAGUCACAAACCUCCAACGCGCAGAUAAUUUCGGAAAUGCCUAAACCUUAGAUAAUUUGGGAAAGGAGGGUGGCUACAGUCCCCUUGGCUGAUAUACAUAGGUCUAGCUGUAACAUCUUUGGGCAAAGCAUCAUUUGCAACUGGUAACCACAGAAUAUGUAUUUAGCGCUCCUACAGAAGAAAAGAAAAGAAAAGGAUUAAAAAGGGAAUGCCGCCUUCAUAGGUCACAAACCUCGAAUUGUCAAUAUCUUCUUGUGAAUGUACACAUAUUUGAAAUACUUGAAGCGGCUAGGAUAAUGUUCUUAAAAAUGGGUUGCUUCAGAGAUAAGAAACUAAUACUGCAGUCAGACCAAAAGGAAAUUCAAGGGCACAAAAUACUUCCAGCAGGCCUUUGCAAAUUGGCAAUUAAUUAAGAAAAGGUGAUGUAUUGACUCAGGAGCCUGGAAUCCACACAUGACGCAGAAGUUUAAUUCAAGGACGGGGAAGUAAGAAUAAGACCACGUACGUACUAACAAAAGAGGGGAUCAAGGAGGAGCUGUAAAAUCCAAAUGAAAAUAUCAAUACAUAAUGAACAGCACCAUUGCGUUGAAAUACCACAAGUCGCUGCUAGUAAGAUUACAUAUGCCGGCUCUCUUGGACAACAAAACCUAAGUCAGGAUUCGACUACGCACGAUUAAUUUGUUGUGUUUGACGUUCCUCUUCCUCUCUUUUUUUUAUGAAGAAUCACAGAGUGUUUUAUUCCAGGAUGAUAGAGUUACAAUCUUCAGCGACUAAUUUGCUAAUGCAUGGGGUGGAUGGCCCAGCCAACCUGCUGUGCUAUCACCGACACUAUGAAAUCAAUCUUCCAAACUGCAGAAUUGUAAAGUACAGCUCAGACCUACAGGGCAGGACCGGCUAGCUAAACGGCCACGCUGGAUGAUAUGUUAUCACGUUCCCCGCGGCCGCGCCAUGAACUCCAAAUCUGGCGAAACCACCUACCGUCGCACAAGGCGCCGUCGGUCGUGGAACACGCGGUCUGCAGGUCACAUCGGUCCAGGCCUUGUUGGGUUCACGCGGUCCAGAUGACAUGCACGCCCGCCAAGCAAUUGAGAAAGAGAGAGCCAUGCACGCACGCGAAGCACGCUGCCCUGUGACAACGAGGAUGAUCAUGCAUGCAUGUCAGAGAGCAGAGAGCAGAGACGUCUGUCACUUGUGUAGAUGGUAGGUUCUGCUGGUUGGCGGUCACGCUAUGCAGACCGCGUGUUCCACGACCGGGCCAAAUUUCGUGUUCUGACCCUUUUUCAAUACAAAUUUAGGAUCUGACCCCGGUUCCAAAAAAUUUCGAGAUCUGACCAUUCCGCUACCGCUAUGGGCUCUGACAGUAUGGUUAGACAUACUACCGCCAGGGUCCAUGGCGGUAGGGUGCGACGGAGGGCGACGGAGGGCAACGGCCGCCGUUUGCUCGAGCUGACGUGGACAAGUAGCCUACCGCCAGGGACCAUGGCGGUAGCAUGUUAGACCUUACCGCCUGACCGCUUGGCGGUAAGGUGUGGCUGGGGUUUUGCCUCCCAAGUUUCUGUAACGAAAUAUCGAGGUGCCCUGACGGUAGGUACGUUCGUCCUACCGUCAGGGUCCUUGGCGGUAGGGUCCUGUGUUCUAUGGUUUAUAAGUUUAUUUUUGCUUCUUUUCAGAAACAAUAUAGGCCCUAAAAUAUGAGCUCGCAUUUUUUUAGUGAUUGUUUAUUUUGUAAAAUAUGAGCUCACAAAGAAAGCCAACAAACGGUUUCACAUAGUUUGUUUUGUUACAAGUUUCACAUCACAAAUAGUAAAAUAUGAGCUCACAUAAUGAUGAUGGUUCCACAUAGCAAUUAUCAAACAGUUUACAGAUAAUAGAUUCAUAAGUAGGGAAUAGCAAAUAGCAAACUUGUCCACAUAGUUUGACAAACCCUACAAAAACAGAGAUAUAUAUUCAAUCGACAUGUUUAUGGGGCNNNNNNNNNNNNNNNNNNNNNNNNNNNNNNNNNNNNNNNNNNNNNNNNNNNNNNNNNNNNNNNNNNNNNNNNNNNNNNNNNNNNNNNNNNNNNNNNNNNNNNNNNNNNNNNAUGGCCGUGGAGACAGAUACGGCAGCGGAUCCACCGGUUCAGGCGGAGGCGAAACGCUGGUCGGCAUCCGACCAUUCAAGCAGUCCCACCUUGGCUUGCCCGCUGGAGUUUUCGCCUCAGCCCUUGGCCAGUUGAUGAUAUCGAAGCCGAUGCACUUGGGGGCGCAUCCUGGCUCUCUCCUCCUCAUUGCUCUCGAAAUAGAUCCUCCGGCCCAAAUUGCGCAGCUCGACACUACUAGGAAAAGGCAUGCUAGUGAUGCACCAGUUUUGCCUACUAAUGGCGCACUACUGGUGCGCCACUAGCAUCACGCCAUUAGAAUUAAAUUCUAAUGGCGCACCACUGGUGUGCCAUUAGUAUCUGGUGUUCUAAUGGCGCACCAAUCAGUGCGCCAUUAGUAUAGCCCACAGUGCGCCAUUAGAAUGCCUCCCAGGGGGUCGUAUGUACCCAUGUGCUUUGGCUUACUAAUGGCGCACCAGUGGGUGAUGCGCCAUUAGUGUGAUUAUCACAGUGCGCCAUUAGUGUCUUGUGUGGUGCGCCAUUAGUAUUAAUAUUAGAUUUUUUUUUGUUUUUUUCUAAUUUUUUCACAGGUUACAAAAUAUAUUAUUUGACAGAAUAUAGACAACACCACACAGCAACAGCAGAUUCAUCGAAUACAAUAGAAGGUAAGUCUCCGAAUAUAAUUCAUCAUAUUAGUCUCCGAAUACAAAAGACCGAACGAAGAUAGAACAUUACAAGUCUCGUAGACCGCGAGUAGCGAGUUUGUCUUCACAUUACAAGUCGAUAUCGAUCAUCUAAACUACCAUCACAUAGAAGAGAGCUGCGGUCAUCACGAUGAGCAUCAUCGCGAUGAAACUGGUCUUCACCCGGUUCCCCCAACGCUCCCUCCUCUCUCCCGCUAGAUAGCGGGCGUAUCUAGAUUCCGUCUCCGCCCUAGUGGUGUAUCCUUUGUAACUGUUACCGCUGAAACGGUGAACCUGUCUCCGACACUCCUCCCAGUCGUCGUAGACUCCGGGAACCUUACCCUUGUAUACGACAUACGAAGGCAUCUCUAUGCACAAGCCAAACAACAUACAAUACAUCAGCAAUAUAUAAGUAUGCAACAAAAGGAUCGGAAGAGAAAAGCAAGACACUAAUAACACGAUUCAUGGUCCUACUAAUAAAUAGCAUCGAUUACAUCUAAGUUGAACGACUGUCCAAACCGAAGAGACAUACAAGUUCAUUAAAGUUUAAUUACAACAUGAGCUAAUCGAUGUUUCAGAACUACAAAUAGCAUCACUACUUUCGACUUGACUCAUGGGACCGGAGCGUGGAUGAAGCCGCCAUCUUUCGUGAUGGUCAUGAAGUCGCGGGCGUUGUCAGCCUGCAUUUGAAGUGUUGUGUCUAUCUCACUGUUGGGCGGUUGCUCUCUGAGGUAGAACUGCCCCGAGGUACGAAGGACAUCUUGAUGGAUGAUUUCUGCAAACUCCGACUGGAUGCGAAAGAAUUCUUGUCGGAGGUCCGCGUCCUGGAUUGCCGCCAAGCUUGCGGCCCAAUCUUUGACAUUAUUUGGUAACAGAAGGUGAUUAUGGUCCCGUACGAUCGCCCUCAUGUGAUGGAGGGCGUAGUAGGCAUCCUUCUGACCGCCAGGCGGCUGCUUGACGCAGGGGAACGUCGUACUGUGGGUGAACACGUGUUUGCCAUACCUACGAUCUGGCCUCUUAAAGGUGCCUCCAGAUGUGGCAUAGCCAGGGAGAGCAUCAUCAAGAACUUUCUUGAUAUUUGUAUAGUCUAUCUUGGAGUCACGGUCCGAGUCGAAAUACGUGGUCGUGGAAUAUUUCGGGCUUAAGAGGAUGAGUUUGCAAUGUGUGUCACUGCACAAAACACGGAAUGUUAGAAAAAAAAGAACGAUCGAAAGCUAAGAAAUCAUAUUUUACGGGGCGGUGAGGGGAUGACUUACUCGGGAAAGUAAGGGACGAGGAAGUUAUCCUUAUCUGGGUUUGCCAGAAUGACGCCUUCGAGGUGUGAACUCGCGACUUGCCGGUCCCCAGCGCUGCCCAAGAUCUUGGCACGCAUGUAGAAGGGGUCGACUAUCACGAUGUCCGGGGUCUUGUCUCGAAUGAUCCGCAUCUCCAUACUCAGCGAAAACAGCCGAACGAAGGUGUAGUGCAGCGGAUGAAGAUUAAACAUAGCAAAGAUGCCAUCAAACCGCAGGACGAUCGUACCCCCAAUGGCCAUCCACAAAGCCCUUGCCCUCUGGCACCUUGGCCAUGAAAACCGGGUAUGCCACAUCAUUCUGGGAGAGACACAUCUUCUCCAAAGAAAGAACACUGUCAUGCGGACUCCGCAUAGCACCGGUUGCAGCAUUGAGCAUAUUUGUCGGUAGCAUCGCCCUACCCGCCACAUGCACCCUCCUCGAGAUAUCCUGAGGUGAAGGUGGCCCGUCCUGAGCACGGAUCGUACUCGGUGCCGGCUAGCUCGCAUCGGCGCCCUUGGCAGUCUUUCGUUUCUGUCCCUUCUUCUUGAUCUGCUGUAAUGGGACCGAUUUCUGAUCACAGACCGCCUUCUUGAGCGUGUUGGGGCUGAUAAUAUUUCGCACCUCAGCUAUCUGAGGCUCGGUGAAGGCAGGAGCUGGAGGCGUCUCCUGAGAACUGAACGCCAGACGACGCCUGUUGCAAUUGGAUUUCUCAGCCGUACCAGCUAGAUCGCGGUCGUCUUGGCUGGGUUCUUGAGAAGGAGGCCCACCGAACUCGUCACCGUACCCAUGUUCGGCAAAGUACUUAUCAUCGUUGGUAAAUGUACCAUCGUCGUUGUCAUCGUCGUCCGGAUCCUGUGCCAUAUGCAUGUCCAGAUCCUGUGCCAUAGGGAUGUCUGGCAUGCCCGGUAGCGUUGCGGCGUUCUUGCCAUGGCGCGGCGCUAGCACGACUAGCGGUCUUGUCUGUGGGGUGGUGUCCCCCGCCCCCAAACGAAUCUGGCUCUUCGGCCAAAGCAAGGGCCAGCUUAGGCAGGUGCUGAUGGUCAUCAGAUCUUCUUCAUCGGCCCCGGCGGGUUGAAUCAGAGGUAACAACUCGUCGCAGCCUGGCAGCACCCGAACCAGUUGAAUCCUAUACACGGUGGGUGGCAUCGGUUUACCGUGGAACACGGGGUUGCCCGGUUGAACGAUUUUGCCCUUGGCGACAUCGACCAACUCGUCAUUCACGAAGUGCAGGAGAGUGCACGGAACGUCGGCGGUGCCCUGCGAAAACAUGUAGGGCGUCAGGGAUGCCCAGUCAAAGGCAAAAGGAGAUGAAGUCCUCGACCGAGAGGCUUAAUUAGUUACCGUGAUGAUGGCGUCGAGCUCGGCUAAUGUCGAGGCACCGCCAACGGCGGGCGUGCAAAUGACGGAGGGGCCACUUGCUGGCAAGGUGCCGGCCGGCGUAAACCCGGGUGUAUUAAGCUCCAAUGCCCGUGCCGGCGCCAGAGACACCAAUACCGCCGCCGCCGAUGACACCAAUGGCGCCGCCGGAGACACUAAUGGCGCCGCUUGCGUGUUGUGCGAGUUGCUGGCUGUGAAGCUGGGAAUCGGGGGCGGCCCCUGUUGGCCACCCGCAAUCCACGUUGUCAGCCCAUGAAUCAAGGUAGGCAUAAUGCCGGUGAGCGUCGUUCCCAGUUGUUGUUGCACUUGCUCUUGGAUAAUCUCCGGAAUCCGCACCACUUGUGCCUUGAGUUCUUCAACCUCGCGCGACUGGCUUUCUGGGCUGGUCUUUUUCUCCUUUCGCCCACCAGCAGUAUAGUAUGAGGACCAUUUUGUGAACAAGCCUUUGUCGGCCACACGACCAGCUGACGACGGCUUACUGAGCUUAUCCUUAUUUUUCAUUACGUUCAACGCCCUAUUUAGAGUGAUGUCCCAAGCAGGGGUGCUCUGAGACGACCCCGCGCUGCUGCUUUUAGUCUCCUUCGCCAGAACAAGCUCAAGCGUACUGGUCUUCGGAUCCGUGGUAAGAUCCUUUGUUAUCGGGUCCUCCUUGCAUCGGGCCCUGACAAAGUUCCUGGUCUGCAUGUCACUGCUGUAUUUCUUGAAGCGGGACGGUAGGCCUUGCUCGGCACGCUCCGCGUCCUCCUUGUCCCAUAUAGGUUCCACCACUCUAUAACCGCCGGGACCAAGUUUGUGUUCCCCUAAGUUCAACUCCCGCAUUUCUUUCCCCCACUGACUUGAUUCGGAGGUUUCACUGCUCUCGCACUUGAUCUUGAACUCCUUGUAGUCAUCUUCGCUGAUCGAAGGAUUUUCUGCCUUGAUCUUCUCAUAACUAUCACCUUUCUCAAUCAUUCUCUUCACCGCGUUUCUCCAAGUAGACAGGGUCGUGCUCAUGCUCGUGAGGGCGGCACUGUUCACUUUAUUCCAUGAGAGGCGUGUGUUUUCAAAUUUAGCGGGGAACUUGUAUCGUUCGUGCAGCUUCGUGAAGUGGAGGUUGCGCAAAUUCCCUCGGUCCUUAUGCCUAAGUUUCUCGGUGUUGAUCGAGACGGUGCUCCAGAGAAUGCACCCGAGAUGAACCGAGUACCCCUUGACUAUAUGUUUGGGCUCCGUUGAAUUCCCGUCAGAGUCCACUUGAGUAAGUUCCUCCUUGACGGUGCGGAGCUCAUUCGGGCAUCGGUUCUUCCGUUGCUUCUUCGGUUGGCUGCCAUCUAUGCGUGCGCAGCCAUCAUCAGUGGUGGCAUCCUCGGUGGCACCAUCAUUGGUGUCAUCCCCGAUGCCACUAGGGGUUGUGUAGUCAGGAUCGGUGUCUUCCGCGGUGUCCUCAUAGCGGUGAUAGGAUCGGUGUCAAGAUCCCAUGUUUCGUUCUAAGUAGGAAAAAAGUUUGGUCAAAAAGUUGGUUAUUGUCAAGGAACAAGAUCAUGGUCUGAUCAUUUAGGGUUUGUCGACACUGAGGCAUCCUAAAAGCUAAGCUUUUAUCAUUUAGGUUUUGUCGACGCCGAGGCACCCUAAAAGCCUAAGCGUACAUCAUUUAGGUUCUCAUCGACACCGAGGCACCCUAUAGAAACCAAGGUUUCAUCAUUUAGGGUUUGUCGACGCCGAGUCACCCUAAAUGCUAAGUUAAGUUUUCAUCAUUUAGGGUUUAUCGAUGCCGAGGCACCCUAGGUUGGGCCUAAUCACUUGGCACUAAUCACUUGGCUCUAUUGCCACCUAUGUUGGGUUUAUCAUCUAGGGUUUAUCGAUGCUAAGGAGAAUUCUAAGUUGGGCCUAAUCACUUGGCUCUAUUGCCACCUAUGGUUUAAUGCAGCAAGAAUGGCGGGGCAGUUGAUCCUACUUAACUAAGUACUAAUAUACCCCGGCCCAUGCAUUAGUCGCAAGUACCCCAUAUGUCCUAUUUUUAGCAAAGUCAUGCUAAAAUUCACGGAAAAUUUCAGCAUGACCUUUGCUGAAAAUAGGACAUAUGGAGUACCCGAAUUUGCUGGAACGAAAGUUAAUCGACAUUCCGGCAAACUCAAGGGCCUCUCGAGGUACCUGCAAAUUCAUCACAACACAAUGGUCGGAGAUAAAACCCAGCAACUUUACAAGUCUUUCACAGAUUUGUUUGCAAGUUCUGAUAUGUAAUAAAGAUGAGCCUCCAAUGCUGAUUUGUUUGCCUCAAGACAAGAUGAACCUCCAAUGCAACAAGUAAUAAAAUGUUCAACAAUGUAUCAGAUUCGGCAACAGUUUAACAUCUACUCCAGUAAUUAUACAACACCAUGACCAACAUUUCUCCUCUCCAGAAAUUAGAAACAAAAUAAAGGAACAUUACAUAGUAGCCAUCAAAUUAAAAUAACAUAUACAGUACAUACAGGUAGGUAAUACUAAAGUGUGUUCAUAUUAGCUAGUGACCAUUAUAUUGCUUUAGGUUAGGGCCCUUACAUUAUUCUCUCUCUAUCCCUUUCUUUAGCUGCACUGCAUCACAAGGCAAAUAUGGUUCAAAAUAAAAUACUGCUCAAUAAGGACCUAGCAGAAUAGUAAAAUAAGCUUAAAAAAAGCAUACAACUUGACAUACAAACACAGACAGUUAUGCAAGUGCUAGAGGUAUGCAUAUAUNNNNNNNNNNNNNNNNNNNNNNNNNNNNNNNNNNNNNNNNNNNNNNNNNNNNNNNNNNNNNNNNNNNNNNNNNNNNNNNNNNNNNNNNNNNNNNNNNNNNNNNNNNNNNNNNNNNNNNNNNNNNNNNNNNNNNNNNNNNNNNNNNNNNNNNNNNNNNNNNNNNNNNNNNNNNNNNNNNNNNNNNNNNNNNNNNNNNNNNNNNNNNNNNNNNNNNNNNNNNNNNNNNNNNNNNNNNNNNNNNNNNNNNNNNNNNNNNNNNNNNNNNNNNNNNNNNNNNNNNNNNNNNNNNNNNNNNNNNNNNNNNNNNNNNNNNUGUGAACUUGAUCCUGAACUAGAGGUACACAUGUUUGCAUACUCAUCUCUGCAAUUAGUCGUGCUUAUUUGCAUUGUGCUAUAUAUGAAUCCACACUGACUCGAGCCUGAAUCAAUCAAUCAAUGCUGCUCACAAAUACUCCCACACUCCUAUAAUAGUACUAAUAUAAGAGCAUUUAUAUUAUUGGAAUGAAGGGAUAAUUUUUUUUCUUUCAAGAAAACACAAACCCUAACAACACAUUACGAGCACCUUCAAGAGAUUGAACCAACCCAACAUCCACAAACACCUCCUACUCAACACACAGACACAGACCAAGGAAGAAACAUAACCAUUCUUCUUUUUUCUUUCUUUGUUGUUAAUAAUAAAAGAAACUACAAGAGCAAGGAAGGAACAAGUCUUCUUUUGUACUGCCACACAAGAAACCCUCUUUCUUUCUUUCUUCCCUUCUUGUUAAUUUAAUUUUACUGCACCAUCUACUAACCUCCUCCAACUUUACUACCACUACAUCCCUCUCAAGGACAUCUAUGUACUGCUUAUAAAGCAUCACAUGCUGAUGCUAUGUUUCAUUUGCCCCAUCUCCCAUCUCUGCUCUUAUUUUAAGUAAAUGCCCAGAUGCCUUACAUUUAUCUCUGCGGGACUUUUUCUUUUCUAAUGAUAUCAUCUAUACAUGUUACUUAGUUACUAAACCUAUGUAACUUAGGAUCAAAUUGAUAAAUUGCUAGAAGUAUCCGCAUAUUUUCGUGGAGAUCAUAUGGGGGAGGAUCAGACAAUGUGGCAACAGACAGCAAGGUGUGUUCUUUCAAAGAAUCUUUGCAUCGAGUCAAUGAACAUCAUAUUUGAAGUGCAGUUUAACUUAGUCACUUAAAACUAUCUGAUCCACAACUAACAACCAAAGUCAUGUUCAGUUAUAGUGCUUAAAUAUGAUUUUGGUGUGUGUGAAAACAAUACAGUAUUAUAUUUGUACUGAAUGCAUGAGUAUGAUGUAUCACACAUCUACAUGUGUAGGCUUUUUCAGUUUUUUUCUAGAUGGAAACCAGAAGCAUCACUGUCCUUGACUAGAAUCACCAUGGCCAGAUUAAAGACUGCAAGCUGGCAAGUUCUUCCUUUCGAUUUCUCAAUCUUAGCUAGCGGAGGAGGAAGAGAGGUAGAGAGAGGAGGGUUACCUGGCGGCGGUGGGCCGUUGAAGACCUGACGGCGAGGUUCGUCCUCUCGGUGGCGGCGGGGCUCCUCCCCUCGGUGGCGGCGGUGGCCUCUUCCCCUCGGUGGCGGCGGGUGUGCUCCUCCUCUCCUUAUGGAGGCGGGGCGUUGAUCUGGCGGCGGCCCUGGAACCCUAGCACUGGCCCUGCUCGUCGGAGCGGGCGCGACGGUCGUUGGAGCGGGGGAGGCGGCGGGGGUGCGGGGGCGCGGGGGCAGCGGCAGCGGGGGUGGAGUCCUGCGGGGGUCGGGGCAGCGGCGUUGGGGCAGCGCAAGACCACAGCGGCGGCGGCGGCGCCGACGGCGUGCAUGCGCGGCGGUACCGUGCAUUGCCCUUUCUCACCUCGAGAGUUGGUGCAAACUUCACCGGUGCAUCCAAACCCCGUGAUAUGAUACGCUCUAUCACACAUAAGCCUCAUUAUAUAUUCCUCAAAAUAGCCACUAUACCUACCUAUCAUGGCAUUUCCAUAGCCAUUCCGAGAUAUAUUGCCAUGCAACUUCCAUCAUCAUCACAUACAUGACUUGAGCAUUUAUUGUCAUAUUACUUUGCACGAUCGUAAGAUAGCUAGCAUGAUAUUUUUAUGGCUUGUCCGUUUUUUGAUGUCAUUGCUACGCUAGAUCAUUGCACAUCCCAGUACACCCAAAAAGGGGGCCAAAGAAGCACACCCAAAAAGAAAAAAAAGAAAAAAGAAAAAUAAAAGGGGCAAUGUUACUAUCCUUUUACCACACUUGUGCUUCAGAGUAGCACCAUGUUCUUCAUAUAGAGAGUCUCAUAUGUUGUGACUUCCAUUUACUAGGGGGAAUUUUCAUUAUAGAACUUGGCUUGUAUAUUCCAAUGAUGGGCUUCCUCAAAUGCCAUAGGUCUUCAUGAGCAAGCAAGUUGGAUGCACACCCACUUAGCUUUCAGUUUGAGCUUUCAUACACUUAUAGCUCCUAGUGCAUCCGUUGCAUGGCAAUCCCUACUCCUCGCAUUGACAUCAAUUGAUGGGCAUCUCCAUAGCCCGUUGACUAUCCGCGUCGAUGUGAGACUUUCUCCCCUUUUGUCUUCUCCAUAUAAACCUCCACCAUUAUAUUCUAUUACACCUAUAGUGCUAUAUCCAUGGCAUGCGCUCAUGUAUUGAGCGAGGGUUGAAAAAGUUGAAGCGCGUUAAAAAGUAUGAACCAAUUGCUUGGCUUUUCAUCGGGGUUGUGCAUGAUGGGAGCAUUUUGUGUGACGAAAAUGAAGCAUGGCCAAACUAUAUGAUUUUGUAGGGAUAAGCUUGCUUUGGCCUUGUUGUUUUGAAAAGACAUGAUUGCUUUAUUAGUACGCUCGAAGCAUUAUUGUUUUUUAUGUCAAAUGAUAGACUAUUGCUUUGAAUCACUCGUAUCUUAAUAUUCAUGCCAUGAUUAGACAUAUGAUCAAGAUUAUGCUAGGUAGCAUUCCACAUCAAAAAUUAUCUUUUUUAUCAUUUACCUACUCGAGGACGAGCAGGAAUUAAGCUUGGGGAUCUUUAUACGUCUCCGUCGUAUCUAUAAUUUUUGAUUGUUCCAUGCUAAUAUUCUUGAACUUUCAUAUACUUUUGGCAACUUUUUAUACUAUUUUUGGGACUAACAUAUUGAUCCAGUGCCCAGUGCCAGUUCCUGUUUGUUGCAUGUUUUAUGUUUCACAUAAAACCAAUAUCAAAUGGAGUCCAAACGGGAUAAAAAAGGACGGAGAAUUAUUUUGGAAUAUUUGGGAUUUUCCGGAGGAAGAAUCAACACGAAACAGUGUCCGAGGUGGCCAGGAUAUAGGGGGCGCGCCCUCCCCCUUGGGUGCGCCUGGCACUCUCUUGGGCCACCCGUAAGGCGGUUGACGCUCUUCUUUUGCUGCAAGAAAGCUAAUUUUAUGAGAAAAAUCUGGCCGAAAGAUUCACCCCAAUCGGAGUUACGGAUCUUAAGAUAUAAAAGAAACGGUGAAGGGGCAGAAUCUGAGAACGCAGAAAUAGAGAGAUAGAUCCAAUCUCGGAGGGGCUCUCGCCCCUCCCAAGCCAUGGGAUCCAAGGACCAGAGGGGAAACCCUUCUCCCAUCUAGGGAGGAGGUCAAGGAAGAAGAAGAAGAAGGGGGGCUCUCUCCCCCUUGCUUCCGGUGGCGCUGGAACGCCCCAGGGGCCAUCAUCAUCACCGCGAUCUUCACCAACGCCUCCGCCAUCUUCAUCGACAUCUCCAUCACCUUCCCCCAUCUAUAUUCAGCGGUCCACACUCCCGCAACCCACUGUACGCUCUACUUGAACAUGGUGCUUUAUGCUUCAUAUUAUUAUCCAAUGAUGUGUUGCCAUCCUAUGAUGUCUAAGUAGAUUUCCAUUGUCCUAUCGGUGAUUGAUGAAUUGCUAUGAUUGGUUUGAGUUGCAUGCUUUAUUAUUGGUGUUGUUCUAUGGAGCUCUCUGUGUCGCGCAAGCGUGAGGGAUCCCUUCUGUAGGGUUUGCAAUAUGUUCAUGAUUUGCUUAUGGUGGAUGGCGUGAGUGACAGAAGCACAGACCCGAGUAAGUAGGUUGUUUGCAUAUGGGAUAAAGGGGACUUGAUACUUUAAUGCUAUGGUUGGGUUUUACCUUAAUGAUCUUUAGUAGUUGCGGAUGCUUGCUAGAGUUCCAAUCAUAAGUGCAUAUGAUCCAAGUAGAUAAAGUAUGUUAUCUUAUGCCUCUCCCUCAAAUAGAAUUGCAAUAGUGAUUACCGGUCUAGUAACAUAGUCAAAUGCUUUGGGACAAUUCCACAACUCCUACCACCACUUUUCCACAAUCGCUAUAUUUACUUUAUUGCUUCUUUAUCUAAACAUCCCCUAAUUUUUAUUUAUGUGUUCUUUAUUAUCUUGCAAACAUAUCCCAACAACACCUACAAAGUACUUCUAGUUUCAUACUUGUUCUAGGUAAAGCGAACACUAAGCAUGCGUAGAGUCGUAUCAGUGGCAGAUAGGGCUUGAGAGAGUAUUUAUUCUACCUUUAUCCCCUCGUUGGGUUCGACACUCUUACUUAUCGAAAGAGGCUACAAUUAUCCCGUAUACUUGCGGAUCAUCACCUAGCGGUGUGAAAUAAAUGGGAAACUUGUAAGUUCAUGGAGUUUGUAUAUGAGUUAGAGAAACGCCUGGGCGGCCAACCCGAGCCAUGCAUAAUUCAUGGUGGAAAUUUACAACAUAACCAUAGUGAGCAUUCUAUGGAGCAUCUUCAAUAAAAAAAACUAUGCCCAUGGUAAUAAAAGGAUUGCUGAGAUGCUCAUUGUCUGUUGCCUUGUCAUUUUGGUAUGGGAUAGCUCUUGUGUCAUGGGGCAAGGGGUACACCGUUGGCGGUUCUCUAUGAUGCAUGUACACUUACAAUGACAAGAACUUAUUUGGGACCUAAGUUGAGUAGCAUGAGGUUUAGGUACUCGUAUUCAAGGGGCAUGAGGCUUUCAAUUUGUGAUUUGUCAAGCAUACAACUCAUAUUUGCCCUCACUUUAACCUUAACCAUUCAAGAUGCGUAUGAUAGGGGCAAUGAGAGCUGAAAUCUAAUGAGGACCAUAACUUUUGGAAGCUUUAUCAAACUUAUUAAUCCCUACUUACCUCUACGAAGGGCCUUUCUUUUACUUUUUUGUUGAGUCUUCAUCUUCUAUCUUUAUGCACCAACUAAGAUAGCAUAGUUGUCAUUCUGAGUAUAAUGUGCAUUGUCCCAAAACUUGUUGAUUGAUUCAUGAUUAUGGUAUUGCUUAUUCUCAAAUUAUUUGUAUCUAGUCACCCUUUUGAACUUUGAAGGUGUCCUAUGCAUUUAUGUUUUGCUACUCCAAGAAGGACAAGCUGAAUACCACUUUGCUAUGUUUUCUCUAUGUGCGAAACAAACAAAUGUCUUUCAAAGCAUUAUUCAUGAUCUUUUGUUUAUGUUACCUUGCAUGUUGUAAUAUAGUUGCUAUGUUCUAUUGUUAGAAAUAUAUCUUUCAUACCUAUGUUUAGAGUACUUUGAUCCCAUCUUACAAUGUUUUACAAUGAUGAUGAUCAAGAUUGUAUUGGCUGCAUGUCACCUCAAAAAUUAUUUUUGUUAUCACUCCCCUACUCGAGGACGAGCAGGAGUUAAGCUUGGGGAUGAUGAUAUGUUGCAAACGUAUCUAUAAUUUUUGAUGCUCCAUGCUUGUUAUACACCAAUUACUUUAUGUUUUGUUUACACUUUGUGGCAUUUUUAUGUAUUUUCUGGAACUAGCCUAUUGAUAAGAUGCCACAAUGCCAGUUCCCUGUUUUCUGCUGUUUUUGUGUUUUGGAGAAAUUUAUUCUCGGAAUUGGACGAAACAAACGCCAAAGUUCCUAUUUUUCUCGACACGACACGGAGUCCAAAGCAGAGACGGAUGAGCGCACUGAGGUGACCACACCAUAGCCAGGCGUGGGCCCACCUCUGGCUGCACGGCCCUAGGGUGUGGGCCCCUCGGGCGUCCACCGACAUUGCCCUUCCACCUAUAUAAUGCCCCCGAGGUGAAAACUCUAAAUAAUGAAGCCUCCGUCCAUGACAAAUUCCGCAGCGCCGCCACCAUCAAAGACGAGAUUCAGGGGAUAGAAGUCUCUAUUUCGGCACCCUACCGGGAUGGGGAAUUGCCCCCGGAGCCAUCUCCAUCGACUCCACCGCCAUCUUCAUCGCCAUUGCUAACGCCUAUGAUGAUGAGGGAGUAGUUCUCCUCCGAGGCUGAGGGCUUUACCGGUCGCUAUGUGGUUUAUCUCUCUCUCCCAAGGUGUGAUCUUUAUGUGAUCAUGAGCUUUGUAAUCUGGUUGAUUUAGUAGAUGUUACUCUCAUCUAUUAUGCUACUCAAGUGCUUUUAUUAAUGUGAUCUCCGGAGACACCUUGUCCCAUGGUGUGAAGGUGACAGUGUGCGCACCGUGUGUGGCUCUUAGGCUAAAGAUUACAGAAAUACUUAUCAUGAGUUAUAAUUUGAGUUGGAUGUCUCUAUGAAAUUGUGGUGUUUGUUUGGAACCAUCUAGCGCUCAAGGUGACAGUGUGGAGUUACCUAGAUGGGGAAUGCGAACUUUAAGUUGUGCUUUUAUAGCCCUACGUGGUGAAUUGGUGUUCGUUAUCCAACCGGAGAGUAGUUCAGAGUAGCAUAGUGAUGAGAAGAUGUUUAUGUGUUCAAUUAUGAUAUCAUUGUUGAGAGUGUCCACUAGUAAAAGUAUGAUCCCUACGUUUUGUUUCAAAGCAUUGAAACAUCGUUUACAACCAGUUCUGCUACAUGUUUGCUUGCGGGCAUUUUUAUUUCAGAUUGCAAUUACCACUUGUAAUCAUCCAUAUUACUUGUAUUUCACUAUCUCUUCACCGAACUAGUGCACCUAUACACCUGACAAGUGUAUUGGGUGUGUUGGGGACACAAGAGACUUCUUGUAUCUUAAUUGCAGGGUUGCUUGAGAGGGAUAUCUUUGACCUCUUCCUCACUGAGUUCGAUAAACCUUGGGUGAUUCACUUAAGGGAAACUUGCUACUGUUCUACAAACCUGUACACUUGGAGGCCCAACACUGUCUAUAAGAAUAGAAGCGUGCGUAGACAUCAAGCUUUUUCUGGCGCCGUUGCCGGGAGGUAAGGUAAAAGGUACUCACAUCCUCUGGCUACUAAGCUAUCUUCUAGUACUGUUGCUGGUGUGUGAGUGCUCAAAGUUAUUUCCUUUAUAUUCUGCAAUUAUAUCUUUUUGUUUCUUGUUUUUAUUUUCACUAGUUAGGCUUAAGGGAAAACAACAACAAAAUUAGAGAGCUUUAUAGUAUUUUUCCUGGGUUAGGACAUGAAGUGUUUGAAGAGAAAAUUAAAAAACCUAUGGAACUUUAUUUGCAUGCUAAUAGAAAUGUUAUUAGUAUGAACUAUUUGAACACCAUUAUUGCUAAUGCUAUGGAAAAGUCUAAGCUUGGGGAAGCUGUUUUUUAUGAAAAUGGUCCUUUAGUUCCCCAGCUUUAGAGGAGAAAUUUUUAAUGAAAAUGGUCUUUUUAUGAAAUGGUCUUUUUAGCUACCCAGCUUUAGAGGAGAAAUUGAACGAUUUUAGAUUCCAAACGAUUUUUAAAUUUGAAGAUUUUCAAAUUUGAACAAUUUUCAAAAUUUGAAACAUUUUCAUAAUCUGAACGUUUUCAACAAUCUGAACAUUUUUAAAAUUCAAACAUCUUUAGAAUCUAAACAGAAAAAGCAGGAAAAAAGGACCAGAUCCGAUGUAGCCGCCAAAAUCCUCCUCCUCUCGGGCAGAGCUGUUCUCCCUUGCCUGCUGCCUUUGACUCUGCACUCCAUCUUCCUUGGUAUUGAUAUUACUCCCCUUCUCACCCGAUCCCUCCAGUACUUCUGAUAUGUUCUUCUCCAUCUUCCCAAACCCUAAUUCCGCCGCCCUCUCAUCCCCCUUCCCCCCGAUCUCCUUGUGAGUUGGAUCCGCCAUGCACGAAGAUGCACGUGACGGGUAGUGGUAGAUCCCACCGGCGGCCAGAAAGAUCCGGCAAUUGGUGAGAUUUUACGUGGACGCUAGCAUGAAUGCUAGAGGAAAGUUGGAACCCUAGCGGCAGAGCCAGGGGGAGACACGAGAAUUCCUAUGGUCCACCCAACGCGUGCACUAAAAGAGCAUGCUCACGCGGGCACUCUUGGUGGCCCGGUCCAUAAGCGGGAAGACUUUUUUUCAGUUUUUCUUAAUUUCUUUUUCUUCUUUUUAUUUUGUGCUUCUCUUUUCUUCUUUUUUAAAUUUUGGUUUCCCUUUUUCUCGUUUCUGUUGCUUUUUUAUUUUUCAAAGUUUGCAUUUUUUUCAAUUUUGUUUUUUUGAUUUGAAUAUUUUUUAACUUGAACUUUUCCAAAGUGGGACGUUUUUUAAUAUGAACAAAUUUAAACAUUUCUCAAAAUUGAACAACUUUCCAAUUGGAACAAAUUUUAAGUUUUAACAAAUUUCAAAUUUGAACAUUUUCUAUUUUUAAACUUUUUCGAAUUUGAACUUUUUUUAGAUCUCGUAUUUUUUUAAUAUUUUAUGAAUUACAAAAACAAUAAAACAAAAAAAUCAAAUGACUGGAAAAAGAAAUUAAAUUUAUAAAUUUUUAUUUGGCCGCGUUCGAGGCGGCCCAUCAGGAGGCUCUGCGUGCAUGGUGGUUUAGGCCACGUUUGAGCGGCACAUAGGGUUUGCCCCAUCGAUCAUGAGCGAUGAGGAGCCAGCCAGCGACCACGUUGGAUCUUAUUUUUAAAUAAGAAUUUUUCUAAAUUACAAAUAAAUUUGAUAAUCUAAACACCAUUCAAAUUCGAAACAUUUUGAAAAAUCUAAAUACUAUUUUUCCUUUGCUUUUUUCCAGUGUUUUCAAAAUCAGAACAGUUUUAAAAUUUGAAUGAUUUAAAAUUGAACAAGUUUAAAAUUUGAACAAAUUUCUAUAUUCAUAUUGUUAAUAAUCUGAAAAUUUAUGAAAUCUGGAUAAUUUGAGAAACUCUAAAAUUGAACGAUUUUAAAUUCUGAACGAUUUUUAAAUUUGAACCAUUUUCAAAUUUGAACGAUUUUCAUAUUUGAACAAUUUUCACAAUUUGAAACAUUUUCAUAAUCUGAACGUUUUCAACAAUCUGAACAUUUUUUAAAUUUGAACGUCUUUAGAAUCUAAACAGAAAAAGCAGGAAAAAGGAAAAAUAAAAGAAACAUAGCGAAAACCAAUCGAAAAACCGCAGCAAAAAAGUGAAAGAACCGUGCAGAGAAACCCGAAAAAACCAGCCCCGGAUUUUCUGUUGAUUUACCUAUAUGGGUUGGCCAAAUAGCGCAAGGUUGCCUGUCGCAGCUAUAUAUCACAACGAGCGAUGUAUAAGGAUCGCUGAUACUACCGUAGCGAAUCGAGCAUAUCAUCACUAUCGAGACGUUGACGCUCCAAAAAAUACAUUUUAUUUCCAUCAUUGCCUUUUAAUGUUGUUUCUACCUAGUACAGAAGAUAUCUUUUUUUAUAGACAAUACCAUGAUAUAUUAUAGUAGGAAACAGUAUAUGGUACACAUACAUAAGCUGUCUCCAGCGAUUAUAAAAUAAGCAAGCUCACAUCAACAAACAAGAUAACUCUUUUAUACGUGAUAAGCAACCUCAAACCAAUAAACACUACAUCUAUUUCAUUCAGUACAACGGCGUAAGAUCUUUUAUUCUUAACAGGUUUUACGAAUUUAGUGCUCAUAUGCAGGAGUAAUUAUUCCUGGGAGCCAAAACACAAUGUCAUGCAACCUCCACAAUGCAUGAAAUUUCUAUCUUCUUGUGGUGACGUAAUUUACUCCACCCAAGAUUCUUAUUAACAAUCGAUACCACAUAUAUUUAAAAUAGUUCAUGGUCACUACAGGAAACGGGCGAUAGGCCGACGGCCCGACGCUGUCGGCAUAGGCCAAAUAACCCUCGGAACAGGCUAUAGCCGGGAGCGGCCCUGGGCGUAUCACCCUUGGGUCCUUCAGGUAUCUGCGUACAGGUAUUUGUCAUCGGCGUAGAGGAUGCCCUCGAUGUAGACUUGGCGGGCCCAUCGCUAACAGAUGACGGCCGUUAGACGUCGAACAUGCUACACCGACGGCUUUGCCCUCGGGCUAGAUUUUCGAUUUUGUUUCCAACUUUUUUUCCAAAAAAAAUUCAAUUUUUUUCAGACUUGUUAAUUUCACAACGGACAUUUUUAACUCUCAACACGUUUAAUGUAAAAUCAAAUUGCACUUGUGGUCAAACUUCCCGCUCGACCACCCAUCCUCACACUACUCCAACCCCAGCACGCUUAACUUCUCCGUUCCUUCCGGAUGAGCUAUCAAGAAAGAAAUCAUAUCUUAGUGAUAAUAGUACUAUAUCAAUCAUAUUAACUCUUGGACUAUGGUGUCACACCUUUUUAUUUUUGAAUUCCAUACAAAUAUUUAAAUACACAACAAUUAAUAAGUAAUAAUAAUAAUAAUUUUCAAUUCAAAUAAAAUAAAUAAUUAAUAUUUUUUCUUUUUUCUAUUUAAUAUGGAAUAUUUAAUAUCUUUAAAUCCUUAAAUCUGAAUUUGACAAAUAAUAUGUCUAAACCUAUCAAAAAAUGAGGAGAAUCCAAAUAUAACAUCCAUAUCGUCUUGUGAACCUAAAAAAUUGAUAUUUCCAAAAAGAAUCAUGGGCAUUAGAUCAUGUAUGUGUAGUUCAAAUUGACCAUAGUUCAAAUCGAGCAUUACGUACAUGUAUUUUUUUAAAUAUAUGUACACCAUGUAUAUCGACUUGAAUCGUUAGUAUGUGACAUAAGAAGAUUAUGUGGGCAGGUUUUUCAUAUUUUUCCUAUUUUUUGAAUUUUUUAUGCUCAUUUCAAAUUUUUUUGAAAUGUGUAAUAUUUAAGUGUAUAUAGAGAGAUCUUAUUCUUCUGCAAAUUUGAUAUAUUAUUUGUAUUUAUCUGAAUUAUAAUGAUUCAGUUAUGAUUUUUCUAAAAUUAAUAUGAUAAAAUGGAAAAUAGUUAUGCCGACGGUGUAGCUUCAAAACCAAUGCCGAGGGCUUUGCCCUCGGCGUAGACCCUCCGCCGUGACGCGGUCGUAACACUGUUAGCCUGGGCUGGCCUACACCGAGGCUGGCAUAUACCCUGAGGGCAGCUGUUGGCCCAGACAUGGGUUCACCGAGGGCCGAUCCUACGCCAAGGGCCGAGCGGGCGGGCGGGCAGGAUUGCUAGCCCUCUACGCCGACGGCCCUGAUGUUUUGCCGUCGGCAUAGAGGCUGGCCGUCGGCUCCAGACAUCAGUCCUAUAGUGGGUGAAGAUACACAAGCUGUUUUCAGCGAUUAUAAAAUAAAGUACAUAUAAGAAAAUGAGCAAAUCGCCGAGGUCUUUAAACUCUUAUUUUGCAUCACAGGCAGCCAAAUUGACAUGACAUAAAUACCAAACGAUAGGCUCGUAAAUACCGACGAUGGUUCUCCCAUAUUUUUAAAUCUGAGCCGCAAUGCCAAGGCUACGUGCAUGCGCGCAACCAUUAAACUAAUCACCCGACAUCAGCGAGAGCAACAACACCAGUAUUCCAGGGAAAAAGAUACCGAACAGCCUGGUCGACAUCGCUAGAGAGCCGGAAGUACGAAUCACCAUUGUCGAUGGUGUAGCAUCCGGAUAAAUAUUACGAGGACUAGUUGAAUGCCUGUGUGUUGCAACGGCCUCUAAAAUAUUUUAUUUCUGCACAUGUAAGCAUAAUACAUCUUAAUAUUUUGUCGCAUAUAGAAAGAUAGAGAAAUAUAUUAUUCAAGAAACUAUAGAAUUAUACAUUUUGAUAUGAUUGGACAAAAAGUUAUAGUUUGAUUUCUAUGCAUAGUAAUAGAAAACCCAUCUACUCAUCUUAUUCUUAGUUAGGUGUGUUAAACUGUAUAGUUAUCAGAUACAGUUAGUAUCUAGGAUUGUAGUUAUCUUGUAUAACAACCUGUACUUAUCCUCCUGUAAACCCUAGCGGCAGCCCUAGAGGCGCCCUAUAUAAUGAUCCUGAGACCACCGCAUUAGGUGUGUUGAUCCAAUCUCUUCUCUCUUUGUUUCACAAGGUAUCAGGCCAUCUCGCAUAACUGCUCGAUGGGUUCUCCUUCCUCCGGCGCCAUGACUUCCUCGACCCUGGCUUCUCUGCCCAUGCCCUCUGGGCUCUCAGCGCCGACAUCUUCCGCUGUUCCCCAACCCUUUGCUAGCCUCAUUAUCGCCAAGCUUACCUCCUCCAACUUCCUCCUCUGGAAAGCACAGAUCCUUCCUCCCCUUCGCAUCACCGGUGUCACUUGGCUAUGUCGACGGCACCGUCCCUACUCCUCCUCGCAUCCUCCCAGCUGAUGACAAGGGGGGCGCGCUCCUAACCCGGAGUAUGCUGCCUGGUCCCGUCAGGAUCAGAUCAUCCUGAGCUAUCUUCUUGCUCACUCACCGAUGAUGUGCUUCAGCAGGUCCAUCUCUUCGACACCGCCCGCGCCAUCUGGGUGCACCUCGAGGAGAUGUAUGUUACCCACUGUCGUGCCAGUGUGGUGCAGAUCAAGAUGGACAUGAUGAACUUCCGCAAGGGCAACCUCUCCAUGGUGGACUACUUCGCCAAGAUCCUCUCCAAUGCAGAUCAACUCUUCGCCGUUGGCCGUCCCAUGUGCUAGGAGGACAUCAUCACCGCCUUCAUCACCGGGCUCGACAGUGAGUACGGGCCCCUCAUCACUGCCAUCUCCUUCGAACGCCGCCGCGAGUACCACGCGGCUCGUCUUCAACUUCAUACGGGCGGAUCCUCUGUCAAGUAUGUCGCCCGCGACAACAACUGCAACACCAACAACCGUGGCAAGGGCAACUACCGCGACAAGGGUCGCGGCAACUCUGGUGACCGUGGUGACUACAACAACAACAACAACAACCGCAGCGGGUACCGUGGUGACUGUGGUGGUGGUGGCAAUCGUCGGAACGGUAACCGUGGUGGUGACCGCGGUGACCAUGGCGGUGGCGGGGAUGCACGUCUGCAGUGCCAGCUCUGUCAAGGCCCUGGGCACUAUGCAUGGGAGUGCUCUUAGCGCUAGAACCACACCUUCCAACCUCAACACUCCAAGAUGGCGGGUCUCGCUGCCGCUUCACCAGCAUCCAUCCUCGGCGACCCUAACUGGUCCACUGACACGGGGGCUACUGAUCAUAUCACGUCGCAUCUGGACCGUCUCAUUGUGAGGGAAAAGUACCCUGGACGGGACCACAUCCACACUGUCGACGGAUCAGGUUUGCACAUAGCUCAUCGUGGUCAUGCCCUUCUUCCUACACCGUCUGUCAAUCUUAAACUUCGCAACCUAUUACAUGUUCCCAAUGCCGACAAGAACCUUCUUUCUGUUAGUCGUCUUGCCGUUGACAAACAUGCUUAUCUAAAAUAUUAUCCUACUCAUUUUCUUAUGAAGGAUUUGACAACCAAGAAGGUUCUUCUUCACGGCAGAUGUGAAAAUGGGCUCUAUCCCAUUCGGCCUUCACGUUCUCAUGUCUUGUCUUCAGUUAGGCUCUCUGCUGAAGAUUGACAUGCUAGACUCGGCCACCCGUCCACACAAGUUGUUCAGCAUGUUUUGGCGUCCAAUAAAUUAGCAUCAUCGAGUCGGGCUUUGACCCAUGUGUGUAAUGCUUGUCAACAUGGCAAAGCACAUCAGCUGCCUUUUCCUAUAUCUUCGAAUGUUUCCUCGUUUUUGUUGGAACUUAUUUUCUCAGAUGUGUGGGGAGCUGCCAAAACCUCCUCUGGUGGGUUCCAACACUAUGUUUCAUUUAUUGAUGAUUAUAGUAAAUUUGUGUGGAUUUAUCUUCUCAAACGAACAUGUGAUGUGUUUGAUGUCUUUCGUGAUUUUCUUGCCCAUGUUGAACGCCUCCUAUCUCCUAAAAUCCUGUGUGUUUAAUCAGACUGGGUGGGGAAUACGAAAAACUUAGCAACACAUUUUUUUCGGCAACUUGGCAUUGCUCACCACGUCUCUUGUCCACACACACACCAACAGAAUGGCUUGGCCGAAAGGAAGCACCGUCACAUUGUUGACAUGGGUCUCUCCUUAUUAUAGCAUGCGUCUAUGCCCCUCCGUUUUAGGGACGAGGCGUACUUGUCCGCAUGCUACCUUAUCAACCGACUACCUAGCCGCGUCAAUAUGAGUCCCAUGGAAAAACUGUUUUCAACCAAGCCUGACUACGUAUCUCUUCGCAUGUUCUGGAGUGCAUGUUGGCCUAACUUGCGCUAGUAUAACACUCAGAAACUUGCGUUUAGAUCACAAUAGUGUGUGUUUGUCGGGUACAUCAUUCGUCACAAAGGAUAUAAAUGUCUUCACAUACCUACCGCUCGUAUAUAUAUAUAUCACGAGAUGUUAUCUUUGAUGAACAUUUUUUUCCUUUUACCAAUGACCAACCCUCUCCAAUACCACCUCGCGUUGCUGAACAUGCAAUCUUUUUAUUUCCACAUGACCACAUGAACUAUGGCGCAUCUGUUUCUCGAACUAAUCUGGAUGCAGGUACCGAUUUGGUGCAGAAAAUCCCAUCUCCGGACUCCCAGGCAGAUCAUGUCUCUCAAUCCGCCGCCGCAUCAUCCUAGGAUCACGCGCCGCCUGGAGACAGCGACGUGGAGGCAGCUGACCACGUGACGAUAGGUGACAGCGCGCCAGGUGACCGCGCUGGGCCCGGGUCUCCGCCACCCACCAAUCCCGUGUCCCCUGAGGGCGAGCGGACCGGGGCGUCUCCCGCGUCGGCUCCUGCAUGUGCGCGUCCGACCCACGUUGUGGUGGGGCCCACCCUUGCUCGGGCCGCUGUGUCUCCCGAUUCGCCCCAGGCUGUUGUCUACCUGGCGCCCGUAGAGCGGGCCGUUGCUGGUGUCGGCGCUGGAUCCCAGAUGGAUCUGGCGGCCGCGUCGUCUUCCUCGCCCGACACCGGAUCCAGGGGGAUUCGCUCGCGUGCUUGUCUGCAUGCGUCCCGCCCGUAUCCUCUAUGGCCACCGGAUCUUCUGCUCCGCCUAUGCAUGCAAUGACGACGCGCACACAUGAUCACACUCACAAACCGCUGUAGCACACUGAUGGUACUGUCACGUAUGAUCCGUCCCGUCGUGCAUUCUUGGCCAUGCGGGAACCGUCUGAUCAUCGUGAAGCGGUCUCAUCUCCAGAGUGGCGUCUGGCGAUGCAACUUGAGCUCGAUACUCUCCGACAGAAUGGUACCUGGACUUUGGUACCUCCUCCUCCUUGUGUCAACGUCAUUGAUUGCAAAUGGGUGUUCAAGAUCAAACUCAAACUAGAUGGAACUGUUGAUCAUUACAAGGCACGUUUGGUCGCAAAGGGGUUCAAAUAACGCUAUGGCUUGGACUAUGACGAUAUGUUCAGUCCGGUCGUUAAACCUGUCACUGUGCGACUGGUUCUCUCUAUUACAGUUUCUCGUGGAUGGUGUUUGCGAGAGUUGGAUGUUCAAAAUGCUUUCCUUCAUGGCAUUCUCCAAGAAGAAGUAUACAUGCGCCAACCUCCUGGUUUUGUGAACCCCUCGGUGCCUCAUCAUUUGUGCAAACUUCGCAAGGCUCUCUAUGGGCUCAAAUAGGCUCCUCGAGCGUGGUAUUCUCGGCUGAGUUCUAGGCUCCAACAACUUGGUUUUAUAGCAUCCAAAGCUGACAGGUCCCUCUUUGUCUACAACUGGAGUGGUGUUACUAUUUUCAUGCUUGUGUAUGUAGACGACAUUAUUGUGGCCAGCUCCUCUCCUGCUGCUACUACCAAGUUACUUGCUGAUCUCCAAGCCUCCUUUGCACUCAAGGAUCUCGGUUAUCUGCAUUAUUUUCUUGGAGUUCAUGUGGAGUCAUCGCCAGGGGGAAUUGUUCUAUCUCAGCAGAAGUAUAUCAGCGAUAUUCUUCAUCGUGCGAACAUGGAGAAUUGCAAAGUCUCUACCAUGCUGAUGUCCUCAAGUGAGAAAAUUAGCAAGGAUAGUGGAACACCACUUUCUCAGGAUGAUAGCACCAAGUAUCGCAGCUUGGUUGGAGCUCUCCAGUAUCUGACACUCACGAGGCCAGACAUUUCUUUUGCAGUUAACCGUGUUUGUCAGUUCCUUCAUGCACCUACGACUGCACACUUUUCAGCUGCAAAGAGGAUUUUGAGAUACUUGAAGUAUACUCACAAUAUGGUAUUGUCUAUUCGAAAGUCACCCUCCAUGCUGUUAAGCUGUUUUUCAGAUGCAGACUGGGCUGGAUGUAGUGAUGAUCGCCGAUCCACAGGUGGCUUUGCAGUUUUUCUUGGACCUAACCUAAUCUAGGUCAAGAAUGGAGUCUGAAUAUAAGACACUUGCGAAUGGAACAGCUGAGGUCAUAUGGUCCUGUUUUGUGGUGUGACAAUCUAGGAGCCACUUAUUUAUCUGCGAAUCCGGUAUUCCAUGCCAGAACCAAGCACAUAGAAGUGGACUUCCACUUUGUUCGUGAACGAGUUGCAGCCAAGGCACUUGAUGUUCGAUUCAUAUCUUCCAAGGAGCAAGUUGCAGAUAUAUUCACAAAGCCUCUAGCUGAGGUGCCGUUUGUUUUAAAUAGGCACAAUCUGAAUCUUUGUGUAGGAAGUUCAGAUUGAGGGGGAAUGUUAAACUGUAUAGUUAUCAGAUACGGUUAGUAUCUAGGAUUGUAGUUAUCAUUGUAUAACAACCUGUACUUAUCCUCCUGUAAACCCUAGCGGCAGCCCUAGAGGCGCCCUAUAUAAUGAUCCUGAGACCACCACAUUAGGUGUGUCGAUCCAAUCUCUUCUCUCAUUGUUUCACAAGGUGUCCGUGGGUUGUAUGAAAUAAAACCAUAAAUUUACACAUUAUUGUAUCGAUUGAGAACUCAAGAGCAAAGCCCGUUUCCAACCUCGUCUCGGCAAACGUGGUUUGUUCCUCAUCAUGCUUCUCUCACCAACGACCACCAUGAAGCCAUUGCCUUUCUCUCUCCAUGAUCUUUGGUCCUUCUCCACCAGCAAUGUGAAAAAAGGCAAUAUGCCAGCUUCAUACUCCAUGGUCUUUCUUUUGAGCUUCAAGGUAGUAUGAUAGUAUAAUCAGUGUACAGUAUUGUCCAAGACCGAACCAAACUUGUUCAUAUAGCUGUAAAAAUCUCUUGUGAUCAACAACAAAACUAAUGCUAAUAUUCAGGAUUUCAAACUUGAAGCAUUUGGAGAUCGACCAACAAAAAAAAAACUGAGCGGCGGUGUCAAAAGUAAUUGUUGACCUUUGUCAAAUUGACUGCAUGCUUUUAAAUCAAGAUCAUGCAACUUUACAAGACUUGCAUCUCAAUAAAACCAUAUCAGCUGCACAUGCAGAUGAGAGAAAUGGGAAAUACUCUAUUCCAUUCAAGGGUUGUAUGUCAAUUAUUAAAACACAAGCACAUUAUAAGUCACAAACCUCCAACGCACAGAUAAUUUCGGAAAUGCCUAAACCUCAGAUAAUUUGGGAAAGGAGGGUGGCUACAGUCCCCUUGGCUGAUAUACAUAGGUCUAGCUGUAACAUCUUUGGGCAAAGCAUCAUUUGCAACUGGUAACCACAGAAUAUGUAUUUAGCGCUACUACAGAAGAAAAGAAAAGAAAAGGAUUAAAAAGGGAAUGCCGCCUUCAUAGGUCACAAACCUCGGAUUGUCAACAUCUUCUUGUGAAUGUACACAAAUUUGAAAUACUUGAAGCGGCUAGGAUAAUGUUCUUAAAAAUGGGUUGCUUCGGAGAUAAGAAACUAGUAAUGCAGUCAGACCAAAAGGAAAUUCAAGGGCACAAAAUACUUCCAGCAGGCCUUUGCAAAUUGGCAAUUAAUUAAGAAAAGGUGAUGUAUUGGCUCAAGAGCCUGGACUCCACACAUGACGCAGAAGUUUAAUUCAAGGACGGGGAAGUAAGAAUAAGACCACGUACGUACUAACAAAAGAGGGGAUCAAGGAGGAGCUGUAAAAUCCAAAUGAAAAUAUCAAUACAUAAUGAACAGCACCAUUCCGUUGAAAUACCACAAGUCGCUGCUAGUAAGAUUACAUAUGCCGGCUCUCUUGGACAACAAAACCUAAGUCAGGAUUCGACUAGGCACGAUUAAUUUGUUGUGUUUGACGUUCCUCGUUCUCUCUCUUUUUUUUUGCGAAGAAUCACAGAGUGUUUUAUUCCAGGAUGAUAGAGUUACAAUCUUCAGCGACUAAUUUGCUAAUGCAUGGGGUGGAUGGCCCAUCCAACAUGAUGUGCUAUCAACGACACUAUGAAAUCAAUCUUCCAAACUGCAGAAUUGUAAAGUACAGCUCAGACCUACAGGGCAGGACCGGCUAGCUAAACGGCCACGCUGGAUGAUAUGUUAUCACGUUCCCCGCGGCCGCGCCAUGAACUCCAAAUCUGGCGAAACCACCUACCGUCGCACAAGGCGCCGUCGGUCGUGGAACACGCGGUCUGCAGGUCACAUCGGUCCAGGCCUUGUUGGGUUCACGCGGUCCAGAUGACAUGCACGCCCGCCAAGCAAUUGAGAAAGAGAGAGCCAUGCACGCACGCGAAGCACGCUGCCCUGUGACAACGAGGAUGAUCAUGCAUGCAUGUCAGAGAGCAGAGAGCAGAGACGUCUGUCACUUGUGUAGAUGGUAGGUUCUGCUGGUUGGCGGUCACGCUACGCAGACCGCGUGUUCCACGACCGGGCCAAAUUUCGUGUUCGGACCCUUUUUUGAUACAAACUCAAGAUCUGACCCCGGUUUCAAAAAAUUUCGAAAUGUGACCCUUUCGCUACCGUCAUGGGCUCUGACAGUAUGGUUAGACAUACUACCGCCAGGGUCCAUGGCGGUAGCGUGCGACGGAGGGCAACGGCCGCCGUUUGCUCGAGCUGACGUGGACAAGUAGCCUACCGCCAGGGACCAUGGCGGUAGCAUGUUAGACUUUACCGCCUGACCCCUUGGCGGUAAGGUGUGGCUGGGGUUUUGCCUCCCAAGUUUCCGUAACGAAAUAUCGAGGUGCCCUGGAGGUAGGUACGUUCGUCCUACCGUUAGAGUCCUUGGCGGUAGGGUCCUGUGUUCUAUGGUUUAUAAGUUUAUUUUUUGCUUCUUUUCAAAAACAAUAUAGGCCCUAAAAUAUGAGCUCACAGUUUUUUAGUGAUUGUUUCUUUUGUAAAAUAUGAAUCACAAAGAAAGCCAACAAACGGUUUCACAUAGUUUGUUUUGUUACAAGUUUCACAUCACAAAUAGUAAAAUAUGAGCUCACAUAAUGAUGAUGGUUCCACAUAGCAAUUAUCAAACAGUUUACAGAUAAUAGAUUCAUAAGUAGGGAAUAGCAAAUAGCAAACUUGUCCACAUAGUUUGACAAGCCCUACAAAAACAGAGAUAUAUAUUCAAUCGACAUGUUUAUGGGGCGGACAAAUCUCCCCUNNNNNNNNNNNNNNNNNNNNNNNNNNNNNNNNNNNNNNNNNNNNNNNNNNNNNNNNNNNNNNNNNNNNNNNNNNNNNNNNNNNNNNNNNNNNNNNNNNNNNNNNNNNNNNNNNNNNNNNNNNNNNNNNNNNNNNNNNNNNNNNNNNNNNNNNNNNNNNNNNNNNNNNNNNNNNNNNNNNNNNNNNNNNNNNNNNNNNNNNNNNNNNNNNNNNNNNNNNNNNCCUCGUAUAUUAGGCAUGGCCGUGGAGACAGAUACGGCAGCGGAUCCACCGGUUCAGGCGGAGGUGGAACGCUGGUCGGCAUCCGACUGUUCAAGCAGUCCCACCUUGGCUUGCCCGCUGGAGGUUUCGCCUCAGCCCUUGCCCAGUUGAUGAUAUCGUAGCCGAUGCACUUGGGGGCGGCAUCCUGGCUCUCUCCUCCUCAUUGCUCUCGUAGUAGAUCCUCCGGCCCAAAUUGCGCAGCUCGACACUACUAGGAAAAGGCAUGCUAGUGGCACACCAGUUUUGCCUACUAAUGGCGCACUACUGGUGCGCCACUAGCAUCACGCCACUAGAAUUAAAUUCUAAUGACGCACCACUGGUGCGCCAUUAGUAUAGCCCACAGUGCGCCAUUAGAAUGCCUCCCGGGGGGCCAUAUGUACCCAUGUGCUUUGGCUUACUAAUGGCGCACCAGUGGGUGAUGUGCCAUUAGUGUGAUUAUCACAGUGCGCCAUUAAUGUCUUGUGUGGUGCGCCAUUAGUAUUAAUAUUAGGUUUUUUUUGGGUUUUUUCUGAUUUUUUCACAGGUUACAAAAUAUAUUAUUUGACAGAAUAUAGAAAGCACCACACAGCAACAGCAGAUUCAUCGAAUACAAUAGAAGGCAAGUCUCCGAAUACAAUUCAUCAUAUUAGUCUCCGAAUACAAAAGACCAAACGAACAUAGAACAUUACAAGUCUCGUAGACCGCGAGUAGCGAGUUUGUCUUCACAUUACAAGUCGAUAUCGAUCAUCUAAACUACCAUCACAUAGAAGAGAGCUGCGGUCAUCACGAUGAGCAUCAUCGCGAUGAAACUGGUCUUCACCCGGUUCCUCCAACGCUCCCUCCUCUCUCCCGUUAGAUAGCAGGCGUAUCUAGAUUCCGCCUCUACCCUAGUGGUUUACCCUUUGUAACUGUUACCGCUGAAACGGUGAACCUGUCUCCGACACUCCUCCCAGUCGGCGUAGACUCCGGGAACCUUACCCUUGUACACGACAUACGACGGCAUCUCUAUGCACAAGCCAAACAACAGACAAUACAUAAGCAAUAUAUAAGUAUGCAACAAAAGGAUCGAAAGAGAAAAGCAAAACAUUAAUAGCACGAUUCAUGGUCUUACUAAUAAAUAGCAUCAAUUACAUCUAAGUUAAACGACUGUCCAAACCAAAGAGACAUACAAGUUCAUUAAAGUUUAAUUACAACAUGAGCUAAUUGAUGUUUCAGAACUACAAAUAACAUCACUACUUUCGACUCGACUCAUGGGACCGGAGCGUGGAUGAAGCCGCCAUCUUUCGUGAUGGUCAUGAAGUCGUGGGCGUUGUGAGCCUGCAUUUGAAGUGUUGUGUCUAUCUCACUGUUGGACGGUUGCUCUCUGAGGUAGAACUGUCCCGAGGUACGAAGGACAUCUUGAUGGAUGAUUUCUGCAAACUCCGACGGGAUGCGAAAGAAUUCUUGUCGGAGGUCUGCGUCCUGGAUUGCCGCCAAGCUUGCGGCCCAAUCUUUGACAUUAUUUGGUAGCAAAAGGUGAUUAUGGUCCCGUACGAUUGCCCUCGUGUGAUGGAGGGCGUAGUAGGCAUCCUUCUGACCGCCAGGCGGCUGCUUGACGCAGGGGAACAUCGUAUUGUGGGUGAACACGUGCCUGCCGUACCUACGAACUUUCCUCUUAAAGGUGCCUCCAGAUGUGGUGUAGCCGGGGAGAGCAUCAUCAAGAACUUUCUUGAUAUUUGUGUAGUGUAUUUUGGAGUCACGGUCCGCGUCGAAAUACGUGACCGUGGAAUAUUUCGGGCUUAAGAGGAUGAGUGUGCAAUGUGUGUCACUGCACAGAACACGGAAUGUUAGAAAAAAAAAGAACGAUCGAAAUCUAAGAAAUCAUAUGUUACGGGGCGGUGAGGGGAUGACUUACUCGGGAAAGUAAGGGACGAGGAAGUUAUCCUUAUCUGGGUUUGCCAGAAUGACGCCUUCGAGGUGUGAACUCGCGACUUGCCGGUCCCCAGCGCUGCCCAAGAUCUUGGCACGCAUGUAGAAGGGGUCGACUAUCACGAUGUCCGGUGUCUUGUCUCGAAUGAUCCGCAUCUCCAUACUCAGCGAAAACAGCCGAACGAAGGUGUAGUGCAGCGGAUGAAGAUUAAACAUAGCAAAGAUGUCAUCAAACCGCAGGAAGAUCGUACCCCCGGUGGCGCCAUCCACAAAGCCCUUGCCCUCUGGCACCUUGGCCACAAAAACCGGGUAUGCCACAUCAUUCUGGGAGAGACGCAUCUUCUCCAAAGAAAGAACACUGUCAUGCGGACUCCGCAUAGCACCGGGUGCAGCAUUGAGCAUAUUUGUCGGUAGCAUCGCCCUACCCGCCACAUGCACCCUCCUCGAGAUAUCCUGAGGUGAAGGUGGCCCGUCCUGAGCACGGAUCGUACUCGGUGCCGGCUAGCUCGCACCGGCGCCCUUGGCAGUCUUUCGUUUCCGUCCCUUCUUCUUGAUCUGCUGUAAUGGGACCGAUUUCUGCUCACAGGCCGCCUUCUUGAGCAUGUUGGGGCUGAUAAUAUUUCGCACCUCAGCUAUCUGAGGCUCGGUGAAGGCGGGAGCUGGAGGCGUCUCCUGAGAACUGAAAGCCAGACGACGCCUGUUGCAAUUGGAUUUCUCCAUCGUACCAGCUAGAUCGCGGUCGUAUUGGUUGGGUUCUUGAGAAGGAGGCCCGCCGAACUCGUCACCGUACCCUUGUUCGGCAAAGUACUUAUCGAUGUUGGUAAAUGUACCGUCGUCGUUGUCGUCGUCGUCCGAAUCCUGUGCCAUAUGCAUGUCCGGAUCCUGUGCCAUAGGGAUGUCCGGCAUGUCCGGUAGUGUUGCGGUGUUCUUGCCAUGGCGCGGCGCCGGCAUGACCUGCGGUCUUGUUUGUGGGGUGGUGUCCCCCGCCCCCAAACGAAUCUGGCUCUUCGGCCAAAGCAGGGGCCAACUUAGGCAGGUGCUGAGGGUCAUCAGAUCUUCUUCGUUGGCCCCAGCGGGUUGAAUCGGAGGUAACAACUCGUCGCAGCCUGGCAGCACCCGAACGAGUUGAACCCUAUACACGAUGGGUGGCAUCGGUUUACCGUGGAACACGGGGUUGCCCGGUUGAACGAUUUUGCCCUUGGAGACAUCGACCAACUCGUCGUUCACGAAGUGCAGGAGAGUGCACGGAACAUCGGCGGCGCCCUGCGAAAACAUGUAGGGCGUCAGGGAUGCCCAGUCAAAGGCAAAAGGAGAUGAAGUCCUCGACCGAGAGGCUUAAUUAGUUACCGUGAUGAUGGCUUCGAGCUUGGCUAAUGUCGAGGCACUGCCAAUGGCGGGCGUGCAACGGACGGAGGGGCCGCUUGCUGGCGAGGUGCCGGCCGGCGUACACCCGGGUGCAUUAAGCUCCAAUGCCCGUGCCGGCACCGGAGACACCAAUACCGCCACCGCCGAUGACACCAAUGGCGCCGCCGGAGACACCAAUGGCGCCGCUUGCACAUUGUGCGAGUUGCUGGCCGUGAAGCUGGGAAUCAGGGGCGGCCCCUGUUGGCCACCUGCAAUCCACGUCGUCAGCCCAUGAAUCAAGGUAGGCAUAAUGCCGGUGAGCGUCGUUCCCAGUUGUUGUUGCACUUGCUCUUGGAUAAUCUUCGGAAUCCGCGCCACUUGUGCCUUGAGUUCUUCAACCUCGCGCGACUGGUUUUCUGAGCUGGUCUUUUUCUCCUUUCACCCACCAGCGGUAUAGUAUGAGGACCAUUUUGUGGACAAGCCUUUGCCGGCCACACGACCAGCUGACGACGGCUUACUGAGCUUAUCCUUGUUUUUCAUUACAUUCAACGCCCUAUUUAGAGUGUUGUCCCAAGCAGGGGUGCUCUGAGACGACCCCGCGCUACUGCUUUCAGUCUCCUUCACCAGAACAAGCUCAAGCGCCCUGGUCUUUGGAUCCGUGGUAAGCUCCUUUGUUAUCGGGUCCUCCUUGUACCGGGCCCUGACAAAGUUCCUGGCCUGCUUGUCACUGCUGUAUUUCUCGAAGCGGGGCGGUAGGCCAUGCUCGGCAUGCUCCGCGUCCUCCUUGUCCCAUAUAGGCUCCGCCACUCUGUAACCGCCGGGACCAAGUUUGUGUUCCCCUAAGUUCAACUCCUGCAUUUCUUUCCCCCACUGACUUGAUUCGGAGGUUGCACUGCUCUCACACUUGAUCUUGAACUCCUUAUAGUCAUCUUCGCUGAUCGAAGAAUUUUUUGCCUUGAUCUUCUCAUAACUGUCACCUUUCUCAAUCAUUCUCUUCACCUCGCUUCUCCAAGUAGACAGGGCCGUGCUCAUCCUCGUGAGGGCGGCACUGUUCACUUUAUUCCCUGAGAGGCGUGUGUUUUCAAAUUUAGCGGGGAACUUGUAUCAUUUGUGCAGCUUCAUGAAGAGGAGGUUGCGCAAAUUCCCUCUGUACUUAUUCCUAAGGUUCUCGGUGUUGAUCGAGACAGUGCUCCGGAGAAUGCACCCGAGCUGAACCGAGUACCCCUUGACUAUAUGUUUGGGCUCCGUUGGAUGCCCGUCGGAGUCCACUUGAGUAAAUUCCUCCUUGACGGUGUGGAGCAUAUUCGGGCGCCGGUCCUUCCGUUGCUCUUCAGUUGGCUGCCAUCUGUGUGUGCGCUGCCAUCAUCAGUGGUGGCAUCCUCGGCGGCACCAUCAGUGGUGUCAUCCCCGACGCCACUAGGGGUUGUGUAGUCAGGAUCGGUGUCUUCCGCGGCGUCCUCAUAGCGGUGAGGUUGUUCCUCCAUCUCCUAGAACAGCUCCCAGAAUUGCUUGCCGCCCGAACCGCCGGCCUCAUCGUUGUUGGCCAUGUUUCGCUAAAUAGGAAAAAAGUUUGGUCAAAAAGUUGGUUAUUGUCAAGGAACAAGAUCAUGGUCUCAUCAUUUAGGGUUUGUCGACACUGAGGCAUCCUAAAAGCUAAGCUUUUAUCAUUUAGGUUUUGUCGACGUCGAGGCACCCUAAAAGCAUAAGCGUACAUCAUUUAGGUUCUCAUCGACACCGAGGCACCCUAUAGAAGCCAAGGUUUCAUCAUUUAGGGUUUGUCGACGCCGAGGCACCCUAAAUGCUAAGUUAAGUUUUCAUCAUUUAGGGUUUAUCGAUGCCGAGGCACCCUAGGUUGGGCCUAAUCACUUGGCACUAAUCACUUGGCUCUAUUGCCACCUAUGUUGGGUUUAUCAUCUAGGGUUUAUCGAUGCUAAGGAGAAUUCUAAGUUGGGCCUAAUCACAUGGCUCUAUUGCCACCUAUGAUUUAAUGCAGCAAGAAUGGCGGGGCAGUUGAUCCUACUUAACUAAGUACUAAGAUACCCCGGCCCAUGCAUUAGUCGCAAGUACCCCAUAUGUCCUAUUUUUAGCAAAGUCAUGCUAAACUUCACGGAAAAUUUCAGCAUGACCUUUGCUGAAAGUAGGACAUAUGGAGUACCCGAAUUUGCCGGAACGGAAGUUAAUUGACAUUCCGGCAAACUCAAGGGCCUCUCGGGGUACCUGCAAAUUCAUCACAACACAAUGGUCGGAGAUAAAACCCAGCAACUUUACAAGUCUUUCACAGAUUUGUUUGCAAGUUCUGAUAUGUAAUAAAGAUGAGUCUCAAAGAUGAGCCUCCAAUGCUGAUUUGUUUGCCUCAAGACAAGAUGAACCUCCAAUGCAACAAGUAAUAAAAUGUUCAACAAUGUAUCAGAUUCGGCAACAGUUUAACAUCUACUCUAGUAAUUAUACAACACCAUGACCAACAUUUCUCCUCUCCAGAAAUUAGAAACAAAAUAAAGGAACAUUACACAGUAGCCAUCAAAUUAAAAUAACACAUACAGUACAUACAGGUAGGUAAUACUAAAGCAUGUUCAUAUUAGCUAGUUACCAUUAUAUUGCUUUAGGUUAGGGCCCUUACAUUAUUUUCUCUCUAUCCCUUUCUUUAGCUGCACUGCAUCACAAGGCAAAUAUAGUUCAAAAUAAAAUACUGCUGAAUAAGCACCUAGCAGAAUAGUAAAAUAAGCUUAAAAAAUGCAUACAUCUUGACAUACAAACACAGACAGUUAUGCAAGUGCUAGAGGUAUGCAUAUAUAUAUAUAUAUAUAUAUAUAUAUAUAUAUAUAUAUAUAUAUAUAUAUAUAUGUGUGAACUUGAUCCUGAACUAGAGGUACACAUGUUUGCAUACUCAUCUCUGCAAUUAGUCGUGCUUAUUUGCAUUGUGCUAUAUAUGAAUCCACACUGACUCGAGCCUGAAUCAAUCAAUCAAUGUUGCUCACAUAUACUCCCACACUCCCAUAAUAGUACUAAUAUAAGAGCAUUUAUAUUAUUGGAAUGAAGGGAUAAUUUUUUUUCUUUCAAGAAAACACAAACCCUAACAACACAUUACGAGCACCUUCAAGAGAUUGAACCAACCCGACAUCCACAAACACCUCCUACUCAACACACAGACACAGACCAAGGAAGAAACAUAACCAUUCUUCUUUUUUCUUUCUUUGUUGUUAAUAAUAAAAGAAACUACAAGAGCAAGGAAGGAACAAGUCUUCUUUUGUACUGCAACACAAGAAACCCUCUUUCUUUCUUUCUUCCCUUCGUGUUAAUUUAAUUUUACUGCACCAUCUACUAACCUCCUCCAACUUUACUACCACUACAUCCCUCUCAAGGACAUCUAUGUACUGCUUAUAAAGCAUCACAUGCUGAUGCUAUGUUUCAUUUGCCCCAUCUCCCAUCUCUGCUCUUAUUUUAAGUAAAUGCCCAGAUGCCUUACAUUUAUCUCUGCGGGACUUUUUCUUUUCUAAUGAUAUCAUCUAUACAUGUUACUUAGUUACUAAACCUAUGUAACUUAGGAUCAAAUUGAUAAAUUGCUUGAAGUAUCCGCAUAUUUUCGUGGAGAUCAUACGGGGGAGGAUCAGACAAUGUGGCAACAGACAGCAAGGUGUGUUCUUUCAAAGAAUCUUUGCAUCAAGUCAAUGAACAUCAUAUUUGAAGUGCAGUUUAACUUAGUCACUUAAAACUAUCUGAUCCACAACUAACAACCAAAGUCAUGUUCAGUUAUAGUGCUUAAAUAUGAUUUUGGUGUGUGUGAAAACAAUACAGUAUUAUAUUUCUACUGAAUGCAUGAGUAUGAUGUAUCACACAUCUACAUGUCUAGGCUUUUUCAAUUUUUUUCCGGAUGGAAACCAGAAGCAUCACUGUCCUUGACUAGAAUCACCAUGGCCAGAUUAAACACUGCAAGCUGGCAAGUUCUUCCUUUCAAUUUCUCAAUCUUAGCUAGCGGAGGAUGAAUAGAGGAGAAGAGAGGCAGAGGGAGGAGGGUUACCUGGCGGCGGUGGGGCGUUGAAGACCUGGCGGCGAGGUUCCUCCUCUCGGUGGCGGCGGGGCUCCUCCCCUCGGUGGGGGCGGUGGCCUCUUCCCCUCGGUGGCGGUGGCGGGGCUCCUCCUCUCCUUGUGGAGGCGGGGCGUUGAUCCGGCGANNNNNNNNNNNNNNNNNNNNNNNNNNNNNNNNNNNNNNNNNNNNNNNNNNNNNNNNNNNNNNNNNNNNNNNNNNNNNNNNNNNNNNNNNNNNNNNNNNNNNNNNNNNNNNNNNNNNNNNNNNNNNNNNNNNNNNNNNNNNNNNNNNNNNNNNNNNNNNNNNNNNNNNNNNNNNNNNNNNNNNNNGCCCGAGCGGGAGCGGCGGUCAUCGGAGCGGGGGAGGCGGCGGGGGUGCGGGGGCGCGGGGGCGGCGGUGGCGGGGGUGGAGUACCGCGGGGGUCGGGGCAGCGGCGUCGGGGCGGCGCAAGACCACAGCAGCGGACGGAGGGGGCGGAGCAAGGGGGCGGCGGCGUACGGUUGUUGAGUGGGGGAUCUGGCGAGGGAGGGAGGGAGGCCACAGUGUGAGGAGAAUAGGUGGAGUGGGGGAGGAUUCUAAUGGCGCACCUCCCCCUAGUGUGCCAUAAGUACGACGAUUCUAAUGGCGCACAUCCCCCUGGUGCGCCAUUAGAAUUUUGUUUUAAUUAGCCUGACUGGUCAGGUUAUAUUCCACCUAACACUAUCUUCAUCAGAACACGCCCACUAGCCCGACUGGUCAGCACGCAGCACACACACUAGGAGGUCCUGGGUUCGAUUCCCACGCUCCCCAAUUUUUGUUUUUAUGCAUUUAAAAUGAUGUUUGAUAUUUAUUCGUGCUUAAAUAUGUUCAAACUUGUUCAAAUCAUAACAGUAAUAUUUUUUAAUAAAAACAGUAAUAUUUUUUUAAAAAAUAUCAUCAAAUUUGUUAUUUGAAAAUAUUUAUGAAUAUGAAAAAAUAUCAUAAAAAUUAUUAUUUGAAAAUAUCAUCAAAUUUGUUAUUUGAAAAUAUAAUCAAAUUUGUUUUUUUACAAUUUUAGUUGCAUUCAUUUGCGACGGUGGAGCGGGCCGGGAAGGGUGCGGGGGGUCGGCGGCGGCGGUGGAGUGGGGGAGGGUGCGGGGGGUCAGCGGCGGCGGCCGGUGGAGCUGGGGAGAUGGUGCGGGGGGUGCUCGGCGGUGAGGGGGGCCGGAUCUGGCGAGGUGGGAUAGCGAUCGAGAUGGAGGGGGAUCGAGAUCGAGUGUCCAUGAAAUUUAAAAACAUUCAUGAGUUCAAAAAGUGCCCAUGAAAUACAAUCGAGAAAUGAAGGCUACAAUUUAAAUACAAUCGAUCUUAGCUAGCUAUCUAUUCACAAUCUUCUUGCCCUUAUUUUUCAUAAAUGGAGUUCUUCUCUUGAACGGACGUCCUUUAGGUAGGGUGGUCCUGCUUCUUCUUGUGGUGUAUGCUGAUACUUCAUCGUCGUCCUCAUGUUCCAUCUUCAGGUCGCCGUACUUGUCGAAGUCUUGCUCAUUGGCGACUCCAUCCAUUCCGAUGAUCUUCCUUUUGCCUCUUCCCACGACAACAUGAGUGGGCUUUGGCGGGUCGGUAAUGAAGAAGCAUUGGUCCACUUGGGAAGCCAGUACCCAUGGCUCAUUUUUUGCGGUGACGUUUGUGCCCGCGGUCUUGGAUUUGGCUUCGGGUAUAACCAUGGUGGUGAAAUACCGGUUUUCUUUUAUGAUGCUCUUGGCCCAUAUGACAUGGAACAUCGGGACCUUCUCUCCAGAGUAGCUCAGCUCCCACAUCUCCUAGAUCCUUCCGUAGUAUCUGUCCUUGUCGUUACUGGUGUAGUAUUCCAUCGUUACCCCGGAGUUCUAAUAACCAUCGCUCUUCAUGUCCUUGUCCUUGGUGUAGAAUGUGUAGCCGUUGAUAUCGUACGCCUCAUAGGUCAUCAGGUUGUGCUCGGCGCCCUGUGACAAGGCGAACAUGAGUUGUUCUUCCGCGGAAGAAUCCUCAUGUAAUGGGUACGACAGAAGCUUCUGCUUGAACCAACACGUGAAACAUGAGUUGUGCUCUUUGAUUAUAUCUCCGUCCGUCCUCUGUUGGCCUCGGUCAUUGUACGUCUUCUCAAUAAAGGUUUUGUGCUCUACCACCCAAGGAUCGACCACGUCUAUGUGUUCUAGCGCGACUAGGUUUGCUCUUUCAAAGUCGGCGAGUCGACCCUCGAAGUUGACAUGCAUUUCACGGCGACCCUCACGGUGACCCCAUCCAGCGAGCCUGCCGAGGUGCCUGUUGACGGGCAGACCAACGGGGUCCUCGAUGCCUAGAUAAUUCGUGCAGUAGGAGAUGCACUCUUCGAUCAGAAAGCCCCUGGCUAUGCUUCCCUCUGGACGUGACAUGUUGCGAACGUAUCCUUUGAUAAAACAUUCAUCCUUUCAAACGGCAUCAUGCUGUGCAGGAACGUUGGCCCGAGUUGGAUGAUAUCCUCCAUGAUAUGGACCAGCAGAUGCACCAUAAUGUCGAACAAUUCGGGCGGGAAGUACAUCUCAAGCUCGCAUAGUAUCACCACGAUCUCUUCCUGUAGCCUUCUGAGUUGCCUCACGCCAACCGACUUCCGAGAGAUGACGUCAAAAAAGUUGCAUAGGCCAAAUAGCAUUUCACGGACGUGCGUGUCCAUGAUCCCACGGAUUGCAACUGGAAGUAUCUGCAUCAUCAGCACGUGACAGUCGUGAGACUUCAUCCCGCUGAACUUCUCCUUCGCUGGGUCUAGGUAUCUGCUUAUCUUCCCCGCGUAACCGUAAGGAAGUUUUACUCCUAUGAGGCAGGUGAAAAACUGAUUGAUCUCCUCCUGACUGAGAGUAAAGCACGCGGGAGGGUAGUCAUUUCCGCUCUUCUUGACCUUUUUGCCUUUGCGACGACUUUUCGUGUCCUGCUUCGCCUCAUCAUCAUCAUCAUUAGCGUGAAGCUCCUCCCUGAUGCCCAUUGAUUUCAAGUCUACCCUUGCUUUUGGCCCAUCUUUGGUCCUCUCUAACAUGUUGAGUAGGGUACCAAGCAGACUCUCGCACACAUUCUUCGUGAUAUGCAUGACAUCAAGGCUGUGAGGCACACAGUGGAUCUUCCAGUAUGGCAAGUCCCAGAAAACAGACCUCGUUUUUCAUACCUUCAGCAGCGGCUCUGGUGCCUUUCGCUUCUUUCCCGGCUCUGGCGACUUUUGCUUCUCUCCCAGCAGUGGGCAAUCUUUCCAAUUUUUCAACAGCUCGUCUAUUUCCUCGCCGCGCCUCGUACGCGGGCGUCUUCGGGGUUCGGUUUCACCAUCGAACAGAUCCUUGUGUUUCCUCCACGGGUCAUCGUCACGAAGCCACCUUCGAUGUCCCAUGAACACGGUUUUCGAAGACCCGGGAUCUCUAUCUAGUUGGCGACACGUUGUGUCCCAUGCACCUAACGCAUCCAGAAAAUCCGUGGACCACCUGCCCCGCGACAUAUCCGUAACCAAGAUAGUCGUGCACCGUCGUGAGCGGUACGGCUCUCAUAGGGAAAUAUUCUUUCUCUGCGGCGUCCCACGUAUUGGCUGGCGUUUUCCACAGCGUGUCUAGCUCCUCUUUCAGCAGCCCUAGAUACAGAUUGAUGUCGUUCCCUGGUUGUUGCGGCCCUUCAAUUAGCAUACUCAUGUGAAUGUACUUCCUCUUCAUGCACAACCAGGGGGAAGGUUGUACAUCCACACAAACACAGGCCAGGUGCUAUGUGUGCUUCUCUGGCUGCCAAACGGAUUGACUCCAUCGAUGCUCGCGCCCAGCAUGAUGUUCCUUGGAUCCGUCCCAAAUUCUGGGUGUUCGAAGUUCAACGCUUGCCACUAGCUCCCGUCCCUAGGGUGACUUAGCAUCUUGUAUUUUUUAUUUAUCUCCAGAUCAUUUGCGUCAUCUUCUUGCUUCUUCUCCUCCCUAUCCGCGUGCCAACGCAGGAGCUUUGCUACCUUAGGGUCCGCAAAAUACCGCUGCAGACGAGGAGUGAUCGGAAAGUACCACACCACUUUUUGAGGAGCUUUCUUCCUCUUCUUGUAUCGAGUGACGCCGCACACCAGACAUAUGGUAGACUCCGCGUGCUCGUCCUGAUAAAUGAUGCAAUUGUUCAUGCACACAUGGUAUUUCACGUGCGGUAAAUUCAGAGGACACACGAUUUUCUUCGCCUCCUCAAAACUGGUCGGGCACUUGUUCCCCUUGGGAAGAUGUUCACGCCAGAAUGACAUGUUCUCGUCGAAGCAUGCGUCAGUCAUUUUAUGUUUUACCUUCAUCUCUAGAGCCAUGAGCGUUACUUUCAGGCGGGUAUCCUCGGGCGUGCAUCCUUCAUACAAUGGAGUAACCGCGUCUAUCUCUAGUUGACCCAGCUUGGCUUUCUCUCGGGUGGCAGCUCUUGCGCUAUCCGUCUGCUUCAGAAGCAGCUCUUGAACAUGAGGGUCCUGCACCCAGCCCAUCGAUGGUCCAUCGUCGCCUGCUCUGCCGACAUCUUCAUCUUAAUGAUCAUGCCCUUCGUCUGCUCCGGCAUCUUCCUCAUCAUCAUGUCCUGCAUCUUCUACAUGAUGACUAUGUACAACAUCACCGUCGUGAUCAUGUCCUGGAGAUUCUUCGUCUUCUCGCCCGCCCGAGCCGUGGUGGUUGUCUUGUUGCCCUUCCUCACUUCUUGCCCGGCCCCCAUGGACGACUUCAUAGACAUCUUCAUACCUUGCCACCGAUAGCCAUCCAUGAAACCAUGCAAGAGCAGUUGGUCCCGCACCUGCCUGGAAUUCGGGUCCGCAAUAAGGCUCUUCAGCUUGCAUCUUCGACACGGACAUCUUAUCUCCGUCUCGUUCUUUUCAAGCAUCUCGGCCUUCGUGGAGCUCAAAAACCUAUUCACGAUGCCUUUGGUCAUCGUGCGGACCAUGGUCGCCUGCGGGGUAGAGCAAAACGAUAUUUUAGAACCAAGAAAAAAUUUGGCAUGACUUUCCCUAAAAAUAGGACCAAAAAGAAUGCAUAGUGCCAAAAUUCUCACCGAAACGGAAAUGAAUCAACAUUCCGGCAAAAUAUUGGCAACUAUCGCAUUUCAAAUACCGGUACCUGCAAACACAAACAAAUAUGCAACACCACAAACAUAUGCAACACCACGAACCUACAUAGAUCUAGCUAGGUCAUAAAAAGUGCAUGUGCAUGUUGUUGGAGAGGGAGAACAACAUAAAGAUAUCUUCCAACCUACUUACCAAUCAAAAAAAGGUAAUUUAACCACUUAAUUUGGAUGAAUCUAUGGUGCAAAUGAGGUGAGGAGGAGGAGGCAGCCGAGACAAGCUUGGAGGAGGAGGUGGAGAGAAUGAAGUGGGGAAAGUGAGUGGGUAGGUGGGCUGUCCAAAAUAUCUUAUUGGUCCCAGGUUACUAAUGGCGCCCAACCUGCAAAUGCGCCAUUAGUAACCCUGGUUACUAAUGACGCACCUGCUGCUGGUGCGCCAUUAGAAGUUUUGCAAAAAAAUAAAAAAUAAAGUAUAUAUUCUAAUGGUGCACCAUGGCACAGUGUACCAUUACUAGUUUAAACUAGUAAUGGCGCACUAGGCUAGGGUGCGCCAUUAGUAGUUUUGCAAAAAAAAGAAUAAAAAAACAACAGUAGUGGCGCACUAUGUGGCCGGUGCGCCAUUACUAGUUAGCACUAGUAAUGGUGCACCUUGCCAUGACGCGCCAUUAGUAUGUUUGGAAAAAUAAGAAAAAAAAUUACUAGUGGCGCACCGUGUGCCUGGUGCGCCAUUAGUGUCUUCCACACUAAUGGCGCACCUGCACAUGAUGCACCACUGCUAUAUAGUAGUGGCGCACCACAUGACAGGUGCGCCAUUAGUGGCCAUUUCAUCUAUAACCCUUUUCCUAGUAGUAUCCCGGUCGGAGCGCUGCUUGGUAGCUUCAAUGUCCCAUUCCCGGCGUUCUCAGGAGAUAGUUGGAUCUCCCUCCAUCUCUGCAAUCACUCUCUUCCACUCCUUCGCACGCUCUGCCCAACACUUUUGAUCAUCGUAGAUCCGUUCCGCCCUCUCGUGCCACCGCACUGCCCUCGUCUCCUGUAGGAACUCGUCUGAAAAAGCGGUCACCGGCAGCAAAAGCUCGGGGCAGGCCUCGUACACGUACGGAAGUGGCAAGCCGGACAGGUCGUGUUGGAGAUGAAGGGGCGAUGGUUGCGCAACUGUUGCAGACCUAAACAUAUGGAUGAAAUAAAUAAAAUAUAUAUAUCAAGAUGUGUCAAAUGCAAAAUCGUAUCAUAUCAUAUUUACUCCAACCAAAUCCAGUACUUGCAUCAUAUUCACAUGCUUACUAAAAAACUAAGAACUAAGAACUAAGAACUACAACUACAAUCACACAUCCUAAAUACAAUACAAUACAUAUCAAAGAAUUGCAUAAGCAUAUCAAAAGAAUUGCAUAAGCAUAUCAAAAGAUAUCGAUGCAUAACAAAGGUUCAUCACAUCCAAAAAAACCUAUGAGUUCAAUCUUUGAAUAAUCAUAUAUCUAGAUUAUUAUGAACAUGAACUAAAUAAAAUACAUAUAUCAAAAACAAAAACCAUGAACUAGGGUUCAUCUUGAGGGAUUAACCAUGUUUACUUCAACAAAAUCCACUACUUGCAUCAUAUAAGAUCCACAUGCAUCCUAUAUCAAAACAAAUAUUUCCAAUAUUCAUCAUAUAUAAAAAAUUAACACAAAAAAUUAUGAACUAGGUUCAUCUUGAGGGUUCAACAUUUGUUCUCCAACUAUAUCCACUACUUGCAUCAUAGCAUAUCAACAUGCAUCAUCAUAUCACAAUAUAUUCCUCCAACAUGCAUCAUAUAAAAAAAAUUCCUCCAAAAAUAAUAUGAACUAGGGUUCAUCUUCACAUAAUCAUACCAACUAGUGACUAGAGUUCGUAUCUAACACAUUAUAACAUCGAUAAUCAACCUAAAUCAAUCCUAGGAUUCAAAAUAUUUAAAUCUAGUUCAAGAAGGGGGGUGAUUUGAAUCAAAUAAUGCGACGAAUCGGAAGCUAUUUGACUAAAACUAAUUGGAGGGAUUGAAGGAGCUUACUUUUCUUUCUUCGGGGCCAUCUCGAUCCGCAAAAAUGAUGAAGAAACGACGAAGAUCUGAGGGGGGAGUGGAGGAAAGAGAGAGGGGCGAGAGGAGGAAGAACUCCUCUAUUCUUGGGCGGGUGGUUGGGGAGAAGGGGAGGGGUGGGGCGGCCGAUGGAUUAUAACUGCCUGCACCCUACCGCCAGGUAUCCCGGCGGUAGGAUCAGACAGGCUACCGCCAUGACCGGCAGCGGUAGGGUGGGACGGAGGCCGUUAAUGUUGCUGACGUGGAUAAGUUUCCUACCGCCGCAGUGUCUGGCGGUAGCCUAGGUAAUCCUACCGUCGGGCGUCCUGGCGGUAGCAAAAAGGGUCAAAUGUCGAUUUUUUUCAAAGUGGGGUCAAACCCCGAUUUUGUUUGACAAAAGGGUCAAAACACGAAAAUUGGCCCCACGACCGGGGGAGCUCAUAUCAUUGGCGUGAGCUCAUAUCAUUGGCGUGUCAGUAUGAUCCUCUUGUCGGAUACUACGGCUUUACCGCGUACGUACUCCUACCGUGGAGAGCUGGCUGGUUGUGGACCCCUCUGGAACGAACAGGUCGACAGGUCCCUCUCCCUUGGUAGUAGGCCCAAAUUAUAGGCACGUGCCGUUGUUGGUCUAGUCCCGGCCACACCGUCAAUGUAUCAGUUAGCGUGAUCGCGUCGCGUCGGAAUAAGUUUUUUCGGGCUCCGUUCGCGGCUAGAUGAGGCUUUUGCCUUCGUCUAGGAGCCAGCGGGGUGGGGAUCCCCGGAUCUCGUUGAGCUCGCGGGCUAUAGUGACUGGAGGUUCAUCAGCACUGGCCGUUUGGGUCCUCAGAUAGGCGUUGGAUGCAGGGAGACUGUUGAGUAACGUGAUUGUAGUUGGAAACAUAGGUUAGACUAGGAAAUAUUCUUGCUUUCCUUGUACUCCAAGUAGAUCAUGUACUCCUAUAUAUGUGCCCACGAGGCUCAAGCAAUACAUUGAACUAUUCCACCAACCCUCUCUCUCCCUUCAACAUGGUAUCUAUUGCAAGUCGAUCCUAAACCCUAGCCACCGCUGCUUCCGCACCUGCUCGCCGCCCUCGGGGCUGUCAGCCUCCAUGACCGCCGCUGGGGGCUCCGCCGCCCGUACCUAGGGUUCGUCCACCGGUCGUGUUGACCGGCUGCCCUAGAGAGUCUUUUCCCCGAGCCCUUGCUCCAGAUUUUUUCGCUCUCUUGCCGGUCGUUUUGAUCGGUGUUUUUCUUUUUGGUUUUCUGAUCUAUGCUUGAUCGGUUUGCGUCGCCCGCCGCCGCCGUCGACACCGAGCGCCUCUACUUUGACCCCGACGCGACAAGCCGGCCUCUCCUCCGACCCGGCAGCCACGCGUGCCGAGGCGGCCCGUCAGGGCCAGCCGUCGUCCGCGCGUCGGUCCGCCCGUCACCGCCCUGCUCCGACCGGGACACUUGCAUCGCCCCGACCCAGCGGCCACGCGCCAUGUGAUGGCCAAUCAUAAUCGUCGCUCGUGUGCCGGCCCCCAUCGAUCCAGAUCACCCGCCUCCGCCGCGUCUUCACGGCGGCCCGACGGUCUACCUCGCCGGCCUCGUCCUCGGUUGCGUCGGGACGGCUGCGUCAGGCUUGUCGGCUGCCUCAACUCGGGCGCCGCUGCUCCGUUGGUCGCUCGGGCCUCACUGCCCGGGCGCGCAUGUUGCUUUGGCAGCUCGGGUGCCGGUGCUGACAAGUUCGUCCGCACGACGUCUCACGCCGGCUGUCGUCGCCGACUUCAUCUCAGACUCCGCCGCCACCACACCUCCACCGAGCGGCGUCCCGACCUCGCGUGCGAUCGGCUUGAUCACCCGCUCGCCGCGGCGAUCCGCCUCAUCUACGCCGCGCAACCGACCUGGCCCGUCGGUUACGCGCGCCUCCGCAGGUCCCGUGAAGAUCGUCCCCGAGUUCAGCGCGCCUCUCCACCGAUCGAGCAUUGGGCUGCCACCGUGUCGCCUCAUCAGGCCGCAACGCCGCCGCCCCGUGGUUCUCCUCGCGGCUGCAUCGACCCGUGCAUCGCCGCUGCGUCGCCCCUUCGGGCUGUAGUGUCGCGAUACGCGGUCCCCGCCGCCGCCCCGAGGCCAUCCCCGCGGCUGCACCGACUCGCGAACCGCCGUUGUGUCGCCCCUUCGGGCCGCAACAUUGCGGACCACGGUCCCCGCUGCCGCCCCGAGGUCUUCCCACCGUCGCCCCGACCCUCCUGCCGCCGCUACGUCACCCCUUCGGGUUGUAGCGCCGCGGCCCGCGAUCCACUCUGUCGUCACCGCGCGUCGACCUCCUAUGGUAUGCGCCACGCCGUCUUCCUUGGCGCGGAAACGCCACCGUCCGCGCCGGUCUUCGUCACGCUGUCAGGGUUCUUCGCCUACUUCGAGCACCGCCGCCGCUCUCCUAACCUAGCUGUCGCCGCUGCCGUCAGGCCGCCGCCGCCGCUACCUUCAUAGCCGCCGCGCCGCCCGUCCACCCCCUUCGGUCUUCGUCCAAGCACCAGCCCGUUGCCAGCGUCACCGUCAUCUAACCCGACCACUUUGUCUACUUCGACCACCGUUGGUGACAUCGGCCCCGCGCCGAUGGGCACCGCAAUCAUCGUCGAGUUUUUCUCUGCUGGCCCUCCGACUUCUCCGACAUGGCAUACAGCUCGUGCAGGUCCCUCGUCUACGCAUGCCCGGUGCUGGCAACACCAAUGCGUACCUUCAUCCACGACGUGUCCCCGGGCCUGGCAAGCCUGGUCGGCACUUCGUCAACUUCGUCUUCGUCCGUCUACGCAUGCCCGGUGCUGGCAACACCGGUGCUGGCAACACCGGUGCGUGCCUUCAUCCAUGAUGUGUCCUCGGGCUUGGCAAACCCGCCGCGACGCGUCGUCAACACCAUCAUCCUUCCGGCGCACCACUACCUCGUCACCACUGCGCCCAUGACUAACUCGGCGCCCUCUUGCGCCCGCGGCUCCACGGCGACUUCCUCGACACCGGGCCUGGCAAGCCUGGUCGAUGCACCCAGACUCGACAUCGACCACGGCAUUCUCCGAACGGCUACCUCGACCAUGGCUCCACCACCCACGCUCUUGGCUACAUCGACAAACGGCACAAAGGGCUACGGUCUGCUUGAGCAACCUCGUUGGUUUCCACUCCAGCCACGACUCCGCGAUGCGUCGACCGUUACGACUGUGGGGGGGGGGGGUGUCCGUCGGCUUGGCUUCGGAUUCUUCUCCAGUCUCACCGUCUGCGUCGCUACCGUUGUGACUGCAGGGGGAUGUUGAGUAACGUGAUUGUAUUAGGAAACAUAGGUUAGACUAGGAAAUAUUCUGGAUUGCCUUGUACUCCAAGUAGAUCAUCUACUCCUAUAUAUAUGCCCACGAGGCUCAAGCAAUACAUUGAACUAUUCCACCAACCCUCUCUCUCCCUUCAACAGAGACGAAGACCCUUCUUCUUCCUUGUCGGUAUGAUUUGUUGCGGCUGUUCUUCUCCUUCCUCUGCGCUGAUGCUGGAGGGAGAUUCUGCUUUGCCCGGGUGGAUGGCCCGGCCGCGGUGCUGGACCGGUCGGAUGACUCGAAUUCUCUUCCAUCAGGAAGGGACAUUUUUCGCGGUACUCAAAGCCAAAGCUGGCGACGGCUGUUGCAGGUGUGUUGGAUUGAUGCCCAUGCCCUCUCAGCGCUGGUGUCAAGAAAGGAGAAAGUAGCGUGGCGGCAAUUGUACCGUGGUCGAAGAUGAUGACCUGCUUGCGCCUGGUUGCGGAUCCUUCUGCUUGAGGGGUCUUCUCUCAAGAUUCAGGGAUGAUGUCAAAAGGCUCCACAGCUCUUCUUGUGUUAUGUUUGGCUUAGGGUACUCUAAUUGUUCAUCGUCCUUUGUGUUUACGUUUCAAUGUGCUUGUAAGGAUCAACUACUUUGUACUGUUUCGUGAUUUGAAUGAAAAAAUUCACAAAAAAAAAAACAAAUGCACCGUGGCCAGAUCUAUUUGCCGACUAUAGACUACUUUUGGUUUCUUCUCGUAAGGACUACUUUUGCGAAACCCAAUACUACAACACAUACGUUCACAAAUACGCACACGUAAGGAAUAAUAAUAUGCUAAAACAGCGCUAGUAGUAUGGUCUUUGCAUGCUUGGUGCUGCUGCAUGUGGGCUGUGGAGGUUUUUGAGCCUACUGUCUGCAUGCAUCUCGAUAAUAAUAAUCCAAUUCAAUCCAAUCCAAUCCAAUCCAAUCCAAUCCUAUGGUCUUUGCAUGCUUGAUACAGUGCCUACCAAUCCAAUCCGAAACUGGUCAAACUUUGCGUGCGCCGUAGUGGUUGGCUAUGCUGGCAUGAAAAAUAAUAAUGGUCCUUUACUUCCUUUCUCUCUGCACGGUGCAGUUUAGGAUAGUCGUAAUGAAAGUAUUAUAAGCGGUAUCAUGCAUGUCAAAUAGAUUUUUUGGAUCAUGUGGCAGAGAAUUAAAUGAGGAAAGAAAGGAUGUGGCAUCAUAUUAUGAUACCGUAUCAUAUUAAAUAUAGUACUACUUUGUGUCAUGCAUAACAAUUAAUGAGGCAAACUAAGAUGCUAGGUUACGAUACUAUGCAUUACGGAAAUAGUAUCAUACACGAGUAUCAUAUGCAUGAUACUAGUAUAUGAUACUCUCCAUUACGACCUGUCUUACUACUGUAGCGUCCUGUGGGUCACGAGGAGCUGACCGCGUGUUCCACGAAAAAAAACGAUACGGGCCCUCGUGGAACACGGUGCCCUGUCUACCUCCGUACCAAAAGAUAAUUUUUUUACUGUUUUAUUACAAAGAUUUAUUUUAAAUAUAUAUAAAAUGUUAGUGUAAAAUUAGUAUUAUGAGAGGGUGUGUUUCAAUAGUAAACCAACGAUACUGAUUUUCCACUAUAGGAAUUAAGUUUUAGUUGCUUUAUUUAUUCGGUCCAACUUGUAUAGUUUAACGUAGAUAGAUAAGAAAGGAAUAAAUUGUGAAAACCAUCAAGACUCUGGCUCUAAUACUAUGUUAAGCUUCAUUCUCUAGGCAAUUAUUGCAAUAAUAGACCGAUCUAACGGAAAGAGCUAAGCAACCGAGUUAAUUAUACAAUUAGUUAGUUUAACAGUAACACUUAACUGGCAGCAGGUGUUACAUUGCAGCCAGCGAGAGCGAGAGCCUUCCCCCUUCCCCGCCAUGCGCUACUCCGGUGCUGGCGUCCACCGCGCCUCUGCGCCCCCGGGCCGUGCCAGCCACCCAGGCUCCUGGCCGUGCCACUAAGGCCGUCCCGGCCACCCAGAUCUGUUCCCCCGCCCCCCGCUGCUUCCUCGCGCAACCAGGGCUGUCAGCCCCAGAUCCGUCUCCUCCCAGGUCAGGCCGGCGGGGGAGAGGCCGGUGGUCUCUGGGCUGGGGCUUUCGGAGGGCUUGGCUGAGUCGGACCCGCAGCCGGCGGUGGACUCCGCGCCUCGCCUGGAGGCUCCUGCUGCGGGCUGGGAGCGGCCUUCUCCCACCAAGAAGGAGCUCUGGCGCCUCCGUCAUGGACAGGGCGGCCAGGGCGGAGAUGUUGCGGCUGGGCGGCACGUGCCUUCGCCGCCGCCGGCGGAGAUGAUCCCGGAGAUGCGAGACAAGUGCUUCAGGUGCCUCGAGAAGGACCACUUCCGGUGGGACUGCACCAACCAGGAGGUCUAUAUCAGGUGCGGUUGGUCGGGUCAUGGCUCCCGCGAUUGCAAGAGGCCGCAGAGCCCCUCUUCGGCUGAUGAGCUCCAACGCGAGGCGAUCGCCAAGGUGGCACGCCACUCGUCUCCCCGGGUCAGUCCAGACCACACGGCGCCUCAUGCGGCCUUCCCACCCCCACCGCCUCCGCCGCUGCACCCCCCCUCGCUUUGUGCUGCCGCCGAGGCGGCCUGGCCGCGUCUUGCACCCCCGCGGCUCCAGGUCGCGCUGGAUGCGGGGGAAGGUGCGUAUGAGCUUUGUGUGGUGCGGCGCUCGCAGUCCAUGGAGGACUUGGAGCGCCGGCUACGCUUCGCCAUGGUCACCUACGUGGGUGGUGCCCGGAGACGCCUCUCGCCGCAGCGGGUGCUGGAGAUCUUGGCGGGGUGGCUCGACAUCUCGGCGGAUCAUGUCUCGGUGCACUCUUACCGGUCGGAGGAUUUUCUGGUCGUUUUUGCAUCGGCUGAGCUUCGGAACAGGGUGGCGUCGUACCCGGCGGUGUAGUGGGAGGGCUAUAGGCUGUUCUUCAGGCCAUGGAACCGGCAGUCGCAGGCAGUCUUCUCGACCAUGGGCUUCAAGGUCUGGAUUGUCAUGGAGGGGAUACCACCACACGCUUGGGAUCGGAAGACAGCAGAGGAGUUGUUGGGGACGGCGUGCAAGGUGGACUCGGUUGCGCCGGAGUCAAGUUCAAGAGCUGAUCUUUCUACGUUCAGGCUCACUGCAUGGACUGCAAACCGGAGGAGAUACCUUCGCUGCGCUGGCUGGCCAUCUCGGAGCCAAGCUCAGAGAUCCUACCACCAUUGUUGCAGUACAAGAUCCUCAUCCAUAUCGACGCAGUGGCGAACUUCCGUGAAGCAGGGGAGCCGUGGUUCGUGGGAAGUUCAUCCGACAGUGGGCAGAGUGGCUUGCUAGACUCUCCGGACGGUUUCCAUGAUGGAGGUGGUGGUCAGAGGUCACAAUGGCGAGUUUGGCAGUUCGGUGUCAGAGAUGUGCGCGGCGGUGAGCAGGGCUAGGCUUCCGGCGGUGGCGGUGGCGGCCAUGGCGCGGCAGGGAGGGCAAACGAGGGGCUGGAUUGGCGCCUACCUCCCAUGCCCCCGCCCCGAACGUUCUGCAUGUGGGGCCACCAGAACGCCUUCUGGAUAGGGUUGCCGUCAGGGUGUCUGCUUUUGACCGCCUUUUGGGUCAGCAGGCACAUGGAGAGGGGAGCGGGACGGUUCUAGAGCCAAAUUCAAACCUGACUGGCGCGGACAAGUGGCUGGGACGGACGGGCGCACUUUGACGGCGGGACCCCGGACGGAGGAGACGGAGCAGCAUCCAAUGGAAAUGGUCAUUGUGCCGUUGGGGCAGGGACGGCGCCUGAGCUUGUCAUCGGAUCGGGCGGUCGAAGUGGUGGUUGGCGCGCGCAGCCCGAGUGAUUCCCGUAGUGCCCCACGGGCGAAUGAUGACAUGGACAUGGUGGUUCUCGCGGAUCUAGGGAGACUGGACCCCCCGGUGCGGGAAAGGCUGAACCCGCCAGCUGGCGUGCCUGCAGGCUCCGUGCCGGGGGAUGGGAUACCGGACGGGUCCCAGGAGGUGGGGCUGGCUGAGGAUCCCAAUGCAGUUGGGGCCGUGUGCAACAUGGCGGGCCCCGUGCUCGGAUCGAAUGCAGAGAUGGCUACUGGUGGGUUGGGUGAAGGAAAUCGCGUGGUAUUGACUACUGGUGGGGCCGGUUAUCGAAUGCAGAGAUGGCUACUGGAGGGUUGGGUGAAAAAAAAGUUAGUUUAACAGUAACUGUGAUGCCAAGACAAAUCAUUGGGGUCAAAAUUACCGAAAUAUUUAUUUACUCCGGUUGUACACGGGUCGGCUUGUACACGCGCAUGAGCUGCCACGGAGCCACACUGUGGCCGGCCUACUGGGGAGCCCGAGUCAGCGAGGCUGCUUGAGAACCAAGCUGCAUGUCCUCGUGUUUGGAGAGGCGAACGACGAGUUCGCUAGAGACUUCGUCGGAGAAGGGGCGGUGGUCAAAGGGAUGUGAGAGAGGUGAUUUUUUUUAUUGGGCUGUAAGGUGGGUCCUUGUCCACAUCAGCUGGGUAUUAAUUCGUGGCCAACACGUUGAAAAAUCCACCGAAUAGUCAUCACAUUUUAUCAUGCAAUCAGAAAGCCGUGGUGUUCACAACAUUUUGGACAAGUGGGAUAGUUAUUUCAUGCUAACAACUCAUUGAGACCGGACUAUGUACUUGCAGAGUAAAGACUCUAUAGCUACGACAAAUAAUUUGGAUCAGCGGGAGUAGAACAAAUACACGUGUAAAUAUUUGGUAACUGCAGAAGAAAUGUUAAUGUAUGUAAAGAAAAGAACAAUUUAUGUAGAUUACAUAGGUGCGGUACAAUGGGCGGAAAAAAUGAAAUAAACUAAAGAGAAGCAAAUUUGAAAAAUCUAUAAACAAAAAGUAAAACUUAAAUGCAAUAAUACAGGUGACAUUUAUUACAAAUCAAAUGACGAGCAGAAUAAAUACUCCUUCCUUUCCAGUUUAUAAGUCUUCCACGUGUAUCUUGGCUGCUAAUUUACCAAGUUGAUUACACGUGCAAGACUAAUAAACACGUAAGGACGGAAGGAGAUAGUAUCUCCGAAGUGGAAGUAUAUAAGAACAUUUAAGGGUAUACUUCGAUAAUUGAUCGAAUCCCAUUGGUUGGAGUGAUCUUGUAGUCGCUGAACCCGGCUUCGGAGAAAAUCAAGCUCCACUCGUUUUCCUCUCGCUCCAUUCCAUCGGAGCCCAUCAUGUAGAUAUCUAACAAAACCUGCGCCUCUAUGGAAUCGUUGGGCUGAGUCACCGGAUAUCCCACCACCAUAUCGAUAAUUAUCACCUUUCCUCCGGCUUCUUUCGCUGGGAUCGCUUCCUUGCACCGGCGCAUUAUCUUGACGCAAUCUUCGUGUUUCCAGUCAUGCAAAAUCCACUGGAACCAAACAUAUUAUUAUAUCCCAUUAGCAUAUAUAGUAGACCAGCAGAAAAAAGAAGAACAUAUCCAAAAAUAAAAAUAAAAAUAAAAAAUUACCUUGAGUAGAACAGCAUCCGCAGGUGGGACAUACUCGAACAUAUUUCCGGCGACGAAGGUCAAAAUGUCGCUGGCGGGAGCCGCGGCGACAACGUGUGCGAGGUCCAGAACGGUGCACUUGAGGUGCGGGAACGCUCUCGCCACGGCCGACGCGGUAGCGCCAUGGUUGCCGCCGAUGUCCACCAGCGAGCUUUUCACUUCCCCGAACGCUCCGCCGU